rnacentral:lncRNA from 1 species
GUGUUUCCAAUAAAAUUGAGUAGGGGGAUUCUUAAAUACCUUUUCCUUUUUUCCAAGGGCCGUGCCAAAUUGCUCUAAGUGAUUAUCAAUGAAUAAUGAAAUAAAUUUUUAUUAAAGCAAUUUUUCCUUAAAUGGUGACUAAUAUUACCCCUUUUUUUGGAAAAGAAAGUCAAAACAUGCCCAAAGAGAAUCAUUUACUUUACUCUAAUGUAGUUUCUAAUUUGUUUUGAGCCUUGAAUGUCCGUUUUGGUGCGUAUUCUCAUUCCAUCUCGAAUCUUAUCCACAUGGACAACCCCAAUUACAAAAUAGUCUAAUGGAUCUAUUGAAGUUCAUAUGAGGUUUGUGCUUUAGAUUUAGACCUCUCUCUCUCUCCCCCCCCCUCUCCCAACCACUUACCUGUCUUUCACUUACCUGUUUGCAUGCCUUCCCAUGCACACACUUUUCAAGAUAAUACACGGUCACUCGUACUUGUGUUUUGGUUGAGCUACUGGCUGCUAACCCUCAUUAAUUCAGUUUGAAACUUGCCACCCUUAGUGCUUCACUCAAAUGGUUGGUUAGGGUGAGAUCUGUAUCGUUUUCCUGGUCUCUUUCCAAGGUUAUCUAAAGGGAUUUGGCAGUCUGAUUCUUUAGGGAAUAUCAUUGCAUAAGAUAUCUAUUGUUUGUCAAUGAAUAAUUUCUAUUAAUUAGUUAUCUAUAUAAAUUGGUAAAUUUUAACUGCAUAAUUUGCAUGCAAUAAGAUUUUAUAAGAAUCUUGUUUUCAACUCAUGACUUAGACUAAUGUGAUAUGUUGAGCAUUAAGCUACAAUAUCUGCACAUCAAAGUGCUUCACGAUGUUAAGGAGAAAGCAUAUUUUUCUGCUUCUUCAUGUGAUUUAAAGUUUCCAAGGUACUUAUCCUAUAAAAUAUCUUUCAAGACUUCGGAAAUGCUUUUAUGUAUGACUGAGGGAAACUUGUUGGGUUGGUUUUUAGCAACGGACGGAGUUAUGGACUUUGUGUUGACUUGUUAUUGAUUAAGGCAGUACAUCGGCUGAUCUAUUGGCAUCAAGCAGCAGAUGCAGAAAUUAUGGGUGGCAUAUCAUUGUAUCCAAAUAACGUACUACAUUGAUUUUUCUGACUUUCUGUUGGUCUCCGAGUGAAAUGCAGGCAUUUGCAGAUGAACUGGGGAUUCCUUUCCUGGAGACGAGUGCCAAAGAUGCAAUCAAUGUGGAGCAGGCUUUCUUGACCAUGGCUGGCGAGAUUAAGAAAAAGUAAAAUCACUUAACUCUUUCCUUCUUGCCUUAUGAUUGAUUCUGUGAUCCAUUGCCUAUUUGCAAAUGCUGACUGUUCUUAUUCAACAAUCACCAUUAUUGCUGGUUAUAUGCAUUGUGAUGAAAAUUCUGCAAUGAGUAACUUUUUACCUAAUGUUUUCUGUUGGAAUAAAUUACUCUGGUAGAAAAGCCCUACAGGGUUUUAGAAAUCCCAUGAUGUGAUGAUUGUGAGCAUUUUAGACACCGUGUAUGGGUUUAUUUUUUUACUAUAAAAUGUUAAGAUUGUUUCUAGUUUUGGUUUGUAGUGCAUAAAAGGAUUCAGAAUUUGACAUCUGUCUAAAUCAGAUUAAUAACAUGAUAAUGUACAUAUGCAAGAUGUGAGGAAUUGUUUUAUCUCACCCCUAAACUUUAAGAAAUUGAAACAUUAUCAUUCAAACUAUUUAACAUUUCCAGAAUUAAUAGUUGUCUAUUUGAGCAGUGACUGGUGGUUAUCAUGAACUGAUGUGUGGUUGUGGUGUCAAAUCUUGGUGAAACCUGUUGUCAUCAGCCGGUUAACAUAGCUAGUCUCUGAAAUAAUUUCUUGAUUCACUAAUUAUGAGUUCAAAUUUGAUGCAGAAUGGGCAACCAGCCUACUGCAAACAAAUCUUCUGGAACAGUUCAGAUGAAGGGACAGCCAAUCCAGCAAAACAGCAACUGCUGUGGUUAGCCGAGCAUCUUAUUUUACUUCUACAUGUUAGCUGACUGAUUGUAGACAGUUUUAACUAUGUUGACUGCAUUAUCUUAUGAAUCUUUUAAUAUGUCAAAUAUUAAUUUCCUGCUUUAAGUUCUUUCCGUUUAUAACAAAUUUAAUUUCUUGGUUCAUUGCAUUCCAAAUUCCUGUAAAUUUACAAGGGAAAAAGAAAAGAGACGAAAUCGGAGAAAAUGGUCGAAUUUGUUAGGGGGAGAGAGCUGUUCAAGUAGUUUCUGUUCUUGUUUAUUGUCGUGACCCUCUUGUAGCUUGUCUAUGACCUGGAAGUCCGGUCAUAUCGGAUGGGUAAAGUUACCAAAACGGCAUCAUUUUGGGUGAAAUAUCAUAUUUAUGUAACACUUCUGAUAAUAUUUUUAUGCAACAACAAAAUGUUCGCGGGGACCCUUUUCACAUUGUGAAGCGCAUGAUCGGAUGAUAGCAGUCUGGAUUCUGGCAUCACAAGCUAAUGCUUUGAUUUGCUUAGUUUGUUUUUUGUUUCUGAUAUUUUCUUGGCAGUGGGUGGGAUGUUGUUUCUCUUUUGAGUUUCCCCUUUUGUUUUUUGUUAUGGAAUUUAGAGAUAGUAUACAUGUAUGAAGAUGACGUGAUAAAGUUGUUUUGAUAAAUUCCCCUGGUCAGUUUACUUCACUAACCAUUAAUGCGCAAAACCUCCUAAUGACCCUAAAAAAACUCGUAUAUAAUUAAAGAAUUUCAAUUUUAUAUGUACAAAAAUGAAUAACUCUCAAAUAUAUUAUUUGAUAAUCUCAAAAAAAAAAAUUUCACUCUAAUAAAUCUCGUAGCAAGUACAUGGUUUAUAUUGCAAAUCUUUUCGAAACUAAUUCAAAGAGAAAAUAGGACAUAUAAUUGACUUUUACCUGUCAUAAAGAACUCUAAAUAAACUCAUAUAUGCAUCGCAGCUAAUUACAGCCUUGAUACUUCAUUUGGUUUUUGUUAAUUUUUUGUACAGUUAUGCUGUGCGUAAAAGUUUUGUUAAAUGAAAUCGAUAGGUGAAGAGAAUUUUUAGAAGCAGUCAUCAAAGUAAUGAUCAAUAUAAAUAUUGAUUGUCUCAAGUUAGAUUAUACAAAGAUGAAAUAAUGCUAAUAUAGUAAAUUCAAUCAUAAUAAUUUGACUUCCAUUAUAUUAAUUAUGUCCAAUCGUGCUACUUUAAUAAAGAACCCUCGAGCAUUUAUAUGUAUACAACAAACAAAAUUAAUUAUAGAACGAUCUUUUACAAAGUUUGACCGGUCAACUAUCCAUCAAAUUCUGUAAUGUGUUACUGUUGAACUCUCAUGUCAAAUAUGGAUAGGCAGCGCUUUGGCUAACAGUGAGAUAUAUGCGAGCAUAAGAGCUCUGUUCUCUGUUUUAAUGGCGUUUCUCUUUGUGAUUGUUGGACAAACUGUAAUGUGAAUUUCUAUCUAAUGGGUGUCCUAAUGCUUUUAGUUAGUGUGGGAUUGUUGAUUUAUAUAUGACCUUCAGUAUCCAAAAUUUAGAUGAUGAUAACCUUUAGUACUUUUAUCAUAUUUCCUUUCGUGUUGGUGUUAGUAUCUUAAUUUUGUGCCCAAUGGUAAUUACAAUAUAUACCUAAUUUGAAACUUCUAUAAUUUUACAUAUAUAGAUGCAAAUUCAUUUUUAAGAGUGCAUUUAAUCAAGCAGUCCAGGCGUUUAUACUGAGUAAUUGGUUCAAUAUUAAUACAAAACUAUUUUAAGUAACAUGUGGCAUAUUCUAAUUCCAGUGAGCUUCCAACUCAUAUUCCCAAUUCAAAAGAAAAGUUUUCAAUUUUCUCCAGAACGUUCUACAAAACGUUUCUUCUAGUCUCUACACUGUGCUAGAAUUUUCUCUAAGUUUCUUUUGCAAAGACUUUUAAAGAACUAUCCAGAUACCGAGCUAUAAUCCAGUCUAAGCGUAUAUCUCUCUCACUAUUUCACCUCCUUCAAUUUCACCAUAUCAACAAACACUUAGCCUCGAAACAAACACUCUCAAAAAGCUAGCUUAGCUACCCAGAUGGUGAAAUCAAGAAUUCUUGCAAUUACAAUGUCGUUUCUUGUUAUGGCAACAACAUUGAUGAUCAUGGCAUCACAAGCAAACGCUCUGAUGCCGUACACACGAUCACCUUUCUUUGACAUGAUGUCUGCAAUUACAGAAGAUCCUUUCAGGGUUCUUGAACAAACCCCUCACAAUCCCCAAAAGGAGCUGAUCAUCAUCAAACUCUAGCCCUGGCGAGAGCAAACUGGAUGGAGCACCAACAGCACACGUGAUCGCGCUCGACAUUCCAGUGAUGAAGAAAGAUGAAGUGAAGAUUGAAGUUGAAGAGAACAGGGUACUGAGAAUGAGUGGGGAGAGGAAGAGUGAUGAUUAUUAUAAGGAGGGAGUUGAAGGAGAGAAAUGGCACAGAGCUGAGAGAACAUUUGGCAAGUUUUGGAGGCAGUUCAAGAUGCCUAUGAGUGCUGACUUGGAACAUGUUAAGGCUCAUUUGGAAAAUGGUGCUCUGAGGAUCAAAGUGCCAGAGCUUGCUGAGGAGAAGAGGAGGCAGCCUAAGGUUAUUAGCAUCAAUGAAGAGCCUGCAGGUAAUUCUUCCGGUGAAACUAUUAAGGCCACCAAGGCCCAAAUGUGAUUAUUAAAGAAAGAAGUGCUUGCUUCGCUUGAUAUGCUAUUUGUUUAUGAUUUUUUCUUAGUUUUGUUGUGGGAUGUUUCUAUCUGGACGUUCUGUUUAUUGUAUUUUGAUGGGUUUUUUAAGAUGGCUUGUAUGUAUUAACAACAAUAAAGUGUUUUUUUAUAAAUCUGGGUCUUAAAUUUGUAAAAGAAAUUAAUACGCUUGGUUUAUUGUUAUAAAAAUAAAAAAAGAAAAAGCUUUUUUCUUUGGCAUAUAUUAUGCAUUUUAAGGAAAAAAAAUUCACACUCCAAUUCAUAAAGAUAUUCCUCUUCUGUCAUAUUAAUAUACUACUUUAUAUUGUACAACACCAUUAAAAGAACAUUAUAACACUGUUGCUAAUGAGGCAGCUGGUAAUUCUUCUGGUGAAGAUAUUAAGUCUGUUAAAGCUGAAAUGUAAUCAGAGAAAUAUAAUGUAUUCCCUUAGUUUGCUUUUUGUUUUUGAUAUUUGUUUGGCAAAUGCUUUGCUUAGAUUGCUUUUUGUUUUUUGAGAUUUUAUUGGCUUAGUCGUGGGGUAUUGUUUUCUCUUCUAAUUUUUUAUUUUUGUCGUUAUGGGAUUUGAUGAUGGUGUACAUAUACGAAAUUUAUGUAAUAAAGUACUUUCAAUAAAUCAUGGCCGGUUUACUAUUAAUUAAUCAAAUUUAAUUUACUCAAAUUAUUCUUGUACACGAUUAAAAUAAUUUCAAUUCCAGGAUAUAUAUAUACACGCACGCACACACAAAUAAAAUGUAAUUAACUUUCAAAUAUAAAAUAUUUAAAAUAAUCACCGUACUAACAUAAAUAGACGAAAUAAUGCUAAUCUAGCGAAUCCAGUCAUAAUAAUUUGAUUUUAAUUUAUAUUAAUUAUAUCGAACCAUGCUAUAUUAAUAAAGAGCACUUGAGAAUAUAUAUAUAUAUAUAUAUAUAUAGAACAAAUAGAAAAUCAUUGGGUACAGACUCAAUAUUUUCUACUUUAAUAUCAUCACCAUCAAUAUCAGGACUAGAUUCAUUGUCUGAAUUAUCCUGUAAUUGCUUUUGUAAAAGAAGUUGAAUAAUAUCAGAAUCACUUUUUUGUUUUUCUUUUAAAUCUCUGAUUUCACUUUUGAUUUCUUUUAUCUCUUUCUGAAGAUCUUGGAUAUUAGGAAUCAUCUUUUUUGUUUUCUUCUUAUCCAAAAUUUGAGUAAGAUCAUAAGAAUUCUUUUUAACAAUUGGGACUCUAGAAGUCUCGGCUUUAUUAAAAUCCAAUGUUUUCAAAAGUUUAUCAAGGUAUUCCUUUUGAAGAUUUGGAUCAGAAAUAUGCUUUACAAGUUCAAGAAAAGUUUCUUGGUCUUUAGUCAAAACAUUGAUUUUCUUUAAAAAUGAAUCAGAUUCAGAUUCACUACUGCUAGAUGCAGAGUCAUCUGAGUCAAAAAGCUCAUCAACUUGGUAAGGGUCACUGUUAAAUUCAAACAUUUCUUUCUUGAUAAAACCCAUUCUGAACCGGCCUAUUCCACGGCCACAAUUCUAAAAGUUUUGAGCCCAAACCAGUGGGGCGACCUACUCCACAAUUUCAAAACCUUUCCUCUAAACUUUGAAACCCGUUUACCACAUUGUCGGACUUUCUCCUACUGGGAUUACCAACAAGCAUGGUAUAACACCUUUUUUAUCCAAAACCCAAAAAAAUCCCAUUCUUGGUUAUUUUUCUUUAACCCUAAAAUAACCGUCCAAAGCCUUCCAAACUGGUUCCAUCAUUGGUGGAAUUUCUUUGGCCCAAUACCUCAAAUCCUCACUCCAAAUGCCAUAAAUUGCCUAAACCUCUUUAAAGCCCACUAUAUGCCCUCUGACUCAGAGAAAAGAUUUCCCCCCUUUCUCUGUUUUUGUACAAACUUCUUCCUACCAUGGGUCUGGAUGUGGAACCUCCGUUUUCAUACUCAAGAUUCCCAGGUCAUCCUUCAAAGAACCUUUAAAGACAAAUGGUGGUCAAAAUUUGAUGAACAGUCCAAACUGACUGUUAACAUGAUCAAAGAUUGGCUCUCCUCUAAAAACCUUCUCCAACCAACCCUAGAAGCCUCUAAAGCCCAACAGACCUUCUUAACCCAAAAAUCCAAAGCCCAGUCUCUUUUGGCAAGUGCCAAGACAGAAGAAGAAUACUUCAAAGCAAUGGAACAGCUCCUCGCCUCCCGUUCAAAGUCAUCAGUAGCUGACACCUCUGAAGACGAAGACUUAAUUUUAUCUGGUAAAUAUAUUAAAGUAUAUAGGCUGGAAACCCGAACGUGCGGACUAUUGAUCUGUUCUAAGUCAGAUCUGGGUCCAAAGGCAGAUUAACUUCUGCGAUCGAUCUGGUCUAACAACGCCACGUACUUUAAAUAUUUUAAAAAUUUGACCAACCGCGUUCAAAUUUGUUUGAUCAUUGUAUGCUCCAAAACAAAUCUACUUAAUCUAAAGCUGGUAAUCUUAUUUAAAAUUGGAACAACCGCGAUCCAAUUAUUUUAUUAAAGCAAUCAAUAAAGAAGCAUUUUGAAAACACACCCAUCCUUCGAUCCUAUUUCCUUCUGGUAUCAGAGCCAAGGGGAGGAUUGUGUAAAGCAGUUUAGAGUUUUGUGUUAUGAAAACUUGUGUUUUAUUUUGAAGUUUUGUUUUUGUGGUGAAUUUUUACUGGUAGUAAGUCCCGUCCAAGGAUAAGUUUUCCGUUUAGGGCUAUAAAACCAUACCUGUAGCCAUUCUUUCAAAACCACUAAUAGAUCAUAGGUUUUUACCCAUGAAUCCUCUACACUGUAGAACAUCGUCCUUUUCUAGCUCUUCUUCUGGGAAGACUAGUGAUUCAAAGCAUGUUGUGAGUUCAGAAGAAUUCGUUAUUGAGAACUUUGAUAAAGCAAUUGAUUGUUGGGAACUUCCAAAAAUUUCCAAAGAAAAGAUUUACAAAACAAAAAUGCUUGAUCUUUUAAAACAUGAUUAUAUUAUAAAAACUGAAGAAAGAGACAUAACAGACGAUGAUGAUGAUGAAGAGCCCUUCAUUUCUCUUGGAGACGAAAAUGAAGAUGAUUGUUUCGGCAUUUUUUCUCCUAUAAAGCAUUGUAAAUAAUUAUUUAGUUAUUUACUUAAAAAAAAAAAAAAAAAAAAAAAGUAAUUUUCUUUCGGGUGGUCCCUUGGACACAAGUGAGAGCGCACAUGUCUCUUCACCCGUGUUGUAUUUCAUUAUGUAUUUCAAUUUUUGUACAAAGUAGUCUACUGUUCAAAGCUACGGUCAGCCUACUAUUCAAAGCUACGAUCCAAAGUUUACUGUGCACUUAAAGCUCCACUACAGUGAACAGUGCAAAGUUCCAAAGAUUACUGUGCACUCAAAGCUCCGCUACAGUGAACAGUUUACAAAGUUUUGUAUAUAAACCAAGAGGAAGACUCAGACUCCUCAGGUUUUUCAUUUUUCUCUUCUUCUCCUCCUUCUCUCUAGAUCUCUCUCUCUCUCUCUCUUUUGGGAAGUCUGGAUCAAGGCAUCAAGGAAAUCUUUCCUGUCUUGUAAUCUUCCCGUCUUUCAAUCUUCCCUUCUGGAAAGAUUUGAAAAAUUGUAAAGACCAAGACUAUCAAAGCAAAGAUGUAUGUUUAAAUUUCAGUUAUUUAAAUUCGAUGUAAUUUAAAUUUUCGCAAUUUACUUUAAAGCAAUUUACUUUUCUGCAAUUUAAUUUCAUGCACAUUUACAUUAACGCAAUUUAUUUUUAAAGCAAUUUUCUUUUCAAAGCAUGCAAAGCAGACUGGUCUUUAUCAGAUCUGCCAUAAAAUUUGUACGUUCCUCUGAGGCAAAGAGACCGGAUCUCGAUCCUCAGUAAUUGCUUUAAACGUGGUUGUUUCUUUUUAUUGGGCUAAUUCCAGAUUUAAAUUAGAUUCUUUAAGGGGCUUGGGUACAUACACAGUACCAGAUCCGGAUCCCGGAAAUGGUGCUCUGAAGGAAUGGAGGAAGAAGAGAAGAUUUACAACUGAGGAUCGAGAUCCGGUCUCUUUGCCUCAGAGGAACGUACAAAUUUUAUGGCAGAUCUGAUAAAGACCAGUCUGCUUUGCAUGCUUUGAAAAGAAAAUUGCUUUAAAAAUAAAUUGCGUUAAUGUAAAUGUGCAUGAAAUUAAAUUGCAGAAAAGUAAAUUGCUUUAAAGUAAAUUGCGAAAAUUUAAAUUACAUCGAAUUUAAAUAACUGAAAUUUAAACAUACAUCUUUGCUUUGAUAGUCUAGGUUUUUUAUUUUUCUCUUCUUCUCCUCCUUCUCUCUAGAUCUCUCUCUCUCUCUCUCUCUUGGGAAGUCUGGAUCAAGGCAUCAAGGAAAUCUUUCCUGUCUUGUAAUCUUCCCGUCUUUCAAUCUUCCCUUCUGGAAAGAUUUGAAAAAUUGUAAAGACCAAGACUAUCAAAGCAAAGAUGUAUGUUUAAAUUUCAGUUAUUUAAAUUCGAUGUAAUUUAUUUUGAGUGUUUUUUAUUUUGAUAUAGAAUUCAUUAAAGGUGAUAAAAAUUCUGUUCCUGAUUUUCUAACCAGAGAAUUUCUUCAAAACAGAUAAUGCCGCUAAGGAAAGACAAAGGUAAAGCUGUUCACAAAAGUACCGGAUCUCAAGAACCUUCCAAAGAACCCCAGUCAACCCCUUCUAAAGAAAAAUUACUUUCUUCUGCAUGAAAUUAGUACCGGAUCCCGGAAAUGGUGCUCUGAAGGAAUGGAGGAAGAAGAGAAGAUUUACAACUGAGGAUCGAGAUCCGGUCUCUUUGCCUCAGAAAAGAAGGAAUGGAGGAAGAAGAGAAGAUUUACACAAUCCUCCCCUUGGCUCUGAUAAAGACCAGUCUGAUACCAAAUGCUUCUUUAAAAUAUUUUUGUCUUUAAGAGAAAUUGUUAUAUUUGGAUAACAAUCAAAAGAUAUGGGACCUUUACAUAGACUAGAUUCGAUACUACUUAGUAAAGAAUCAUCAAAAGAGAUGAAUCGCCCAUCUCUAAGAACAGCAAGGAUAGAGGUAUCCAAAAUCUGCCUUUGGACCCAGAUCUGACUUAGAACAGAUCAAUAGUCCGCACGUUCGGGUUUCCAGCCUAUAUACUUUAAUAUAUUUACCAGAUAAAAUUAAGUUGCUUUAAACGUGGUUGUUUCUUUUUAUUGGGCUAAUUCCAGAUUUAAAUUAGAUUCUUUAAGGGGCUUGGGUACAUACACAGUACCAGAUCCGGAUCCCGGAAAUGGUGCUCUGAAGGAAUGGAGGAAGAAGAGAAGAUUUACAACUGAGGAUCGAGAUCCGGUCUCUUUGCCUCAGAGGAACGUACAAAUUUUAUGGCAGAUCUGAUAAAGACCAGUCUGCUUUGCAUGUUUAUUUCCUUCUGGUAUCAGAGCCAAGGGGAGGAUUGUGUAAAGCAGUUUAGAGUUUUGUGUUAUGAAAACUUGUGUUUUAUUUUGAAGUUUUGUUUUUGUGGUGAAUUUUUACUGGUAGUAAGUCCCGUCCAAGGAUAAGUUUUCCGUUUAGGGCUAUAAAACCAUACCUGUAGCCAUUCUUUCAAAACCACUAAUAGAUCAUAGGUUUUUACCCAUGAAUCCUCUACACUGUAGAACAUCGUCCUUUUCUAGCUCUUCUUCUGGGAAGACUAGUGAUUCAAAGCAUGUUGUGAGUUCAGAAGAAUUCGUUAUUGAGAACUUUGAUAAAGCAAUUGAUUGUUGGGAACUUCCAAAAAUUUCCAAAGAAAAGAUUUACAAAACAAAAAUGCUUGAUCUUUUAAAACAUGAUUAUAUUAUAAAAACUGAAGAAAGAGACAUAACUCUUUCGGAGCCUUUUGAAACAAUUUAUUUGUUUUCAGAAAAAUCUUUAAAGAAAUUAAAAGAAAAGAAUUUCAAAUAUAUUCACAUUGGUUUAAUCCAAGUAGGAAUAAAACCUUUGACCAAAGAAGGCUUGGAUACCUCUAUCCUUGCUGUUCUUAGAGAUGGGCGAUUCAUCUCUUUUGAUGAUUCUUUACUAAGUAGUAUCGAAUCUAGUCUAUGUAAAGGUCCCAUAUCUUCUGAUUGUUAUCCAAAUAUAACAAUUUCUCUUAAAGACAAAAAUAUUUUAAAGAGCAUGAUUUUACAAAUCCAAACCCAUAAUUAUCACAUGAUUAAGGGAUCCAUCCCAGUUGCAUUAAUUUUUAAAAUUUCCUAUAAAGCCAUGAUUUCUGCAUUUAGCACACAGCAUAAAUACCAGUCGAAGAGAGAUGAGACCCUUCUCUUGCAGACUGAUUUGUCUAAAGCCAACAUGAUCAUUCCAAAAUCGAUCCAAUGGAAAGAUAUCCAUCUUCCAGAUGAAUGGAUCCUUGAAGGAGCCGCCCCACCGGCAAUUCCGAAACAACUUGAGCCAAAUACAGAGUUACAAAAUGUGACCCAGUAUUCCGAUGGUAAAGUCAAACUAUCAUUCAGAAGGUCUACCUCACAUAGAUUUUCUGAUAAAGAAUCGAGCUCAAACAUUCCUUCACUAGAAAGGAAGUUUACAAAAGUACCUUCUGUUAUAAAUCUCCCAUAUCAGAGUCAACCUAGGUUUUCCACUUCGGAUAUACCUAGCUCCUCCAUCCGUUCCGUUGACUAUGCCACAAGUGUUCCUCAUCCUAUAUACACUAGUAGUCAACAUGUGCAAAGACAGGAAGAGAAGGAACCUUCUCCUCCAACAUCUCCUACGUUUUCUGCUGUCACAGAAAAUGUCAUUAAUGUCAUUGAAAAAGAAUUUGAAUUAGAUAAAGCCUUUCUGCAUAACGAUUUUUAUUCAGAAAUAAAUAAAGAAAAAAGAACUUGGUUUUUUAAACAUUUUUUAAACCAAAGAAAAGAAAUCCAACAAACUUAUUAUGAAUUUGUGAAUUUUCAUAAAGUUCAUAUAUUGUUUUUUGAUUGGUUCGAAAUAUAUUCUUCUGAGAACAAUAUUGAUUAUCCUUUUAAAGAGUCAAACCCUAUAACUAUUAGAAAGAAAAUUCCUGAAUGGAAACUUUCUGAUAAUGAUAGGAUCAUAGAGUCUGAUCAUCCACCUCUUAGGAGUAUAACCAUAGAUCAUGGUGAACCUCCUAUUGAGAUUAAAGCAUCCCCUUACAAAAUCCCAAGACCAAAUGAUUCUGAUGCGAAUUUAAGUAGUAUUAUACAACAGAAUAAUUUCUGUAAUACUAACCUAAAUACAAUUGGAAAGCAAUUGGCUCGUAUAGAAAACCAAUUUCAAAAAUCUACUAUAUCUGUUUCUCCUAUUCCAAUGUCUAUUCCUUCAAAAUCGGAUUCUGACAAAAAGCUUAAGGAACCUAUUUUCAAACCUUUUCAGGUUUCGAAAACUAGCCAAAGGCUUGUUCAAGAGUCAAAAUCAGAUUUUGCUAAAGCCAUUAGAGAACAACUAGAUAGUAUAGAAGCUGCUUCUUCCUCGUCUAGCAAACUCCAGAUAGCCCCCGAUACCCCCCAAUCUAGCAAGAUUGGAGUAUUGGAUCUUGAUGACCAAAGUUCUAUAGCCUCUUCUGACUUAGAAGCUUUCAAAGAAGAACCUUCUACUCCUAAAGCCAACAAAAUCCACUGGGAAUUAGCCCUUCCCACUGUCAAGACCCCACCAGAUCUAGCAAUAGAUAAUAGACCUAGUGCAUUAAAUCAAUCCCGAUAUAAUGCAUCUUCAGUCUAUGAGUGGAAUAUUGACGGCAUGUCUGAGUACAAUAUCCUUGGAUUGUUGCAACAAAUGACAAUGGCAGCUAAUGCUUAUAAAACCCAAGCAGGAACUUCUGAUCGUGCCAUAUCGGAAAUCCUAAUUGCUGGUUUUACUGGUCAACUAAAAGGUUGGUGGGAUCAUCUUCUCACUAAUCAGCAACAAUUUGACAUUCUAAAUUCCGUCCAAAAAGAUGAAAAUGGAGCCUCUAUUCUUGAUGAGUUCAACAACCCUAUCCAGGAUGCUGUUGCUACUCUUAUUCUAACCAUUUCCCUCCAUUUCAUCGGUGACCCUUCUCACCUUCGUGAUAAAAACGCUGAGUUACUACAUAAUUUGAGAUGUAGAAAACUUAGUGAAUUUCAGAGUUACAAAACCUCUUUCCUUACCAGACUAUUUCUAAGGGAUGAUGCAAAUCAUAUUACUUGGAAAGAAAAAUUUCUUGCUGGAUUACCUACCCUUUUAGGUGAAAAGGUAAGAAAUUCCAUCAAAGCCCUUUACGAUAACCGUAUUCCUUAUGACGAGCUCACCUAUGGUGAACUAGUCAGUUUUGUCAACAAAGAAGGUUUAAAGAUUUGUCAAGAUUUGAAAUUACAGAAACGUCUUAAGUGGGAACUUAAGAAGUCUAAACAGGAAUUAGGCGGUUUCUGUAAGCAAUUCAAUUAUGACCCCUUUAAAACUUCCUUUUCCAAAGAUUGUAAUGGAGAAUGUUCUACAAAACCUCGUAAGAAACAUUACAAAUCUAAACAUUUUAGAAAACCCUUUCGUGAUUUUAGAAAAUUUCCUUAUAAGAAACCUUCGAAGCCUUAUAAGAGACAUAGUUUCUCUAAAAAGAAAGAUUUCAAAGCCAAACCUAAUACUCCAUUCAACUUCAAGGAGGCCACAUGUUUCAAAUGUGGUAUGAAAGGUCAUACUGCAAAAUUUUGCAGAAUGAACAAAAGACUCCAAGAACUUGACCUCAAUGAGGACAUCCUUUCUAAAAUAGCCCCUCUUCUUGUCGAAUCUUCUGAUUCUGAGUCUUCCAUGUCGGGAGACAGUGACCCUUACCAAGUUGAUGAGCUUUUUGACUCAGAUGACUCUGCAUCUAGCAGUAGUGAAUCUGAAUCUGAUUCAUUUUUAAAGAAAAUCAAUGUUUUGACUAAAGACCAAGAAACUUUUCUUGAACUUGUAAAGCAUAUUUCUGAUCCAAAUCUUCAAAAGGAAUACCUUGAUAAACUUUUGAAAACAUUGGAUUUUAAUAAAGCCGAGACUUCUAGAGUCCCAAUUGUUAAAAAGAAUUCUUAUGAUCUUACUCAAAUUUUGGAUAAGAAGAAAACAAAAAAGAUGAUUCCUAAUAUCCAAGAUCUUCAGAAAGAGAUAAAAGAAAUCAAAAGUGAAAUCAGAGAUUUAAAAGAAAAACAAAAAAGUGAUUCUGAUAUUAUUCAACUUCUUUUACAAAAGCAAUUACAGGAUAAUUCAGACAAUGAAUCUAGUCCUGAUAUUGAUGGUGAUGAUAUUAAAGUAGAAAAUAUUGAGUCUGUACCCAAUGAUUUUCUAUUUGUUCUAAAACAAAUCACCACAAGAAAGUAUUUGAUUAAAGUCACUUUAAUCUUUUCUGAUGAUUUUGCAAUGGACGCUAUUGCCCUUUUUGAUACAGGCGCCGAUUUAAAUUGCAUUAGAGAAGAUAUCGUCCCCAAAAGAUUUCAUGAAAAAACAAAAGAAAGGCUUUCUGCUGCCAAUAAUUCAAAAUUGAAUGUCAGUUCCAAGGUUGAAGCCUCAAUCUAUAAUGAUGGUUUUGAUUUUAGAACUUCCUUUGUUCUCACAAAUGAUAUUCAUCAUGCCAUUAUUUUGGGAACUCCUUUUAUAAAUCUCAUAACUCCAUAUACUGUCAAUUAUGAUAGUAUAUCUUUCAAAGCAAAAAACAAGAAACUUGUUUUCCCUUUUAUUGAAAAGCCUAAAACAAGAAAUUUGAAUAUUGUUAAAGCCUGUUCUAUUUAUCAAAAUAGAAUAAACAAUUUACUUAAAUCAAAACAGUGUGAUCUAAUGUUUUUACAAAAAGAUUUGAACUUACAAAGAGUUGAAAGCCAAUUACAAAGUGAUUUCAUUAAAAGAAAAAUUUCUGAUUUCAAGACUCUUAUUGAAGAAGAAAUUUGUGCUGAUCUACCUUCUGCUUUUUGGAAUAGAAAGCAACAUUUGGUAGAUUUGCCUUACGAAAAUUCUUUUGAUGAAAAACAGAUUCCGACCAAAGCUCGUCCAAUUCAAAUGAAUAUGGAUUUAGAAAAACAUUGUAAAAAUGAAAUCAAAGAUUUGGAGUCUAAAGGACUCAUCGUAAAAUCCAGGUCUCCUUGGUCUUGUGCUGCUUUUUAUGUUAACAAAAACUCCGAAAUUGAAAGAGGUACCCCAAGACUAGUUAUAAACUACAAACCUUUGAAUAAAGCUUUAAAAUGGAUUAGGUAUCCUAUACCUAAUAAAAAAGAUUUACUCCAAAAACUCUGUUCUGCCUUUAUUUUUUCAAAAUUUGACAUGAAAUCGGGUUUUUGGCAAAUUCAAAUUCAUCCAAACGACCGUUACAAAACCGCUUUCACUGUUCCAUUUGGACAAUACGAAUGGACUGUUAUGCCCUUUGGUUUAAAGAAUGCACCCUCAGAAUUUCAAAGAAUUAUGAAUGAUAUUUAUAAUCCUUAUUCUGAUUUUUGCAUUGUUUAUAUUGAUGAUGUUUUGAUAUUUUCAAAUUCAAUCGAUCAACAUUUCAAACAUUUAAAGACUUUUUAUUUUGCUACAAAAAAGGCUGGACUAGCCCUUUCUAGUUCAAAGAUUUCAUUAUUUCAAACGAAAAUCAGAUUUCUUGGUCACUAUAUUUCAAAAGGAACAAUCACCCCUAUUGAAAGAUCACUUUUAUUUGCUGAUAAAUUCCCUGAUAAAAUUCUUGACAAAACUCAAUUACAAAGAUUUCUUGGUAGCCUAAAUUAUGUUCUUGAUUUCUGUCCCAAUAUCAAUAGGUUGUCUAAACCUUUGCAUGAUCGUUUAAAGAAAAAACCUGCUCCAUGGACAGAUGAACAUACUAAAGCUGUUAAAUUAAUAAAGAGUUCUGUUAAAAGCAUCCCAUGUCUAUAUCUUGCAAAUCCUGCAUUUCCUAAAAUUGUUGAAACUGAUGCAUCUGACUUAGGAUAUGGAGGUAUAUUAAAACAAAAAGAAAAUGAUAGAGAACAGAUAGUACAAUAUGUUUCUGCACAUUGGAAUGAUUGUCAGAAGAAUUAUUCUACUAUUAAAAAAGAAAUUCUUUCCAUUGUUUUAUGCAUUACAAAAUUUCAAAGUGAUUUAUUAAAUCAAAAAUUUUUACUUAGAAUUGAUUGCAAAGCUGCAAAACAUGUUUUAGAAAAGGAUGUUGAAAACAUUGCAUCAAAACAUAUUUUUGCACGUUGGCAAGCUAUUUUGAGUGUUUUUGAUUUUGAUAUAGAAUUCAUUAAAAGUGAUAAAAAUUCUGUUCCUGAUUUUCUAACCAGAGAAUUUCUUCAAAACAGAUAAUGCCGCUAAGGAAAGACAAAGGUAAAGCUGUUCACAAAAGUACCGGAUCUCAAGAACCUUCCAAAGAACCCCAGUCAACCCCUUCUAAAGAAAAAUUACUUUCUUCUGCCCUACCCAUCAAAUCAUGGAUUGAAUUGGUUGAAGAACAUGAAACCCAAUACAAACCCAUCUCUUCUGAUGAUCAAGUAAAGCAUUGGAUGAGUUCCAUUACAAAAUCUCCCGAGCUCAUGCUCGCUCUACAAAACCUUUCCCAGAGCCAAAACUCUCCUAAAAAAGAGAUUGAGAGCAUAUCCAUAUCUAAAGAAAUUACAAAACCCUCCUCUCAAAAUGUUGUUGUCUCUGCUGAAAGCUCCUCUUCCCAAAUUAUGCUUUCUCAGCCAACACCUUCAAAGAAAACCUCCGAUUGGUUUGAUAAAACCCAUUUUCAAAAUAUUCUUUCUAUGGAAGAUGGAUUUUACCAUACUGAUCCUUUUCAAAGCAUUUCAAAGUUUUUUCCCAAAGGCUGGUUUUUCAAACCAUGGGAUUUGACAAAACCCCAGUCUUAUUAUCAAAGCAUUUUAGAAAUAACUGAAUCAGUUAAAUUCAAACAUUUCUUUCUUGAUAAAACCCAUUCUGAACCGGCCUAUUCCACGGCCACAAUUCUAAAAGUUUUGAGCCCAAACCAGUGGGGCGACCUACUCCACAAUUUCAAAACCUUUCCUUUAAACUUUGAAACCCGUUUACCACAUUGUCGGACUUUCUCCUACUGGGAUUACCAACAAGCAUGGUAUAACACCUUUUUUAUCCAAAACCCAAAAAAAUCUCAUUCUUGGUUAUUUUUCUUUAACCCUAAAAUAACCGUCCAAAGCCUUCCAAACUGGUUCCAUCAUUGGUGGAAUUUCUUUGGCCCAAUACCUCAAAUCCUCACUCCAAAUGCCAUAAAUUGCCUAAACCUCUUUAAAGCCCACUAUAUGCCCUCUGACUCAGAGAAAAGAUUUCCCCCCUUUCUCUGUUUUUGUACAAACUUCUUCCUACCAUGGGUCUGGAUGUGGAACCUCCGUUUUCAUACUCAAGAUUCCCAGGUCAUCCUUCAAAGAACCUUUAAAGUCAAAUGGUGGUCAAAAUUUGAUGAACAGUCCAAACUGACUGUUAACAUGAUCAAAGAUUGGCUCUCCUCUAAAAACCUUCUCCAACCAACCCUAGAAGCCUCUAAAGCCCAACAGACCUUCUUAACCCAAAAAUCCAAAGCCCAGUCUCUUUUGGCAAGUGCCAAGACAGAAGAAGAAUACUUCAAAGCAAUGGAACAGCUCCUCGCCUCCCGUUCAAAGUCAUCAGUAGCUGACACCUCUGAAGACGAAGACGAUGAUGAUGAUGAAGAGCCCUUCAUUUCUCUUGGAGACGAAAAUGAAGAUGAUUGUUUCGGCAUUUUUUCUCCUAUAAAGCAUUGUAAAUAAUUAUUUAGUUAUUUACUUAAAAAAAAAAAAAAAAAAAAAAAGUAAUUUUCUAUCGGGUGGUCCCUUGGACACAAGUGAGAGCGCACAUGUCUCUUCACCCGUGUUGUAUUUCAUUAUGUAUUUCAAUUUUUGUACAAAGUAGUCUACUGUUCAAAGCUACGGUCAGCCUACUAUUCAAAGCUACGAUCCAAAGUUUACUGUGCACUCAAAGCUCCGCUACAGUGAACAGUGCAAAGUUCCAAAGAUUACUGUGCACUCAAAGCUCCGCUACAGUGAACAGUUUACAAAGUUUUGUAUAUAAACCAAGAGGAAGACUCAGACUCCUCAGGUUUUUCAUUUUUCUCUUCUUCUCCUCCUUCUCUCUAGAUCUCUCUCUCUCUCUCUCUCUCUUGGGAAGUCUGGAUCAAGGCAUCAAGGAAAUCUUUCCUGUCUUGUAAUCUUCCCGUCUUUCAAUCUUCCCUUCUGGAAAGAUUUGAAAAAUUGUAAAGACCAAGACUAUCAAAGCAAAGAUGUAUGUUUAAAUUUCAGUUAUUUAAAUUCGAUGUAAUUUAAAUUUUCGCAAUUUACUUUAAAGCAAUUUACUUUUCUGCAAUUUAAUUUCAUGCACAUUUACAUUAACGCAAUUUAUUUUUAAAGCAAUUUUCUUUUCAAAGCAUGCAAAGCAGACUGGUCUUUAUCAGAUCUGCCAUAAAAUUUGUACGUUCCUCUGAGGCAAAGAGACCGGAUCUCGAUCCUCAGUUGUAAAUCUUCUCUUCUUCCUCCAUUCCUUCAGAGCACCAUUUCCGGGAUCCGGAUCUGGUACUGUGUAUGUACCCAAGCCCCUUAAAGAAUCUAAUUUAAAUCUGGAAUUAGCCCAAUAAAAAGAAACAACCACGUUUAAAGCAACUUAAUUUUAUCUGGUAAAUAUAUUAAAGUAUAUAGGCUGGAAACCCGAACGUGCGGACUAUUGAUCUGUUCUAAGUCAGAUCUGGGUCCAAAGGCAGAUUAACUUCUGCGAUCGAUCUGGUCUAACAACGCCACGUACUUUAAAUAUUUUAAAAAUUUGACCAACCGCGUUCAAAUUUGUUUGAUCAUUGUAUGCUCCAAAACAAAUCUACUUAAUCUAAAGCUGGUAAUCUUAUUUAAAAUUGGAACAACCGCGAUCCAAUUAUUUUAUUAAAGCAAUCAAUAAAGAAGCAUUUUGAAAACACACCCAUCCUUCGAUCCUAUUUCCUUCUGGUAUAUAUAUAUAUAUAUAUCCAACAAGUAAAAUUUCAAAACAAUAUUUGCCAAAGUCUGAUAAUGAGAAUAUAUACACACACAUUUGUAACCGUACAACAGAAGGAUAAAUAAAAGAAAAUGAAGUUUCAACAGCUGAAUAAUGCAAACUCAUUUUUUUAAAAGUAUUUUAUUGUUUAAUUAAAAAAUUCGAAAACCCAUUAUAUACAUGAUAAAGACUCACCGACGCCGAACCAUAUUAAUUUAAAUUAAUUUUCAACUGAGAUUUGAAUUUUGAAAUUACAUACACAAACACGCCCAAUUUUUUUAAAAAAGUACUAACAAUAAAAUAUUUCAACCGUCCUCUGUUUAGCCGCCAAAAACCGAUUUACCAUUUAUUACAACAAAAGGUGUACAUAGACGGAUAAAUAAUCCAAUCAUAAUAAUUUGAUUAUCAAUAUAUUAAUUAACCAUGUCCAAUCAUAAUAUUUAAUAAUCACCAAACUAACAAUUCGCAAGUUAGAUUAUACGUAUGAGAAUCUAGCAAGUCCAAUGAUAAUAAUUUGAUUUUUAUUAUAUUAACCGUGUCCAAUCAUGCUAUUUUAAUAAAGAUCACUCGAAUAUUUGUUUGUCCAACGGGUAAAAUUUCAAAACAAAUUUUGCCAAAGUCCUCCUCGGCUAAUUAAUUCAUACAUUAAUACAGUCCUCUUCUGCUGAAUAAUGCAAACCCGUUACGUUAUUCCACCAUUUCUUAAAUUUAAAGCAUUCCACCAUUUAAUAAAAAAAUUCGAAAACCCAUUAUAUACAAUACAAAAUGCCCACCGACACCAAACCAUAUUAAUUUAAAAUAAUUUUCAAUUGAGAUUUGAAUUUUAAAAUUACAUACACAAACACACCCGAUUUAAAAAAAAUAAUAAUAAUGCUAACAAUAAACCAAUUUAUAAUCUAUUUCAACAGAAGGUAUAUGGGUCAACAAGUCCCAAUAUUGUCCUCCAUCCUUUCUGCACUUCUCUGCUAUCAACGGACAUCCCACGAUCUGUAAUAGCAAAAGUGAGGAAGGCAGGCCCUUCUCCGGAAAGUAUUUGAGCUUGGGACAAUUCACGAGAACCAAUUCAGUGAGGUUUUGAAGAUCAACAAUUGAAGAAGAUAGGCGUUCCAGAUUUGGAAAAUUGUAAAUCGCCAGAGAUGUUAGAGAGGCAGUAAGAGGAAGCGCGGUCCCUAAUCUUUUGUCCUCUAGUGGAAAUGACACCAUCACCGUGUCGUCAUCACAUCCUUGGAUUUGUAGACGUCGCAGAGAGGAGAAUCUGUGAAAUCCCCGGCCCCGCUCAAUCAUUGACUUCCAAAUCUCCAUAUUACCCCAAAUACCAAGUGACUGAAGGUUGGUGGGAAGGCCAUCAUCUUCUUCAAGGCUUGGAAGCGCACCUCCUAUUGUUAAUUCUUGAAGAGAGGUCAGUUUGUGCAAUCCCUUGGGUAAGGCCUCUAGUCUCUUACAAUCAUGUAUCUCCAGCGUCGUGAGUUUCGCACAAGGCAAUCCCCCUUCGGGAAAGGACACCAGAUUUCCACAACUCUGUAUAGUAAUCCCUCGAAGCUGCCGGAGAUUAUGUAAACCACUCGGUAAAAUUUUGAGAUUUUCACAAUAAGAAAUGUAGACAUCUUCAAGAGAUGUGUUGUUGUCCAACCUUUCUGCUAUUGACUCCAGCUUUGAACAUCCACAAACAUGAAGGGACUUAAGAGACGGAGGUAGAUUGCCAACUUCAAGGGACUCAAGCGUGGCAGGUAACUCGUUUUUUGAAAAUAUACAUGUCAAUGAUGGACAUUCCCAAAUAACUAAGUGCUCAAGAAGAGAUGAGGUGUACCUUCUGCCACUGCUACACUGGAUGCCCUCUUCCACUGUCAAAGUCCUUAUAUUAUCGCAACGCCAGAUCGUCAACUCCUUAAGGCUUGAUGGUAGCUGGACAGCAGCAAUAUAUGUCAACGAACGGCAACCCUCAAUAUACAAGAUCUCCAGAGACGAAUUGGUGUCGCACAUCCAUGCCUCUGGUAACGAUUUCACUGCAUCACAAUGCCUAAUCUGAAUUUUCUUCAACUUGGAAGGCAGAGCAACCUCAGGAAAGGAAACAAGGGAACUGCACUUGUAGAUUUCUAUCUCUCUCAAGGAACUCAGGCUGAGCGAUGAUUGUGGCAGCUUCACAAGGCCUUCGCAUUCGCUCAAUCUUAGAUAUUCGAGUCUGCAUGACAACUCGCAGAGCUGCUGUUGUUGGUCUUUCUCUUCCUCCGCCACCAAGGAUUGAAGUUUGGGACAGCUUGUAAUCGUCAGACUUUUGAGAGAGCAAAUGUCCUGCAGUAAUUCGUUAUGGCUCUUCCAUAUACAUGUUUCAUUUUUAAUAUUAUUUAUCUCCAAUUCUUCCAGUUUUGGUAUUCGCGGCUUCAAUGGCCCUGCGAGAAACACUUGAUUUGAUGUAUCUCUACAAACCACUGAAUUCUGUGAGCCGAGAUGAUCAGUUGCACUUCUCCACACAACCUUUUUACAUCCACCAAUUUGCAAGUUACAAAGAGCUGGAAGACUCGUAACUGAAACUGACAAUUCCUCACAUCCUCCAAUAACAAGCAUCUCCAAUGCAGGAAGGCAUUCUGGCAAUGUUCCUCGCAGUUUAGAACAUCUUAAAAUGCGAAGCUCUCUCAAUUUAGGAAACCCUUCAACUCCCUGACUAGAUCUAAGAGGAAUCCAGUCUUCCCAUUCUUGCAUGUUUUCAAAACGAAGAGUCUCCAAGCAUGGAAAAGGAAUCGGGGAAUCAUUCCCAUAGAACUCUGAACCCAAACUCUUUACUCUACUCAUUCCUCGCACUUCAAGAUGCUUUAGAGAGGGUAGUUGCCCGACUGACGGCAGGGUAGUACACACGCCGCAAUCUUCAAAAGUUAAGGUCGCUAAAUUUGAGAAUGAGGAAUCUCCCAACCAAGUUGGAAAUGCUUUACCUCCAUAGCCACAGAUACCAAAUUGUUCCAGAUUUUUAUGGGGUUUGAGCAUGUCAAGCACACCCAUUUCAGUUUCUGCCUCCCUUGAAGAUGAACCAUCGGUACUGCGUGUCCAUCGAAGCAAUAAUUCUCUAAGAUUCUCCUUUACAUCCAAUUGAGCCUCCUUCGCAUUACCAACGUCUUUUACGUUCUCCAAUUUUGAAAUUUCAAGUGUCCCACGAAGAUGCGUCAACAACUUUAGCUCUGGUAACCUCGAACCGCUGUCUUUUCCCACAACAAAAUUAGACAGCGUCUGAAGACAAGUCAACUUGCCAAUUCCUAGUGGAAUCUCCUCCAAUGAAUCUGUAUUUGAAUUAUUGAGAUGAUGCAAUUUGAUGAGAUUUCCCAUGUCUGCACACAACUUCUUCAGUCGCCGACAGCCCUCCAACAAAAGGGUGUGCAAAUUGUAAAGCGUGUUGACUGAUUCAGGCAGAGUUCUAAUCUCAGUUCCAGAUAGGUUGAGGUACCUUAAAUACCUCAAAUCACCAAUUGAAUCCGGUAGCUCAGAGAUGCUAUAUCCACGCAAAGAGAAGACCCUCAACCGUUGGAGUUUGAACAACUUAGGAAGAAUGCUAUGGGCCAAGUAUCCGGGCCCGCUACCUAACAACGUUACUGGUAAAAGAGUUCCCAAAUGUUGCAUAUCGUACAACUCCUCAAACCUUUUAACACCAUCGUAAUCUCCACGAAUGUACGACAGAUGACGAAGAUUUCUUGGAAAACUUUGUUGCUUGUCAACCUCUGAGGUAUACUCCAUUAUGAAGUACAUUUCCCCAGCAGCCCAUUGAGCAAGGUCAUUGACGAGAUCGUGCAUCACAAAUCGUGAUAUACUGUUGCUUGAUUGUUGGAAGAAAGAUCUUGAACGUAGCUCUUGAAAGAACUUUCGACCUAGAUCUUCACUGGGAUUCUCACUCUCUCCGUGAUCCAAGAAACCCGAAGCACACCAUAAUAAAAUUAUCUCCUCCUCUUCAAAUUCAUAAUCCUUUGGAAACAAUGAGCAGUAUGCAAAGCAUUGUUUCAAAGGUGCCGAAAGAUAAUAGUAGCUCACUCUAAGCGCCGGUAUAAUGUCACAUCUCUCUUCUGGUAAAUCCCAUAUCUUGCAACUGAGCACACCUUCCCAAUCACUCCGGUCAAGUUUACCACGUAAGAGACCACCAAGAGUUUUCGCAGCUAAGGGCAAGCCGUUGCAUUUGAUCACUAUCUUCUUGCCAAUUUCCUCCAAUGACUUGUUUGAACUGAAAUCUCUUGUCCCCAAAGAGUGUUGAGCGAACACAGACAGACAAUCAUCAUUUGACAACUUUUUCAAUUGAUAAGCCGGAGCAGUCCCCAUGAUGGCUGCAACCUCUUGAUUACGAGUUGUGACAAUAAUCUUACUUCCUGGUGCGCCAGCUUCAAACGGACGGCUCAUGUCAACCCAGUCAUUGUAAUUCUCAUUCCAAACGUCGUCUAAAACAAGCAAAAAUUUCUUUUGAGAUAACUUCUUCUUCAGCUCCUCUUGAAGCAAAUUUAAAUCACUGUCAUCAAUAGCCUGCUUGGUAACGGAUCUUAGAAUUGUUUUUGUUAGCCCCUUAACGUCGAAAUCCUCAGAGACACAAGUCCAUGCCUUGAGAUCAAAAUGACCCUGCACUCGAGCAUCAUUAUAGACAAGCUGAGCGAGAGUGGUUUUACCCAGCCCGCCCAUGCCUAUGAUAGGAAUAACAGAGAAUUCACCAUCAUUUCUCAAAUCAUCCCUCAACAACAAUUCAACAAUUUCCUUCUUUUCUGUUUCCCUGCCAUAUACCUUGGCUUCAUUCACCAAAGAGGUUGUGGGUAGUCUUUGCCUGUCUUUUUUGGAUCUCCCAGCUGAACUUUCUUUCAAACAAAGCGAGUCUUUCUGUGUUACAAUAUCUUGAAAUCUGUCGUUGAUCUCUUUGAUUUUGGACAUUAUGGCGUAAUCGAACUGAAUCGAUUGUGGAGUAAAAGUGGUGCAGCAAUUAGGAAUGAGCUUCCGAAACUUAUUUGUUCUUGUACGACUGCUACUGGAUUGAUCAUGAGCCGCAGCUGGAUCUCCAUUUCCAAGCAGCAACUUCCUCCGGGAAGCCUCAGUUUGAAACUCAUCCAACAAGUCUUCAACAUCAAAAGCCAAGUUCUGAAGCUCGCCAAGCCACAACUUCACAGACUGAGCAGUCUUCUUCUCCUCAGCAUCAGCAAGCACCGCCUUGAUCAUCACCAACAUAUUCUUCCACUUCUUUAGGUCGGCUUGGAUUUGCUCUUGGCGUGCAAACAGCCGAAUCCCCUCUGAAGCUAACUUAUUGACCAGCAAAUCAACGGACGCCGUAAGGAUUGCCUCUCCGAUGAUUGACAUUUUUUUUUGUUUCUCAAAGAAAGAAACAGAAUUUUGAGUUUUGAAAAGCAAAAUGAGAAAAUUGAACAAUAAGUGUGGAGGGUCAAGCAAAAUGCGCGUAACAAGUCUUCCGCUUGUUGUUUAUUCCACUAAAGUGAAAAUAAAAACAGAGCCCACCACCCAUUAAUAAUUGAGCAAUUCACCAAUCACCAGUCACCACCACUCGUUACCAUGAAUAUAAUAAAUUGCACCUUGAUAUUUGCAGGGUCCAGCAACAUUGACCCAGUGUCCGGGUAAGUGCUGAAUAACGAGGAAAAUGGAAUGUAUCCGCUACGAACCUUCGCUUUGCAAGUCUUCAAACUCAUAAACCAAGAUAAAUCAAAACGUUUCUCUCUCUCUCUUUUUGCCAUAUAAUUACUUUAUUUAUUGAAUUAAUUUCCAUGCUAAAAGGAAGACUUAAAACUGCACUACAAUUUUUUAUAAUCACAAUGAUAAUUUCUACUAUCAUGUUAUUUUAAUGUCGUGUUAAAAUAAAUUAUUACAAAGUUUUUUUUAUGAACACUCUUUUCAUUUAUAAAUUUUUUAAUUUGUAAUAUUUUUCUCACUCUUUUAGUCUUAAUAUUUGUAUUUCUCUCUUCAAACUUUCUUUAUUAUUUAAUUUUUAAAAAAAAAUUUAAAAAAAAAAUAUUAUACUUAAAAAAUAAUGAAUAUUUUAUGAAUCUAAUACAAGCCUGUAUUAUUUUUGACAAUGAAAGAGCACGCGAAAAAUCUCACUCAUAGAAAAUUUAGUGAAAGGCAUUUGAAUGUGCGGCCACAUUUUCCGAACGAAACGAUAAGGCUUUAGCCUUAUAAUUGCAAUUAGUUUGUCUUGUAACUAAAUUAUUGCCGACAAACACCAUCAUGCUGACAAACCGUGCAUGCACGUCCACAAUUACCCACGUCCUCUACUUGUGUGAACCGUGAUUCUCAAAGACUUUGACAUUUGGCUCACUGAUUAUGUGUGCAAUAUUCCCGUAUUUCCCAUUACUUCCCGUACUUUAUGCUUUAUUGUUUUGUAUGUCUUUUGGUGUUUGCGGUGUGGUUAGGGAUGGUAGCGGGUUGGGUCUGGUACGGGUUUGACAUCACUAAACCCGCAUCUACAAAAAAAUUUAAUUACGUAAUUCAAAUUAUAAGUUUAUAACCGUUGUCUAAAAAAACCACAUAAAAUACUUAAUUCUACAUUUUAUCAAUAUAAAUGAGAAAUGAAAAUAUCAACAUUAAAACAAAUACACAAAAUAUAUCAAUUUAACACCAAUUCUCAUAUUCAAUUACCAAAUAAAUAAGUCUAUCACAAGUCGAAGUGCUUUCAAUUUAAUAAGAAAAAAGAGAAAGAGAAAAAAACAAAGAACAACAAAUCAAAGUAGCACCCAGACCUAUUUCAUAGGCUCAUUCAACACUAAGAUCUUAGAAUUAAGAUCUUCAAUUCAUUCAUUACCACUAGCACCCAUUCAACGUGGUUUUUCUAAGCAAAAUAUAAAGUACAAAAUUACAAUAAGCAUAUGAUACUCCAUGCUUUAAGUUAAAGGUCCUUAUAUAAUUUUAUGAAUAAUGUUUUAGUGAAAUUUUAUGAUUAAAGUUAAAAAUACACAAAUAUUAAAAUAAGAAUUUUGGACACUUGCGCAACUAUUUGCCAAAAUUUUUCUCUAUGAAAAUCCACCUGCAACUUGCAGCAGGUUUAAGUUUAUAAUAUCAAACUUGAUUGUAGCUCGCAAAAUUUUUGGAUUUGAGAUAAUUUUGACACCCUAAGUGUAGUUAGUAUUGUAUAUCGUGUGUUUCCAAUUGGCUCUUAUAAAAAGCCUAGAAGUUGUUUGAAUAAUGAGGGAGACAAAUAUUUCCCAAAGAUAUUCUCUUUUUCAAAUUUUUUUCUUUUCUCUAUUAUUGUAACUUCAAAUCCUUAAAAAUUACAUAUUAUAGACAUGAACACAAUAUUUUGAUAUAGUGGCUUUUGGCUUGUCCAGAGAAAUUUAUGAUAGAUUUUGAUGUACUAAGGUUAUGUUUACUAUUGAGAUUUUGGAACUUUUGAGCCACACUUGAAAUUUGUUUAAUUCUAAUAGAGUUGUAGCCUUCGAUAUGUGCUUGGUAUUAAUCAAGUGUUAUGUUUACAGCAGUUAAAGGCAUAUUGAAUCAAAGUCCACUUUUGAUUGAGAUUUUAAAGUAGGUUUUUAAUUUGAUAGCCACUCAAGUUCAAAUAUUGGAACUACAGUGCACCUUUCACUUGCUAGGCUUUAACCAAACAGACGACGUUAUACAAACUUCUAUCCAAUAAGGCAAUGCAAACAAAAGCAAGUGAAUUAAAAAUAAAUAAUUUCUCAUUAAUUUGCAACAAGUAUUAAUAAAGUGCAUGAGAAAAUAUGUCUUUUUUUAAAUGAAAAUAAAUGUGUUAAUUAGUCAAUUUAAAUGGUACGAUGUUUUGAAAUGAUAGAAGCGAUCUGGAGUUUAAAUCUUACUCUUGACGUAAUAUUUAAUAACGAAUUUGAAGAACAAUUAAAAAUUAAAAGAAAAGAAAAAAAUGCUUUCUUUUUUAACGAUGGUAAUUUGUUCAGAUGAUGAAAAUUCUUAGAGUGGUAUAAUAAGUAUUUUUGAGUGUUGCCAUCGCCAAUAAUAUUUAGUUUCCUUUAUAUAGUUAUAUCUCAAGUAACAUUUAAACAGAAGCAAGUUGGAAAUUAAAAAAAAAAAUGAACCAUUGAGAGAAUGAAAAACAAACAAAAAAAAAGUUAAAAAAUUGUAUCUCAAUAAAUUUACUUGAGAGCUACUCUACUGAUAUGUGAAGAGAAAACACAAAGAAUAAUGAUGUAUCUCAAUUAAUAGGACAAUUUUUGUAUUUUUCGUUUAUUCAAGAAUCACGAAACUUCAUUUAAACUUGUUAUUUCAUUGAUAAUAUAUUAACAUUGAACAAUGUAGGGGACAUUCCUUUCCAAUUAUGCCCAUAUAUUAACUAAAGGCCACCAAAAAGUUCAGGGAUACUAUAGUAAUUUAAGUCAACAAUUACUAUGCUUGAAAUCAGCCAAUCAAACUCACUUUAGAAUAAACUGAGAAAUCAAAAUCACAUUCUCCAAUUCUACGAUUUCAAUUCAUCUUCUUUCUUCAACUAAAGAAUUGGUUGUAUCUCGUUUAGAUAAAUAUAAAAUAUAAAUGACGAGGAGACUAGAAAAGUAAAAUCAAAAGAAGAGCACGAGUUUUGUUGAAAAUGACUCUUUUUCAUCAUUGUGCCGGAGUGAAUGUAUCUACAUAUAAACUAAAGAAGCACAUUUGUUUGUAUUAGCUUUUUUAUUGUAUUUUUAAUAAUAAGUCAUUUUUCAAUGAACUUAUAUCAAUUUUUAUGAAAAUAAUAGGUGUUAGUUAGUUGAUUCAAAUGGCAAAACCUCUUGGGAUAGAGCUUGUAAUUUAUUGGCUCAUGAAUUGUCUAAAUUGACACUACCGAAGCCAAAUUAUUGUAUUUGGUUAAAAAAGCUCCUGCUCAGCUUCAACUUUAUUAUUCUAUGAUGUUUGUUAAUAAAUAACAAUUUUAUUGAAAAAAAACAAGACCCCUUGAACUUAUACAAAAGAUUUGGGAUCUGAAUCUGACUCGAAUUUAGCUUGAGGUUGACAUUGUUAGCAUAAUAAUUGAAGAUAGAUUUUUUUAAAUUAAAAAUCAAAAGAUAUUUUUUUUUUUUUGGGUUCACACUAGUUAGUUUUAACUCAUUGUGAGAUUUAAACAAAAGCGGAAUAAUAAAUCUUAACAUCCUGACUCAUGGAUAACAUCUACAUAAGAUAGUAAAAUCUAUUAUAUCUAAAAUAAGAGGUAUGAAGUUUGAAUUUCGCUUACAUAGGUAGUAAGAGAAUCAAAUUAUUGUUAGAUUAAAGUAAUUAAAAAAAUUAUCUGAUAUCCAAAACAGCAUAUCAACAAAAUUGAAAUAAAAGAAAAUUGAAGAGAAAAACCAUUGGGAGAACGAAAAAUUAACACAAGAAAAUUUCGAUAACUAAUUGUAUCAGUGUGCGCCAACUUCACUUAUUAAAACUUGGUUAUUUCAUUUUCAUUGAUAAUCAUUUUGACAACGAUUUUUCUUUCCAGCUAUGCCCAUGAACUAAUAAGAGAACUGCCGAAAAGGUUCGGGGAUAAUAUAGUAAUUUAAAUUAAAAUUUUCUGUGCUUCAAAUCAUCAAAUCAAACUCACACUUCACAACAACAGAGAAAUCAAACUCACAGUUUCUCUCAUUUUUAAUUUGCUAUAUAAAGAUAAAUAUAUAAAUUUAAAUGGCGAGAAGACCGGACGAGGAAUACGAUUACUUGUUCAAAAUGGUAUUAAUCUAAAAAUAAUAAUAUUAAAUAAAACACCUGUAACUUUAAGACAUACAUAUUCUCAAAGCACAAGUGGAGCCGAGAGGCUGGGAGUCGUAAUGGAAAGAAGAAUAAAAUAUAUGAAACUUAUAAUGUUAUUUUUACUAUAUUAUAUUGAUACUUUGUUUUGUUAAUCAUAUAAGUCAAUCAAUAAUUAUUUAAUCAUUGGAAUUAAAACUAAUGUAUUAAUUAAAAUUCAAAAUCUAUUAUAAAAAUAGUAAAUAUUAAUACAAAGAGAUGGACAUAUUACAAAAUACAUUCACUAAAAGUUCUAUUAUACUUAAAAUUUUCAUUCACAAAAAAAAAAUAAUAGUUGAAUACAUGUACAAAAAAAGGGGAUAAAUAAAAAAUAAUAAUAAUAAAUAAUAAAAGGAUAGUUUACAUAAUAGAAAAUAAAUUUAUUGAAUAGGGAUGUUAAUAAUAAAGAAUAAUAACCGAUCAAACUCACUUUAGAAUAAAUUGAGAAAUUAAAAUCACAUUCUCCAAUUCUACGAUUGACUCUUUUUCAUCAUUUUGCUGGAGUGAAUGUAUCUAUAUAUAUUGGGGACCAUAAUAGAAACGGGUAGAACCUAAACGAACGAUAUCUCUUUUUCAUCAGAACAACGAACGAUAUCUCAAGGUCGCCGAAACGUAAAUAAUUAAUCUUAUCUUUCAAUUGAUUUUUUGUGGAGACAGAGACAAUUAAACCCGAGCAGCAAAUAGCCAUAAAUGAUAGGACAAUUAAAUUGGAACUCUCCGCAGACCCACGAUUUAAUAUCUUUAGAUUGUAACGGUUUAACCAAAAAAAAAAAAUCUUGUAAAAUAUUUCUUAAAGAAAUGAAAAAAAAAAAUGUUGAAAAGAAGAACAAAAUUGUGGUCCACGUGUCAUUUCAAAAUAGGUUGCUGGCAUAAACAACCGGCCCCAUCUCGGACAGAUGUUAUUUGAGUGGCUAGUGCGUGUUUCCACUUUUUUGUUUUAGAUGCAACAACUCAUGCACUAUAUAUAUAUAUUAAGAUACAUCUCUUUCGUAUGAAUAAUAUAUAUGUGUGGAAUUCACGCACUGUUCAUAUGAGAGGAAUGUAUCUUACAUGUAUGUAAGAUGAAAGGAUCCAUAAAUUUAAUGUUAUUAGUUUAAAUAAUGGGUGCAACUCAUGUUUUUGAAACAUUAAGAUCUUUAGCCAUUCUGUUACUAUCCCGUAGUUAUUUAAGUUACAAGAGACAGUAAAAAAACAACGUCAUAUUUUAAUUACUUACACUAAAUAAAUUACUCACACUAAUGCCACGACUGCUGCUUGCUUUUUUUCUUUUUUUCGCCCUUUUGCUUUUACUUUUUGACUUUUGCUUUUGGUUUAUAAUAAUAAUAAUAAUAACAACUUUUUAAUUUAAUAUAAUAUUAAAUAAUAUUUUUAUUUUUAAUUUUAUAUUAUAAUUAUUAAUAUAUAACUUAUUAUUCAAUAUUAUUAUAUUAUGUUUUUUAUUUUUACAUUAUAAUUUAUUAAUAAAUUUAUAAUUUAUUAUAACUAAUAAUAAAUAUUUAAAUAUGAAUAAAUUUGAAUAAUAUUAAUUUAAAAUUAAUAAUAAUAUAAAAUAUUAAUACAAUUUAAAUAUAAUAUAAUAUUUAAUUUAAAUUAAUCACAAAAAAUUAAUAUAGUACAAUGUAGCACCAAAUAUUAUACAUUAUUAUUAUAAUACAGUGCUAAUGCAACGCAAUAUAAUAUAAUACAUCAGUAUUAAAAUAAUACAAUCCAACAUAAUAUAAUACAAUGUGUGAAAUGCACCGAAAUGGUAUUACUUUGUUUGUCUUGUUAUUUACCAUUAUUUAAUCUGUAGACCCACUCAUGCUCCUUCUAUGUAACAUAGAUACAAUUUGAGGAAGAUUAUCAGUUUUUUCGAAUAAAAAAUAAUACAUACCACUUACCCUUUAUUGUUUUUAUAAUGUUCAACAAUCCCCUUGAGAUAAAAAAAAAAAAAAAAAGAAGGAAUAAAUAGAUGAUUUACUUGAUAUUGUAUCUUAGAAAUAUAAAAUAUAUAUAUUUAUUAUUAAAAAUAUUUAAAAAUAAUAAAGAGUACAUAAAAAAAUAUCUUAUCCUCAACAACAAGAUCAGACGACGUCAAUUCAGCAAAAUGACUUGAACAAUUUGAAAGUCCAGCAACGGUCACCUCUUGGCACACAUAUGGCAACGUGUGUAGCUUUGGCAAGAGGUCUCCCAAAAGGACUAUUAAGGAAAGAUUGCAAGACAGAACAUGAAAAUAGUAGUACUGAGUCCAUCACAGUCAACUCUUAGAAAUCACAUCCCUGUAUUAAUUUCCAGAAAUAUGUUUGUUCCAUAUUUGCCGUACACGUAUAUAUUCUAUAUCAAUUAAAACUUAACUUAUGUAUGAGUUUUUUUUUUUUUUUUUAAAAGAAAGUAAACCUUUCAUAAAUCACAACACAUCAAAUACAACUUGAAUCUCAGCUUGGAUAGUUCCUUAGAUAGAAGAAGAGUUUCUCCCCAAAGCUAACUUAGAUAGGGCAUGGGCAUAAGCAUUACAUUGUCUUGGAGUAUGAUGGACUGCCACUUUCUGAAAAUCCUUCAACUGAUUUUGGAUCUCCAGAAUUAUCCAAAAAAUUUCUGUUCUAUUGUCCUUAGUGUUGUUUACUAACUGGACCACCUGUAAGCAAUCUGACUCAAUGAUCAAGGAGGCUAAAUUUGCUUCUCUCGCCACCUGAAUUCCCCAUAACAUAGCCUUGGCCUCUGCAACAUUGACCGUUCCCUUUAGAGAAGACUAAUUGAUGCCAGCUGCAAUUACCUUGCCGUUUGUUCCUCUGAUGACUGCUCCCACUCCUGUAGACUGAUCCUUGGCAUUAAUGGCAGCGUCCACAUUGACUUUGAAGACAUUUUUAGGGGGAGGAAUCCACUUCUGCAGCUUCUCUCCACUGGGGUAGGCAAUAUGAGAGGGGUCUGUCCUCCUGACUCUUUGAAAUGCAUCCAAAACAGACUCUGCCUUUGCAGCUGAGAUAUUGGGGGCUAUCUUCUUGCCUUCGAAAAUAAAUUUAUUUCUAGAAAACCAUACAACCCAGCACAAAGCUACCAUUAACUCCAAAUCAACUUUCCUCAACUCAUUGGCCAUUCCUUGCAAAAUGCUAAAAAUGUACUGAGAGUGGUCUUUAAAGCUUGGAACCAUAAAGGGAGAUUGCAGCCAAAUCGAUUUUGCUGCCUUACACUCCAAUAAGGCGUGGCUUAUGGAUUCUAUGCUCUUUCUACACCUUUGACAAUUUGGCUCUUGGAGGACUUUCUUUUUCCACAGAUUUUCUACUGAUGGGAGCAGAUUGUUGGAUGCCCUCCACAUAAAUAUUUUUAUUUUUUCAGGUAGCUUCAGGGACCAAAGGGCAGUCCAAUACUGAGGCUUGCUCUCUGAGUUACUAGGAGCAUCUGGAAAUUUCAUUCUUAAGGCCAGCUGGUACCCACUCUUGACCGAGUAUUCUCCCUUUUUAUCAUAAUGCCGUAAAACUUCAUCACCCAAAUGCUCUUUUGGGAGAGGGAUCUUAAGAAUCAUUGCUGCAUCUACUUCCAAAAAGUGUUGGUUCAGCUUGUCUUCAUCCCAAUGGUUAUCUUCCUUGAUUAGGUCUGCCACCACUGUGUCUGCUGGCAAAGUAGGGGGGAGAUUGGCUUGAACGUAUCCGGCCUUGGCAACCAAUUAUCCUUGUAAACAGAUAUGUUCUUGCCAUUGCCCACCCGCCACCUAAAGCCUUUCUUGAUUACCUCUCUACCCCAAAGAAUGCUUUUCCAGAUGAAUGAAGCAUUGGACCCUACUGAUGCACUUAGAAAGCUGAAGUUCUUGUAAUAUCUUGCUUGAAGGACUCUUGAGAUCAGAGAAUUUGGGUACUGCAGAAGCCUGCAAGCUUGCUUUGCCCCUAAGGCUUGGUUAAAGCUAGUAUGAACAUGUAUGUGUGGGAUUCACGCACUGUUUAUGUGAGAGAGAUAUAUUUUACGUACAUGUAAUAUAUGAAGAUCCAUGAAUCUAAUGUUAUUAGUUUAAAUAAUGGGUGCAACUCAUGUUUUUGAAACAUUAAGAUCUUUAGCCAUUCUCUUACUAUCCCGUGGUUAUUUAAGUUACAAGAGACAGUAAAAAAACAACAUCAUAUUUUAAUUACUUACACUAAAUAAAUUACUCACACUGAUGCCGUGACUGCCGCUUGCUUUUUUUUUUUUUUUUGGCCCUUUUGAUUUUGACUUUUGCUUUUGGUUUAUAAUAAUAAUAAUAAUAAUAAUAAUAAUAACUACUUUUUAAUUUAAUAUAAUGUUAAAUAAUAUUUUUAUUAUUAAUUUUACAUUAUAAUUAUUAAUAUAUAAUUUAUUAUUCAAUAUUAUUAUAUUAUGUUUUUUAUUUUUACAUUAUAAUUUAUUAUAACUAAUAAUAAAUAUUUAAAUAUGAAUAAAUUUGAAUAAUAUUAAUUUAAAAUUAAUAAUAAUAUAAAAUAUUAAUACAAUUUAAAUAUAAUAUAAUAUUUAAUUUAAAUUAAUCACAAAAAAUUAAUACAGUACAGUGUAGCACCAAAUAUUGUACAUUAUUAUUAUAAUACAGUACUAAUACAACGCAACAUAAUACAAUACACAAACAUUAAAAUAAUACAAUCUAGUAUAAUACAAUACAGUGUGCGAAAUGCACCGACAUGGUAUUACUUUGUCUUGUUAUUUACAAUUAUUUAAUCUGUAGACCCACUCAUGCUCCUUCUAUGUGACAUAGAUACAAUUUGAGGAAGAUUAUCAAUUUUUUCUGAUUAAAAAUAAUAUAUACCACUUAUUUUUUAUUGUUUUUAUAAUGUUCAACAAUCCGCUUGAGAUCAAAAAAUUAAAUGAAAAGAAGGAGUAAAUAGAUAAUUUACUUGAUGUUGUAUCUUAGAAAUAUAAAAUAUAUAUAUUUAUUAUUAAAAAUAUUUAAAAAUAAUAAAGAGUACAUAAAAAGUAUCUUAUCCUCAACAACAAGAUCAGACGACGUCAAUUCAGCAAAAUGACUUGAAUAACUUGAAAGUCCAGCAACGGUCACCUCUUGGCGCACACAUGGCAACGUGCGUAGCUUUGGCAAGAGGUCUCCCAAAAGGACGAUUAAGAAAAGAUUGCAGGACAAAUCAUGAAAAUAGUAGUACAGAUAUGCAAUGGCUAAAUUUCCUCGAUUAAGUCCAUCACAAUCAAGUCUUAGAAAUCACACCCCUGUAUUAAUUUCCAGAAAUAUGUUUGUUCCAUAUUUAUCGUGCACGUAUAUAUUGUAUGUAUUGGGAAUAGAAAGAGUGUAUGUAAAAAAUUCUUCAUUCAUCGAUUAAAACUUAAUUUAUGUACGAGGGUUAAGUGUAGUGUUUUUAAAUUUAAAAAGGACAAGUGUCAAUCCACUGAGGCUUGCCUCAAUGGUUAGGGCCACACUCCCUCACAAAGUGGUUUGAUCUCCCGUAGAUGCAUUAUAGAGGUUUAAUUUAAAUUUUUUUUCUCAAACUUUGAGUGAAGACAAUCUUUCUCUCAAAAAUAAAAUUUUUUUAGGAGUUUGACGUCCAUCGAAUAUUUGAGAUGAUUAAAAUUUGAGCGGUGCUAUAUAAAAUAUAAUGUAAACUAAUCUAAAUAAUUAUAUAAUUAUAAAUAUAAUGAACAAUAGUCUCAUACAAAAAAAUGACAAGUGUAGUAAGCCCAUUUAAAUUAACUUAUAUUUGAGGGGAAAAUCUCUGUAUAUCAUAGUAUAUAUUAUAUAUCCAGUCGUGGGACCCAUGCAUGGUUCCAUGUAAUUCGCACAGUUGAACUGGAGACACUGAUUAGUUCGUUGUCUAUUUACCAACUUAUGUACAACUAAGUAAUUGCAUGCACCAUUUGCGACUUAUUUGUCCACCCUGCUUGCAUUGCAUUAACUACGUACCCUGUCACCCACGUCCGCUACUUUUGUGAAUGUGUAUAUAAAUAUAUAUAUAUAUAUAACCAGAAUCAGAAGCAACUUAAGUUUUGAUUACGGUUCACCAGAAGUCACAGCUAGCAAGUGAUCCUUGCAUCAUUUUACUAAACAUACAAUGAAAUUAACCUUGUAAUUUCGGCCUUUGCCAUAGUCGUUUUGUUCAUUAGGUUUAUGUUUAUCAACAUGAUAUAUUGUCAACCAUAAUCACAAUCAAGUUGUUAAUUAUUUUUUAAAUAAUGCGAAGGUACAAGAUUUUGGUCUUUGAGUGUGGAGUUAAAAAUAUCUCACCUCAAUAAACGGUGUUGUGCUCUCAUCAUCGUAACAUUAUUUGUUAAAAAUUAUGUCAAAUAGGAAAGCAGAUUCAAACAUUACUUCAAUUUUCUUUAAGAGCAUAAAAAAAUCGUUAAUAGGCUACUGUUAUUUGUUAGUACGAUUUCACAAAAGGAAGCUAGAGGAAGAUGAAGCUCUCAAGUCAUGUAUGCAUCAAAGUAAGAAACAGAGCUAACGAGAGAUGGACAAGUAUUAACCAUUGUUAUCAGAAAUUAAAUAUAUCAGCAUUUUGUUAGUUCUGGCCAUAUUUUGAAAGAUUGAAACUAUUAGCACCCUAAUUUUCUUUUGAAGCUCCUUUUCUGUCUAAACCUAUUUUAAUUUCCAAAAUAUCUUUUUCCAUUUUUUUAGUUUCUUUCUGAUUCAAAAAAAAAAUCAGUUUCUUAAACAACUCCAACUACAAAUAUUUUUUUACAAAUUUUUGAAUUAUUAAAUCAUAUGUGUGUGUAUAAAUUGAAUAGAAUUAAAAGUGGACUCAAAUGGCUAUUAUGUAAUUUUUUUUAUAAUUAAAGAAAAGUUUAGAAUGCAAAAGUGUGUGUGAGAAAACAAAAAAUAUAAAUCGCCUUUGAUGUAGUUGUAUGGUUGUAAAGAGUUAGAUGGAGAAAUAUAGUAUAUAAUUAAAUUUACUUUGUUCCUUAAAACGGGUAGGUUUUAUAAGAAUUUUCUAGAGGAGUGCCAAUAUUUCAACUUUUUUUCAAAUGAAGUGAUGUCUUGGAAUAAAAUCACUACUCUAUCAUUGCUAUUAGUUUGUCUUGUAUUUCAAUAAUUGCCGACAAGUAUUAAUUGUGAAUAUUAUUAUUUUAAAAAUAUUAUUAUUAUUAUCGUCGUUAUUCUUAACAGCAAUGACUAGAAUUAUAAUAAGAACAAUAACGUUAAUACAAUAAUAUAACAACAUAAUAAUAUUUUAAUUGAGAGGAUAAGAAUAAAAUUAUGAAAUUUAGGUUGGGUAAAAAUAGUAAGUAUGAGGAAAUUAAAUUACCAUUUUUUAAGCUAAACAAUUUAUAAAUUCCACAUAUUUCAUUCUUAUUUCUCUUAUAUUUUAACAAAUAAACAUUAUCAAUCGUUUUAAUAUUUUAAUUAAUAAACACGGCAUUAACUACGGAACUAAAAGAUCCCAAAAAAAAAAAAAAAAACAGAGACGCGUGUAUGUAUUGCUUGUGAAAAAUCUCACCCAUGGAAAACUUUGUGAAAGGCAUUUGAAUGUGUGGCCACAUUUAAUGAACGAAACGAUAACUUUAAAAGAAAGUAUCUACUGUGUUAAUUACUAGGCUUUAGCUUGAUGAUUGCAAUUAGUUUGUCUUUUAAUUAAAUUAUUGCGGACAAACACUACCGCGACCCACGUCCGCUACUUGUGUGAAUGUGUGUAUAAAUAUCCGCAGCAUAUUAUCAAACUUGAAGCGUGAUGAUCUUUAAGUUUUGGUUACGGUUCAUCAGACGUUAGAAGAUAUCUUUCCUAAUUUGAAGAAGAUGGAAACUCCUUAUCCAGGUUCUUAGGUUGAAUGUCAUUUAUAAUUUUUAUUUUAAUAUUAUGUAUUUAUGAAUACAAUUAUUGUUAUGAUUUGUUUAGGUAAAAAUAAAUGGUCUGAGGGUAACCCAAUAACUAUGUACAAUAUUAUUAAUGAUGAAAGUGUGAAUGACAAUUUAGAUUUUAUUCUCGUCCCUCAAUACGGAAAAAAUUUCGACUAUAAUGGUUAAGUGCUAUGUAACUCUUUUGUAUUAUAUUUAAUUAAAUAAAAUGAUGGGUUAUUAUUACUUAUCAAUUAUGUGAGUGUCUCUACUUGAUUUAGUUCAACUUAUAAAAUCUCUUGAGAUAUAUAAAAGAUUUUCUUUGUUCACUUUCAUGUACGGCGUCUUCUUGUAAAAAGAAAUUAAUAAAAAAAAUAUCAUUCUCUGCAAUGUAUUGACUAAGUUAGUGUAUUCAUGUUAGCUUAAUUGUGCUCUCUCUCCUUGGGUUUUUUUUUUUAAAAAAAAAAAAACUCGACGUAUUGUUGGUUAGCUAAUUCUUGCAGCAAGCAAGUGAUCGAUCCUUUUCUUUCCCCUACUGCUGUAGCAUCAAAUCCUUACAAUUACAUAUCAAGUGGUAUUCGACCCGUCAAAUGAUCCAUGGAAACACGCAACAAAUCAAAUGCUGAAUUUUGCGAAGAGAUUCACGAAAUCCUUGCUAGACAUGAGUCUAGUUUUGACCAAGUUCACGUCACCCAUCAGCUGCGGGUUUGAAUGGUACCUAGUGGAUAUUUUGUGAGUUCCCACUAAUAAAAUCACAAUUGCAACAAAACUUAAAAAUUUAAAUUAUGUAAUUCAAAUUAUAAAUUUAUAAUCAUAGCCUAAAAAACCACAUAAAAUACUUAAUUCUAUAUUUUAUCAUUGUAAAUGAGAAAGGAAAGUUUUAAUAUUAAAAUAAAUACACAAAAUGUAUCAAUUUAACACAAAUUCUCAAAGUUAAUUACCAAAUAUAUAAGUUUAUCGCAACUCAAAGUGCUUUCAAUUGAAAACGAAAAAAGAGAAAGAGAAAAAAAAUAAAGAACUACAAAUCAAAGUAGCAGCCAUGACCCAUUUUGCAGUCUCAUUCAAUACCACUAGCACCCAUCCAACACAAUUUUUCUAAACAAAGUAUAAAGUACAAAAUUACAAUAAGCAUAUCAUACUCCAUGCUUUAAGUUAAAGAUCCUUAUAUAUUUUUAUGAAUAAUUUUUUAAUGAAAUUUUAUGAUUAAAAUUAAAAAUACAAACAUUCAAAUAAGAAUGUCGGACACUUGCACAACUAUUUACCAAAUUUUUGCCCUAUAAAAAUCGACCUGCAACUUUCAAUAGGUUUAAAUUUAUAAUAUCAAACUUGAUUGCAACUCACAAAAAUUAUCCGUUGCGGCCAAGACUUUGGAUUUGCGAUGAUUUUGCCACCCUAAGUGUAGUUAGUAUUGUAUAUCAUGUGGCUCUUAUAAAAAGCCUAGAAGUUGUUUGAAUAACGGGGCAGACACAUAUCUCCCAAAUAUUUUCUCUUUUUUAAAUUAUUAUUUUUUCUCUAUUAUUGUAACUUCGAAUCCUUAUAAAUUAUAGAUUGGAGACAUGAACACAAUGUUUUGACAUAGUGGACUUUUGGCUUGUCCAGAGAAAUUUAGGAUAGAUUUUUACGCACUAAGGCUCUAUUUACUAUUGAGGUUUUAGAACUUUUAAGCCACACUAGAAAUUUGUAUUGUUUUGAUAGAGUUGUAGUCUUUGAUAUGUGAUUGGUAUUAAUCAAGUGUUAUGUUUACAAUAGUUAAAACGCAUAUUGAAUCAAAAUCCACUUCUAAGGGCUUGAUUGAGUGAUUGUAAAGUAGGUUUUUAAUUUGCUAGCCACUCAAGUUCAAAUAUUGGAACCAUAGAGCUUUAUAGCCAAGUGAGAGAACUGGUGCCUUAAAAAUUGAGGGGUGCAUAUCGAGUUUUACCACCAAUAAAAGUUGGUGUUAAAACUUUAAUUUCACUCCUAUUGUGGAUAGGGGUAAUUAGGAGUUUACAUCCCCUCCUAUUUAUGGACAAGGGUUCUUAGGAAUAUUAAAAAAAAGUUCAAAUAUUGAAAAUGUAGGUAUAGGUUAUAAAAUUCAUAAUAUAAAGACACAAAAUCAAGAUAAAGAUUUAAAAAUUUAGAACCAUGAGAGCGUGAUUUGUAAGUUUCAAAGAAGUAUGUGCAAAUAUAUGCAUUAUCGAUUCCCAAUUAAGGGUGGGCAUUAAGAUCGGGUUAACCCGAACCGAACCGAACCAAACUUUAAAUUUAUUUUGGAUUCAAUUUGGUUAUGAUUGAAGCUUUCAACUGAGUUCAAAACUUAAAAAUGAUUGGGUUGUAUUUCUAUUCGAAUUUAACCCCAAAAGACUAAUCAAUCCAAUCGAGUUAAGUAAGCAAAUUAAGAAAAAAAAAUCCCAAAAAAUUAAAACUAACCCUAACUAAAAUAUUCGACCGCGGCAUCCUCGUUUUCUUUUCCUCUUCCUCCUCUCGCUCACCCCUAAUGCCCUUCAUGGAAAUCCAACAGCUCCAAACGCGUUUCAGCCGGUCGCACGUGUGAGAAAUUUUCCUUCUCACAGGAUUAUUUGUUUCCUUCGCUUGCAUGCCAGCAGAAUAUUCAGGCCGAGGAUUUUUCCGGGCCUAGCCCAACUAUAAGCUCUCCCAAAACCCAAUCACAAGUUCAUAACGUUUAGCGUUUGCUAUUGCUAUAUUUUUUUUUAACCAAUUUUCACAUUCAUCAACAUAGGCUGACAUAUUUUGUAGAAAAUAAAAUUAAAUAAAAAUACAAGCUCACGAAAUUCACGUGCUUUCUUUUUCGGUGGUGGUGGGGGGAUUCACUUGCUUUUGUUUGCAUUGCCUGAUUGGAUAAAAGUUUGUAGAACAUCGUCUGUUUGGUUAAAGCCGAGCAUGAGUGAAUAAAAAUUAAAAAUAAAUAAUUUCCCAUUAAUUUGCAACAAGUAUUAAUAAAGUGCAUGAGAAAAGACACCAGGAUAUGCUUUUUUUUUUUUUUUAAAAAAAAUUAAAAUAAAUGUGUUAGUUAGUCAAUUUAAAUUGUAUGACAUUUUGAAAUGACAGAAGCGAUCUAAAGUUUAAAUUUCACUCACACUUAAUUUAGGGUUGGGGAUUAAUUGACGUAAUAUAUAAUAACGAAUUCAAAAGAUAAUUUAAAAAUUAAAAGAAAAUAAAAAAGUGCUUUCUUUUUUAUGAUGGUAAUUUGUUUAGAUGAUGAAAACUCUUAGAGCAUCUCCAAAAGACUCUUUAAAUAAAAUUCUACUUCUUACUUAAAGAGUCAUAUAUUUUAUUUAAAGAGUCAUAUCAAUAUUAAACACUCCAAAAGACACAUUAAUUUAGAUUAUUCAAAUAAGAUUUAUUUCUCUCUCUUCAAUAUUGACGAGUGAAUUUCUCUCUCUUCUAUUAAUAUUUUAUUAUUAUUUAUUGAAAAGAUAAGACUGCAAUAAUUAUUAUUUAUGUUUCCUUUCAAAAACAUAACAACAAUUCAAUUUAAUAGUAUAAAGAUUUGAUUAAAAUAAUAUUAAUUUAUUCUUAUUUGAUGAGUCUUUUAGAAUAAAUUGUAUUUUUCAAUCUACUUAUUUGCCACAUCAGUAAGCAAAUUGAUAUUUAAAGAGUAAAAUCUAAAAAGUCUUUUGGAGAUGCUCUUAGAGUGGUAUUAUCAAUACAUAGUUUUGAGCAUUGCCAACGUGAAUAAUAUUCAAUUUCCUUUAUAUAGUUAUAUCUCAACCAACAUUUAAACAGAAGUAAGUUGUAAAAAAAAUGAACCAUUGAGAUUUGAGAGAACGAAAAACUAAAAAAAAAAGUUAAAAAAUUAGAUCUCAAUAAAUUUACUUGAGAACUACUUUACUGAUUAGUGAAGAGAAAACACAAAGAAUAAUGAUGUAUCUCAAUUAAUAAGACAAUUUUUGUAUUUUUCGUUUAUUCAAGAAUCACGAAACUUCAUUUAAAUUUGUUAUUUCAUUGAUAAUAUAUUAAUAUUGAACAAUUAAUGUAGGAGACAUUCCUUUUCAAUUAUGCCCAUAUAUUAAUUAAAGACCACCAAAAAGUUCAGGGAUACUAUAGUAAUUUAAGUCAAUAAUUUCUGUGCUUGAAAUCAGCCAAUCAAACUCACUUUAGAAUAAACUGAGAAAUCAAAAUCACAUUCUCCGAUUCUAAGAUUUCAAUUCAUCUUAUUUCUUCAACUGAAAAAUUGGUUGUAUUUCGUUUUAUUUUAUUUUUAUUUUUAUAUAAAGAUAAAUAUAAAAUAUAAAUGAAGAGGAAACUGUUAAAGUAAAAUCAAAAGAAGGGCACGAGUUUUAUUGAAAAUUACUCUUUUCAUCAUUUUACCAGAGUGAAUGUAUCUAUAUAUAAACUAAAGAAGCACAUUUGUUUCCGACUCUACGCUUUAAAUUCGGGGUUUUUAAUUAAAUACCCUUUAAUAGUUUCAAAAUUAUUUAAAUACCCCCUCCCUUUUUGGUUUUCAUGGAUACCCUAACAAAUGUGAGCAAAGUCAGAAAUACCCUUAAUGAAUGCAUCAAACUCACUCAAUGAAUUGUCUUCAUAUUUCUUUCCUCAUUUCUUUCACCCAAAUCUAUUUUUGCUGCCGAUUCUUUCAAAAUCUCUUAGAAUCUCUCAAAAUCUCUCAUAACUUCUUACACAAAUACAAUUAUGUAUUCAUUUCUUUAACACCCACUCUUUCUUUAAAGGUGCAUUGCUUAUUAAACAACCCAAUAAGGUAUGUUAAUGUUGUUGGGUUUUAAAUUUUUUAAUUUUUAGGAAAAUUUAGAAAUUUUCCUCACAUUACAAUGUUUUAUUUUCACCAUUUUUUCUUAUACGUAGAAAUAUAUGCAAUGUAGGUUGUUUAAUUAUUUUUUUCAGCAAUAUAACUUAUUUAUGGCGAAAAUGUUUCGAGUCGUGCAUUCUUUUGAUACCGUGUACGUCAUAUAAUUAGUCAUGUAGGUCAUGUAAGUAAUAUAGUCGUGUAAGUCGUGUAGGUCAUGUAAGAAAUAUAGUCGUGUAGGUCGUGUAAGAAAUAUAGUCGUGUAAGUCGUGUAAGUAAUAUAGUUGUGUAGGUCAUGUAAGUCGUGUAGUUAAUUGUAUAUGAAAUUUAAUAUUAUUGUUUUUAUUGUAUCAUCAGAUAUGGUUUUGGUACGUGUGCCUAUUCUCUUCAAUGGUGAAUGGAUUGAGCAAAAUGACGAGUAUAAGUUCAAAGGUUCAAAGGUUCAAAGGCUAAAAGGAUAAUGAUACCACGAUAGACAACAUAUGCCGAAUUGGUGGAGAAGAUAACUGAAGUUAUUGAUAUAGAUACUUCGGAAUUCGAAAUCACAAUGAAGUUCAAACUUAAGACAUCUGAUCCUAUGCCACCCGUUACAAUUCAAACCAAUGAUAAUGUGGAAUUUUUUUAGAUUCCAAUUUAAUUUCACUUCUUUUUUUUAAUAAUUUUCGUUGACAUUUUCUGCAUAGCAGCAAAUAUAAAUUCUUAGCACAAAUUAAGUCUUUAAAGAACUAAAUUAAUCUAAUGAGUAAUAGAAAAAUUCGUGCAAUUUUAAAGUUGCAAUUAAACAUAUUACAGCCAUUUAAAAAGUUUUUUUUUUUUUUUAUCUUCAAAGUGCUUUCUUCCUCUGGCCAAGCAUACAAGCAUACAUGAGGAAUGUCUGCAUAUAAUUAAUCCAUGAAAUCAAUUAAGAAAAAAAAAUAUCAACCAUAGGAAAUUAAUGUAAUGUUAUACACAUAAGAACACCAUUCGCAGUGAUAAAAUAUUUCCACUCAUAACUAGACAUAUCAUGACUUACCAUGGCUUAUAAUUGGAAAUUAAGAAUCUCUCUAACUAAUGACAUUUCACAAGGUAAAGGUAUAUGCACCAUUCCAAUUUAUUGUGAGCCUAAUUAAACUAAAUGUAAUGUGUAGAUUCUAUUGACAAGAAACAAAAUGUGGAAUUGAAGGUCGUGUAAUUGUGUAAUACAAGAAGAUCGUGUAAUUGUAUAAUACAUGAAGGUCGUAUAAACAUGCAAUACAUUAAGGUCGUGUAAACGUGCAAUACAUGAAGGUCGUAUAAUCCUGCAAUACAUGAAGGUCGUGUAAUCGUGCAAUACAUGAAGGUCGUGUAAUCGUGCAAUACAUGAAGGUCGUGUAAUCGUGCAAUACAUGAAGGUCGUGUAAUACACAACCUUGAAUCUUACAUAACCUUACACGACCAAAUCUUAUGUUACAUAACAAAAUUAUAAUCAGCACAAUCCAUUAAUUUUUCACAAUUUGCAUGCAGCAAAACAACUAGAAAUUUGUUUUCGAACAUGUUAUGAGAGACCCACAACUAAUUAAUCUAUUUUUUCAAUAUAAAACCCUAACUUUUUGUUUUUUUCCCUUGAAUAUUAACAAGAAAACUAAUUACACGGAAUUACUUGUCUCAACUAGUUAUAUUCUGACAAUUUUACAGUAAAUGAUCAACUCUCUCCGGCGAUUAUGUAGUGACGAACUAUGCUUCACUUUCUCAGUUGUGGCAGCUUCCCCUUCUCAGGCUUAGUUUGCUCGUGUUAAAGUUCGAUUUACCAUGUAUGGAGAAUGAAUGUUUGUUUCGGUAGAGGUGAUGCCGGUGAGGGAAUUACAGAGGUGAUGUCGGUGAGGGAAUUGCAGUGUUUGUUUGUUUGAGUUUGAUAAUGGAGGGAAUUGCGGUAGAUGAGUGUUUGUUUGCUUCAGUAGAGAAGGGAGAUGUAUUGUCCGUUGAGUUGAAAUGUUUUAAAAUGAGGAUAGCUUAGUAAUUUCCUAUCAGUUUUUAAAGGGUAUCGAUGAAAAUUUUGGUAAAAACAGAUUUUAGGAUAUCGAGAUAAUUUUUAAAGUAUGAAGGUGUACCGGGCGCAAUUGGCUCUUUAAAUUCAGCUUCAUUUCUUCAACUGAAGAAUCGGUCGUCUCUCAUUUUUUAUUUAUUAUAUAAAGAUAAAUAUCUAAAUUUAAAUGGCGAGAAGAGCGGACAAGGAAUACGAUUACUUGUUCAAAGUGGUAUUAAUCGGCGAUUCGGGAGUCGGCUAAUCGAACUUACUCUCCCGAUUUACUCGUAACGAGUUCUGUUUGGAGUCCAAAUCCACCAUUGGCGUCGAAUUCGCCACCCGCACUCUUCAAGUAACUAACUUUUCCUCUUUCACUUCUCUUCAUUUUUAUUAGUUAAUUAAGAUCCAGUUAAUGUAAUUAAUUUUAUUUAAUCUUUCAAAUAAAGUUCUAGAUUAGGCUAACUUAGAUUCAUGUGAAGUUGAAGUGAUUUACUUUCGAUCUCUUUUUCGUCCUAUGUUUAUUUGUACUUACUAUUACUUUUUUUUGGGUUUAAAUUUUCGUUUUUGAAUUGUUUAUUCAAUAAAUUUCUGAGCUUUAUUUGUGUAUGCUGAUUGAUUUGUGAUUUUAAUUUUGUGACUUUUUUUUUGGAAUUUAAAUUUGAAUGCUUUUUAAGUUGAAUCUGAAUGUGUUGGGCUGCGAUUUAAUUAAGUCAUCUGUGAGCGCCAAAUUGUGAUAGCUAUAUAUUGGGGUGAAAAUUUGGGAUUUAAAGUUAUGUAUUUAAGAUGCAGUUAAUUCGCAAGUGAAAAUUAUGGGCCGGCAGAUUUUGUCAUUGGAAGACUGUUCUCCACAUGUUGAAGUUAGUGAUGCAAGUUGAAACCAAUCUGUUUAAGCUUGGGGUUUCAUGUCUUGAAUCAAGGCUGUGACUUGGGGUGGGUUGAAAGUAUUAUAGCUUUAGCUAUUCCUGAAGUGAUCUGUUUAGACUCACCGUGAUGAGACCGAGUGCUGUACAGUAAAAUGAAAGGAAGUUGGAAAAUAUUUACUUAGCAUUUCGCGUUACUAAUGUUGAACUAAUAAAACCUAGCCCCUAUCCUAGUGAAUUUAUGUUAAAAAGCUAUGCACGCAUUAAGUUAGUGCGAGAGUCUGCUGAAGCAUAUGCCAGCUGUGUGUUUGGAGCUGAGUAUUCUUCAUUCCACAUUUUGGGUUUUGGUUGACCUCCAGCAUGACUCAACCCACUUGAGUUAAAAGCCCUAGAGUUACAUUCUACCCAUGAUAUUUGAGUUUAUCAAGUCACCUUAUUUUAAUACUUCUCUGGAAAACAAAUAUAUAUGUUAAAUCAGGUAGGAAAAAUAAAAAGUUAAUUAUUGAGUUGUAAUGGUGCAACUAAGGUUUUGAAACAUUAAGAUCUUUAGCCAUUAUGUUACUAUCCCGUAGUUAUUUAAGUUACAAGAGAUAGUAAAAAAUAACAUCAUAUUUUAAUUACUUACACUAAUCCUACAAGUGCUGAUGGUCUAAAGUUGCUGCUGCUUGCACUGAAUCAGUGGUCAUGGGCCAGCCAAGGUUAGGUGAGGCCAACUCAUUAGCUUGUGAAACUUAAAGAAGUCUUAGGUUUGGAAAAGAUGGGGCACAGGUUACAAAAUUUUUUUUGAGUUUUGGAUUGAAGGAACAAAAUUGUUGAUGUCUAGUUCACAAUAUUUGAAGUCACUCUGUGCUUCAUCAUGUAAAAUGGAUUGAAUUGCUGUAUGAUCAGGUCAAAUUAAAAUGUUUAAACUCAUUUUUAAGAAACGAAUUCUCAAUUGGACCAGCCUUUCACAGAAGCUGAUAUCACAGAAGCUUUGAGUCAGAUGCAUCCAACCAAAGCCCCUGGCCCAGAUGGUCUCCCAGCAGUAUUUUUCCAAAAGCUUUAGAAUUCAGUAAGCGAAGGAGUUAUAGCCACUUGUCUGCAUAUCCUCAAUGAUGGAGGUAAUAUUGCUCCUUUGAAUCAUACAUACAUUGCUUUAAUCCCCAAGAUAGCAAAACCUAGGACUCUGAUGGAGUAUAGACCAAUCAGCAUAUGUAAUGUAAUUUAUAGGAUCAUUGCAAAGACUAUAGCGAAUAGGCUGAGGCUAAUCUUAGAUCAUGUUAUUUCGCCAACUCAGAGUGCUUUUAUGCCAAAUAGGCUCAUAACUGAUAAUAUAAUUAUUGGGCAUGAGUGUCUUCAUAAGUGGACAAAGCUAAGUUCCAGAGGUGAGAUAGGAAAUUCUCCCGCACGACACAGCAGAAACAAACUUUCCCUUUCAUUUUCUUUUCUCUUUCUCGCUCUCCAAACAGAGCAAAAGGACUGUCGCAAGAUUCUUCACUUCCAUCCAAAAUCAUGAGCAACGAAUGGUGAGCCUCCCUGUUUCCUUCCUUUUUUUGAUAUUAACCUUGUUAACAUAUACUCAUUUUAAUUUGACAAUACUUCAACUUUUUUUAAUUUUUUGCCUUUUCAUUUUUUUUGUUGAAGCAAUUAUCUGUUCAAGCUGUUGCUUAUCGGAGACUCGUCCGUCGGAAAGUCCUGCCUGCUGCUCCGAUUUGCUGUCUGUUGACUUUUCCUUUCCCUUCUUAUUUUCUUUUUUUAUAUUAAUUACUUUCUAUUUUAGCUUUUUGUUCUCUGAAUUUGUGUUAUUAAAAUGAUAAUUUAGAUAAUAAAUAAUUGUUAUUCUUGUAAAUUUCUGUUUUCAUUACGUUAAUUGUUAGCUUUUAGGUUUAUUAAUGUAAUUUUUUUUUUUUCAAUUUUUCAGGAUGAUUCUUAUGUCACAGCUACAUCAGUACCAUUGGAGUUGAUUUUGUGAGUCUCUCUUCUAUAUAUAUGUAUAUAUGUGUAUAAGUUAUAAUAUGAGUCUAUGUACGUGUAUGUAUGUAUGUGUAUGCAUAUGUGGAAAGAAAUGUUGGCAGACUUCAGCAUUUUACUCUUUUUUUUUUUUGGCAGAAAAUAAGAACUGUGGAGCUGGAUGGGAAGACGAUCAAACUGCAGAUUGUGAGUCAAAAUUUCCUUUUAUCUUGUAUUGAGAGAAAUUCGAUUUGUCUUAUUUUCUUUGUUUGAAGAGUGAUAUGUUGAAAUGAGUGUAUUUGUCUUAUAAACAUCAUUUAGGUAAUGUCUUCUGUUUGAUUGUUUUUCAUCUGUUUAGUGGGACACUGCUGGACAGGAGCGAUUCAGGACUAUAACUAGCAGUUAUUACCAAGGAGCCCAUGGAAUCAUAGUAAGGAGCCUUCCCGGUUCUUGGUUUAAAUCAGAAAGUUUGUGAUUUACAUGUGACAUCUUAACAGCAUUGUAUGUGUUUAUUAACUUAUUUUUCAUCUUUCAUUAAGCAGUACACUUUCUAUUAAAUCUGUAUACAAGAUGAUGUAGUCCAAGAAUGGGAGCCAUAAUAUGAUGCAAAUUGUCUAAUAAAUUCUUAUGACAUAUGAUGUUGUCGGAAGUAAAAGUCUUGCAAUGCUGUAUUCUCUUUUAAGAAAGAAUAAGUGGUAAUUUUGUUUUUCCAAUUUUUUAAUUGAGCAACUGUAUGAGAUUAAUUAAAUGUGUUGGGAUUUCAACAGAUUGUCUAUGAUGUAACUGGGAUGGAGAGCUUCAAUAAUGUCAAGCAGUGGUUGAAUGAGAUUGACAGAUACGCAAAUGACAGUGUAUGCAAGCUUCUAGUUGGGAACAAAUGCGAUUUAGUUGUGAACAAGGUUGUGGACACACAGACAGCCAUGGUAUAUUCAUGACUUUUGUCGCCUGAACUUUGAAUAUAAUUUUAAACUCUUCUCAAGUGCAUUUGCUUGGUAAGUUUCUGCAUACCCAGGACACUCAAACUUUGGACAGUCUGUAUCUCGAGUUGGAAUCUUUUCUGUCAAUACGACUUGUUAAAAUAAGGGUUGUUAUCGUUUGAAUCAUUCAAGAAUUGCAAUAAAUCUAAAGUCCAUAAAAAAUAUGAUUCCAUCAUUUUACUAUUAUAUCUAGACAAAACCCAUUAUUUUACUACAUUUCAUUGGCACCGAUAGUUGACCUGUUGGCUGACUGAUAAAAUAUCAAUUUUGCACUUUAUAUUAAUUCUUUUUUGGUUAAAAAAUAACACACAAAGUAUUACAAUAUUAUAAAUUCAAAAUAUAAAGUAGUUACAAAUAAUUCCUAUUAGCCUAUGAAUAUAAUAUUUGAUACCUCUAUUUGUGUAAUUUUUUUCCAAUGGUGAAAUUGUUAUUUUUUUUGUACUAACGGAAAUGUAGUAAAAUCAUAAGUUUUGUAAAGAUAUAGUAGUAAAAUGAUAGACUAAAAUACUUCUUGUAGUUGUUUGAUAUAUUGUAAUUCUUAAAGUAGUCAAUUGAUAAUAUCCCCUAAAAUAAAUGUUCGUAAUAUGUUCUCAUUUUAAUGCAACUGAUUGUUUAAUAAAAUUGUAUUUCUUUGUUAAUCUUUUAUCAUGUGCAUGCUCAGUGAGAAUUUGACUUGCUAGAACACAAGUUUGACUCUUCAUUUAAAUGUCUCUUGUAUCAUAUCCUUCAAUGUUGAGUGUGAUUCCAAUAAAAUUGAGUAGGGAGAUCCUUAAAUACCUUUUCCUUUUUUCCAAGGGCCUGCCAAAUUGCUCUAAGUGGUUCUACCCUUUAUCAAUGAAUAAUGAAAAUAAAAUUUUUAUUAAAGCAUUCUGUUCCUUAAAUGGUGACUAAUAGUACCCCCUUUUUUUUUGGAGAGGAAAGCCAAACGCCCAAAGAGGAUCAUUUACUUUCCUCUAAUGUAUUUUCUAAUUCGUUUUGAGCCUUGAAUGUCUGUUUUGGUGCGUAUUCUCAUUCCAUGUCGAAUCUUAUCCAUAUGGACAACCCCACUUACAAAAAGGUCUAAUGAAUCUAUUGAAGUUCAUAUGAGGUUUGUGCUUUAGAUUUAGACCUCUCUCUCUCUCUCUCUCCACUUACAUGUCUUUCACUUACCUGUUUGCAUGCAUGCCCAUGCACACACUUUCAAGAUAAUACACGGUCACUCGUACUUGUGUUUUGGUUGAAUUACUGGCUGCUAACCUCUGUAAUUCAGUUUGAAACUUGCCACCCUUAGUGCUUCACUCAAAUGGUUGGUUAGGGUGAGAUCUGUAUCGUUUUCCUGGUCUCUUUCCAAGGUUAUCUAAAGGGAUUUGGCAGUCUGAUUCUUUAGGGAAUAUCAUUGCAUAAGAUAUCUAUUGUUUGUUAAUGAAUAAUUUCUAUUUAACUAGUUAUCUAUAUAAAUUGGUAAAUUUUAACUGCAUAAUUUGCAUGCAAUAAGAUUUUAUAAGAAUCUUGUUUUCAACUCAUGACUUAGACUAAUGUGAUACGUUGAGCAUUAAGCUACAAGAUCUGCACAUCAAAGUGCUUCACAAUGUUAAGGAGAAAGCAUCGUUUUCUGCUUCUUCAUGUGAUUUAAAGUUUCCAAGGUACUUAUCCAAUAAAAUGUCUUUCAAGACUUUGGAAAUGCUUUUAUGUAUGACUGAGAGAAACUUGUUGGGUUGGUUUUUAGCAACAGACGGAGUUAUGGACUUUGUGUUGACUUGUUAUUGAUUAAGACAGUACAUCGGCUGAUCUAUUGGCAUCAAGCAGCAGAUGCAGAAAUUAUGGGUGGCAUACCAUUGUAUCCAAAUAACAUACUACAUUGAUUUUUCUGACUUUCUGUUGGUCUCCGAGUGAAAUGCAGGCAUUUGCAGAUGAACUGGGGAUUCCUUUCCUGGAGACGAGUGCCAAAGAUGCAAUCAAUGUGGAGCAGGCUUUCUUGACCAUGGCCGGCGAGAUUAAGAAAAAGUAAAAUCACUUAACUCUUUCCUUCUUGCCGACUGUUCUUAUUCAACAAUCACCAUUAUUGCUGGUUAUGUGCAUUGUGAUGAAAAUUCUGCAAUGAAUAACUUUUUACCUAAUGUUUUCUGUUGGAACAAAUUACUCUGGUAGAAAAGCCCUACAGGGUUUGAGAAAUCCCAUGAUGUGAUGAUUGUGAGCAUUUUAGACACCGUGUAUGGGUUUAUUUUGUGACUAUAAAAUGUUAAGAUAUUUCUAGUUUUGGUUUGUAGUGCAUAAAAGGAUUCAAAAUUUGACAUCUGUCUAAAUCAGAUUACUAACAUGACAAUGUACAUAUGCAAGAUGUGAGGAAUUGUUUUAUCUCACCCCUAAACUUUAAGAAAUUGAAACAUUAUUAUUCAAAAUAUUUAACAUUUCCAGAAUUGAUAGUUGUCUAUUUGAGCAGUGACUGGUGGUUAUCAUGAACUGAUGUGUGGUUGUGGUUUCAAAUCUUGGUGAAACCUGUUGUCAUAUGCUGAUUAACAUAGCUAGUCUCUGAAACAAUUUGUUGAUUCACUAAUUAUGAGUUCAAAUUUGAUGCAGAAUGGGCAACCAGCCUACUGCAAACAAAUCUUCUGGAACAGUUCAGAUGAAGGGAUAGCCAAUCCAGCAAAACAGCAACCGCUGUGGUUAGCCGAGCAUCUUAUUUUACUUCUACAUGUUAGCUGACUGAUUGUAGACAGUUUUAACUAUGUUGACUGCAUUAUCUUAUGAAUCUUUUAAUCUGUCAAAUAUUUAUUUCCUGCUUUAAGUUCUUUCCCGUUUAUAACAAAUUUAAUUUCUUGCUCUAUAGCAUUCCAAAUUCCUGUUAAUUUACGAGGGAAAAAGAAAAGAGACGAAAUGGGAGAAAAUGGUCAAAUUUGUUAGGGGGGGAGAGCUGUUGAAGUAGUUUUUGUUCUCGUUUAUCAUCGUGACCCUCUUGUUGCUUAUCUACGACCUGGAAGUCCGGUCAUAUCGGAUGGGUAAAGUUACCGAAACGGCAUCAUUUUGGGUGAAAUAUCAUGUUUAUGUAACACUUUUGAUAAUAUUUUUAUGCAACAAAAAAAUGUUUGCAGUACCCUUCUCACAUUGUGAAGCGCAUGAUCGGAUGAGAGCAGUCUGGAUUCUGGCAUCACAAGCUAAUGCUUUGAUUUGCUUAGUUUGUUUUUUGUUUCUGAUAUUUUCUCGGCAUAGUGUAAAUGUAUGAAGAUGAAAUUGCUGGGUUGGUUUUGUUAUGGAAUUUGGUUUAGUUCACUAACCAUUAAUGCGCAAAACCUCCUAAGACCCUCAAAAAUCCCGUACAUAAUUAAAGAAUUUCAAUUUUAUAUGUACAUAAAUAAAUAACUCUCAAAUAUAUUAUUUGAUAAUCCUAAAAACAACAAUUCAUUCUAAUAAAUCUCGUAGUCAAUACAUGGUCUAUAUUGCAAGUGUUUUCGAGACUAAUUCAAAAAGAAAAUACGAAGGAUAUAUAAUUGACUUUUACUUGUUAUAAAGAACUCUAAAUAAAUUUAUAUACGCAUCACAGCUAAUUACAGUCUUGGUACUUCAUUAGGUUUUUGUUAAUUUUCUAUACAGUUGUGUUGUGCAUUAAAGCUUUGUUAAAUGAAAUCGGUAGUGAGAAUUAAUUAAUUAAUUAAUUAAUUAAGAUCCAGUUAUUGUAAUUAAUUUUAUUUGAUUUUUUUAAUUCGAGUUCUAAAUUAAUCAAUUAAUUUAGAUUCAUGUGAAAUUGAAGUGAAUUAGUUUCGAACUGUUUUUCAUUCUAUGUUUGUCUGUGUUUACUCUUACUGUUUUUUUUGUUUAAACUUUUGUUUUCUUAUUGUUUACUGAAUAAAUUUCUGAGCUUUGUUUGAGUAUGAUGAUUGAUUUGUGAUUUUAAUCUAAUGUGUUGGGCUGCGAUUUAAUUGAGUGAUGUGUGAGCGCCAAAUUGUGAGCGCCAAGUAGUAAUUAUAAAAUAUUUCAGUCGUCCACUGUUCAGUCACCAAAAACCAAUUUCUAAUCUAUUUCAAAACAAUUUUUGCCAAAGUCCUCCUCGGCUAAUUAAUUCAUACAUUAAUACAGUCCUCCUCUGCUGAAUAAUGCAAACCCGUUACGUUAUUCUACCAUUUCUUAAAUUUAAAGCAUUCCACCAUUUAAUAAAAAAAUUCGAAAACCCAUUAUAUACAAUACAAAAAGCCCACCGACACCAAACCAUAUUAAUUUAAAAUAGUUUUCAAUUGAGAUUUGAAUUUUAAAAUUACAUACACAAACACACCCGAUUUAAAAAAUAAUAAUAAUCCUAACAAUAAAAUAUUUCAGCCGUCCUCUGUUCAGUCACCGAAAACGGAUUUCCAAUCUAUUAGAACAACCGGUAUAUGGGUUUCCAACCAAUAUUGUCCUCCAUCCUUUCUGCACUUCUCUUCUAUCAACGGACAGCCCACGAUGUAUAAUCGCAAAAGUGAGGAAGGCAGGCCCUUCUCCGGAAAGUAUUUGAGCUUGGGACAAUCCGCGAGAUACAAUUCAGUGAGGUUUUGAAGAUCAACAAUUGAAGAAGAUAGGCGUUCCAGAUUUGGAAAAUUAGAAAUCCCCAGAGAUGUUAGAGAGGCAGGAAGAGGAAGCGUGGUCCCUAAUCUUUUGUCCUCUAGUGGAAAUGACACCAUGUCGUCAUCGCAUCUGCUGAUUGUAAGACGUCGCAGAGAGGAGAAUCUGUGAAAUCCCCGUCCCCGCUCAAUCAUUGACUUCCAAAUCUCCAUAUUACCCCAAAUAUUAAGUGACUGAAGGUUGGUGGGAAGGUCAUCUUCUUCUUCAAGGCUUGGAAGCGCACCUCCUAUUCCUAUUGUUAAUUGUUGAAGAGAGGUCAGAUUGUGCAAUCCCUUGGGUAAGGCCUCUAGUCUCUUACAAUUAGAUAUCGCCAGCGUCCUGAGUUUCGCACAAGGCAAUCCCCCUUCGGGAAAGGACACCAGAUUUUUACAACUAUCUAUACUGAUUGUUUCAAGAGAUGUGUUGUUGUCCAACCUUUCUGCUAUUGACUCCAGCUUUGAACAUCCACCAACACGAAUGGACUUAAGAGACGGAGGUAGAUUGCCAACUUCAAGGGACUCAAGCGUGGCAGGUAACUCGUUUUUUGAAAAUAUACACGUCAGAGAAUCACAACAGUAAAUAUGCAAUUCCUCAAGAAAAGAUGAGGUGUACCUUCUGCCGCUGCUACACUGGAUGCCCUCUUCCACUGUCAAAGUCCUUAUAUUAUCGCAAUGCCAGAUCGUCAACAACUUAAGGCUCGAUGGUACCUGGACAGCAGCAAUAUAUGUCAACGAACGGCAACCAUAAAUAUACAAGAUCUCGAGAGACGAAUUGGUGUCGCACAUCCAUGCCUCUGGUAACGAUUUCAGUGCAUCACAAUACCUAAUCUCAAUUUUCCUCAACUUGGAAGGCAGAGCAACCUCAGGAAAGGAAACAAGGGAAUGACAAUCGCAGAUUUCUAUCUCUCUCAAGGAACUGAGGCUGAGCGAUGAUUGUGGCAGCUUCACAAGGCCUUUGCAUUCGCUCAAUCUUAGAUAUUCGAGUCUGCAUGACAACUCGCAGAGCUGCUGUUGUUGGUCUUUCUCUUCCUCCGCCACCAAGGAUUGAAUUUUGGGACACCGUCUAAUCGUCAGUCUUUUGAGAGAGCAAAUGUCUUGCAGUAAUUCGUUAUGACUCUUCCAUAUAUGUGUUUCAUUUUUCAUAUUAUUUAUCCCCAAUUCUUCCAGUUUUGGUAUUCGCGGCUUCAAUGGCUCUGUGAAAAACACUUGAUUUGAUGUAUCUCUACAAACCACUGAAUUCUGUGAGCGAUGAUCAGUUGCACUUCUCCACACAACCUUUUUACAUCCACCAAUUUCAAAUUUGCAAAGAGCUGGAAGACUUGCAACUGAAACUAGCAAUUCUUCACAUCCUUCAAUUGCAAGCAUCUCCAAUGCAGGAAGGUGUUCUGGAAAUGUUCCUUGCAGCUUAGAACACCUUAUAAUAUGAAGCUCUCUCAAUUUAGGAAACCAUUCAACUCCCUGACCAGUUCUAAGAGGAAUCCAGUCUUCCCAUUCUUGCAUGUUUUCAAAACGAAGAGUUUCCAAGCAUGGAAAAGGAAUCGGGGAAUCAUUCCCAUAGAACUCUGAACCCAAACUCUUUACUCUACUCAUUCCACGCACUGCAAGAUGCUUUAGAGAGGGUAGUUGCCCGACUGACGGCAAGGUAGUACACAUGCUGCAAUCUUCAAAAUUUAAGGUCGCUAAAUUUGAGAAUGAGGAAUCUCCCAACCAAGUUGGAAAUUGUUUACCUUCAUAGCCACUGAUACAAAAUUGUUCCAGAUUUUCAUGAGGUUUUAGCAUGUCGAGCACAUCCUUUUCGGUUUCUGCCUCCGUUGAAGACAAACCAUUGGCACUCCGUGUCCAUCGAAAGGUUAACACUUUAAGAUUCUUCUUUCCAUCCAAUUGAGCCUCCUUCGCAUCACCAAUGUCUUUUACGUUCUCCAAUUUUGAAAUGUUAAGUGUCCCAUGAAGAUGCGUCAACAAUUUUAGCUCUCGUAUCCUGGAACCACUGUCUUUUCCCACAACAAAAUUGCACAGCGUCUGAAGGCAAGUCAACUUACCAAUUCCUAGCGGCAUCUCCUCCAAUGAACUUGUAUUUGAAUUAUUGAGAUGAUGCAAUUUGAUGAGAUUUCCCAUGUCUGCACACAACUUCUUCAGUUUCCAACAGUCCUCCAACAGAAGGGUGUGCAAAUUGUAAAGCGAGUUGAUUGAUUCGGGCAGAGUUCUAAUCCAAGUUCCAGAUAGGUUAAGGUACCUUAAAUACCUCAAAUCACCAAUUGAAUCCGGUAGCUCAGAGAUGUGAUAUCCACGCAAAGAGAAGACCCUCAACCGUUGGAGUUUGAACAACUUAGGAAGAAUGCUAUGAGCCAAGUAUCCGGGCCGGCUACUUAACAACGUUACUGGUAAAAGAGUUCGCAAAUGUUGGAUAUCGUACAACUCCUCAAACCUUUUAACACCAUCGUAAUCUCCACGAAUGUACGACAGAUGACGAAGAUUUCUUGGAAAACUUUGUUGCUUGUCAACCUCUGAGAUAUACUCCAUUCUGAAGUACAUUUCCCCAGCAGCCCAUUGAGCAAGAUCAUUGACGAGGUCGUGCAUCACAAAUCGUGAUAUACUGUUGCUUGAUUGCUGGAAAAAAGAUCUUGAACGUAGCUCUUGAAAGAACUUUCGACCUAGAUCUUCACUGGGAUUCCCACUCUCUCCGUGAUCCAAGAAACCCGAAGCACACCAUAAUAAAAUUAUCUCCUCCUCUUCAAAUUCAUAAUCCUUUGGAAACAAUGAGCAGUAUGCAAAGCAUUGUUUCAAAGGUGCCGAAAGAUAAUAGUAGCUCACUCUAAGCGCCGGUAUAAUGUCACAUCUCUCUUCUGGUAAAUCCCAUAUCUUGCAACUGAGCACACCUUCCCAAUGACUCCGGUCAAGUUUACCACGCAAGAGACCACCAAGAGUUUUCGCAGCUAAGGGCAAGCCGUUGCAUUUGAUCACUAUCUUCUUGCCAAUUUCCUCCAAUGACUUGUUUGAACUGAUAUCUCUUGUCCCCAAAGAGUGUUGAGCGAACACAGACAGACAAUCAUCAUUUGACAGCUUUUUCAAAUGAUAAGCCCGAGCAGUCCCCAUGAUGGCUGCAACCUCUUGAUUACGAGCUGUGACAAUAAUCUUACUCCCCGGUGCGCCAGCUUCAAAUGGACGGCUCAUGUCAACCCAGUCAUUGUAAUUCUCAUUCCAAACAUCGUCUAAAACAAGCAAAAAUUUCUUUUGAGAUAACUUCUUCUUCAGCUCCUCUUGAAGCAAAUUUAAAUCACUGUCAUCAGUAGUCUGCUUAGUAAUGGAUCUUAGAAUUGUUUUUGUUAGCCUGAUAACAUCAAAAUCAUCAGAGACACAAGUCCAUACCUUGAGAUCAAAAUGACCCUGCACUCGAGCAUCAUUAUAGACAAGCUGAGCGAGAGUGGUUUUGCCCAGCCCGCCCAUACCUAUAAUAGGAAUAACAGAGAAUUCACCAUCAUUUCUCAAAUCAUCCCUCAACAGCAAUUCAACAAUUUCAUUCUUUUCUGUUUCCCUCCCAUAUACCUUGGCUUCAGUCACUAAAGAGGUUGUGGGUAGUCUUUGCCUGUCUUUUCUGGACCUCCCAGCUGAACUUACGUUCAAACCGAGCGAGUCUUUCUGUGUUACAAUAUCUUGAAAUCUGUCGUUGAUCUCUUUGAUUUUGGACAUUAUGGCGUAAUCGAACUGAAUCGAUUGUGCAGUAAAAGUGGUGCAGCAAGUAGGAAUGAGCUUCUGAAACUUACUUGUUCUUGUACGACUGCUACUGGGUUGAUCCUGAGCCGCAGCUGGAUCUCCAUUUCCAAGCAGCACCUUCCUCCGGAAAGCCUCAGUUUGAAACUCAUCCAACAAGUCUUCAACAUCAAAAGCCAAGUUCUGAAGCUCGCCAAGCCACAACUUCACAAUCUCAUCAGUCUUCUUCUCCUCAGCAUCAGCAAGCACCGCCUUGAUCUUCAAAAGCAUCGUCUUCCACGUCAUUAGAUCGGCCCGGAUUUGAUCUUGGCGUGGAAACAACCGAAUCCCCACUGAAGCUAACUUAUAGACCAACAACUCAACGGACGCCGUCAGGAUUGCCUCUCCGAUGAUUGACAUUUUUUUCUUUUUUUUGUUUUGCAAAGAAAGAAACAGAAUUUUGAGUUUUGAAAAGCAAAAUGAGAAAAUUGAACAGUAAGUGUGGAGGGUCAAGCAAAAUGCGCGUAUCAAGUCUUCCACUUGUUGUUUAUUCCAGUAAAGUGAAAAAAAAAAUAGAGACCACGACCCUUUAAUAAUUUAGCAAUUCACCGGUCACGAGUCACCACCACUCGUUACCAUGAAUAUAAUAAAUUGCACCUAGAUAUUUGCAGGGUCCAGCAACAUUGACCCAGUGUCCGGGUAAAUGCUGAAUAACGAGGAAAAUGGAAUGUAUCAACUACGAACCUUCGUUUUACAAGUCUUCAAACUCAUAAACCAAGUUAAAUCAAAACGUUUAUCUCUCUCACCCUUUUUGCCAUUAAUUACUUUAUUUAUUGAAUUAAUUUCCAUGCUAAAACGAAGACUUAAAAGUGCACUACAAUUUUUUAUAAUCACAAUGGUAAUUCCUACUAUCAUGUUAUCUUAAUGUCGUGUCAAAAUAAAUUAUAAUAAAAUUUUUUUAUAUGAAUACUUUUUUUAUUUAUGAAUUUCUUAAUUUUUAAUAUUUUUCUUAUUCUUUAGUCUUAAUAUUUAUAUUUCUCUCUUUAAACUUUCUUUAUUAUUUAAUUUUAAAAAAAAAUAUAAAAAAAAAGAAAAAUAUUAUACUUAAAAAAUAGUAAAUAUUUUAUGGGUCUAAUACAAGCCUGUAUUAUUUUUGACAAUGAAAGAGCACGCGAAAAAUCGCACUCAUAAAAAACUUUGUGAAAGGCAUUUGAAUGUGUGGCCACAUUUACCGAACGAAACGAUAAGGCUUUAGCCCUAUAAUUGCAAUUAGUUUGUCUUGUAACUAAAUUAUUGCCGACAAGCAGCCAUGCAUGUAAUUAGUCACAAGUUGCUUUGAAAUAAAUAGGUACUUGACAUUUGGCUCACUGAUUAUGUGUGCAAGAUUCCCGUAUUUCCCAUUACUUCCCGUACUUUAUGCAUUAUUGUUUUGUAUAUCUUUCGGUGUUUAUGGUGUAGUUAGGGAUGGUAGCGGGUAGGGUCUGGUACGGGUUUGACAUCACCAAACCCGCAUCUACAAAAAAUUUUAAUUAGGUAAUUCAAAUUAUAAAUUUAUAAAUAUUGCCUAAAAAAAUCACAUAAAAUACUUAAUUCUAGAUUUUAUCAAUGUAAAUAAGAAAUGAAAAUAUCAACAUUAAAAUAAAUACACAAAAUAUAUCAAUUUAACACGAAUUCUCAAAUUCAAUUAGCAAAUAAAUAAGUCUAUCACAACUCGAAGUGCUUUCAACUGAAAAAGAAAAAAAGAGAAAGAGAAAAAAACAAAGAACUACAAAUCAAAGUAGCACCCAUAACCUAUUUCAUAGGCUCAUUCAACACCAAGAUUUUAGAAUUAAGAUCUUCAAUUCAUUCAUUACCACUAGCACCCAUUCAACGUGGUUUUUCUAAACAAAAUAUAAAGUAUAAAAUUACAAUAAGCAUAUGAUACUCCAUGCUUUAAGUUAAAGAUCCUUAUAUAAUUUUAUGAAUAAAUUUUUAGUGAAAUUUUAUGAUUAAAAUUAAAAAUACAAAUAUUAAAAUAAGAAUGUUGGACACUUGCGCAACUAUUUGCUAAUUUUUUCUCUAUAAAAAUUCACCUGCAACUUACAGCAGAUUUAAAUUUAUAAUAUCAAACUUGAUUGUAGCUUGCAAAAUUUUUGGAUGUACGAUAAUUUUGCCACCCUAACUGUAGUUAGUGUGUUUCCAAUUGGCUCCUAUAAAAAGCCUAGAAGUUGUUUGAAUAAUGAGGGAGGCAAAUAUUUCCCAAAGAUAUUCUCUUUUUCAAAUUCUUUUCUUUUCUCUAUUAUUGUAGCUUCAGAUCCUUGAAAUUGCAUAUUUCAAAUCCUUGACAUGAACACAAUGUUUUGACAUAGUGGCUUUUGGCUUGUCCAGAGAAAUUUAGGAUAGAUUUUGAUGUAUUAAGGCUCAUUUUACUAUUGAGAUUUUGGAACUUUUGAGCCACACUUGAAAUUUGUAUUAUUCUAAUAGAGUUGUACCCUUCGAUAUGUGAAUGGUAUUAAUUAGGUGUUAUGUUUACAGCAGUUAAAGGCAUAUUGAAUCAAAGUCCACUUUUGAUUGAGAUUUUAAAGUAGGUUUUUAAUUUGAUAGCUACUCAAGUUCAAAUAUUGGAACCACAGUGCUUUAUAACCAAGUGGGAGAACUUCUGUCCUGAAAGUUGAGGGCUGCAUAUCGAGUUUUACUACCAACAAAAGUUGGUGUUAAGCUUUAGUUGCCCUCCUACUUAUGGAUAAGGGUAAUUAGGACUUUACAUCCCCUCCUGCUAAUAGAUAGGGGUUACUAAGAAUAUUAAAAAAAGGUUCAAAUAUUGAAAAAAUAGGUAUGGGUUAUAAAAUUCAUAAUACAAGAACAGUAAAUCAAGAUAAAAUUUAAAAAUUUAGAACCAUGAAAGCGUAACUUGUAAGUUUCAAAGAAGCAUGUGAAAACAUAUGCGUAUCGAUACCCAUUAAGGGUGGGCAUUAAGAUCGGGUUAACUCGAACCGAACCUUAAAUUUAUUUUGGGUUCAAUUUGAUUUUGGUUGAACCUUUCAACUGAGUUGAAAACUUAUAAACGAUUGGGGUGUAUUUCUAUUCGAAUUGAACAACAAACUAAGCAAUCUAAUCAACUUAAGUAAGCAAAUUUAAAAAAAAAAAUUCCCAAAAAAUUAAAUCUAACCCUAAUUAAAAAAAUUCAACCGCGGCCUCCUUCUCGUCUUCUUUUCUUCUUCUUCUUCUUGCUCACCCCUAAUGCCCCAUUAAUGGAAUUCCAACAGCUAGAAACGCGUUUCAGCCGCUUGCACGUGUGAGAAAUUUUCCGUCCCAUAGGAUUGUUCGUUUCCUUGGUUUGCAUUAAUAAAUUUGAAGAACAAUUAAAAAUUAAAAGAAAAUAAAAAGUGUUUUCUUUUUUAACGAUGAUAAUUUGUUCGGAUGAUGAAAAUUCUUAGAGUGGUAUAAUAAGUAUUUUCGAGUGUUGCCAUCGCGAAUAAUAUUUAAUUUCAUUUAUAUAGUUAUAUCUCAAGUGACAUUUAAACAGAAGCAAGUUGGAAAUUAAAAAAAAAAAAAAAAGAACCAUUGAGAGAAUGAAAAACUAAUAAAAAAAAAGUUAAAAAUUUGUAUCUCAAUAAAUUUACUUGAGAGCUACUCUACUAAUCCGUGAAGAGAAAACACAAAGAAUAAUGAUGUAUCUCAAUUAAUAGGACAAUUUUUGUAUUUUUCGUUUAUUCAAGAAUCAUGAAACUUCAUUUAAACUUGUUAUUUCAUUGAUAAUAUAUUAAUAUUGAACAAUUUAGGAGACAUUCCUUUCCAAUUAUGCCCAUGUAUUAAUUAAAAACCACAAAAACAUUCAGGGAUACUAUAGUAAUUUAAGUCAACAAUUUCUGUGCUUGAAAUCAUCCGAAUAGAUUCACUUCAGAAUAAACUGAGAUAUCAAAAUCACAUUCUCCAAUUCUACAAUUUCAAUUCAUCUUCAUAACUUCAACUGAAGAAUUGAUUGUAUCUCGUUUUAAUUUUUUUUAUGUAAAGAUAAAUAUAAAAUAUAAAUGGUGAGGAGACUGAAAAAGUAAAAUCAAAAGAAGAGCACGAGUUUUAUUGAAAAUUACUUUUUUUUCAUCAUUUUGCCAGAGUGAAUGUAUCUACAUUUAAACGAAAGAAGCACAUUUGUUUGUAUUAGCUUUUUUAUUGUAUUUUUAAUAAUAAGUAAUUUUCAAUUAACUUAUAUCAUUUUUUACGAAAAUAAUAGGUGUUAGUUAGUUGAUUCAAAUGGCAAGACCUCUUGGGAUAGAGUUUGUAAUUUAGUGGCUUAUCAAUUGUUUAAAUAGGGCAUUAUUAGAGCCAAAUUAUUGUAUUUGGUUAAAAAACUCCUACUUAGCUUACAACUUUAUUAUCCUAUUAUGUUUAUUAAUAAAUAACAAUUUUAUUGAAAAAAAAAAACAAGAUAUGUUGAAAUGAUACAAAAAAUUUGGGUUGUAAAUCUUACUCGAAUUUAGCUUGAGAUUGGCAUUGUUAGCAUAAUAUUUGAAGAUAUAUUUUUUAAAUUAAAAAAAAAAGAAAUUGGGUUCACACUAGUUAGUUUUAACUCAUAGUGAGAUUUAAACAAAAUCGGAAUAAUAAAUCUUGAUAUCCUAACUCAUGGAUAACAUCUACAUAAAAUAAUAAAAUCUAUUGUGUCGAAAAUAAGGGGUCUAAAGUUUGAAUUUCACUCACAUAGGUAGCAAGAGAAUCAAAUUAUUGUUAGAUUAAAUUAAUUAAAAAAAUUAUCUGAUAUACAAAACACAGCAUAUCAAAAAAAUUGAAAUAAAAGAAAAUUGAAAAGCAAAACGAUUGAGAGAACGAAAAACUAACACAAGAAAAUGCCGAUAAUUAAUUGCCUCAGCGGGCACCAACUUAAUUAUGCUUAUUAAAGCCUGGUUUAUUGUUAGAGUGCAAUUUAUGCACUAGUUUUGCAUUAUUUACUUCCCUUAAUAUCGAUGUUUUGCACUUAAUAAUAGUGAUUUACUUGUGUUUUACUUUUGUAGGUGCAAUUCUAUUAAUUGGUGAUAAAAUUAAGCUAAAAGAUGAUGUUUAAGGAGGAUUGUUCUCUUGGAGAAAUUAUGAGCGUUGAAGAACUUUGUUGAUAAGGCGUGGGCGCGUGCUGUCAACUGCGGACCUGCAGUUUUUAGUUUAAACGUGUUUUGUAUUUUUGGCUAUUUUUGUAAUUACGAAUUUAAUAUUUCAGAUAUUAGUGUUUUAUUUUAAAUAGAACUCUAAAAGAGAAGAGAGAGAGAGAGUAUUUAAGAGAGGAAUCUAUUGUGAAAAAAAUGGGGAUUUUAGAUUGGAGAAAAGAAAGAAACCCUAGAUCUAAUUUUUCUCUUCUCUCUAUGAAGAACUAAACUUAUUUUUCUGGUUGAAGGUUAAUGAAGCUUUGAUUUAUCACUACUGUGAGAUCUUUCUUAUGCUUUAAUUGUUUUAUUACUCUUUGGGUAUUUGUUUAUUCUCUGAAUUAGUUUCAUGAUUAUGUUUGUUAAUUAGGUAAUUGGCCACUAUUUAAUUAUCAACUUAAUCUAUUGUCAAUUAAAGGAUUCAUCGUAUGAAGAAUUUAAUGUUUGUGACAAAUAACAUAGCAGAGAGUUGUGUUGUGAGAAUAAACAAUCUAAUUUAAAUGAAUCAUCAUAUGUGUUGAUUAGAAUUUGGGUCUCUCUGGUUUUUCAGGCUGUCAAUUGAUUAAAUCCUAUGAUCGUAUCUAGGAUUGUCUAUUGAUUAGGAAAAUAACCAACGGUCAUACCUUGGUUAUCGACUAGUUAAGGAGAGAUUGGCUAUUAGAGGGUCUCAGUAGCUAUAACCGGUCUAUUCAUAAGUCAUAAUAAUCUAUAUUUGAAUCAAUGAUCAGUAGUCGAAUCAAGCUGAGUUAAUUCCUUCAACCAGAGCUUUCUCCAAUUUGAAUCACAACUUUAAUUUACAUUCUCGUUAUUUUAAUUUGAUUUUUAUUAUUGUCAACAAAACCCCCAUUUUAUGUUUUACGUUUUAAAAGGAUUUAAAUAAUUACCGAUCUCUGUGGACACGACCCUGCUCAAUCACUAUACACAAUUUAUUUAGAGUAGGAAUUUAUUUUUGUUGGCUUCGACACCCACUAAAUUUUGGCGCCGUUGCCGGGGAUUGGUGUCAUUUAUUUAAUCCUUUUUACGUUUUACUUGGUGUAUGGUUCGUUCUUCUCGUACAUGUACACUUUCGUUUGAUCCUGAAAUUGAGAAGACAGCUCGCCAGCUGAGACAGCAGACAAAGCGAGCUAAGCAACGAUCCUCGUCGCCUUUGCUUUCUGAAACAGAUACGGUGCCUGAUUUAGUUGAAUCAUCUAACGAUUCAGAAGAACAAGUGAUGGAUGGAGCUGCACCUGUAGAAAGAACUCUUAGAGAGUUAGCUGAACCAGACUUGAAUCAACAACCACUCUGCAUUCAAUAUGUAGACUUGGAGGUAAAUUUUGAAUUAAAGUCUGGUCUUAUUCAUUUAUUACCCAAGUUUCAUGGUUUUGCAGGUGAAGUUCCUCAUAAACAUCUUAAGGAGUUUCAUGUUGUGUGUUCAAGUAUGAGACCACAAGGCGUGACUGAAGAGCAGAUUAAGCUGCGUGCUUUUCCGUUCUCUUUAGAUGGGUUAGCUAAAGAUUGGUUGUACUACUUGCCUCCUGGAUCGAUUACAACAUGGAAUGGUUUGAAGAAGCAGUUCCUCGAGAAGUACUUUCCUGCUUCAAGAGCUGCCAACAUCAGAAAAGAUAUUUGUGGGAUCAGACAACUUCCUGGGGAGACUUUGUAUGAGUAUUGGGAGCGAUUCAAACAAUUAUGUGCCAGUUGUCCUCAACAUCAGAUUUAUGAUCAACUUCUUAUUCAAUAUUUUUACGAAGGACUAUCAUUGAUGGAUAUGAGUAUGAUAGAUGUUGCUAGUGGAGGCGUGUUGAUGAACAAGACCCCUACUCAAGCAAGGGAGCUGAUAUCAAAUAUGGCUGCCAAUGCACAACAAUUUGGCAGCAGGCAAGAUCUCACUUCAAGGAAGGUGAAUGAGGUAAAUAUUUCUUCUGUUGAAGAACGUUUAGAUAAACUUACUUCUCUUGUGGAAAAGUUUGUUGUAGGUAAUGUGCAACAGGUGAAGACUUGUGGCAUUUGUUACAAUAUGGGUCAUUCAACUGAUAUGUGUCCUACACUUCAAGAAGAACCCGUUGAACAAGCCAAUGCAGUUGGAGGAUUUCCAGGCAUGCCUCAGAGGAGGUAUGAUCCUUAUGCACAAACAUACAAUCCGGGAUGGAAGGAUCAUCCCAACUUCAGCUAUGGAGUUAGGCCGUCAGGAUUCCCACAACAAUAUCCACCAAGACAACCAGCACCUCCACAGUCAAUCUCCAAGUCAGGUAUAUCUCUUGAAGAAAUUGUUAAAUCACUUGCGACUAACACUCAACAAUUUCAGCAGGCAACUACAACAAGCAUUCAGAACUUGGAGAACUAAAUGAGUCAAUUGGCGACUACAGUGAGCCGUCUGGAGUCUCAAGUAUUAGGAAGAUUGCCUUCACAAUCUGAGGUGAAUCCAAAGCAAAACGUUAGUGCUGUCAUCCUUAGAAGUGGGAAGGAGUUGCAAGAGCCUAGUAAGAAAGUGACAGAGCAUGUAGAAGAUGAGCUUGAGAAGAAUGAAUUGAUGCCUCAAUCUCAAGAUGCGCAACCUACCAGAGCGAAACCCCUACCUAUUGUGAUACCUUCUCCUUUUCCAAGCCGGUUUGCAAAAUCCAAGAAGGAGGAACAAGAGAAAGACAUCCUUGAGACAUUUCGCAAGGUUGAGGUAAAUAUUCCCUUAUUAGAUGCUAUAAAACAAAUACCUCGAUAUGCUAAAUUUCUUAAAGAAUUGUGCACCUCCAAGAGAAAAUUAAGAGGAGAUGAAAGAGUUCAUAUGGGGGAGAAUGUUUCAGCAGUUCUCCAAAAGAAAUUACCUCACAAGUGCAAGGAUCCAGGUAUGUUUAUUAUCCCUUGCAAAAUUGGUAGUGUUAGAGUUGAGAAGGCUAUGUUAGAUCUAGGAGCUUCUAUUAAUGUCAUGCCUCGUUCUAUUUAUUCGUCUUUGAAUAUUUGUGCAUUAAAAGAAACUGGCGUGAUAAUUCAACUAGCUGAUAGGUCUAAUGCAUAUCCUGAUGGGGUAUUAGAAGAUGUCUUAGUACAAGUUAAUGAGUUGGUUUUUCCUGCUGAUUUUUAUGUACUUGAUAUGGAAGAUGAUAACUCCUCUAAUUCUGUCCCAAUUUUGCUAAGAAGACCUUUUCUUAAGACUGCUAGGAUUAAAAUGGAUGUACAUAAAGGGACUCUCAUUAUGGAGUUUGAUGGAGAUGUUAUAGAAUUCAAUAUGAAUGAUGCCAUGAAAUAUCCCAGUGAGGAACAUUCGGUAUUUUCUGUGGAUGUUAUUAACCCUAUAGUGCAGGAAGUUUUUUACAAGGAAAAAACGAAGACAUUUCAUGAUAGAAUGAUUUUGAGAAAGGAGUUCUUUGUUGGUCAAAAAAGUUCUUCUUUUUCAUUCUAAGCUUAAACUUUUUCCAGGUAAAUUACGUUCUUGCUGGGUUGGACCUUUUAUUGUUACUAAUGUUUUUCCUCAUGGUGCAGUUGAGAUUCAGAGUCCGACCUCUGACAAAGUUUUUAAGGUUAAUGUCCAUCGCUUAAAACCUUUUUAUGAAGGUUUUUUGGUGAAUAUUGUGGAGGAUGUGGCUCUCGAGAAUCCCAAUUAUGGAGAUUGAUGCAUAAAUGUGUCUAGCCAAAGACAUAAAACAAAGGCGCUUUUUGGGAGGCAACCCAAAUGAUUUAUUUAUUUCGGUUUUUGUUGUAUCUUCUUUUAACUUUGAUUCAGAUUUUUUUUUUAAAAAAUAAUGUGUUUGCUUAUUUUGGUCAGAAGAAAAUUUUUGAUAAGGCGUGCCCAUGUCUUAACUAAUAAGUACUUCUGUGAUUUUUAAAGCAACAUGAUUUUAAGGCGUGCCCACGUGCUUAUUAGUAAAGUACUUCUGAAAUUUUUAGUGUCUCAAGUGAUUCAUCACUAAAAAAAAAAAAAUUAUUUUUAUUUAUUUUUUUUUAUUUUUUUCUAUUUAUUUAUUUAAAAAAAUGAAAAAAAAAAAGAGAUUUUCUUUUGUUCUUUCUUUUAUAUAUUUAUUUAUUUAUUUAUAAAAAAAAUUCAAAAAAAAUCACUGUUAAAAAAAAUAUAUAUUGUUCACAAAAUUCCUAAUUUUCCAGAACUUAUUUUCUUCUCCAGCCGCUUGCAGCACACCAACAGCAAACCAGCCUGCCGGAAAUCAGCAGCAACGCCCCGCAACGCAGAUCCUCAGCUCCAGCCCGCGCGCGCAGCGCAAAUCAAUCCAGCCGUCACCCUCGCGCAGCAGCACCCGCGCAACGCAAGCCCGCAAUGCAGCAACGCAACCAGCCUACACCCUGUGUUCCAGCCGGGUAAAUCGAAAUCCGUGAGUGCAAUUAUUGUAACAAUGCCGAAAAGGAAAGCAUCUACUUCCAAGUCAUCGAAAAAGACACCCGUCGCAAAGAAAUUUAAGAUUGCCGCUCCCACUACGGUUCCAUGGAACACAAUUUCAGAUUCACGCCAAGCCGUGAGACAAAGAUCGAAGCAUGGAAAAGGCAUGAGUGUUUUGCCACUUGCGGAAUCCAAUUUCAGAGGGUGCCUCGCAUUCGCGACUCAACAAGAGAAAGAGAGGUGUGGUCGAAUUCAAAGAGGGGAGAUUUCAGUUUACUGAACCAGGACCCACUCAACCUCCAAAGAAGCUUUAUGCUAGGAGUGGUGCUACCUCUGAUGACGAGUUUGACGACGACACUGUUGCCCCACCGACUAUUCCUUCCACAUCCGCACCACCUUUGAGCAUUCAGUUAGAGAAAAUGGAGCACAAGCUGAACAAGAUGGAGCAGAAUGUGGCCGCAUACUUCGAGAGUGUGGGAUUUAUCCCACCAUUUCCGCCAAGCCCAUAGACGUUAUGAGGAUCAAAGCUCACAAUUCAGGGAAGUUUUUGCCUUUAAUAUUUUAUCCUUACGCUUUAAUUUUUAUGUGAGUUUUGAUUAUCUUACAUUAGGGACAAUGUAAGUUCUUGGUGUGGGGGAGGGAUUUUUGCAUUAUUGAUGUCUGGAAGUAUUAUUUUCACUCUACUCAUCUAUUUUCAUUCUACUCAUCCUUAAAUGAUUUUGGAGUUAGUAUGCUUCAUAUAUUAUUAAUUUUCUUUUCUUUUCUUUCUCACUACUCUUUUCCCAUCUAUUUUUUUUACUACAUACAUCUUUCUCGCUUAUUAUCCUUUUUACCUUUCCUUUUAUUUCUCACUCAUACCUUCUUCUCAUUCUAUACCACUAUUGAUGGUUGAUUCAUUUGAAGAGUGUACAUGAUUUGAUAGCAAAUUUACCAACUUUGUGAGGAUUUGAGCCUAUGAGCAACCACUUUGCUCUAAUAUUUUUGUUAUGUGAAUAUCAAUCUUAGUUUGUUUAUUCUAGAACUUGCUUUGUUAUGCAUGUUGAAGCCGCAUUACGGGAUUUUAUGCAUUAAAAUGAUAAGGGCAAACCCUUUUCCAUUUUUCUAUUCUCGCAUUUUUUUUCUCUACCCGAAGACCUUUAUUUGCUAUCUUUGUUUGAGCCUUAACCAUUACCCAUCUAAUCCUCUCCGUCUACUUAACCAUUUUUCUUCUUUUUGAGCCUCAAUUUAAGGAGAUUUUUGGACUCAUUGUGUGGAUAUAUUUUGUGUUUUUUUUACCUUGUAUUAAAGUUUCUCAAUUAGAUCAACAAGCAUUAUGCUUGAAUUAAAUUGUGCAAGGUUCGUUUCUUUUGUUUGAUUAAAAAAAACAAAAAACAAAAAAAAGGAAAAAGAAAAAAAAGAAAAAGAAAAAGAAAAAAAAUCGAAAAAAAAAAAAAUUAAAAGUUUACAUUCUUGGUGACUUGAGUAGAAAUAAGCAUUUUGAUAUCAUAAGUUCAUUCAAUGAGUUCAUUCUUCUCAUUUUGAUAUCUUUUUCUCUUUCAUGGACCUUUCUUUUUCAUUUAACCUAUUUAACCCCAUUGCAACCCUUUUAAGACCCUUAGAUUUUUGCAUUUUAUUCAUGUUGUGGAUUGAGAUGUGAUAUAUGAGCAAGCUUAUGGUAAUAGCAUUCUUUGAUUUGAUUUGAGUGAAUAAAUGACACCCUAAACACUUUGAGUGCAUGGAGUGAAGUCAUUGAGAGGGCUAUUAAAUCUUGUUGCACUUGAAUUUUGAAUGUAUCUUCUUGGUGGUUGAAUGUUCUUAUUCUAUCUUAUGAGAUUCUAUGCUUUAAAAUCCUUGUCUCUCGAAUGUUGAUCGACUUAAUUUCUUGAGGUAUGGUUGCUUAGAAUUAUUUAUGGAUGAGUUGAGAUGAGAAUUGAGUGGAGAUUUGGGAUUAGUCUUGAGUUAUAUGCUUGAGGACAAGCAUCAUCUUGGUGUGGGGGAAUUUGUUAGAGUGCAAUUUAUGCACUAGUUUUUAAUUAUUUACUUCCCUUAAUAUCGAUGUUUUGCACUUAAUAAUAGUGAUUUACUUGUGUUUUACUUUUGUAGGUGCAAUUCUAUUGAUUGGUGAUAAAAUUGAGCUAAAAGAUGAUGUUUAAGGAGGAUUGUUCUCUUGGAGAAAUUAUGAGCGUCAGAAGAACUUUGUUGAUAAGGCGUGGGCGCGUGCUGUCAACUGCGGACCUGCAGUUUUUAGUUUAAACGUGUUUUGUAUUUUUGGCUAUUUUUGUAAUUACGAAUUUAAUAUUUCAGAUAUUAGUAUUUUAUUUUAAAUAGAACUCUAAAAGAGAAGAGAGAGGGAGAGUAUUUAAGAGAGGAAUCUAUUGUGAAAAAAAUGGGGAUUUUAGAUUGGAGAAAAGAAAGAAACCCUAGAUCUAAUUUUUCUCUUCUCUCUAUGAAGAACUAAACUUAUUUUUCUGGUUGAAGGUUAAUGAAGCUUUGAUUCAUCACUACUGUGAGAUCUUUCUUAUGCUUUAAUUGUUUUAUUACUCUUUGGGUAUUUGUUUAUUCUCUGAAUUAGUUUCAUGAUUAUGUUUGUUAAUUAGGUAAUUGGCCACUAUUUAAUUAUCAACUUAAUCUAUUGUCAAUUAAAGGAUUCAUCGUAUGAAGAAUUUAAUGUUUGUGACAAAUAACAUAGCAGAGAGUUGUGUUGUGAGAAUAAACAAUCUAAUUUAAAUGAAUCAUCAUAUGUGUUGAUUAGGAUUUGGGUCUCUCUGGUUUUUCAGGCUGUCAAUUGAUUAAAUCCUAUGAUCGUAUCUAGGAUUGUCUAUUGAUUAGGGAAAUAACCAACGGUCGUACCUUGGUUAUCGACUAGUUAAGGAGAGAUUGGCUAUUAGAGGGUCUCAGUAGUUAUAACCGGUCUAUUCAUAAGUAAUAAUAAUCUAUAUUUGAAUCAAUGAUCAGUAGUCGAAUCAAGCUGAGUUAAUUCCUUCAACCAGAGCUUUCUCCAAUUUGAAUCACAACUUUAAUUUACAUUCUCGUUAUUUUAAUUUAAUUUUUAUUAUUGUCAACAAAACCCCCAUUUUAUGUUUUACGUUUUAAAAGGAUUUAAAUAAUUACCGAUCUCUGUGGACACGACCCUGCUCAAUCACUAUACACAAUUUAUUUAGAGUAGAAAUUUAUUUUUGUUGGCUUCGACACCCACCAGUUAUUUCAUUUUCAUUGAUAAUCAUUUUGACACCGGUCAAAUUUAAAAGUUUAAAUAAUGGGGGCCAUUUUUCUUUCCAGCUAUGCCCAUUAGCUAAUAAAAGAACCGCCGAAAGGGUUCGGGGAUAAUAUAGUAAUAUGAUUGAUAAUCAUUUUGGAGCUGAGUAUUCUUCGUUCCACAUUUUGGGUUUUGGUUGACCAUAUUUUAAUACUUUUUCUGGAAAACAAAUAUAUAUUUAGUGACUUGUAAUGGGUGCAACUCAUGUUUUUGAAACAUUUACAUCUUUACUUACUUACACUAAUGCGGCAACUGCUGCUUGCUUUUUUUUUUUUUCCUUUUGCUUUUGGUUAAUAAUAAUAAUAAUAAUAAUAAUAAUAAUAAUAAUAAUAAUAAUAAUAACAACUUUUUAAUUUAAUAUAUUAUUAAAUAAUAUUUUUAUUUUUAUUUUUACAUUAUAAUUUAUUAUAACUAAUAAUAAAUAUUUAAAUUUGAAUAAUAUUAAUUUAAAAUUAAUAAUAUUAUAAAUAAUAAUAUAAAAUAUUAAUACAAUUUAAAUAUAUCAAUAUAAUAUAAUAUUUAAUUUAAAUUAAUCACAAAAAAUUAAUACAAUAUAUUAUAAUACCAAAUAUUAUACAAUAUUACUAUAAUACAAUUAUGAUACAAUUUGAGGGAGAUUGUCAGCUUUUUCGGAUUAAAAAUAAUAUAUACCACUUACUCGAUUGUUUUUAUAAUGUUCAACAAUCCCCUUGAGAUAAAAAAAAAAACGAAAAGAAGGAAUAAAUAGAUGAUUUGCUUGAUAUUGUAUCUUAGAAAUAUAAAAUAUAUAUUUAUUAUUAAAAGUAUUUAAAAAUAAUAAAGAGUACAUAAAAAAUAUCUUAUCCUCAACAACAAGAUCAGACGACGUCAAUUCAGCAAAAUGACUUGUACAAUUUGAAAGUCCAGCAACGGUCACCUCUUAAUGUUAUUUUUACUAUAUUAUAUUGAUAUUUUGUUUUGUUAAUCAUAUAAGUCAAUCAAUAAUUAUUUAAUCAUUGGAAUUAAAACUAAUGUAUUAAUUAAAAUUCAAAAUCUAUUAUAAAAAUAGUAAAUAUUAAUACAAAGAGAUGGACAUAUUACAAAAUACAUUCACCAAAAGUUCUAUUAUACAUGUACAAAAAAAUAAUAAUAGUUGAAUACAUGUACAAAAAAAGGGGAUAAAUAAAAAAUAAUAAUAAUAAAUAAUAAAAGGAUAGUUUAUAUAAUAAAAAAUAAAUUUAUUGAAUAGGGAUGUUAAUAAUAAAGAAUAAUAGCCGAUCAAACUCACUUUACAAUAAACUGAGAAAUCAAAAUCACAUUCUCCGAUUCUACGAUUGACUCUUUUUCAUCAUUUUACUGGAGUGAAUGUAUCUAUAUGUAUUGGGGACCAUAAUGGAAACUGAUAGAACCUACAAGGGCUAAAAUUAGAACAACGAACGAUAUCUCAAAGUCGCCGAAACGUAAGUAAUUAAUCUUAUCUUUCAAUUGAUUUUUUGUGGAGACAGAGACAAACCCGAACAGCAAAUAGCCAUAAAUGAUAGGACAAUUAAAUUGGAACUCUCCGCGGACCCACGAUUUAAUAUCUUUAGAUUGUAACGGUUUAACCAAAAAAAAAAACAAUUUUAGUAAAAUAUUUCUUAAAAAAUGAAAAAAAAUGUUGAAAAGAAGAACAAAAUUGUGGUCCACGUGUCAUUUCAAAAUAGGUUGCUGGCAUAAACAACCGUCCCCAUCUCGGACAGAUGUUAUUUGAGUGGUUGGUGCGCGUUUCCACUUUUUUGUUUUAGAUGCAACGACUCAUGCACUAUAUAUAUAUAUAUAUAUAUAUACAUAAUUUCUAUCUUAUAUAUGUAUAAGAUACAUUCUUUAUCUUACAAUAUAUCUCCCUUAUAGAAUAAUAUAUGUGUGGAAUUUAUAUAUAUUGUUCAUAUGAAAAAAAUAUAUCUUAUAUGCAUGAUAGAAUAAUCCAUGAAUCUAAUGUUAUUAGUUUAAAUAAUGGGUGCAACUCAUGUUUUUGAAACAUUAAGAUCUUUAGUCAUUCUGUUACUAUCCCGUGGUUAUUUAAGUUACAAGAGACAGUAAAAAAACAACGUCAUAUUUUAAUUACUUACACUAAAUAAAUUACUCACACUGAUGCCGCGUCUGCCGCUUGCUUUUUUUCUUUUUUUUUAUCCUUUUGCUUUUGUUUUUAACUUUUACUUUUACUUUUUGACUUUUGCUUUUGGUUUAUUAUAAUAAUAAUAAUAAUAAUAACUAUUUUUUAAUUUAAUAUAAUAUUAAAUAAUAUUUUAUUUUUAAUUUUACAUUAUAAUUAUUAAUAUAUAAUUUAUUAUUCAAUAUUAUUAUAUUAUGUUUUUUAUUUUUAAUUAUAAUUUAUUAAUAAAUUUAUAAUUUAUUAUAACUAAUAAUAAAUAUUUAAAUUUAAAUAAUAUUAAUUUAAAAUUAAUAAUAAUAUAAAUAAUAAUAUAAAAUAUUAAUACAAUUUAAAUAUAAAUUAAUAUUUAAUUUAAAUUAAUCACAAAAAAUUAAUACAAUAUAGUAUAGCACCAAAUAUUAUAUAUUAUUAUUAUAAUACAGUACUAAUACAACAUAAUAUAAAAUAAUACAUUAAUAUUAAAAUAAUAUAAUACAGUGUGCGAAAUGAACCGAAAUGGUAUUACUUUGUUUGUCUUGUUAUUUACAAUUAUUUAAUCUGUAGACCCACUCAUGCUCCUUCUAUGCAACAUAGAUACAAUUUGAGGAAGAUUAUCAAUUUUUUCUGAGAAAAAAUAAUAUAUACCACUUACUCUUUAUUGUUUUUAUAAUGUUCAACAAUCCGUUUGAGAUAAAAAUAAAUAAAUAAAAAGAAGGAGUAAAUAGACGAUUUGCUUGAUGUUGUAUCUUAGAAAUAUAAAAUAUAUAUUUAUUAUUAAAAAUAUUUAAAAAUAAUAGAGAGUUCAUAAAAAAUAUCUUAUCCUCAACAACAAGAUCAGACGACGUCAAUUCAGCAAAAUGACUUGAACAAUUUGAAAGUCCAGCGACGGUCACCUCUUGGCACACAUACGGCAACGUGUGUAGCAUUGGCAAGAGGUCUCCCAGAAGGACGAUUAAGGAAAGAUUGCAAGACAAAAUCAUGAAAAUAGUAGUACAGAUAUGCAAUAUGCUAAAUUGUCCUCGAUUGAGUCAAUCGCAAUCAAGUCUUAGAAAUCGCACCCCUGUAUUAAUUUCCAGAAAUAUGUUUGUUCCAUAUUUAUCGUGCACGUAUACAUUGUAUGUAUUGGGAAUAGAAAGAGUGUAUGAAAAAAAAUUCUUCAUUCAUCGAUUAAAACUUAAAUUAUGUACGAGGGUUAAGCGCAGCGUUUUUAAAUUUAAAAAGCACAAGUGUCAAUCCACUAAGGUUUGGUCCAAUGGCUAGAGUCACUCCCUCACGAAAUAAUUAGAGUUCCCACAAAUGUAUUGUACAAGUUUAAUUUAAAUUUUCUUCCUCAAAACUUAAGUGAAGACAAUAUUUUUCAUAGAAGUAGAGUUUUUCUAGGAGUUUGACAUCCCUCAAAUAUUAAAAGAGUUAAAAUCUGAACGAUACUAUAUAAAAUAUAAUGUAAACUGAUCUUAAUAAUUAUAUAAUUAUAAAUAUAAUGAGCAACAGUCUCGUUAAAAAAACAGAUCAAGUGUCAUGAGCCCAUUUAAAUUAACUAAUAUUUGAGGGGGAAAUCUCUGUAUACCAUAGUAUAUAUUCUAUAUCCAGUCAUGGGACCCAUACAUGGAUGGUUCCACGUAAUUCGCAGAGUUGAACUGGAGACACUGAUUAGUUCGUUGUCUACUUACCAACUUAUGUACAACUAAGUAAUUGCAUGCACCAUUUGCGACUUAUCUAUCCACCCUGCUUGCAUUGCAUUAACUACGUCACCAAUCACCCACGUCCGCUACUUGUGUGAACGUGUAUAUAAAUACAUAUAUCCGCAGCAUAUUAUCAAACCAGAAUCAGAAGCAACUUAAGUUUUGUUCAUUAGGUUUAUGUUUAUCAACAUGAUAUAUUGUCAAUCAUAAUCGCAAUCAAGUUGUUAAUUAUUUUUUAAAUAAUGUGAAGGAACAAGAUUUUGGCCUUUGAGUGUCUGGUUAAAAAUAUCUCACCUCAAUGUACGGUGUUGUGCUCUCAUCAUCGUACUAUUAUUUGUUAAAAGUAUGUCAAAGAGGAAAGCAGAUUCAAACAUUACUUCAAUUUUAUUUAAGAGAAUAAAAAAAUCGUUAAUAGGCUACUGUUAUUUGUUAGUACGAUUUCACAAAAAAAAUCGGUUUCUUAAACAACUCCAACUACAAUUUUUUUUUUACAAAUUUUUGAAUUAUUAAAUCAUAUGUGUGUGUAUAAAUUGAAUAGAAUUAAAAGUGGACUCAAAUGGCUAUUAUGUAAUUUUUUUAUAAUUAAAGAAAAGUUUAGAAUGUAAAAGUGUGUGUGAGAAAACAAAAAAUAUAAAUCACCUUUGAUGUAGUUGUAUGGUUGUAAAGAGUUAGAUGGAGAAAUAUAGUAUAUAAUUAAAUUUAUUUUGUUCCUUAAAACGGGUAGGUUUUAUAAGAAUUUUCCAGAGGAGUGCUAAUAUUUCAACUUUUUUUCAAAUGAAGUGAUGUCCUGGAAUAAAAUCACUACUCUAUCAUUGCUAUUAGUUUGUCUUGUAUUUCAAUUAUUGUCGACAAGUAUUAAUUGUGAAUAUUAUUGUUUUAAAAAUUUUAUUAUUAUUAUCGUCGUUAUUCUUAACAGCAAUGACUAGAAUUAUAAUAAGAACAAUAACGUUAAUACAAUAAUAUAACAACAUAAUAAUAUUUUAAUUGAGAGGAUAAGAAUGAAAUUAUGAAAUUUAGGUUGGGUAAAAAUGAUGAGUAUGAGGAAAUUAAAUUACCAUUUUUUAAGCUAAACAAUUUAUAAAUUUCACGUAUUUCAUUCGUAUUUCUCUUAUAUUUUAACAAGUAAACAUUAUCAAUAGUUUUAAUAUUUUAAUUAAUAAACACGGCGUUAACUACGGAACUAAAAGAUCAAAAAAAAAAACAGAGACGCGUGUAUGUAUUGCUUGUGACAAAUCUCACCCGUGGAAAACUUUGUGAAAGGCAUUUGAAUGUGAGGCCACAUUUAAUGAACGAAACGAUAACUUUAAAAGAGAGUAUGUACUGUGUUAAUUAUUAGGCCUUAGCUUAAUGAUUGCAAUUAGUUUGUCUUGUAAUUAAAUUAUUGCCGACAAACACUAUCACGACCCACGUCCGCUACUUGUGUGAGUGCGUGUAUAAAUAUCCGCAGCGUAUUAUCAAACCUGAAGCGUACCAAUAAAGUGUUGGCUCCACUGGCAAUGGAGUCCCCUUAAGUGGCUUGACUGGGUUUGCUCCUCAGUUCGAGUCGCAGGGAAGUCGCCUUUGUUGGGAGAACAUGUGCCUCUCAGUUCGAGCGGGGAUUUUUAGUCUAGAUUGUGAUACGGGCUUAAAGGUGCCUCCCACAGUUGGGGCCCUCCCCAGAAUACCUCGUUGUCAAAAAAAAAAAAAAAAUCAAACCUGAAGCGUGAUCAUCUUUAAGUUUUGGUUAGGGUUGAUCAGACGUUGGAAGAUAUCUUUCCUAAUUUAAAGAAGAUGGAAACUCCUUAUCCAGGUUCUUAGGCCAUGUUCAGUUGAAUGUCAUUUAUAAUUUUUAUUUUAACAUUAUGUAUUUAUGAAUACAAUUAUUGUUUAUUUUAACAUUAUGUAUUUAUGAAUACAAUUAUUGUUAUGAUUUUUUCAGGUAAGAAUGGGUGGUCUGAGGGUAACCCAAUAACUAUGUACAAUAUUAUUAAUGAUGAGAGCGUGAAUGACAAUUUGGAUUUUAUUCUCGUCCCUCAAUACGGAAGAAAUCUUGACCAUAGCGGUUAAUUGCUAUGUAACUCUUUCGUAUUAUGUUUAAUUAAUAAUAAAAUGAUGGGUUAUUAUUACUUGUCAAUUAUGUGAGUGUCUCUGCUUGAUUUAGUUCACUUAUAAAAUAUCUUGAGAUAUACAAGAGAUUUUCUUUAUUUACUUUCAUGUACCGCGUCUUCUUGUAAAAAGAAACUAAUAAAAAAAUAUCAUUGUGUGCAAUGUAUUGACUAAGUUAGUGUAUUCAUGUUAGCUUAAUUGUGCUCUCUCUUCUUGAUUUUUUUGUUUUUUUUGGUUAAAACAAACUCCACAUGUUGUUGGUUAGCUAAUUCUUGCAGCUAGCAAGUGAUCCUUUUCUUUCCCCUACUGCCUGCCGUAGCAUCAAAUCCUGACAAUUAUAUAUCAAGUGGUAUUCGAGCCGUCAAAUGAUCCUUGGAAACACGCAACAAAUCAAAUGCUGAAUUUUGCCAAGAGAUUCACGAAAUCCUUGCUAGACAUGUCUUUUGUCCAGUUUAUUUCAAACUACGCGAGCAAUGUUCCCGUUAUUGUUUAGUAUGUCUUUUGUUGUUUGCAAUGUAGUUAGGGAUGUUAGCGGGUAGGGUUUGGUACGGAUUUGACAUUACCAAAAGCCGGAUCUGUAAAAAAAAUUUAAUUAUCAAAUUCAUUGUGGGUUUUAUUUAUUCAUUUUUUUCCUCUUAACAAAGCCCAUCAGCUGCGGGUUUGAAUGGUACCUAGUGUAUAUUUUUGUGAGUUCCCACGUAUAAAAUCACACUUGCAACAAAACCUAAAAAUUAAAAUUACGUAAUUCAAAUUAUAAAUUUAUAAUCGUAGCCUAAAAAACCACAGAAAAUACUUAAUUUUAGAUUUUAUUAAUGUAAAUGAGAAAUGAAAGUAAAACAUUAAAAUAAAUACACAAAAUAUAUCAAUUUAACAGAAAUUUUAAAUUUUAAUUACCAAAUACAUAAGUCUAUCGCAACUUAAAGUGCUUUCAAUUGAAAACGAAAAAAGAGAAAGAGAAAAAAAAAGAACUACAAAUCAAAGUAGCACCCGUGACCCAUUUCCCAGUCUCAUUCAAUACCACUAGCACCCAUCCAACGUGAUUUUUCUAAACAAAGUAUAAAGUACAAAAUUACAAUAAGCAUAUCAUACUCCAUGCUUUAAGUUAAAGAUCCUUAUAUAUUUUUACGAAUAAUUUUUUCAUGAAAUUUUAUGAUUAAAAUUAAAAAUACAAACAUUCAAAUAAGAAUGUCAGACACUUGCGCAACUAUUUACCAAAUUUUUUCUCUAUAAAAAUCGACCUGCAACUUUCAAUAGGUUUAAAUUUACAAUAUCAAACCUAAUUGCAGCUCGCAAAAAUUAUCUGUUGCGGCCAAGACUUUGGAUUUGCGAUGAUUUUGCCACCCUAAGUGUAGUUAGUAUUGUAUAUCAUGUGGCUCUUAUAAAAAGCCUAGAAGUUGUUUGAAUAAUGGGGGAGACACAUAUCUCCCAAAGAUUUUCUCUUUUUCAAAUUAUUAUGUCUUCUCUAUUAUUGUAACUUCGAAUCCUUAUAAAUUACAGAUUGGAGACAUGAAAACAAUGUUUUGACAUAGUAGACUUUUGACUUAUCCAGAGAAAUUUAGGAUAGAUUUUUAUACACUAAGGUUCUAUUUACUAUUGAGGUUUUAGAACUUUUAAGCCACACUAGAAAUUUGUAUUGUUUUGAUUGGUAUUAAUCAAGUGUUAUCAAUAGUUAAAGGCAUAUUGAAUCAAAAUCCACUUCUAAGGGUUUGAUUGAGUGAUUGUAAAGUAGGUUUUUAGUUUGCUAGCCACUCAAGUUCAAAUAUUGGAACCACAGAGCCUUAUAGCCAAGUGAGAGAACUUGUGCCCUAAAAAUUGAGGGGUGCAUAUCGAGUUUUACCACCAAUAAAAGUUGGUGUUAAAACGUUAAUUUCCCUCCUAUUGUGGAUAAGGGUAAUUAGGAGUUUACAUCCCCUCCUAUUAAUAGAUAGGGGUUAUUAGGAAUAUUAAAAAAAAGUUCAAAUAUUGAAAAUAUAGGUAUGGGUUAUAAAAUUCAUAAUAUAAAGACACAAAAUCAAGAUAAAGAUUUAAAAAUUUAGAACCAUGAGAGCGUGACUUGUAAGUUUCAAAAAAGUAUGUGCAAAUAUAUGCAUUAUUGAUGCCCCAAUUAAGGGUGGGCAUUAAGAAAAAAAAAUCCCAAAAAAUUAAAACUAACCCUAACUAAAAUAUUCGACCGCGGCCUCCUCGUUUUCUUUUCUUCUUCUUCCUCCUCUUGCUCACCCUCAAUGCCCAUUCAUGGAAAUCCAACAGCUCCAAACGCGUUUCAGCCGCUCGCACGUGUGAGAAAUUUUCCUUCUCAUGGGAUUAUUCGUUUCCUUCGCUUGCAUGCCAGCAGAAUAUUCAGGCCGAGGAUUUUUCCGGGCCUAGCCCAACUAUAAGCUCUCCCAAAACCCAAUCAUAAAGUUCAUAACGUUUAGCGUUUGCUAUUACUAUAACUUUUUUUAACCAAUUUUCACAUUCAUCAACAUAGGCUGACAGAUUUUGUAGAAAAUAAAAUUAAAUAAAAGUACAAGCUCACGAAAUUCCUUUUCCGAUGUGGGAAUCUAUCUACACCUUUCACGUGCCUUUUUUUUUUUGGUUUAUCACAUGUUGAAGUUAAACAGUUGAAGUUAGUGAUGCAAGUUGAAACCAAUCUGUUUAAGCUUGGGGUUUCAUGUCUUGAAUCAAGGCUGUGACUUGGGGUGGGUUGAAAGUAUUAUAGCUUUAGCUAUUCCUGAAGUGAUCUGUUUAGACUCACCGUGAUGAGACCGAGUGCUGUACAGUAAAAUGAAAGGAAGUUGGAAAAUAUUUACUUAGCAUUUCGCGUUACUAGUGUUGAACUAAUAAAACCUAUCCCCUAUCCUAGUGAAUUUAUGUUAAAAAGCUAUGCACGCAUUAAGUUAGUGCGAGAGUCUGCUGAAGUAUAUGUCAGCUGUGUGUUUGGAGCUGAGUAUUCUUCAUUCCACAUUUUGGGUUUUGGUUGACCUCCAGCAUGACUCAACCCACUUGAGUUAAAAGCCCUAGAGUUACAUUCUACCCAUGAUAUUUGAGUUUAUCAAGUCACCUUAUUUUAAUACUUCUCUGGAAAACGAAUAUAUACGUUAAAUCAGGUAGGAAAAAUAAAAAGUUAAUUAUUGAGUUGUAAUGGUGCAACUAAGGUUUUGAAACAUUAAGAUCUUUAGCCAUUAUGUUACUAUCCCGUAGUUAUUUAAGUUACAAGAGAUAGUAAAAAAUAACAUCAUAUUUUAAUUACUUACACUAAUCCUGCAAGUGCUGAUGGUCUAAAGUUGCUGCUGCUUGCACUGAAUCAGUGGUCAUAGGCCAGCCAAGGUUAGGUGAGGCCAACUCAUUAGCUUGUGAAACUUAAAGAAGUCUUAGGUUUGGAAAAGAUGGGGCACAGGUUACAAAAUUUUUUUGAGUUUUGGAUUGAAGGAACAAAAUUGUUGAUGUCUAGCUCACAAUAUUUGAAGUCACUCUGUGCUUCAUCAUGUAAAAUGGAUUGAAUUGCUGUAAGAUCAGGUCAAAUUAAAAUGUUUAAACUCAUUUUUAAGAAACGAAUUCUUAAUUGGACCAGCCUUUCACAGAAGCUGAUAUCACAGAAGCUUUGAGUCAGAUGCAUCCAACCAAAGCCCUUGGCCUAGAUGGUCUCCCAGCAGUAUUUUUCUAAAAGCUUUAGAAUUCAGUAAGCGAAGGAGUUAUAGCCACUUGUCUGCAUAUCCUCAAUGAUGGAGGUAAUAUUGCUCCUUUGAAUCAUACAUACAUUGCUUUAAUCCCCAAGAUAGCAAAACUUAGGACUCUGAUGGAGUAUAGACCAAUCAGCAUAUGUAAUGUAAUUUAUAGGAUCAUUGCAAAGACUAUAGCGAAUGGGCUGAAGCUAAUCUUAGAUCAUGUUAUUUCGCCAACUCAGAGUGCUUUUAUGCCAAAUAGGCUCAUAACUGAUAAUAUAAUUAUUGGGCAUGAGUGUCUUCAUAAGUGGACAAAGCUAAGUUCCAGAGGUGAGUAGGAAAUUCUCCCGCACGACACAGCACAAACAAACUUUCCCUUUCAUUUUCUUUUCUCUUUCUCGCUCUCCAAACAGAGCAAAAGGACCGUCGCAAGAUUCUUCACUUCCAUCCAAAAUCAUGAGCAACGAAUAGUGAGCCUCCCGUUUUCCUUUUUUUGAUAUUAACAUUGUUAACAUAUACUCAUUUUAAUUUGACAAUACUUCAACUUUUUUUAUUUUUUUGCCUUUUCAUUUUUUUUGUUGAAGCAAUUAUCUGUUCAAGCUGUUGCUUAUCGGAGACUCGUCCGUCGGAAAGUCCUGUACGACGAUCAAACUGUUUUAUUUAUUUUUAUUUUUUUCAAUUUUUCAGGAUGAUUCUUAUGUCACAGCUACAUCAGUACCAUUGGAGUUGAUUUUGUGAGUCUCUCUUCUAUAUAUAUGUAUAUAUGUGUAUAAGUUAUAAUAUGAGUCUAUGUACGUGUAUGUAUGUAUGUGUAUGUAUAUGUGGAAAGAAAUGUUGGCAGACUUCAGCAUUUUACUCUUUUUUUUUUUUGGCAGAAAAUAAGAACUGUGGAGCUGGAUGGGAAGACGAUCAAACUGCAGAUUGUGAGUCAAAAUUUCCUUUUAUCUUGUUUUGGGAGAAAUUCGAUUUGUCUUAUUUAGUGAAGGUUAUGUUCAAGAACCUUGUCUUAUUUUCUUUGUUUGAAGAGUGAUAUGUUGAAAUGAGUGUAUUUGUCUUAUAAACAUCAUUUAGGUAAUGUCUUAUGUUUGAUUGUUUUUAAUCUGUUUAGUGGGACACUGCUGGACAGGAGCGUUUCAGGACUAUAACUAGCAGUUAUUACCGAGGAGCCCAUGGAAUCAGAGUAAGGAGCCUUCCCAUUCUUGGUUUAAAUCAGAAAGUUUGUGAUUUACAUGUGACAUCUUAACAGCAUUGUAUGUGUUUAUUAACUUAUUUUUCAUCUUUCAUUAAGCAGUACAUUUUCCAAUAAAUCUGUAUACAAGAUGAUGUAGUCCAAGAAUGGGAGCGAUAAUAUGAUGCAAAUUGUCUAAUAAAUUCUUAUGACAUAUGAUGUUGUCGGAAGUAAAAGUCUUGCAAUGCUGUAUUCUCUUUUAAGAAAGAAUAAGUGGUAAUUUUGUUUUUCCAAUUUUUUAAUUGAGCAACUGUGUGAGAUUAAUUAAAUGUGUUGGGAUUUCAACAGAUUGUCUAUGAUGUAACUGAGAUGGAGAGCUUCAAUAAUGUCAAGCAGUGGUUGAAUGAGAUUGACAGAUACGCAAAUGACAGUGUAUGCAAACUUCUAGUUGGGAACAAAUGCGAUUUAAUUGAGAACAAGGUUGUGGACACAUAGACAGCCAAGGUAUAUUCGUGACUUCUUUCGCCUGAACUUUGAAUAUAAUUUUCAACUCUUCUCAAGUGCAUUUGCUUGAUAAGUUUCUGCAUACCCAGGACACUCAAACUUUGGACAGUUUGUAUCUUGAGCUGGAAUCUUUUUUGUCAAUACGACUUGUUAAAAUAAGGGUUGUUAUCGUUUGAAUCCUUCAAGAAUUGCAAUAAAUCUGAAGUCCAUAAAAAAUAAGAUUCCAUCAUUUUACUAUUAUAUCUAGACAAAAUCCAUUAUUUUACUACAUUUCAUUAGCACCGAUAGUUGACCUAUUGGCUGACUGAUAAAAUAUCAAUUUUGUAGUUUAUAUUAAUUCUUUUUUUGUUAGAAAAUAACACACAAAGUAUUACAAUAUUAUAAAUUCAAAAUAGAAAGUAGUUACAAAUAAUUGCUAUUAGCCUAUGAAUUUAAUAUUUGAUACCUCUAUUUGUGUAAUUUUUUUCCAAGAGUGAAAUUGGUAUUUUUUUUGUACUAACGGAAAUGUAGUAAAAUGAUAAGUUUUGUAAAGAUAUAGUAGUAAAAUGAUAGGCUAAAAUACUUCUUGUAGUUGUUUGAUAUAUUGUAAUUCUUAAAGUAGUCAAUUGAUAAUAUCCCCUAAAAUAAAUGUUCGUAAUAUGUUCUCAUUUUAAUGUAACUGAUUGUUUAAUAAAAUUGUAUUUCUUUGUUAAUCUUUUUUCAUGUGCAUGCUCAGUGAGAAUUUGACUUACUAGAACACAAGUUUGACUCUUCAUUUAAAUGUCUCUUGUAUCAUAUCCUUCAAUGUUGAGUGUGAUUCCAAUAAAAUUGAGUAGGGGGAUCCUUAAAUACCUUUUCCUUUUUUCCAAGGGCCUGCCAAAUUGCUCUAAGUGGUUCUACCCUUUAUCAAUGAAUUAUGACAAUAAAAUUUUUAUUAAAGCAUUUUGUUCCUUAAAUGGUGACUAAUAGUACCCCUUUUUUUGGAGAGGAAAGCCAAACAUGCCCAAAGAGAAUCAUUUACUUUCCUCUAAUGUAUUUUCUAAUUCGUUUUGAGCCUUGAAUGUCUGUUUUGGUGCGUAUUCUCAUUCCAUGUCGAAUCUUAUCCAUAUGGACAACCCCACUUACAAAAAAGUCUAAUGAAUCUAUUGAAGUUCAUAUGAGGUUUGUGCUUUAGAUUUAGACCUCUCUCUCUCUCUCUCUCUCUCUGUCCACUUACAUGUCUUUCACUUACCUGUUUGCAUGCAUGCCCAUUCACACACUUUCAAGAUAAUACACAGUCACUCGUACUUGUGUUUUGGUUGAAUUACUGGCUGCUAACCUCUGUAAUUCAGUUUGAAACUUGCCACCCUUAGUGCUUCACUCAAAUGGUUGGUUAGUGUGAGAUCUGUAUCGUUUUCCUGGUCUCUUUCCAAGGUUAUCUAAAGGGAUUUGCCAGUCUGAUUCUUUUGGGAAUAUCAUUGCAUAAGAUAUCUAUUGUUUGUUAAUGAAUAAUUUCUAUUUAACUAGUUAUCUAUAUAAAUUGGUCAAUUUUAACUGCAUAAUUUGCAUGCAAUAAGAUUUUAUAAGAAUCUUGUUUUCAACUCAUGACUUAGACUAAUGUGAUAUGUUGAGCAUUAAGCUACAAGAUCUGCACAUCAAAGUGCUUCACAAUGUUAAGGAGAAAGCAUCUUUUUCUGCUUCUUCAUCUGAUUUAAAGUUUCCAAGGUACUUAUCCAAUAAAAUAUCCUUCAAGACUUUGGAAAUGCUUUUAUGUAUGACUGAGAGAAACUUGUUGGGUUGGUUUUUAGCAACAGACGGAGUUAUGGACUUUGUGUUGACUUGUUAUUGAUUAAGACAGUACAUCGGCUGAUCUAUUGGCAUCAAGCAGCAGAUGCAGAAAUUAUGGGUGGCAUACCAUUGUAUCCAAAUAACAUACUACAUUGAUUUUUCUGACUUUCUGUUGGUCUCCGAGAAAUGCAGGCAUUUGCAGAUGAACUGGGGAUUCCUUUCCUGGAGACGAGUGCCAAAGAUGCAAUCAAUGUGGAGCAGGCUUUCUUGACCAUGGCUGGCGAGAUUAAGAAAAAGUAAAAUCACUUAACUCUUUCCUUCUUGCCGACUGUUCUUAUUUAACAAUCACCAUUAUUGCUGGUUAUAUGCAUUGUGAUGAAAAUUCUGCAAUGAGUAACUUUUUACCUAAUGUUUUCUGUUGGAACAAAUUACUCUGGUAGAAAAGCCCUACAGGGUUUGAGAAAUCCCAUGAUGUGAUGAUUGUGAGCAUUUUAGACACCGUGUAUGGGUUUAUUUUGUGACUAUAAAAUGUUAAGAUUGUUUCUAGUUUUGGUUUGUAGUGCAUAAAAGGAUUCAAAAUUUGACAUCUGUCUAAAUCAGAUUAAUAACAUGAUAAUGUACAUAUGCAAGAUGUGAGGAAUUGUUUUAUCUCACCCCUAAACUUUAAGAAAUUGAAACAUUAUUAUUCAAAAUAUUUAACAUUUCCAGAAUUGAUAGUUGUCUAUUUGAGCAGUGACUGGUGGUUAUCAUGAACUGAUGUGUGGUUGUGGUUUCAAAUCUUGGUGAAACCUGUUGUCAUAUGCUGAUUAACAUAGCUAGUCUCUGAAACAAUUUGUUGAUUCACUAAUUAUGAGUUCAAAUUUGAUGCAGAAUGGGCAACCAGCCUUCUGCAAACAAAUCUUCUGGAACAGUUCAGAUGAAGGGAUAGCCAAUCCAGCAAAACUGCAACCGCUGUGGUUAGCCGAGCAUCUUAUUUUACUUCUACAUGUUAGCUGACUGAUUGUAGACAGUUUUAACUAUGUUGACUGCAUUAUCUUAUGAAUCUUUUAAUCUGUCAAAUAUUUAUUUCCUGGUUUAAGUUCUUUCCCGUUUAUAACAAAUUUAAUUUCUUGCUCCAUUGCAUUCCAAAUUCCUGUCAAUUUACGAGGGAAAAGGAAAAGAGAGACAAAAUGGGAGAAAAUGGUCAAAUUUGUUAGGGGGAGAGAGCUGUUCAAGUAGUUUUUGUUCUCGUUUAUUGUCAUAUCGGAUGGGUAAAGUUACCGAAACAGCGUCAUUUUGGGUGAAUUAUCAUAUUUAUGUAACACUUUUGAUAAUAUUUUUAUGCAACAAAAAAAUGUUAGUACCCUUUUCACAUUGUGAAGCGCAUGAUCGGAUGAGAGCAGUCUGUAUUCUGGCAUCACAAGCUAAUGCUUUGAUUUGCUUAGUUUGUUUUUUUUUUUUUCAUGGAAUUUGGAGAUGUUGUACAUGUAUGAAGAUGACGUAAUAAAGUUGUUUUGAUAAAUUUCCCUGGUCGGUUUACUUCACUAACCAUUAAUGCGCAAAGCCUCCUAAUGACCCUAAAAAUCCCGUACAUAAUUAAAGAAUUUCAAUUUUAUAUGUACAAAAAUAAAUAACUCUCAAAUAUAUUAUUUGAUAAUUCCAAAAACAACAGUUCGCUCUAAUAAAUAUCGUAGGAAAUACAUAGUCUAUAUUGUAAGUCUUUUCGAGACUAAUUCAAAGAGAAAAUACAAAAGACAUAUAAUUGAUCUUUAUCUGUUAUAAAGAACUCUAAAUAAAUUCAUAUACGCAUUGUAACUAAUUACAGCCUUGAUACUUCAUUUGGUUUUUGUUAAUUUUCUAUACAGUUGUGCUGUGCAUUAAAGUUUUGUUAAAUGAAAUCGGUAGGUGAGGAUUAAUUAAUCAAUUAAUUAAGAUCCAGUUAAUGUAAUUAAUUUUAUUUGAUUUUUUUAAUUCGAGUUCCAAAUUAAUCAAUUAAUUUAGAUUCAUGUGAAAUUGAAGUGAAUUAGUUUCGAUCUGUUUUUCGUCCUAUGUUUGUCUGUGUUUACUCUUACUUUUUUUUUUGGUUUAAAUUUUCGUUUUCUUAUUGUUUACUUAAUAAAUUUCUGAGCUUUAUUUAAGUAUGAUGAUUGAUUUGUGAUUUUAAUCUAAAUGUGUUGGGCUGCGAUUUAAUUGAGUAAUGUGUGAGCGCCAAAUUGUGAGAGCCAAAUAUUCAAUAACUGAUAAAUUAUAUUUAUAAAUAUUAAUAGCGAUGGCACAUAAACAAUUAAUUCAAGAACUUGCCCAUAGUGAUUAAUUUAAAGAGUAUAAGUAACAUCGCAAUACAGUCUAGCCCUUACAUGUUUAAUUAGCAAUUGAAAACUACUGUUGCUGAUGAGGUAGAACAUUAUAACACUGUUGCUGAUGAGGCAGCUGGUAAUUCUUCUGGUGAAGAUAUUAAGACUAUUAAAGCUGAAAUGUAAUUAGAGAAAUAUAAUGCAUUCCCUUAGUUUGCUUUUUGUUUUUUAUAUUUGUUUGGCUAAUGCUUUGCUUAGAUUACUUUUUGUUUUUGAGAUUUUAUUGGCUUAGUCAUGGGGUAUUGUUUUCUCUUCUAAUUUCUAUUUUUGUUGUUAUGGGAUUUGAUUGUAGUGUACAUAUACGAAAAUUAUGUAAUCAAGUGCUUUUAAUAAAUCAUGAUCGAUUUACUAUUAAUUAAUUAAAUUUAAUUUACUAAAAUUACUUAUGUACACGAUUAAAAUAAUUUUAAUUCCAUGAUAUAUAUACACGCGCGCGCACACAAACAAAAUGCAAUUAACUUUGAAAUAUAAAAUAUUUAAAAUAAUCACCGUACUAACAAUAUUUGCCAGAGUCUGAUGAAGAGAAUAUACACACACAUAUAUAAGCGUACAGCGGAAGGAUAAAUAAAAGAAAAUAAAGUUUCUACAGCUGAAUAAUGCAAACUCAUUUUUUUUAAGUAUUUUAUUGAUUAAUUCAAAAACCCAUUAUAUACAUGAUAAAGACUCACCAACGCCGAACCAUAUUAAUUUAAAUUAAUUUUCAACUGAGAUUUGAAUUUUAAAAUUACAUACACAAACACGCCCAAUUUUUUUUAAAAAGUACUAACAAUAAAAUAUUUCAACCGUCCUCUGUUUAGCCGCCAAAAACUGAUUUACCAUUUAUUACAACGAAAGGUAUACAUAGACGGAUAAAUAAUGCUAAUCAACCAAGUCCAAUCAUAAUAAUUUGAUUAUCCAUAUAUUAACCAUGUCCAAUCAUAAUAUUUAAUAAUCACCAAACUUACAAUUCCCAAGUUAGAUUAUACGUAUGAGAAUCUAGCAAGUCCAAUGAUAAUAAUUUGAUUUUUAUUAUAUUAACUGUGUCCAAUCAUGCUAUUUUAAUAAAGAUCACUCGAAUAUUUAUUUGUCCAACGGGUAAAAUUUCAAAACAAUUUUUGCCAAAGUCCUCCUCAGCUGAAUAAUGCAAACCCGUUACGUUAUUCUACCAUUUCUUAAAUUUAAAGCAUUCCACCAUUUAAUUAAAAAAAUUCGAAAACCCAUUAUAUACAAUACAAAAAGCCCACCGACACCAAACCAUAUUAAUUUAAAAUAAUUUUCAAUUGAGAUUUGAAUUUUAAAAUUACAUACACAAACACACCCGAUUUAAAAUAAUAAUAAUAAUAAUAAUGCUAACAAUAAAAAAUUUCAGCCGUCCUAUGUGUUAUCGCCAAAAACGGAUUUCCAAUCUAUUACAACAUGAGGUAUAUGGGUUAACAAGUCCCAAUAUUGUCCUCCAUCCUUUCUGCACUUCUCUUCUAUCAACGGACAUUCCCAGAUAUUUAAUUGCAAAAGUGAGGAAGGCAGGCCCUUCUCCGGAAAGUAUUUGAGCUUGGGACAAUCAUAGAGAUACAAAUGAGUGAGGUUUUGAAGAUCAACAAUUGAAGAAGAUAGGCGUUCCAGAUUUGGAAAAUCUUGAAUCCACAGAGACGUUAGAGAGGCAGGAAGAGGAAGCGCGGUCCCUAAUCUUUUGUCCUCUAGUGGAAAUGACACCAUCACCGUGUCGUCAUCACAUCCUUGGAUUAUGAGUUCUCGCAAAGAGGAGAAUCUGUGAAAUCCCCGGCCCCGCUCAAUCAUUGACUUCCAAAUCUCCAUAUUACCCCAAAUACAAAGUGACUGAAGGUUGGUGGGAAGGCCAUCUUCUUCAAGGCUUGGAAGCUCACCUCCUCUUCUUAUUGUUAAUUUUUGAAGAGAGGUCAGAUUGUGCAAUCCCUUGGGUAAGGCCUCUAGUCUCUCACAAUCAGAUAUCGUCAGCCUCCUGAGUUUCGCACAAGGCAAUCCCCCUUCGGGAAAGGACACCAGGUUUCCACAACUCCGUAUAGUAAUCCCUCGAAGCUGCCGGAGAUUAUGUAAACCACUCGGUAAAUUUUUUAGAUUUUCACAAUCAUCUACACUAAUUGUUUCAAGAGAUGUGUUGUUGUCCAACCUUUCUGCUAUUGACUCCAGCUUUGAACAUCCAUAAACACGAAGGGACUUAAGAGACGGAGGUAGAUUGCCAACUUCAAGGGACUCAAGCGUGGCAGGUAACUCGUUUUUUGAAAAUAUACAUGUCAGUGAUGGACAAUCCCUAAUUUCUAACUUCUCAAGAAGAGAUGAGGUGUACCUUCUAUUGCUGCUGCUUCUGCUACUCUGGAUGCCCUCUUCCACUGUCAAAGUCCUUAUAUUAUCGCAACACCAGAUCAUCAACUUCUUAAGGCUUGAUGGUAGCUGGACAGCAGCAAUAUAUGUCAACGAAUGGCAAUACUCAAUAUACAAGAUCUCCAGAGACGAAUUGGUGUCGCACAUCCAUGCCUCUGGUAACGAUUUCAGUGCAUCACAUUCCCCAAUCAGAAUUUUCUUCAACUUGGAAGGCAGAGCAACCUCAGGAAAGGAAACAAGGGAACUGCAUUUGUAGAUGUCUAUCUCUCUCAAGGAACUGAGGCUGAACGAUGAUUGUGGCAACUUCACAAGGCCUUCGCAUUCUCUCAAUCUUAGACAUUCAAGUCUGCAUGACAACUCGCGGAGCUGCUGUUGUUGGUCUUUCUCUUCCUCCGCGACCAAGGAUUGAAGUUUGGGACAACUUGUAAUCAGCAGUCUUUUGAGAGAGCAAAUGUCUUGCAGUAAUUCGUUAUGACUCUUCCAUAUAUGUGUUUCAUUUUUAAUAUUUUUUAUCUCCAAUUCUUCCAGUUUUGGUAUUCGCGGCUUCAAUGGCCCUGCGAGAAACACUUGAUUUGAUGUAUCUCUACAAACCACUGAAUUCUGUGAGCCGAGAUGAUCAGUUGCACUUCUCCACACAACCUUUUUACAUCCACGAAUUACCAAUUUGCAAAGAGCUGGAAGACUCCUAAUUGAAAUUGACAAUUCUUCGCAUUGUUCAAUAACAAGCAUCUCCAAUGCAGGAAGGUGCUCUGGAAAUGUUCCUUGCAGUUUAGAACAUCUUAAAAUGUGAAGCUCUCUCAAUUUAGGAAACCGUUCAACUCCCUGACUGGAUCCAUGAGGAAUCCACUCUUCCCACUCUUGCAGGUUUUCAAAACGAAGAGUCUCCAAGCAUGUAAAUGGAAUUUGAGAGUCAUUCCCAUAGAACUCUGAACCCAAACUCUUUACUCUACUCAUUCCACGCACUGCAAGAUGCUUUAGAAAGGAUAGUUGCCCGACUGACGGCAAGGUAGUACACACGCCGCAAUCUUCAAAUUUAAGUGUCACUAAAUUUGAGAAUGAGGAAUCUCCUAACCAUGUUGGAAAUUUUGUACCUCCAUAGCCACUGAUACAAAAUUGUUCCAGAUUUUCAUGAGGUUUUAGCAUGUCGAGGACAUCCUUUUCAGUUUCUGCCUCCCUUGAAGACAAACCAUUGGUACUCCGUGUCCAUCGAAACUUUAACACUUUAAGAUUCUUCUUUCCAUCCAACCGAGCCUCCUUUGCAUCACCAAUGUCUUUUACAUUCCCUAAAUUUGAAAUUUUAAGUGUCCCCUGAAGAUGUAUCAAUGACUUUAGCUCUCGUAACCCAGAACCAUUGUCUUUUCCCACAGCAAAAUUACUCAACGUCUGAAGACAAGUCAGCUUACCAAUUCCUACUGGCAUUUCCUCCAACGAAUCUGUAUUUGAAUUAUUGAGAUGAUGCAAUUUGAUGAGGUUUCCCGUGGCUGCACACAACUUCUUCAGUCGCCGACAGUCUUCCAACAGAAGGGUGUGCAAAUUGUAAAGCUUGCUGACUGAUUCAGGCAGAGUUUUAAUCUCAGUUCCAGACAGGUUAAGGUGCCUUAAAUACCUCAAAUCACCAACUGAAUCCGGCAGCUCGGAGAUGUGAUAUCCACGCAAAGAGAAGACCCUCAACCGUUGGAGUUUGAACAACUUAGGAAGAAUGCUAUGAGCCAAGUAUCCACGCGAACUAUUUGUCAACAUUACUGGUAAAAAAGUUCGCAAAUGUUGGAUAUCGUACAAGCCCUCAAACCUUUUAACGCCAUCACAUGCUCCACCAAUGUACGAUAGAUGACGAAGAUUUUUGGAAAAACUUUGUUGCUUGUUAACCUCUGAGGUAUACUCCAUUGUGAAGUACAUCUCCCCUGCAGCCCAAUGAGCAAGGUCGUUGACAAGGUCGUGCAUCACAAAUCGUGAUUUAUUGUUGCUUGAUUGCUGAAAAAAAGAUCUUGAACGUAGCUCUUGAAAGAACUUUCGACCUAGAUCUUCAUUAGGAUUCCCGCUCUCUUUGUGAUCCAAGAAACCCGAAGCACACCAUAAUAAAAUUAUCUCCUCCUCUUCAAAUUCAUAAUCCUUUGGAAACAAUGAGCAGUAUGCAAAGCAUUGUUUCAAAGGUGCCGAAAGAUAAUAGUAGCUCACUCUAAGCGCCGGUAUAAUGUCACAUCUCUCUUCUGGUAAAUCCCAUAUCUUGCAACUGAGCACACCUUCCCAAUCACUCCGGUCAAGUUUACCACGCAAGAGACCACCAAGAGUUUUCGCAGCUAAGGGCAAGCCGUUGCAUUUGAUCACUAUCUUCUUGCCAAUUUCCUCCAAUGACUUGUUUGAACUGAAAUCUCUUGUCCCCAAAGAGUGUUGAGCGAACACAGACAGACAAUCAUCAUUUGACAGCUUUUUCAAAUGAUAAGCCCGAGCAGUCCCCAUGAUGGCUGCAACCUCUUGAUUACGAGCUGUGACAAUAAUCUUACUCCCCGGUGCGCCAGCUUCAAACGGACGGCUCAUGUCAACCCAGUCAUUGUAAUUCUCAUUCCAAACAUCGUCUAAAACAAGCAAAAAUUUCUUUUGAGAUAACUUCUUCUUCAGCUCCUCUUGAAGCAAAUUUAAAUCACUGUCAUCAGUAGUCUGCUUAGUAAUGGAUCUUAGAAUUGUUUUUGUUAGCCUGAUAACAUCAAAAUCAUCAGAGACACAAGUCCAUGCCUUGAGAUCAAAAUGACCCUGCACUCGAGCAUCAUUAUAGACAAGCUGAGCGAGAGUGGUUUUGCCCAGCCCGCCCAUGCCUAUAAUAGGAAUAACAGAGAAUUCACCAUCAUUUCUCAAAUCAUCCCUCAACAACAAUUCAACAAUUUCAUUCUUUUCUGUUUCCCUCCCAUAUACCUUGGCUUCAGUCACUAAAGAGGUUGUGGGUAGUCUUUGCCUGUCUUUUCUGGACCUCCCAGCUGAACUUACGUUCAAACCGAGCGAGUCUUUCUGUGUUACAAUAUCUUGAAAUCUGUCGUUGAUCUCUUUGAUUUUGGACAUUAUGGCGUAAUCGAACUGAAUCGAUUGUGGAGUAAAAGUGGUGCAGCAAGUAGGAAUGAGCUUCUGAAACUUACUUGUUCUUGUACGACUGCUACUGGGUUGAUCCUGAGCCGCAGCUGGAUCUCCAUUUCCAAGCAGCAACUUCCUCCGGAAAGCCUCAGUUUGAAACUCAUCCAGCAAGUCUUCAACAUCAAAAGCCAAGUUCUGAAGCUCAUCAAGCCACAACUUCACAGACUGAUCAGUCUUCUUCUCCUCAGCAUCAGCAAGCACCGCCUUGAUCAUCACCAACAUAUUCUUCCACUUCUUUAGGUCGGCUUGGAUUUGCUCUUGGCGUGCAAACAGCCGAAUCCCCUCUGAAGCUAACUUACUGACCAGCAAAUCAACGGACGCCGUAAGGAUUGCCUCUCCGAUGAAUGACAUUUUUUGUUCUUUUUCUUUUUUUUUGGUUUUGCAAAGAAAGAAAGGAGCAGAAUUAUGGGUUAUGGAAAGCAGAAUGAGAAAAUGGAACAGGUGAGAAAAUGGAUAAUUAAGCAGAAUGAGUUUGUGAUUGUGAAGGGUCUGGCCCAGCAAGCUUAGUAGAAAUCACGCGUUUAUACUUUAUUGACCAAUGACUAAUAAUUUGGCAAUUCACUCAUUAAUAUUUAGCAAUUCACCAAUCAUCACCACUUGUUACGAAACCAUCUCAUAAACCAAGUUCGUAGGUCGAGCAGUUAAUCCAGUGUCUAUUUCCUAGAACCUUCAUCUCAUAAACAAGUUCAAUCAAAACGUUCCUCUCUCUAUUUUUUUUUUUUUUCAAAACUCCUAAAACGUUUCUUUUUAGAAAUAUUUUACUUUAUUCAUCUAAUAUGUUAUCUAACAAAUAGACACAAUUGAAAUCACUCUAAAGUGAAGAUGAAAGGGGAAAAAAAUAACCUUCCAACCACCAGUAAUUUAGCAAGCUUCACUUUAUUCCACCACCAAAGUGUAAAUAAAGCCAGCCCCCACCACCAUCAAUAAUUUUGUUGUCUUCUCCUUGACGAACUGGACAUGAGUGCACCAAGAAUUAAUGACAGAAUUUUAAAAAUAAUAAUAAGAGAAAAACCUACACAUUUUGGACUUAGAGUAGAACCAUAAUUAAUGCUAAAAUCUACUCAGCUAACAUUUUCAAAAUAUUGUUCUUUAUGAUUUUCAAAACCGUGAUUAAGGUUCAUCUCAAAUGUUUGAAGAGAGUCUAUCAGUUCUUCUACGUUAAGAAUAUUAAAAUUCUUACUUUUUCUUCAAACAUUGAAUAAUGAAAAAAAAAAUUGAAUAUGGAGGAAAAUAGAAUGCAUCCAUCUUCGCUGUAGAAGUCUUCUACUUAUAAAAGCAAGUUAGAAUAAACGAUUUUAAUCUCUCUUUUUAUUCCUGUAAGUGUACUAUAUUUUUUUUUUAUCUCAAUGCGAAAUCGUAUCAUAAUGUUAUAUUUCUGUUGUAAAACGAAAUUUUAAAUAAAACAAAUUCGACUUAUUUUUUAAAGGUAUAUAUUUAGUAGGUUACUAACAUAACUAACAAAACGUGAUUAUUACACUAUUUGUUUUUGUUUUAACUUUAUUAAUCAAUAAGCAAACAUGUAAUGAUUUGUAUAUAUCACUAGCAUCACAUUAUUAGGAGGUAUUGCGCUUAGUAUUCACAAUUUUUGUAAGAUGAAUUUGUAAGACUAAUUAAUUUUGAUGAAAAUGUAUUUGUAUUAAGAUAUUAUUUAAUUCAUUAAGUUAACUUGAGGUAUUAAUAUUCACUAAUUGUGGUGCUGAUUAAUUUACUUAACUUGUCACUAUUUACAAUUAAGAAUGAGGUUCAAUCAAUUUAUUGGGAAAAAAAACAAAGAUUUGAUUUUAAUUCUUAGGAUUUGAUUUCGCUCUCUUUCGCUUUUUUACGUUGCUAAAGAGGCAGUAAAAAGCUUGCUGAAUGUCAUCAAAUGCUUGUAUCUCAUCUCACAAAUUGGUAAUAUUUGUUUGGUAUUUCAUCUCAACGGAUGCAGUAAGGAUUGCCUCUCCGAUGACUGACAUUUUUUUUUCUUUUUUCCGGCAAAGACUGGAACAGAAUUUUGAGUUUCGAAAAGCAAAAUGAGAAAAUUGAGCAAUUCACCAAUCGGUCAAGCAAAAUGCGCGUAACAAGUCUUCCGCUUGUUGUUUAUUCCACUCAAGUGAAAAUAAAAACAGAGCCCACCACCCAUUAAUAAUUGAGCAAUUCACCAAUCACCAGUCACCACCACCCGUUACCAUGAAUAUAAUAAAUUGCACCUUGAUAUUUGCAGGGUCCGGCAACAUUGACCCAGUGUCCGGGUAAAUGCUGAAUAAAGAGGAAAAUGAAGUGUAUCCACUACGAACCCUCGCUUUACAAGUCUUCAAACUCAUAAACCAAGUUAAAUCAAAACGUUUAUCUCUCUCUCGCUCUUUUUGCCAUAUAAUAACUUUAUUUAUUAAAUUAAUUUCCAUGCUAAAAGGAAGACUUAAAAGUGCACUACAAUUUUUUAUAAUCACAAUAGUAAUUUCUACUAUCAUGUUAUUUUAAUGUCGUGUUAAAAUAAAUUAUUACAAAAUUUUUUUUAUGAACACUCUUUUCAUUUAUAAUUUUUAAUUUUUUUCUUACUCUUUUAGUCUUAGAGCCAGUUUAGUAAUGCUGCAACUUUUAAAAUAAUUAAAUAAAGCUUAUAACAGUAGAGCUUAUAGCAGAAGAACUUAUACCAAUGAAGCUUUUGAACAAAAAGUCAUUGGGUAUUUGAUUAUCAAUAAAAAAAAAUAUUUUUAAAUUAUUAAACUAUAUGAUAUUUUUUAUAUUAAAUAUUUUUUAGAUAAGCUCUCUAACCUCUAUUCCCAAAAGCUUAAAUUUUGGGCUUUUGCUAGUAAAGGUAAAUUAACUUAUUUAAAUUAAAAAAACUUUAAUAAAAAAAUAACUAAACACUAUAAAAAUUUUUAAAAAGUGCUUAUACGAUUAAAUAAAUACUUAUAUCUCUUAAAUAAGGCAUACCAAACAGUCACUUAAUAUUUAUAUUUCUCUUCAAAAUUUUUUUAUUAUUUAAUUUUUAAAUAAAAAUAUAAAAAAAAGUAAGAAAAAUAUUAUACUUACAAAAUAAUAAAUAUUUUAUGAAUUAAUACAAACUGUAUUAUUUUUUACGAUGAAAGAACACGCGAAAAAUCUUACUCAUUAAAAAUUUUGUGAAAGGCAUUUGAAUGUGUGGCCACAUUUUCCGAACGAAACGAUAAGGCUUUAGUCUUAUAAUUGCAAUUAGUUUGUCUUGUAACUAAAUUAUUGCCGACAAACACCAUCAUGCCGACAAACCGUGCAUGCACGUCCUCAAAGACUUUGACAUUGGGGACAAAGUGGUUGUAAGGGGUGGGGAUUAGUCAUAAGGUGCUUUGAAAUAAAUAGGUACUUGACAUUUGGCUCACUGAUUAUGUGUGCAAUAUUCCCGUAUUUCCCAUUACUUCCCGUACUUUAUGCUUUAUUGUUUUGUAUGUCUUUUGGUGUUUACGGUGCAGUUAGGGAUGGCAGCGGGUAGGGUCUGGUACGGAUUUGACAUCACCAGACCCGCAUCUAAAAACAAAUUUAAUUACUAAAUUCGCUAUGGGUUAUAUUUAAUUUUAUUUUUUUAACAAAGCCCAUUCACCGUGGGUUUGAUUGGUGCCCGGUAGAUAUUUUGUGAGUUCCCACGUAUAAAAUCACACUUGCAACAAAAUAUAAAAAUUUAAAUUACGUAAUUUAAAUUAUAAAUUUAUAAUUGUUGCUAAAAAACCACAUAAAAUAUUUAGUUCUACAUUUUAUUAACGUAAAUGAGAAAUGAAAAUAUCAACAUUAAAACAAAUAUACAAAAUAUAUCAAUUUAACACGAAUUUUUAAAUUUAAUUACCAAAUAAAUAAGCCUAUCACAACUCGAUGUGCUUUCAAUUGAAAAAGAAAAAAGAGAAAGAGAAAAAAAUAAAGAACUACAAAUCAAAGUAGCACCCAUGACCUAUUUCAUAGGCUCAUUUGACACUAAGAUCUUAGAAUUAAGAUCUUCAAUUCACUCAUUACCACUAGCACCCAUUCAAUGUAGUUUUUCUAAACAAAAUAUAAAGUACAAAAUUACAAUAAGCAUAUGAUACUCCAUACUUUAUGUUAAAGAUCCUUAUAUAAUUUUAUGACUAUUUUUUAGCGAAAUUUUAUGAUUAAAGUUAAAAAUACAAAUAUUAAAAUAAGAAUUUUGGACACUUGCGCAACUAUUUGCCAAAUUUUUUUUCUAUGAAAAUCCACCUGCAACUUGCAGCAAGUUUAAGUUUAUAAUAUCAAACUUGAUUGUAGCUCGCAAAAUUUUUGGAUUUGAGAUAAUUUUACCACCCUAAGUGUAGUUAGUAUUAUAUGUCGUGUGCUUCCAAUUGGCUCUUAUAAAAAGCCUAGGAGUUGUUUGAAUAAUGAUGGAGACAAAUAUUUCCCAAAAAUAUUCUCUUUUAACAUUGUGGCUUUUGGCUUGUCCAGAGAAAUUUAGGAUAGAUUUUGAUGUAUUAAGGCUCGUUUUACUAUUGAGAUUUUGGAACUUUUGAGCCACACUUGAAAUUUGUAUUAUUCUAAUAUGUGAUUGGUAUUAAUCAGGUGUUAUGUUUACAGCAGUUAAAGGCAUAUUGAAUCAAAGUCCACUUUUGAUUGAGAUUUUAAAGUAGGUUUUUAAUUUGAUAGCCACUCAAGUUCAAAUAUUGGAACCACAGUGCUUUAUAACCAAGUGGGAGAACUUCUAUCCUGAAAGUUGAGAGCUGCAGAUCGAGUUUUACUACCAACAAAAGUUGGUGUUAAGACUUUAGUUGCCCUCCUACUUAUGGAUAAGGGUAAUUAGGACUUUACAUCCCCUCCUACUAAUAGAUAGGGGUUACUAGGAAUAUUAAAAAAAGGUUCAAAUAUUGAAAAAAAUAGGUAUGGGUUAUAAAAUUCAUAAUACAAGAACAGUAAAUCAAGAUAAAAAUUUAAAAAUUUAGAACCAUGAAAGCGUAACUUGUAAGUUUCAAAGAAGCAUGUGCAAACAUAUGUGUAUCGAUACCCAUUAAGGGUGGGCAUUAAGAUCGGGUUAACUCGAACUGAACCUUAAAUUUAUUUUGGGUUCAAUUUGAUUUUGGUUGAACCUUUCAACUGAGUUAAAAACUUAUAAACGAUUGGGUUGUAUUUCUAUUCGAAUUUAACAACAAACUAAGCAACCUAAUCAACUUAAGUAAGCAAAUUUUAAAAAAAAAAUCCCAAAAAAUUAAAUCUAACCCUAAUUAAAAAAAAUUCAACCCCGGCCUCCUUCUCGUCUUCUUUUCUUCUUCUUCCUCUUGCUCACCCCUAAUGCCCCAUUAAUGGAAUUCCAACAGCUAGAAACGCGUUUCAGCCGCUUGCGCGUGUGUGAAAUUUUCCUUCCCAUAGGAUUGUUCGUUUCCUUGGCUUGCAUUAACAAAUUUGAAGAACAAUUAAAAAUUAAAAGAAAAUAAAAAGUGCUUUCUUUUUUAACGAUGAUAAUUUGUUCGGAUGAUGAAAAUUCUUAGAGUGGUAUAAUAAGUAUUUUCGAGUGUUGCCAUCGCGAAUAAUAUUUAAUUUCAUUUAUAUAGUUAUAUCUCAAGUAACAUUUAAACAGAAGCAAGUUGGAAAUUAAAAAAAAAAAAGAACCAUUGAGAGUAUGAAAAACUAACCAAAAAAAAAAAGUUAAAAAUUUGUAUCUCAAUAAAUUUACUUGAGAGCUACUCUACUAAUCCGUGAAGAGAAAACACAAAGAAUAAUGAUGUAUCUCAAUUAAUAGGACAAUUUUUGUAUUUUUCGUUUAUUCAAGAAUCAUGAAACUUCAUUUAAACUUGUUAUUUCAUUAAUAAUAUAUUAAUAUUGAACAAUUUAGGAGACAUUCCUUUCCAAUUAUGCCCAUGUAUUAAUUAAAAACCACAAAAAUGUUCAGGGAUACUAUAGUAAUUUAAGUCAACAAUUUCUGUGCUUCAAAUCAUCCUAUUAGACUCACUUCAGAAUAAACUGAGAUAUCAAAAUCACAUUCUCCAAUUCUACAAUUUCAAUUCAUCUUCAUAACUUCAACUGAAGAAUUGAUUGUAUCUCGUUUUAAUUUUUUUUUAUGUAAAGAUAAAUAUAAAAUAUAAAUGGCGAGGAGACUGGAAAAGUAAAAUCAAAAGAAGAGCACGAGUUUUAUUGAAAAUUACUCUUUUUCAUCAUUUUGCCGGAGUGAAUGUAUCUACAUUUAAACGAAAGAAGCACAUUUGUUUGUAUUAGCUUUUUUAUUGUAUUUUUAAUAAUAAGUCAUUUUUCAAUUAACUUAUAUCAUUUUUUACGAAAAUAAUAGGUGUUAGUUAGUUGAUUCAAAUGGCAAGACCUCUUGGGAUAGAGUUUGUAAUUUAGUGGCUUAUCAAUUGUUUAAAUAGGCAUUAUUAGAGCCAAAUUAUUGUAUUUGGUUAAAAAAGCUCCUACUUAGCUUACAACUUUAUUAUCCAAUUAUGUUUAUUAAUAAAUAACAAUUUUAUUGAAAAAAAAACAAGAUAUGUUGAAAUGAUACAAAAAAUUUGGGAUGUAAAUCUUACUCGAAUUUAGCUUGAGGUUGGCAUUGUUAGCAUAAUAUUUGAAGAUAGAUUUUUUAAAUUAAAAAAAAAAUUGGGUUCACACUAGUUAGUUUUAACUCAUAGUGAGAUUUAAACAAAAACGGAAUAAUAAAUCUUGAUAUCCUAACUCAUGAAUAACAUCUACAUAAAAUAGGAAAAUCUAUUGUGUCGAAAAUAAGGGGUUUGGAGUUUGAAUUUCGCUCACAUAGGUAGCAAGAGAAUCAAAUUAUUGUUAGAUUAAAUUAAUUAAAAAAUUAUCUGAUAUCCAAAACACAGCAUAUCAAAAAAAAUUGAAAUAAAGGAAAAUUGAAAAGCAAAACGAUUGAGAGAACGAAGAACUAACACAAGAAAAUGCCGAUAAUUAAUUGCCUCAGCGGCCACCAACUUAAUUAUGCUUAUUAAAGCCUGGGUUAUUUCAUUUUCAUUGAUAAUCAUUUUGACACCGGUCAAAUUUAAAAGUUUAAAUAAUGGGGGCCAUUUUUCUUUCCAGCUAUGCCCAUUAGCUAAUAAAAGAACCGCCGAAAGGGUUCGGGGAUAAUAUAGUAAUAUGAUUGAUAAUCAUUUUGGAGCUGAGUAUUCUUCGUUCCACAUUUUGGGUUUUGGUUGACCAUAUUUUAAUACUUUUCUGGAAAAUAAGUUUAUAUUUAUUGACUUGUAAUGGGUGCAACUCAUGUUUUUGAAACAUUAAGAUCUGGAAAAUGCUUCUCAGCGAGAAUGCUGAGAGAAUGCCGAGAGAAACGGCAUACAGUAAUGCCGUUUCUCUCGGCCCCACCCCCCACCACGUGAACUUUUGCCCCUUUUGUUUUUUCUUGCUACUUUUGCUUUUUCCACAUUCUCUCGGCGUUCUCUCGGCAUUCUUGACGUCUAGCACUCCUCGAAAGCAACAUCAUAUUUUAAUUACUUACACUAAUGCGGCAACUGCUGCUUACUUACACUAGUUAGUUUUUUUUUGCAACAUCAUAUUUUAAAAAUAUUAUUAUUAUUAUCGUCGUUAUUCUUAACAGCAAUGACUAGAAUUAUAAUAAGAACAAUAACGUUAAUACAAUAAUAUAACAACAUAAUAAUAUUUUAAUUGAGAGGAUAAGAAUGAAAUUAUGAAAUUUAGGUUGGAUAAAAAUGGUGAGUAUGAAGAAAUUAAAUUAUCAUUUUUUAAGCUAAACAAUUCAUAAAUUCCACAUAUUUCAUUCUUAUUUCUCUUAUAUUUUAACAAGUAAACAUUAUCAAUCGUUUUAAUAUUUUAAUUAAUAAACACGGCAUUAACUCGGGACUAAAAGAUCCCAAAAAAAAAAAAAAACACAGAGACGCGUGUAUGUAUUGCUUGUGACAAAUCUCACCCAUGGAAAACUUUGUGAAAGUCAUUUGAAUGUGUGGCCACAUUUAAUGAACGAAACGAUAACUAUAACAGAAAGUAUGUACUGUGUUCAUUAUUAGGCUUUAGCUUAAUGAUUGCAAUUAGUUUGUCUUUUAAUUAAAUUAUUGCCGACAAACACUAUCACGACCCACGUCCGCUACUUGUGUGAAUGUGUGUAUAAAUAUCCGCAGCAUAUUAUCAAACCUGAUGCGUGAUCAUCUUUAACUUUUGGUUAGGGUUCAUCAGACGUUGGAAGAUAUCUUUCCUAAUUUGAAGAAGAUGGAAACUCCUUAUCCAGGUUCUUAGGCCAUGUUCAGUUGAAUGUCAUUUAUAAUUUUUAUUUUAACAUUAUGUAUUUAUGAAUACAAUUAUUGUUAUGAUUUUUUCAGGUAAGAAUGGAUGGUCUGAGGGUAACCCAAUAACUAUGUACAGUAUUAUUAAUGAUGAGAGCGUGAAUGACAAUUUGGAUUUUAUUCUCGUCCCUCAAUACGGAAGAAAUCUUGACCAUAGAGGUUAAGUGCUAUGUAACUCUUUCGUAUUAUGUUUAAUUAAUAAUAAAAUGAUGGGUUAUUAUUACUUGUCAAUUAUGUGAGUGUCUUUGUUUGGUUUAGUUCAACUUAUAAAAUCUCUUGAGAUAUACAAGAGAUUUUCUUUAUUUAAUUUUGUGUACCGUGUCUUCUUGUAAAAAGAAAUUAAUAAAAAAAAUAUCAUCGUGUGCAAUGUAUUAACUAAGUUAGUGUAUUCAUGUUAGGUUAAUUGUGCUCUCUCUUCUUGAUAUUUAAAAAAAAAAAACUCCACAUAUUGUUGGUUAGCUAAUUCUUGCAGCUAGCAAGUGAUCCUUUUCUUUCCCCUACUGCCGUAGCAUCAAAUCCUUACAAUUACAUAUCAAGCGGUAUUCGAGCCGUCAAAUGAUCCAUAGAAACACGCAACAAAUCAAAUGCUGAAUUUUGCGAAGAGAUUCACGAAAUCCUUGCUAUACAUGAGUCUAGUUUUGACCAAGUUCACGUCACCCAUCAGCUACGGGUUUGAAUGGUACCUAGUGGAUAUUUUGUGAGUUCCCACUAAUAAAAUCACACUUGCAACAAAACUUAAAAAUUUAAAUUACGUAAUUCAAAUUAUAAAUUUAUAAUCGUAGCCUAAAAAAUACAUAAAAUACUUAAUUAUAGAUUUUAUCAAUGUAAAUGAGAAAUGAAAGUUUUAACAUUAAAAUAAAUACACAAAAUAUAUCAAUUUAACACAAAUUCUCAAAUUUAAUUACCAAAUACAUAAGUCUAUCGCAACUCAAAGUGCAUUCAAUUGAAAACGAAAAAAGAGAAAGAGAAAAAAAACAAAGAACUACAAAUCAAAGUAGCAGCCAUGACCCAUUUUGCAGUCUCAUUCAAUACCACUAUGUUACGGACCGCCCAAUUCGCUAGCCCAAUUGCCCACAAUUUCGGGCUAGAGAGCCAACACAAGGCCAAGAGUGCUAGCUUGGCCCAAUUCCGGAAGGUUCUAGGCAACUCUAGCACAUGUGAACAUGUAAAUAUUCUAGAAUACCUAAUACAAUUCCAGCACAUGUAAAUAGCUAGGAAAUUGUAUAAUAUUCUAGAGUUUGACCAAGUUUGUCAAAGUUAGGCAAAGUUAGGCAAAAGUUAGGUAAAGCCUCCCCUAUAAAUAUGGGAUGGCAUUUGGCAUUUGUAUCCAACAAGCAUUGUAAUCUCUCUUUGUGCAAUACAAGUUUCUUUGGCUCAAUUGCUCUCUCUUCUCUUGUUCGAGAAUCUCUAGGCUUACUUAGCAACAUUCGGCAAAGUUGUCUAAGUGCCGCACGGGUUAGCUGCGCAAAACACUCAUCCCGUGACAAGUGGUAUCAGAGCUAAGGUUUGCACGCACGCAAAUUAGCUCACGAAGCAAUGGCCAACCCUUCGAACGUAGCACAAGAGGGUGUUGUUGGUGUGGAUGUUCCACCGGAACCAAGCCGCGGCCGAGAGGGAGAACGCGCCCAAGGCAAGACUCGCGGCAAGUCCAAGGCCCUAUCCGUGGAUGCGUUGGAGCCUCGUGUAGGCACUCUCGAAAUAGCAUUGUCCGCCACUCAAGAUAGCCUCGUGGGAUUGGAGGAAAGAGUGGAUGGUCUCGAGGGAGAAUACGCCGAGUUCACGGUGGCCACAAAAGCUCUCAUCCAUGAGCAAGCAAACAUUCUCCGAGGUGAGUUUCGUUCUUUCCAUGAUGAGUUGCUCAAACUUCGUAGUUUUGUUCAGGACGAACUACGUGCUGUCCGUGCGGAAGUGGAUGAAGUCCGCUCGGAUUGGGCAUGGCACAAGCGCACACUCUCCACAAGUCCAGCUUCCGCAAACUCGAGUAAUGCGCGCCGCAUUGACGUGCCAAAGCCCGACACCUACGAUGGCACACGCAAUGCCACCAUCGUGGACAAUUUCCUCUUUGGGCUGGAUCAAUACUUCGAUGCCAUGGGCGUCCGAGAUGAGGCAUCGAAAGUGGGCACUGCACCCACCUAUCUUAGAGGCGCUGCACAACUAUGGUGGCGUCGCAAGUAUGGAGAGAUGGGCAAGGGCAUUUGCACCAUCGACACUUGGGCCGACUUCAAGCAAGAACUCCGAAAGCAGUUCGCCCCAAGCAAUGCGGAGAAAGAAGCGCGAGUGCGCUUACGUCGCCUCAAGCAAUCGGGUAGCAUUCGGGACUACAUCAACGAAUUCACUACCCUCAUGUUGGAGAUAAGCGACAUGUCCGACAAGGAUUCACUCUUCUACUUCCAAGAUGGCCUCAAGGAUUGGGCCAAGACCGAGCUUGAUAGGCGUGGUGUUCAAACACUUGACGACGCCAUUGCCGUUGCGGAGUCGCUCACUGAAUACUCUACCCAAUCCAAGGACAAAAAGGCCAACCAAGGCAAAGGUGGGGGAGAGAGUCGCAAGGACAAGGGCAACAACCGCAAAGAUUGGGGGCAGAAAAAGCCACCUAGCAACAAGAGUUGGCAAGGAAAAUCGGAGGGCAAGAAGGAGGCGCCAAAGCCGCGAAACCCAUGCUUCAUAUGCAAUGGUCCUCAUUGGGUACGCGACUGUCCGGAGAAGAGGUCGCUUAACGCUCUUGCUGCCCAACUCAAGAGCAACCCCACAAUGUCCACGGAGGAACCCCAACUCAGCAUGGGUUCUCUCCAACGCCUCGGCGCACUCAACCGCCAACAGCCCGCACUAGUCAAGAAAGGGCUCAUGUAUGUUAGUGCAAAGGUAAACGGCCAGUCCGUUCGCGCACUGCUAGACACGGGAGCAACACACAACUUCGUGUCCGUAGAUGAGGCCAAGCGUUUAGGCCUCAAGGCCACCAAGGAAGGAGGCACAAUGAAGGCAGUAAACUCACCCGCCAAGCCAAUUGCGGGAAUUGCACAAGGCGUGCACAUCACACUUGGUACGUGGAGCGGAAAGCUUGACUUCUCUAUUGUGCCCAUGGAUGACUUCAAGAUGGUCCUCGGCAUGGAAUUCUUCGACCAAGUCCAUGCCUUCCCACUGCCCGCUACCAACUCCCUAAGUAUCCUCGACGGGAGUAAGGCAUGCAUGGUUCCCACGGAACGAGGCAAGUCCGAAGAGAAGACACUCUCCGCCAUGCAAUUCAAGAAGGCUUUCAAGAAGGACCCAAGCUUCUUAGUCUCCAUUCGGGAACUAAAUGAGGAAGGAAAUAGCGGAACUUCGCCAAGCCAAGUCCCUCCGCAAAUUCAAGCCGUCCUCAAUAAGUACAAGGACGUGAUGCCUCCAGAACUUCCGAAGAAGCUCCCACCUCUGCGAGAGGUGGAUCAUGCGAUCGAACUGGAACAAGGCGCGAAGCCACCAGCCUUGGCACCCUACCGCAUGGCGCCACCAGAAUUAGAGGAGUUGCGGAGACAACUCAAAGACUUGCUGGACGCAGGCUAUAUUCGCCCCUCAAAGGCCCCAUUCGGUGCACCGGUCCUCUUCCAAAAGAAAAAGGAUGGAUCGCUGCGGAUGUGCAUCGACUAUAGAGCGCUCAACAAGAUCACCAUCAAGAACAAGUAUCCGAUUCCCUUGAUUGCGGACUUGUUCGACCAGCUUGGUAAAGCACGGUACUUCACCAAACUUGACUUGCGCUCCGGGUACUACCAAGUGCGCAUCGCCAAGGGAGAUGAACAAAAGACAGCGUGCACAACAAGGUACGGGUCUUUCGAAUUCCUUGUGAUGCCUUUUGGCCUUACUAAUGCACCCGCCACAUUUUGCACACUCAUGAACAAGGUGCUCCAACCAUUCCUCGACCGCUUCGUGGUCGUGUACUUGGACGACAUAGUGGUGUAUAGCACCACGCUCGAGGAGCAUGCCCAACACUUGCAACAAGUCCUCCAAGUACUUCGAGACAAUGAGCUCUUCCUCAAACUAGAGAAGUGCUCAUUUGCCCAACAAGAGGUGGAGUUCCUUGGCCACAAGAUUGCGGGCGGGAAGAUCAUGAUGGAGAAUGACAAAGUAAAGGCCAUCCUCGAUUGGGAGCCUCCCUCGAAAGUACCCGAACUUCGCUCAUUCCUUGGACUGGUGAAUUACUACCGCCGCUUCAUCAAGGGCUAUUCAGCUAAGGCGGCACCCUUGACGGAUAUGCUCAAGAAAAACAGAACAUGGCAUUGGUCCGAAGAGUGCCAACGUGCCUUCGAGAAGUUGAAGAAGGCAAUUUCGGAGGAACCAGUCCUCGCUCUUCCGGACCACACCAAGCCCUUUGAAGUUCAAACGGAUGCCUCGGAUUUCGCCAUAGGUGGAGUCCUUAUGCAAGAAGGCCAUCCAAUAGCGUUCGAGAGUCGAAAGCUAAAUGACACGGAACGCCGCUACACGGUGCAAGAGAAGGAGAUGACCGCAAUCAUACAUUGCUUGCGGGUGUGGCGACAUUACUUGCUUGGCUCACACUUCACGAUCAUGACGGACAACGUGGCGACAAGCUACUUUCAAACUCAAAAGAAGUUGAGUCCGAAGCAAGCCCGGUGGCAAGAUUUCCUAGCGGAAUUCGACUAUCGGCUGGAGUACAAACCGGGGAAAGCCAAUGUCGUUGCGGACGCUCUAAGCCGCAAGGCCGAAUUGGCGACACUUAGCAUGAGCCAACCGAAGUCUGACCUUGUCUUACGCAUCAAGGAAGGCCUCCAACAAGAUCCGCUAGCAAAGGAUUUGCUGGAGAAGGUGCUCGAGGGAAAGACAAGACGGUUUUGGCAAGAGGAAGGCAUCCUCCUCACCAAGGGAGAUCGGCUGUUCGUGCCAAGGUGGGGAAAUUUACGGAAGGAAGUAAUCAAGGAGUGCCACGACUCUAAGUGGGCUGGUCACCCAGGAAUUGAGCGCACCACCGCACUAGUCCAAGCCUCGUAUUUCUGGCCGCACAUGAGGGACGACAUCGAGGCAUAUGUGCGAACUUGUCUUGUGUGCCAACAAGACAAGGUGGAUCAUCAACUUCCAGCGGGAUUGUUAGAGCCGCUACCACUAGCAACAAGGCCAUGGGAGAGUGUCUCCAUGGACUUCAUCACAUCGCUGCCCAAGUCCGAAGGUUGUGGUAGCAUCAUGGUCGUUGUCGACCGAUACAGCAAGUAUGCUACAUUCAUUGCCGCACCCGUCGAUUGCAAAGCGGAUGAGGCAGCCCGCCUAUUCGUCAAGCACAUUGUGAAGCUUUGGGGAGUUCCGAAGAGCAUUGUGAGCGACCGAGACCCUCGGUUCACUGGGCGUUUUUGGACGGAGCUCUUCAAGAUGUUGGGGACCGAUCUCAAGUUCUCGACAAGCUUCCACCCACAAACGGAUGGGCAGACCGAGCGCAUCAAUGGCAUUCUCGAGAUGUACUUGAGGCAUUAUGUGAGCGCUCACCAGCGGGAUUGGGCAAAGCUACUUGACAUUGCCCAAUUUUCUUAUAACUUGCAGCGAAGCGAGGCUACGGGCAAGAGUCCAUUCGAGAUCAUCAUGGGAUUCCAGCCCAUGACCCCCAAUGCCAUAGCCUCGACUUACGGAGGGAAAAGCCCCGCGGCACACAAGCUCGCCCGCGAAUGGCAUGAGGAAGCGGACAUCACGCGAGCCUACCUCGACAAAGCCGCGAGGAAAAUGAAGAAAUGGGCGGAUACAAGGAGACGGCAUGUUGAGUACAAGGAAGGUGAUCAAGUCAUGAUCAAGCUCCUACCCCAACAAUUCAAGACUUUGCGGAAAGUUCACAAGGGGUUAGUGAGGCGCUACGAGGGACCCUUCCGAGUUGUUCGACGUGUAGGCAAGGUCUCGUAUCAACUCCAACUUCCGCCAAGACUCAAGAUCCAUCCGGUCUUCCAUGUGAGCCUUCUCAAGCCAUAUCACGAAGACAUGGGAGAACCAAGUCGCGGAGAAUCGAGGCGCGCGCCAACUGCCGUUGUCACCGCAUUCGACAAAGAUGUGGACUACAUCAUUGCGGACCGAACGGUUUCGAGGAGGGGCGUGCCAGCACAUAGCGAGUACUUGGUGAAGUGGAAAAACCUCCCCGAGAGCGAAGCCACUUGGGAACGGGAAGAUGAUUUGUGGCAAUUCGCUGAGCACAUCCAGCACUUCAUGCACGAAAGCGCGACGAGGACGCCGCGAGCUUAAGUGGGGGAGGAUGUUACGGACCGCCCAAUUCGCUAGCCCAAUUGCCCACAAUUUCGGGCUAGAGAGCCAACACAAGGCCAAGAGUGCUAGCUUGGCCCAAUUCCGGAAGGUUCUAGGCAACUCUAGCACAUGUGAACAUGUAAAUAUUCUAGAAUACCUAAUACAAUUCCAGCACAUGUAAAUAGCUAGGAAAUUGUAUAAUAUUCUAGAGUUUGACCAAGUUUGUCAAAGUUAGGCAAAGUUAGGCAAAAGUUAGGUAAAGCCUCCCCUAUAAAUAUGGGAUGGCAUUUGGCAUUUGUAUCCAACAAGCAUUGUAAUCUCUCUUUGUGCAAUACAAGUUUCUUUGGCUCAAUUGCUCUCUCUUCUCUUGUUCGAGAAUCUCUAGGCUUACUUAGCAACAUUCGGCAAAGUUGUCUAAGUGCCGCACGGGUUAGCUGCGCAAAACACUCAUCCCGUGACAACUAGCACCCAUCCAACACGAUUUUUCUAAACAAAGUAUAAAGUACAAAAUUACAAUAAGCAUAUCAUACUCCAUGCUUUAAGUUAAAGAUCCUUAUAUAUUUUUAUGAAUAAUUUUUUAAUGAAAUUUUAUGAUUAAAAUUAAAAAUACAAACAUUCAAAUAAGAAUGUCGGACACUUGCGCAACUAUUUACCAAAUUUUUUCUCUAUAAAAAUCGACCUGCAACUUUCAAUAGGUUUAAAUUUAUAAUAUCAAACCCGAUUGCAGCUCGCAAAAAUUAUCCGUUGCGGCCAAGACUUUGGAUUUGCGAUGAUUUUUCCACCCUAAGUGUAGUUAGUAUUGUUUAUCAUGUGGCUCUUAUAAAAAGCCUAGAAGUUGUUUGAAUAACGAGUGAGACACAUAUCUCCCAAAGAUUUUUUCUUUUUCAAAUUAUUAUGUUUUCUCUAUUAUUGUAACUUCGAAUCCUUAUAAAUUACAGAUUGGAGACAUGAACACAAUGUUUUGACAUAGUGGACUUUUGACUUGUCCAGAGAAAUUUAGGAUAGAUUUUUACGCACUAAGGCUCUAUUUACUAUUGAGGUUUUAGAACUUUUAAGCCACACUAGAAAUUUGUAUUGUUUUGAUAGAGUUGUAGUCUUUGAUAUGUGAUUGUUAUUAAUCAAGUGUUAUGUUUACAAUAGUUAAAGGCAUAUUGAAUCAAAAUCCACUUCUAAGGGCUUGAUUGAGUGAUUGUAAAGUAGGUUUUUAGUUUGCUAGCCACUCAAGUUCAAAUAUUGGAACCACAGAGCUUUAUAGCCAAGUGAGAGAACUUGUGCCCUAAAAAUUGAGGGGUGCAUAUCGAGUUUUACCACCAAUAAAAGUUGGUGUUAAAACUUUAAUUUCCCUUUUAUUGAUGGAUAUGGGUAAUUAGGAGUUUACAUCCCCUCCUAUUAAUAGACAGGGGUUAUUAGGAAUAUUAAAAAAAAGUUUAAAUAUUGAAAAUAUAGGUAUGGGUUAUAAAAUUCAUAAUAUAAAGACACAAAAUCAAGAUAAAGAUUUAAAAAUUUAGAACCAUGAGAGCGUGAUUUGUAAGUUUCAAAGAAGUAUGUGCAAAUAUAUGCAUUAUCGAUGCCCAAUUAAGGGUGGGCAUUAAGAUUGGGUUAACCCGAACAGAAUCGAACUUAAAAUUUAUUUGCUCACAAAUGGGUGGUUUGUGGGGGGGAUUCACUUGCUUUUGUUUGCAUUGCCUGAUUGGAUAAAAGUUUGUAGAACAUCGUCUGUUUGGUUAAAGCCGAGCAUGAGUGAAUAAAAAUUAAAAAUAAAUAAUUUUCCAUUAAUUUGCAACAAGUAUUAAUAAAGUGCAUGAGAAAAGACACCAGGAUAUGCUUUUUUUUUAAAAAAAUUAAAAUAAAUGUGUUAAUUAGUCAAUUUAAAUGGUAUGACAUUUUGAAAUGACAGAAGCGAUCUAAAGUUUAAAUCUCACUCACACUUAAUUUAGGGUUGGGGAUUAAUUGACGUAAUAUAUAAUAACGAAUUCAAAAGACAAUUAAAAAUUAAAAGAAAAUAAAAAAGUGCUUUCUUUUUUAUGAUGGUAAUUUGUUUAGAUGAUGAAAACUCUUAGAGUGGUAUUAUCAAUACAUAGUUUCUAGCGUUGCCAAUGUGAAUAAUAUUUAAUUUCCUUUAUAUAGUUAUAUCUCAACUAACAUUUAAACAGAAGUAAGUUGUAAAAAAAAUGAACCAUUGAGAUUUGAGAGAACAAAAAACUAAAAAAAAAAAAAGUUAAAAAAUUAGAUCUCAAUAAAUUUACUUGAGAACUACUUUACUGAUUAGUGAAGAGAAAACACAAAAAAUAAUGAUGUAUCUCAAUUAAUAAGACAAUUUUUGUAUUUUUCAUUUAUUCAAGAAUCACGAAACUUCAUUUAAACUUGUUAUUUCAUUGAUAAUAUAUUAAUAUUGAACAAUUAAUGUGGGAGACAUUCCUUUCCAAUUAUGCCCAUAUAUUAAUUAAAGAUCACCAAAAAGUUCAGGGAUACUAUAAUAAUUUAAGUCAACAAUUUCUGAGCUUGAAAUCAGCCGAUCAAACUCACUUUAGAAUAAACUGAGAAAUCAAAAUCACAUUCUCCGAUUCUACUAUUUCAAUUCAUCUUAUUUCUUCAACUGAAAAAUUGGUUGUAUUUUGUUUUAUUUUAUUUUUAUUUUUAUAUAAAGAUAAAUAUAAAAUAUAAAUGACGAGGAGACUGUAAAAGUAAAAUCAAAAGAAGAGCACAAGUUUUAUUGAAAAUGACUCUUUUCAUCAUUUUGCCGGAGUUAAUGUAUCUACAUAUAAACUAAAGAAGCACAUUUGUUUGUAUUAGCUUUUUUAUUGUAUUUUUAAUAAUAAGUCACUUGCCAAUGAACUUAUAUCGAUUUUUACGAAAAUAAUAGGUGUUAGUUAGAUUAUUCAAAUGGCAAAACCUCUUGGGACAGAGCUUGUAAUUUAGUGGCUCAUGAAUUGUCUAAAUUGACACUACCGAAUUAUUGUAUUUGGUUAAAAAAGCUCCUACUCUGCUUCAACUUUAUUAUCCUAUGAUGUUUAUUAAUAAAUAACAAUUUUAUUGAAAAAAAGACCUCUUGAAAUGAUACAAAAGAUUUGGGACAUGAAUCUCACUCGAAUUUAGCUUGAGGUUGGCAUUGUUAGCAUAAUAUUGAAGAUAGAUUUUUUUUUAAUUAAAAAUCAAAAGAUUUUUUUUUUUGGGUUCAUACUAGUUAGUUUUAACUUAUAGUGAGAUUUAAACAAAAAAGGAAUAGUAAAUCUUGAUAUCCUGACUCAUGGAUAAUGUAUAAAUAAGAUAGUAAAAUUUAUUGUGUCAAAAAUAAGAGGUCUGAAGUUUGAAUUUCGCUCACAUAGGUAGUAAGAGAAUCAAAUUAUUGAUAGAUUAAAUUAAUUUAAAAAAUUUCUGAUAUCCAAAACAGCAUACCAACAAAAUUGAAAUAAAAGAAAAUUGAAGAGAAAAACCAUUGAGAGAACGAAAAAUUAACACAAGAAAAUUUCUAUAACUAAUUGUAUCAGUGUGCGCCAACUUCACUUAUUAAAACAUGGUUAUUUCAUUUUCAUGGAUAAUCAUUUUGACACCGGUCAAAUUUAAAAGUUUCAAAAAAUAUGGGCGAUUUUUCUUUCCAGCUAUGCCCAUUAACUAAUAAAAGAACCGCCGAAAGGGUUCGGGGAUAGUAUAGUAAUUUAAACUAACAGUUUCUGUGCUUCAUAUCGUCAGAUCAAACUCACACCUCACAAACGCAGAGAAAUCAAACGGUUUCCGACUCUACGCUUUAAAUUCAGCUUCAUUUCUUCAACUGAAGAAUCGGUCGUCUCUCAUUUUUUAUUUAUUAUAUAAAGAUAAAUAUCUAAAUUUAAAUGGCGAGAAGAGCGGACGAGGAAUACGAUUACUUGUUCAAAGUGGUAUUAAUCGGCGAUUCGGGAGUCGGCAAUUCGAACUUACUCUCCCGAUUUACUCGUAACGAGUUCUGUUUGGAGUCCAAAUCCACUAUUGGCGUCGAAUUCGCCACCCGCACUCUUCAAGUAACUAACUUUUCCUCUUUCCCUUCACUUCUUUUUUAUUAAUUAAUUAAUUAAUUAAGAUCCAGUUAAUGUAAUUAAUUUUAUUUAAUCUUUUAAAUAAAGUUCUAGAUUAGGCUAACUUAGAUUCAUGUGAAGUUGAAGUGAUUUACUUUCGAUCUCUUUUUCGUCCUAUGUUUAUUUGUACUUACUAUUACUUUUUUUUGGGUUUAAAUUUUCGUUUUUGAAGUGUUUACUGAAUAAAUUUCUGAGCUUUAUUUGUGUAUGCUGAUUGAUUUGUGAUUUUAAUUUUGUGACUUUUUUUUUGGAAUUUAAAUUUGAAUGCUUUUUAAGUUGAAUCUGAUUGUGUUGGGCUGCGAUUUAAUUAAGUCAUCUGUGAGCGCCAAAUUGUGAUAGCUAUAUAUUGGGGUGAAAAUUUGGGAUUUAAAGUUAUGUAUUUAAGAUGCAGUUAAUUCGCAAGUGAAAAUUAUGGGCCGGCAGAUUUUGUCAUUGGAAGACUGUUCUCCACAUGUUGAAGUUAGUGAUGCAAGUUGAAACCAAUCUGUUUAAGCUUGGGGUUUCAUGUCUUGAAUCAAGGCUGUGACUUGGGGUGGGUUGAAAGUAUUAUAGCUUUAGCUAUUCCUGAAGUGAUCUGUUUAGACUCACCGUGAUGAGACCGAGUGCUGUACAGUAAAAUGAAAGGAAGUUGGAAAAUAUUUACUUAGCAUUUCGCGUUACUAAUGUUGAACUAAUAAAACCUAGCCCCUAUCCUAGUGAAUUUAUCUUAAAAUAAUAGCAAUAAUAAGUGGACAAAGCUAAGUUCCAGAGGUGAGAUAGGAAAUUCUCCCGCACAACACAGCACAAACAAACUUUCCCUUUCAUUUUCUUUUCUUUUCUUUUUCUUGCUCUCCAAACAGAGCAAAAGUAACGUCGCAAGAUUCUUCACUUCCAUCCAAAAUCAUGAGCAACGAAUAGCGAGCCUCCCUGUUUCCUUCCUUUUUUUGAUAUUAACAUUGUUAACAUCUACUCAUUUUCAUUUGACAAUACUUCAAUUUUUUUAAUUUUUGGCUUUUCAUUUUUUUUUGUUGCUAAACCGAUUAUCUGUUCAAGCUGUUGCUUAUCGGAGACUCGUCCAUCGGAAAGUCCUGCCUGCUGCUCCGAUUUGCUGUCUGUUGACUUUUCCUUUUCCUCUUUAUUUUCUUUUUUUUUUUAUAUAAAUUACUUUCUAUUUUAGCUUUUUGUUCUUUGAAUUUGUGUUAUUAAAAUGAUAAUUUAGAUGGUAAAUAAUUGUUAUUCUUGGAAAUUUCAGUUUUCAUUACGUUAAUUACUAGUUUUUAGGUUUAUUAAUGUAAUUUUUUUUUUAAUUUUUCAGGAUGAUUCUUAUGUCGACAGCUACAUCAGUACCAUUGGAGUAGAUUUUGUGAGUCUCUCUUCUAUAUAUAUGUAUAUAUGUGUAUAAGUUAUAGUAUGAGUCUAUGUACGUGUAUGUAUGUAUGUGUAUGCAUAUGUGGAAAGAAAUGUUGGCAGACUUCAGCAUUUUACUUUUUUUUUUUUAAUUUUGGCAGAAAAUAAGAACUGUGGAGCUGGAUGGGAAGACGAUCAAACUGCAGAUUGUGAGUCAAAAUUUCCUUUUAUCCUGUAUUGAGAGAAAUUCGACUUGUCUUAUUUAGUGAAGGUUAUGUUCAAGAACCUUGUGUUAUUUUCUUUGUUUGAAGAGUUAUAUGUCUUUUAAACAUCAUUUAGGUAAUGUCUGAUGUUUGAUUGUUUUUCAUCUGUUUAGUGGGACACUGCUGGACAGGAGCGAUUCAGGACUAUAACUAGCAGUUAUUACCGAGCCCAUGGAAUCAUAGUAAGGAGCCUUCCCUGUUCUUGGUUUAAAUCAGAAAGUUUGUGAUUUACAUGUGACAUCUUAACAACAUUGUAUGUGUUUAUUAACUUAUUUUUCAUCUUUCAUUAAGCAGUACAUUUUCCAAUAAAUCUGUAUACAAGAUGAUGUAGUCCAAGAAUGGGAGCGAUAAUAUGAUGCAUAUUGUCUAAUAAAUUCUUAUGACAUAUGAUGUUGUCGGAAGUAAAAGUCUUGCAAUGCUGUAUUCUCUUUUAAGAAAGAAUAAGUGAUACUUUUGUUUUUCCAAUUUUUUAAUUGAGCAACUGUGUGAGAUUAAUUAAAUGUGUUUGGAUUUCAACAGAUUGUCUAUGAUGUAACUGAGAUGGAGAGCUUCAAUAAUGUCAAGCAGUGGUUGAAUGAGAUUGACAGAUACGCAAAUGACAGUGUAUGCAAGCUUCUAGUUGGGAACAAAUGCGAUUUAGCUGAGAACAAGGUUGUGGACACAUAGACAGCCAAGGUAUAUUCGUGACUUCUGUCGCCUGAACUUUGAACAUAAUUUUAAGCUCUUCUCAAGUGCAUUUGCUUGGUAAGUUUCUGCAUACCCAGGACGCUCAAACUUUGGACAUUUUGUAUCUCGAGUUGGAAUCUUUUCUGUCAAUACAACUUGUUAAAAUAAGGGUUAUUAUCGUUUGAAUCCUUCAAGAAUUGCAAUAAAUCUAAAGUCCAUAAAAAAUAUGAUUCCAUCAUUUUACUAUUAUAUCCAGACAAAACCCAUUAUUUUACUACAUUUCAUUAGCACCGAUAGUUGACCUGUUGGCUGACUGAUAAAAUAUCAAUUUUGCACUUUAUAUUAAUUCUUUUUUGGUUAAAAAAUAACACACAAAGUAUUACAAUAUUAUAAAUUCAAAAUAUAAAGUAGCUACAAAUAAUUGCUAUUAGCCUAUGAAUUUAAUAUUUGAUACCUCUAUUUGUGUAAUUUUUUUCCAAGAGUGAAAUUGGUAUUUUUUUUGUACUAACGGAAAUGUAGUAAAAUGAUAAGUUUUGUAAAGAUAUAGUAGUAAAAUGAUAGGCUAAAAUACUUCUUGUAGUUGUUUGAUAUAUUGUAAUUCUUAAAGUAGUCAAUUGAUAAUAUCCCCUAAAAUAAAUGUUCGUAAUAUGUUCUCAUUUUAAUGCAACUGAUUGUUUAAUAAAAUUGUAUUUCUUUGUUAAUCUUUUUUCAUGUGCAUGCUCAGUGAGAAUUUGACUUACUAGAACACAAGUUUGACUCUUCAUUUAAAUGUCUCUUGUAUCAUAUCCUUCAAUGUUGAGUGUGAUUCCAAUAAAAUUGAGUAGGGGGAUCCUUAAAUACCUUUUCCUAUUUUCCAAGGGCCUGCCAAAUUGCUCUAAGUGGUUCUACCCUUUAUCAAUGAAUAAUGAAAAUAAAAUUUUUAUUAAAGCAUUUUGUUCCUUAAAUGGUGACUAAUAGUACCCCUUUUUUUGGAGAGGAAAGCCAAACAUGCCCAAAGAGAAUCAUUUACUUUCCUCUAAUGUAUUUUCUAAUUCGUUUUGAGCCUUGAAUGUCUGUUUUGGUGCGUAUUCUCAUUCCAUGUCGAAUCUUAUCCAUAUGGACAACCCCACUUACAAAAAAGUCUAAUGAAUCUAUUGAAGUUCAUAUGAGGUUUGUGCUUUAGAUUUAGACCUCUCUCUCUCUCUCUCUCUCUCUCUCUCCACUUACAUGUCUUUCACUUACCUGUUUGCAUGCAUGCCCAUUCACACACUUUCAAGAUAAUACACAGUCACUCGUACUUGUGUUUUGGUUGAAUUACUGGCUGCUAACCUCUGUAAUUCAGUUUGAAACUUGCCACCCUUAGUGCUUCACUCAAAUGGUUGGUUAGGGUGAGAUCUGUAUCGUUUUCCUGGUCUCUUUCCAAGGUUAUCUAAAGGGAUUUGCCAGUCUGAUUCUUUUGGGAAUAUCAUUGCAUAAGAUAUCUAUUGUUUGUUAAUGAAUAAUUUCUAUUUAACUAGUUAUCUAUAUAAAUUGGUCAAUUUUAACUGCAUAAUUUGCAUGCAAUAAGAUUUUAUAAGAAUCUUGUUUUCAACUCAUGACUUAGACUAAUGUGAUAUGUUGAGCAUUAAGCUACAAGAUCUGCACAUCAAAGUGCUUCACAAUGUUAAGGAGAAAGCAUCUUUUUCUGCUUCUUCAUCUGAUUUAAAGUUUCCAAGGUACUUAUCCAAUAAAAUAUCCUUCAAGACUUUGGAAAUGCUUUUAUGUAUGACUGAGAGAAACUUGUUGGGUUGGUUUUUAGCAACAGACGGAGUUAUGGACUUUGUGUUGACUUGUUAUUGAUUAAGACAGUACAUCGGCUGAUCUAUUGGCAUCAAGCAGCAGAUGCAGAAAUUAUGGGUGGCAUACCAUUGUAUCCAAAUAACAUACUACAUUGAUUUUUCUGACUUUCUGUUGGUCUCCGAGAAAUGCAGGCAUUUGCAGAUGAACUGGGGAUUCCUUUCCUGGAGACGAGUGCCAAAGAUGCAAUCAAUGUGGAGCAGGCUUUCUUGACCAUGGCUGGCGAGAUUAAGAAAAAGUAAAAUCACUUAACUCUUUCCUUCUUGCCGACUGUUCUUAUUUAACAAUCACCAUUAUUGCUGGUUAUAUGCAUUGUGAUGAAAAUUCUGCAAUGAGUAACUUUUUACCUAAUGUUUUCUGUUGGAACAAAUUACUCUGGUAGAAAAGCCCUACAGGGUUUGAGAAAUCCCAUGAUGUGAUGAUUGUGAGCAUUUUAGACACCGUGUAUGGGUUUAUUUUGUGACUAUAAAAUGUUAAGAUUGUUUCUAGUUUUGGUUUGUAGUGCAUAAAAGGAUUCAAAAUUUGACAUCUGUCUAAAUCAGAUUAAUAACAUGAUAAUGUACCUAUGCAAGAUGUGAGGAAUUGUUUUAUCUCACCCCUAAACUUUAAGAAAUUGAAACAUUAUUAUUCAAAAUAUUUAACAUUUCCAGAAUUGAUAGUUGUCUAUUUGAGCAGUGACUGGUGGUUAUCAUGAACUGAUGUGUGGUUGUGGUUUCAAAUCUUGGUGAAACCUGUUGUCAUAUGCUGAUUAACAUAGCUAGUCUCUGAAACAAUUUGUUGAUUCACUAAUUAUGAGUUCAAAUUUGAUGCAGAAUGGGCAACCAGCCUUCUGCAAACAAAUCUUCUGGAACAGUUCAGAUGAAGGGAUAGCCAAUCCAGCAAAACUGCAACCGCUGUGGUUAGCCGAGCAUCUUAUUUUACUUCUACAUGUUAGCUGACUGAUUGUAGACAGUUUUAACUAUGUUGACUGCAUUAUCUUAUGAAUCUUUUAAUCUGUCAAAUAUUUAUUUCCUGGUUUAAGUUCUUUCCCGUUUAUAACAAAUUUAAUUUCUUGCUCCAUUGCAUUCCAAAUUCCUGUCAAUUUACGAGGGAAAAGGAAAAGAGAGACAAAAUGGGAGAAAAUGGUCAAAUUUGUUAGGGGGAGAGAGCUGUUCAAGUAGUUUUUGUUCUCGUUUAUUGUCAUAUCGGAUGGGUAAAGUUACCGAAACAGCGUCAUUUUGGGUGAAUUAUCAUAUUUAUGUAACACUUUUGAUAAUAUUUUUAUGCAACAAAAAAAUGUUAGUACCCUUUUCACAUUGUGAAGCGCAUGAUCGGAUGAGAGCAGUCUGUAUUCUGGCAUCACAAGCUAAUGCUUUGAUUUGCUUAGUUUGUUUUUUUUUUUUUCAUGGAAUUUGGAGAUGUUGUACAUGUAUGAAGAUGACGUAAUAAAGUUGCUUUGAUAAAUUUCCCUGGUCGGUUUACUUCACUAACCAUUAAUGCGCAAAGCCUCCUAAUGACCCUAAAAAAUCCCGUACAUAAUUAAAGAAUUUCAAUUUUAUACGUACAAAAAUAAAUAACUCUCAAAUAUAUUAUUUGAUAAUUCCAAAAACAGCAAUUCAUUCUAAUAAAUCUCGUAGGAAAUACAUGGUCUAUAUUGCAAGUUUUUUUUAGACUAAUUCAAAGAGAAAAUAUGAAGGACAUAUAAUUGUCCUUUAAUUGUCAUAAAGAACUCUAAAUAAAUUCUUAUACGCAUUGCAACUAAUUACAGCCUUGAUACUUCAUUUGGUUUUUGUUAAUUUUCUAUACAGUUGUGUUGUGCAUAAAAGUUUUGUUAAAUGAAAUCGGUAGGUGAGGGUUAAUUAAUCAAUUAAUUAAGAUCCAGUUAAUGUAAUUAAUUUUAUUUGAUUUUUUUAAUUCGAGUUCUAAAUUAAUCAAUGAAUUUAGAUUCAUGUGAAAUUGAAGUGAAUUAGUUUCGAUCUGUUUUUCGUCCUAUGUUUGUCUGUGUUUACUCUUACUUUGUUUUUUUUGUUUAAAUUUUGUUUUCUUAUUGUUUACUGAAUAAAUUUCUGAGCUUUAUUUGAGUAUGAUGAUUGAUUUGUGAUUUUAAUCUAAAUGUGUUGGGCUGCGAUUUAAUUGAGUGAUGUGUGAGCGCCAAAUAUUCAAUAACUGAUAAAUUAUAUUUAUAAAUAUUAAUAGCGAUGGCACAUAAACAAUUAAUUCAAGAACUUGCCCAUAGUGAUUAAUUUAAAGAGUAUAAGUAACAUCGCAAUACAGUCUAGCCCUUACAUGUUUAAUUAGCAAUUGAAAACUACUGUUGCUGAUGAGGUAGAACAUUAUAACACUGUUGCUGAUGAGGCAGCUGGUAAUUCUUCUGGUGAAGAUAUUAAGACUAUUAAAGCUGAAAUGUAAUUAGAGAAAUAUAAUGCAUUCCCUUAGUUUGCUUUUUGUUUUUUAUAUUUGUUUGGCUAAUGCUUUGCUUAGAUUGCUUUUUGUUUUUUGAGAUUUUAUUGGCUUAGUCGUGGGGUAUUGUUUUCUCUUCUAAUUUCUAUUUUUGUUGUUAUGGGAUUUGAUUGUGGUGUACAUAUACGAAAAUUAUGUAAUCAAAUGCUUUCAAUAAAUUAUUUAAAUUAGUUUUCAACUGAGAUUUGAAUUUUGAAAUUACAUACACAAACAAGCCCAUUUUUUUUAAAUACUAAUAAUAAAAUAUUUCAUUUUUCAUCUAUUACUACAAGAGGUAUAAUCGCAAAAGUGAGGAAGGCAGUCAUCCUCUGUUCAAUUAUCAAAAACUCCUUUUACCAUCCAUUUGAACAUACACAAACACGCCCAAUUUGAAAAAAAAAAAAGUAGUCAUUUUAAAAUAUUUCAAUCGUCCACUGUUCAGUCACCAAAAACUCCUUUUACCAUCCAUUUCAACGCCUAAUUUGAAAAAAGAAAAUACUAAUAAUAAUAAAAUAUUCUAGUCGUCCAUCCUUUUACAAAUCAAAAAUAUCACCAAAAACCAAUUUCCAAUCUAUUUCAAAACAAAUUUUGCCAAAGUCCUCCUCGGCUAAUUAAUUCAUACAUUAAUACAGUCCUCCUCUGCUGAAUAAUGCAAACCCGUUACGUUAUUCUACCAUUUCUUAAAUUUAAAGCAUUCCACCAUUUAAUAAAAAAAAUUCGAAAACCCAUUAUAUACAAUACAAAAAGCCCACCGACACCAAACCAUAUUAAUUUAAAAUAGUUUUCAAUUGAGAUUUGAAUUUUAAAAUUACAUACACAAACACACCCGAUUUAAAAUAAUAAUAAUAAUAAUGCUAACAAUAAAAUAUUUCAGCCGUCCUCUGUUCGGUCACUAUUCACUAAAAACCAAUUUACCAGCUAUUACAACAAGAGGUAUAUGGGUUAACAAGUCCCAAUAUUGUCCUCCAUCCUUUCUGCACUUCUCUUCCAUCAACGGACAUCUCCAGAAAGUAUUUGAGCUUGGGACAUCCCCUGAGAAACAAUGAAGUGAGGUUUUGAAGAUCAACAAUUGAAGAAGAUAGGCGUUCCAGAUUUGGAAAAUUGAAAAUCUUCAGAGACGUUAGAGAGGCAGGAAGAGGAAGCGCGGUCCCUAAUCUUUUGUCCUCUAGUGGAAAUGACACCAUGUCCUCAUCACAUCCACUGAUUAAAAGAUAUCGCAGAGAGGAGAAUCUGUGAAAUCCCCGUCCCCGCUCAAUCAUUGACUUCCAAAUCUCCAUAUUACCCCAAAUAUUAAGUGACUGAAGGUUGGUGGGAAGGCCAUCUUCUUCUUCAAGGCUUGGAAGCGCACCUCCUUUUCCUAUUGUUAAGUCUUGAAGAGAGCUCAGUUUGUGCAAUCCCUUGGGUAAGGCCUCUAGUCUCUUACAAUUAGAUAUCGCCAGCCUCCUGAGUUUCGCACAAGGCAAUCCCCCUUCGGGAAAGGACACCAGAUUUCCACAACUCUGUAUAUCAAUCUCUCGAAGCUGGUGGAGUUUAUGUAAACCACUCGGUAAAAUUUUCAGAUUUUCACAAUUAUAAAUACUGAUUGUUUCAAGAGAUGUGUUGUUGUCCAACCUUUCUGCUAUUGACUCCAGCUUUGAACAUCCAUAAACAAAAAGGGACUUAAGAGACGGAGGUAGAUUGCCAACUUCAAGGGACUCAAGCGUGGCAGGUGUUGAUGCGAGAUUCCGGUUCUCCUCGUUCCACGACCAGGAUCUCUGCUCGAUCAACUUCUCCACGACCAGGAGGUCUCCUAGUAAUACUUCUUCUCCAGAUGUCCCUGCACAAACAGACAAGUCAGAGUACGCCGGUUGUUCCCCCGGCGCAAACCCUCCGACGCUCAAGUCAGAUAUGAAGGUUCAGGGAACGCUUGCCACAGGUCUUAUGGCUUUUUCGUGGUUUUUCUCUAAUCUCAAAAAUGCCAACCCUUUUACCUUCGUUGGCUACCUUUUUAUAGGCUUCCUCUGAAUCUCAGUCUUCCGCUCUUUUCGAGACGGUAUGGGACUCCAACUGCUGCGUUAUGGGCAAACGUGGGAUCUAGCGUGUUACGCCACGGUUCAGGGGAAAGCGUGGCUGUCAUGGCUCUGUGAGACCUUGCGUGUUACGCCACGGUUCAGGGGAAAGCGUGGCUGUCAUGGUUCUGUGAGAUCUUGCGUGUUACGUCACGGUUCCGGGGAAAGCGUGGCUGUUGUGCCUAGAUUCUCGUGCUGGAGAGCACGUCUUGCCAACUGCCGUCGACCGGGUCUCCUCGCCUCUCGACCUCUAGCCGGGAUGGCCUUAUGCCUCUUAUAGGAAAUUGGCCUCGCGGAUGACAACAUCGUGGACGAGCAGGAUAUUUCUGCUCCUGUUCUUCCACGCACCAGGCUUUAACGGAACACACCGGUUCGCAGAACUCCGCCAUCAGAUAUCUGCUCGUCAUUCCUGGUCCCGUCGACGCAUUUAUCCCAAACAGUAUCUCUCCCAAACACCGGUCCCCCAGUUUCUGGUGUUGGGUAAUGUAGUGGACCAGCAGUAGAAACUCGAUAGUACUCGCUCGCGUGGGAUUGGAAAAGGCUGCCAAGAGUCAUGUCGCAUUUAAUUGCGGACGAGGUGACGUGGCAGAAAUCCCGCCCUCCAUUUGAAUUUCAAACCGACGGUUACCAGAUCCUCGGGAUUCGGCGCGGUUAUAUGCUGGCAACCCAAGAGUCUGUCCUCAUUUGGAAAGCCGAAUCCUCUCGAACGGCAUAUUCACAAUUCACUCCGUCUCUGUCUCUGUUUCUCCGGCGAAGAAGUUCCGGCACAAAGCCCCCAUCCUUGCCUUUCUCCGAUUGGAGCAGUACUUCAGGUAUUACUUCUCUCUCCUCGGUCUCGGAUAGUUUGUAGAUAACUUCUUUUUUCUUUCGUUUGGGUGGUAGUUGGUGGCGUUGUAGUUAGAGUUUAGGGAAUGCCGAAAGGCAAAGAGAAGGUCAUUGAGGUUGAUGACGACGAGUUGGACUUCCUACCUAGUCUGCUCGCUGAUCCCGCUUUUGACCCCGGGAUCCCCUUAGAGCCCAUUAGGUCUAGUGUUGGUACUAGCGCUAGGAGGAUGUCUCCCCAAACAACCUCCUCGAGCGACAGUAGCGAUGAAGAAGGAUCUUCUGGAUCGGAGAACACCUUGAGUGAGGGUCAAGGGGAUGAUUCUGGUGAGGCGUCCCCCUCAGGAGCGCCGCGACCAGAAAGGAGGAGUAGAAUAGGAGGUAGAGCCCUAUCGCGGGAUUACGCUAUUGAUUACAUGACGUGCACGACCACGUUUGAUGAGCUCGAGGACCUCCGGCUGAGGUAUAGCAUUCCUGGUGAAAUACAUCUCAAGGUCCCAGGAAAGAAGGAUGCUCCCAGCCGCCCUCCGAGGGGACAUGUUACCCUGUAUCUGGACAGCUUUAAGUACGGGCUGAGGUGUCCCUUGCAGCCUUACUUUGCCCGGAUACUCAACGGGCUAAAUCUGGCUCCUGGUCAGUUGAAUCCCAAUGGGUGGAGAGUGCUCUCUGGUCUGUUCAUUUUGUGGGACAGAUGUUGCCAAAGCGAGCCCACGGUUGAUGAGGUGAAGCACCUGUACCAGCUAAAGAGCAGCCCCAAAGAUGCCGGCUGGUACUACUUCCAAUCUAGCACCAAGAGCAGGAAACCUAUAACCGACCUCCCUACUGGUGGUGGCGGGAAUUGGAAGAGAAAGUUCUUUUUUGCUGGGGGUCCGUGGGGUCAGGUCGCGCAAACGGACGGGAAGGAUUAUCGGGUCCCACCCCGUUUCACGGUCCCAGGUUGCCUGCUCGCUUCAGAUGCCUUGUAUCCAUACUUGUUCUUGUUUUGUCGGCUUGUUUCUAACCAAGUGUCUUGUUUGUGUUGUAGUUUCUUGGGGUGUCCACUUCCCGCUCGGACCUGAACAGCUCAAACGGGUCGAAGCGGUGCUGGCCAAUUCUUGCUCGACCCGAGAACUGCUAAGUACAUACAACUUGCUCGAGUCUCGCUUGAUACUCCCUGGCCAUAAGAUGGAGGACGCUGUGAUUGGGGCUCUGACCCGAAAACGUUCUCGACCUUCAACCACGAAGAGGGAUGAGAGUAAGGAUGCCCCUACUGCAAAGCGGGCCAACAUCGUGCAGCAGGCUCCACCCUUGAAGAUUUUACCUCCUGCUCCUGAAAAAGUUGGGGAAGCUAGUGGAGCAGCCACAGAUCCCGCCACCUCUUCUCCUCCUGUCGGGCCUCGACCUCGCUUACCUGACAGCCGAGCAGAACCUCUGGUCCCUUACCUCAAUGAGUUAGCUAAACUCGUGAGCAAGGAGGAGCUGGAGGACUUUGAUGGCCGCACCUUGGGCGAGCUGGUGGGGGCCAUUCAGCAUAGCGCCUUCCACCUCAGCUGCAUGGCCACCUAUUAUAAGGCUAAAGUGGGCCGUUACGACCGGAAGAUGAAGGGGGACAUCCAGUCGGCGACGACCAGGGCCGACGUUGCCGAGAAGAAAGCAGGGGAGCUGAAUCUCGAGAACCUGAAGCUGGUAGAGCAAGAAUCGCUUGCUCAAGCAAAAGCCAUUACCCUUGAGGGGGAGCUCACCAAGGUCAAGGAGGAUCUGCAAAGGCAGAAGGCUAUGUAUGAGGCUCAGCUCGAAUCUCUCCGCGACUCCCACCGAGCUCAGGUCGAGAACCAUCGAGCUCAAGUCGAGAACUUGGAGAGGGAGGCCGACAACCAGUACGACCAGGGACUUCGGCAUUCCUAUCGUUGCAUCAUGGCCGUCCUUGCGAAGCAACACCCUGACCUGAAGAUGGAAGACCUUGCAGCUGGUGUUGCCCAGCAUAUGGAUGAGGAGGCGGCCAAGGAAGAUACCGAAGGGGUAGAGCCGAUCGUGAUCGAGGAGGAAAACUCUCCUCCUCGUGUAGUCCCUGCUGAUGUCGGCGAGGCGGGCACCCCCCGGACGCAACUGGUGAUACCCCCCCUGCACCCGAGGAGGUCCAGCCGACCGAUGCUACUCGGCUCACUGAUCCACCAUCUUUGUGAUAUAUUUCUUUUUGUAUUGUAAUGAACAACGUUUAUGAAAUUUCCUUUGUUAGCCAUUAACACAUUAAUAAAAAUGUUGUUGAUUACUUUCUCGUGUAUAUGAAUUAUUUUUCGUUCAAGAGUCUGCUUGUCUUUGUCUUACACGAGCAGGUUCCGACGAGCCUUUGCACGCCUUAGGAUUUUCUUCAAACGAUUUGGAUUCUGCUGCCUUCUCGUGGCCGAGCAGAUCCUGGCAUGCUUGGCUUCUGUCUCGCCAUAAGACAGGCUCUGAGACUUGGCGAGCCUUUGCAUGCCUUAGGUUUUUCUUCAAACGAUUUGGAUUCUGCUGCCUUCUCGUGGCCGAGCAUAUCCUGGCAUGCUUGGCUUCUGUCUCGCCAUAAGACAGGCUUUGAGACUUGGCGAGCCUUUGCAUGCCUUAGGUUUUUCUUCAAACGAUUUGGAUUCUGCUGCCUUCUCGUGGCCGAGCAGAUCCUGGCAUGCUUGGCUUCUGUCUCGCCAUAAGACAGGCUCUGAGACUUGGCGAGCCUUUGCAUGCCUUAGGAUUUUCUUCAAACGAUUUGGAUUCUGCUGCCUUCUCGUGGCCGAGCAGAUCCUGGCAUGCUUGGCUUCUGUCUCGCCAUAAGACAGGCUCUGAGACUUGGCGAGCCUUUGCAUGCCUUAGGAUUUUCUUCAAACGAUUUGGAUUCUGCUGCCUUCUCGUGGCCGAGCAGAUCCUGGCAUGCUUGGCUUCUGUCUCGCCAUAAGACAGGCUCUGAGACUUGGCGAGCCUUUGCAUGCCUUAGGAUUUUCUUCAAACGAUUUGGAUUCUGCUGCCUUCUCGUGGCCGAGCAGAUCCUGGCAUGCUUGGCUUCUGUCUCGCCAUAAGACAGGCUCUGAGACUUGGCGAGCCUUUGCAUGCCUUAGGAUUUUUUCGGUUUCAAGCGAAUGGAAUUCGUCGACGCUCCAUUAAUGGCAGGAUUUGACUUACAUGAAAUUGUUCGGACAUAAAACGUGAAAAAUAAACGAUAAUGAACAUGAGCAACAACGGUUUUUAAAUGUGAACAAGUCUUACUGGAAGUAUUUCCGGAGGUGUGCUGCGUUCCAUGGGCGUUUCACUUCGUGGCCGUCCUCGCGAACCAGCUUGUAAGCUCCGGGUCCCGCUAUCUGCUUGACUCUAUACGGCCCUUCCCAAUUCGGUCCCAGUACUCCUUGAGUCGAAUCUUUGGUGCUCUGAUUCACUCUUCUCAGUACCCAGUCUCCGACUCUGAAUUGCCGUAUGUUCACCUUCUGGUUAUAAUACCGAGCAACCCUCUGCUGGUAAGUGGCUGAUCGCUCGGCUGCUUGUUCCCUCCUCUCCGUUAGCAGAUCAAGAUUCAAACAUAUCUGCUCGUCGUUCUCGUGCUCAUUGAAGUGCUCUGUCCGGUGUGUGGUCGUUCCUAUCUCAGCCGGCACAACCGCUUCAUGUCCGAAAGCCAAAGCGAACGGUGUCUCCCCAGUUGCGGUCUUGUGGGUUGUUCUGUAUGCCCAUAGCACACCCGACAGCUCGUCAACCCACGCACCCUUUUUUGCUCCGAGCCUGGUUUUCAGAAGCCUCUUGACGGUCUUGUUGGCUGCUUCUACUUGUCCAUUCGAUUGAGGGUGAGCAGGCGAGCAGUACUUCAGUUCUAUCCCGAGGUUCUGGCAAAAAUCCCUGAAGCUGUGAUUAUCGAACUGCCUGCCAUUAUCCGUUACCAAGGCAUAUGGGAUCCCGUAUCGACAGACCAGGUUUCUCCACACGAAGUCUGUUGUUUUCUUCUCUGUGAUCCUGCUAAGGGCUUCUACCUCUAUCCACUUCGUGAAGUAAUCUAUAGCAACUAUUGCAUGUGUUGCUGCUCCUCGUCCCUUCGGCAAUGGGCCGAUCAGAUCAAUUCCCCAUUGAGCGAAUGGCCAAGGGGAGGCCAUGGAGGUGAGCUUCUCUGGUGGUUGGUUAGAGAAAUUUGCAAAACUCUGGCAGCUUGCACAGCUCCUGGUCUUCCUUUGUGCAUCCUGGUGCAUCGUCGGCCAGAAAUAUCCCUGCCUUAGAACCUUGUGGGCCAGGGACCUCCCGCCAGAAUGAUUUCCGCAAAUUCCUUCAUGUACUUCCCUCAGCACGUAAUCUGCGUCGUCAUCGUCCAAACACCGAAGGAACGGUAAUGUAUAUCCUCGCCGAUACAGUACCCCAUCGAUCAUCGUGUACCUCGAGGCCUGAGCCCUAGUCUUCCGAGCUCGCAGCUUGUCUGGUGGUAAGACCCCGUCUCUAAGGUAUGAAACUAUCGGGUCCCUCCACGAGCCUUUUUGUUCUAUCCGUAGCACGCCCACAUUUUGCUCGAUACUUGGGCGAGACUUCACCUCUAGGGGGACCGACUUCGGCAUUUUUGGGUCGGCUACGGCUGCCAUCCUAGCCAAAAUGUCUGCUCGACUAUUCUGCUCCCUGGGGAUUUGUAUCACCUCCACUGCUUUGAACUUCCCCAUCAUCUGCCUGACUAUCUUUAGGUACUGUUCCAUCUUCUCCUCUCUUGGUUGGAAUCUUUCACUAACAUGAUUCGCAACCAACUGGGAAUCGGUUCUGAUCUUAACUCUGUCUGCUUUCACGGCCCUAGCCAAUUCCAGACCCGCUAUCAAGGCCUCAUAUUCUGCCUGGUUAUUGGUGGCUGCAAAUCCCAACUUUAUAGCAUAAGAGAUCUCCUCCCCCUGUGGGCCUUCCAGGACAAUCCCUGCUCCUGAACCCCGCUCUCCUGAUGACCCAUCCACAGAUAUCUGCCAUACUUGAGUUUCGUCGCUGCCUAUAUCUGCAUCUUGUUGCUCUAAGCAUACUUCGGGCUCUGCGAACUCAGCUACGAAAUCGGCCAUUGCCUGGGCCUUUAUCGCCGCGCGGGGUUUAUAGUCUAUGUCGAAUUCGCUCAUCUCUACGGCCCACUUGACGAGCCGACCAGAGGCAUCUGGCUUGUGCAGAAUUUGACGCAAUGGCUGGUUGGUUAUUACCGAGACCGGGAAUGCUUGAAAGUAUGGCCUCAACUUCCGAGCAGCUACCACAAGGGCAAGUGCCCAUUUCUCCAACGGUGGGUAUCUGGUCUCAGCGUCGAGCAGGGCCUUACUGGUGUAGUAUAUCGGAUACUGAACUCCUUCUUCCUCUCUCACCAGAACGGAACUGGCGGCCCGAUCCGAUACCGCCAAAUACAGAUUCAACUUGUCCCCAUCCCUCGGUGUGGACAGUAGCGGAGCUUGCUGCAAGUAUUGCUUCAAGUUCCGGAAGGCUUCCUCGCAUUCCGGGGUCCAUUCCGUUUUCUUUCCCCUCCUUAUCACUCGAAAGAAUGGCUGACACUUAUCUGUAGCCUUGGAUAUGAAUCUGCUCAACGCCGCCAACCUCCCCGUGAGGCUCUGCAUCUCCUUCAGGUUUCGAGGAGACGUCAUUUGCACAAUCGCCUGGAUCUUCUCGGGAUUUGCUUCAAUCCCCCUAUGGCUCACCAUGAAUCCCAGGAAUUUCCCUGACUCGACCCCAAAAGCACACUUCUCCGGGUUGAGCUUCAUCUUAUACUUCCUCAAAAGUUCGAACGUCUCCUCGAGAUGUCUGACAUGUUCCUUCGGGAUUUUGGACUUGGUGAUCAUGUCGUCCACGUACACCUCCAUGGUUUUCCCGAUCAAGGGCUUAAAGACUUUAUUCACCAGCCUUUGAUAGGUGGCCCCAGCAUUCUUGAGACCGAAUGGCAUCACCCUGUAACAGAACAAACCUUGGUUAGUGAUGAAAGCUGUGCUCUCCUCAUCCGGCUCGUACAUGGGGAUCUGGUUGUAUCCCGAGAAUGCGUCCAUGAAGCUGAGCAGACCAUGUCCAGCCGUUGAAUCUACUAGCUGAUCGAUCUUUGGUAAAGGGAAACUGUCUUUUGGGCACGCCUUAUUGAGGUCUGUGAAAUCCACACACAUCCUCCACUUGCCGUUUGCCUUCUUUACCAACACCACAUUUGAUAUCCACUCUGGGUAAUUGACUUCCCGAAUGAACCCUGCUCUCAGAAGCUUCUCCACCUCAUCAUUUACAGCCUCAUACCUCUCCUGGUUGAAGCACCUCCUCUUCUGCCUUACUGCCCGAGCACCUUUCUUUAUUGCCAGCUUAUGACAUGCUACCUCUGGAUCAAUCCCUGGCAUGUCUUCAUGUGUCCAGGCGAACACGUCAGCGUGAGCCUGUAAGCAUUUCACCAACUCCUGCUUUUGCUCUCCCUUAAGUCUCGACCCGAUUCUGAUCGUCUUUCCCGAGUUCUCUGGUCCCAUGCUUACUGUCUCCAGAUCCUCUACGGGUUCUUGUCUGCCAGUCUUGUUUUCCACUCGGGUAUCGAGGGAUGUUAUCUGCAUCGCCUCCCUUGCUGCCGAGGAGUAGCAGCUUCUCGCGAUCCUCUGGUCUCCUCGUACCACUCCGACUACCCCAUUCACCCGGUACUUCAGAGCCAGAUAAUGGUUGGACAACACCGCUUUGCUCAUCCUUAAAAAUGGCCGACCUAGGAUCAUCUGGUAAGGACCUUCCUCAUCCACUACGACGAAGUCCAGUAUCAUUGUUCUUUCUGUCGGGGGGCUCCCAAUUGUGAUAGGUAGUUCGACCACGCCCAGGGGGACCAGCUUCCCUCCUCCGAACCCCUUCAAGGAGGUGUUGGUGUAUUCCAACUUCCGGUCGGCUAUUCCCAUCUCUUCCAGAGUUGACUUAAAUAACACAUCGACCGAGCUCCCCGUAUCAACCAGUAUCCGGUCAAGCUUCUUGCUAGCGACCGUAGCCUUGAUGACUAAAGCAUCCUCGUGGGGGUAUAGAAUCCCUUCCUCAUCCUCAUCCGUCCACAUGAUUGGCACUUGCCUGACCCUUGCUCGUUUGGCUGCCGGGGUGUUGAAGAGUAUCUCUUUGCUGGUCAUGGCAUAUCUGGCGUAAUUUUUUCUCGAUCUGUUCGAAUCUCCGGCCAACGUUGGGCCCCCAGCUAUCACCCUUACUGCGGGCUGCUCGCGUCUCAAGAUUCCAUCACUCUGCUCCCCUUCAUCUGUUGUGGCCAUCAUCGGAAAAGUCCCAUCCAUAAACUCGUCCAGGUACCGAUUUCUCACCAAAUCUUCAACCUGGGUCUUGAGAUCUCUACACUCUGCUGUGGUAUGGCCAUGGGUGCCAUGGAACUUACAAUAACGUCCUCUAUCCCUCCUGUUGGGUAGCUUUGUUAUUGGUGUAGGGAGGUGCAGCAGCCCUCGAUCCUUUAUGGCCUCGUACACCUCAUCCAGGGGCAUCUUCAAGGGAGUGUACCGCCCAUAGUCCUGGUUCUGGUCGACCAGAUGUACUGCUCUUUCUCUGUUCGCCCCACUGUGAGUUGGGGGCGGUGGAAGUGCUUCUGGUCUGCUCGUCCUGCUACCGUGGGAAUGUUGAUGAAGACCACCGGGUGCCGAAUCAUGCCUUCUCCAAGGCUCCCUAGCUGGGGAACGAGGAGGUGGCACCCUGCUGCGCUGAUACUGUGGCGGCCUCUGAUGAGGCUGGUAAGCAAUCACCCUACCUCCUGCUCCACUACCGGAGACCUGGUGGUCCCUCCUCCUGAUCGGCCCAUUCCCUGGUGAUGCUUUCUUCUCUUUCCUCCCUAACCCUUCCAACUGGUCUGUCUUGAUUCGUGCAGCCUUCUCCUCCUCAAUCUCGAUGUCUCUUUUAGCCUGUUCGUAUGCGGCCGCAUACGUUUGAAUAGCUGGGCUUCUCAAAUUGUACCACAGCCUUCCUAUCUUCACCCCUUCUUUCAAUCCCCUUAACGCCUGAGGGUGGUUGAAGGCUCCCAAGUCGAGGACAGCCCGAUGAAACCUCUUGAUGAAUUCCCGAAGGGUUUCUUGCUCCCCCUGUUUCAUGCUCUUCAGCUCCAUCAUGUCAUCUUCCGGAGACAUUGCCCCACUAAACUGCUCUGCGAAUUCCUGGCACAUCUGCUCGAAGGUUUUAAUGCUGCCCCGAGGAAGUUUCCUGUACCAUUCUCGUGCACGUCCCUCAAGGGAUAGUGGGAAUACCCUGCACCUUUGGGAUGGAGAUAAUCCCUGUACCCCCGUUAUGUCGUUGAAGCGCUCUAUGUGCAUCAGCGGAUCAGUUCUUCCCGAGUAUCUGAGGUCGGGGAGGCGGAAAUCUCUCGGAAUAACUGCCCUCAUGAUCUCUGCUGCGAGCGGUGAUUCUCCGUCCAGCAUUAUCCUCCAACCAGGGGCUCUGUUCCUCCCUUGCAUGUCGUCAAUUAUUUGCGCUAGCCUUCGCACUUCCUCCUCCAGCUGCCCUGCACGACCAGGGUCACGUGCCGCAACUUGAUCCCGCUCUUGCUCUACAUCAUGCAAGUGUUGCCUCAGCUCUGUUUCCUCUGCAUUCACCACCCCGUCGCCCUCGUCGCAAGUCUGUCUCGCCGGGGACUGCUCUCUUUCUCUAUGAAAUUCUCCCCGCAGAGGUACGUUACCUCUCUCACCACCAAAUCUCCCAGCGGUUAGACUUCUCCCCGCACUAUCGGGACCUGGUGCCGCUCCACCGCCUCUCACCCUUCCCUCUUGGGUUGCCCUCCGCUCGUUCCGCAGCUCAUGCAGGAUGGUUGUCAAGGUCUCCAUCUGCUUUUCCAUUCGUUCCAUCCGGUCGAACAUGACUUGUUCCCGUGCUUCGCUGAUUACCUCCCUCAGCGUCACGGAAUCGUUAAGCCUCAUGUCACCCCCUUGUGCGCUACUUCCUCCUCUCUCCAUUGCUUCUCGCUUACUCCACCCCUCUUCUUGCUAUCGACAGAAGCUUUUCGCUCUGGAUCCCCACAGACGGCGCCAAAAUGUUGAUGCGAGAUUCCGGUUCUCCUCGUUCCACGACCAGGAUCUCUGCUCGAUCAACUUCUCCACGACCAGGAGGUCUCCUAGUAAUACUUCUUCUCCAGAUGUCCCUGCACAAACAGACAAGUCAGAGUACGCCGGUUGUUCCCCCGGCGCAAACCCUCCGACGCUCAAGUCAGAUAUGAAGGUUCAGGGAACGCUUGCCACAGGUCUUAUGGCUUUUUCGUGGUUUUUCUCUAAUCUCAAAAAUGCCAACCCUUUUACCUUCGUUGGCUACCUUUUUAUAGGCUUCCUCUGAAUCUCAGUCUUCCGCUCUUUUCGAGACGGUAUGGGACUCCAACUGCUGCGUUAUGGGCAAACGUGGGAUCUAGCGUGUUACGCCACGGUUCAGGGGAAAGCGUGGCUGUCAUGGCUCUGUGAGACCUUGCGUGUUACGCCACGGUUCAGGGGAAAGCGUGGCUGUCAUGGUUCUGUGAGAUCUUGCGUGUUACGUCACGGUUCCGGGGAAAGCGUGGCUGUUGUGCCUAGAUUCUCGUGCUGGAGAGCACGUCUUGCCAACUGCCGUCGACCGGGUCUCCUCGCCUCUCGACCUCUAGCCGGGAUGGCCUUAUGCCUCUUAUAGGAAAUUGGCCUCGCGGAUGACAACAUCGUGGACGAGCAGGAUAUUUCUGCUCCUGUUCUUCCACGCACCAGGCUUUAACGGAACACACCGGUUCGCAGAACUCCGCCAUCAGAUAUCUGCUCGUCAUUCCUGGUCCCGUCGACGCAUUUAUCCCAAACAGUAUCUCUCCCAAACAGCAGGUAACUCGUUUUUUGAAAAUAUACAUGUCAGUGAUGGACAGCGGUCAAUUGAUAAGUGCUCAAGAAUAGAUGAGGUGUACCUUCUGCCGCUGCUACACUGGAUGCCCUCUUCCACUGUCAAAGUCCUUAUAUUAUCACAAUGCCAGAUCGUCAACUUCUUAAGGCUCGAUGGUAGCUGGACAGCAGCAAUAUAUGUCAACGAACGGCAACCAUGAAUACUCAAGAUCUCGAGAGACGAAUUGGUGUCGCACAUCCAUGCCUCUGGUAACGAUUUCAGUGCAUCACAAUACCUAAUCUCAAUUUUCCUCAACUUGGAAGGCAGAGCAACCUCAGGAAAGGAAACAAGGGAACUGCACUCGUAGAUUUCUAUCUCUCUCAAGGAACUGAGGCUGAACGAUGAUUGUGGCAGCUUCACAAGGCCUUCGCAAUUACUCAAUCUUAGAUAUUCAAGUCUGCAUGACAACUCGCAGAGCUGCUGUUGUUGGUCUUUCUUUUCCUCCGCCACCAAGGAUUGAAGUUUGGGACAGCUGUCAAUCGUCAGUCUUUUGAGAGAGUAAAUGUCUUGCAGUAAUUCGUUAUGACUCUUCCAUAUAUGUGUUUCAUUUUUAAUAUUUUUUAUCUCCAAUUCUUCCAGUUUUGGUAUUCGCGGCUUCAAUGGCCCUGCGAGAAACACUUGAUUUGAUGUAUCUCUACAAACCACUGAAUUCUGUGAGCCGAGAUGAUCAAUUACACUUCUCCACACAACCUUUUUACAUCCACGAAUUACCAAUUUGCAAAGAGCUGGAAGACUCCUAAUUGAAAUUGACAAUUCUUCGCAUUGUUCAAUAACAAGCAUCUCCAAUGCAGGAAGGUGCUCUGGAAAUGUUCCUUGCAGUUUAGAACAUCUUAAAAUGUGAAGCUCUCUCAAUUUAGGAAACCGUUCAACUCCCUGACUGGAUCCAUGAGGAAUCCACUCUUCCCACUCUUGCAGGUCUUCAAAACGAAGAGUCUCCAAGCAUGUAAAUGGAAUUUGAGAGUCAUCCCCAUAGAACUCUGAACCCAAUCUCUUUACUCUACUCAUUCCACGCACUGUAAGAUGCUUCAGAGAGGGCAGUUGGCCGACUGACGGCAGGGCAGUACACAUGCCGCAAUCUUCAAAUUUAAGUGUUACUAAAUUUAAGAAUGAGGAAUCUCCUAACCAUGUUGGAAAUUUUGUACCUCCAUAGCCACAGAUACCAAAUUGUUCCAGAUUUUUAUGGGGUUUGAGCAUGUCAAGCACACCCAUUUCAGUUUCUGCCUCCCUUGAAGAUGAACCAUCGGUGCUGCAAGUCCAAUUAAGCGAUAAUUCUCUAAGAUUCUUCUUUCCAUCCAACCGAGCCUCCUUUGCAUCACCAAUGUCUUUUACAUUCUCUAAUUUUGAAAUUUUAAGUGUCCCCUGAAGAUGUAUCAAUGACUUUAGCUCUCGUAACCCAGAACCAUUGUCUUUUCCCACAGCAAAAUUACCCAGCGUUUGAAGACAAGUCAGCUUACCAAUUCCUAGUGGCAUUUCCUCCAAGGAAUCUGUAUUUGAAUUAUUGAGAUGAUGCAAUUUGAUGAGAUUUCCCAUGUCUGCACACAACUUCUUCAGUCGUCGACAGCCCUCCAAAAGAAGGGUGUGCAAGUUGUAAAGCUUGCUAACUGAUUCAGGCAGAGUUUUAAUCUCAGUUCCAGACAGGUUAAGGUGCCUUAAAUACCUCAAAUCACCAACUGAAUCCGGCAGCUCGGCGAUGCAAUAUCCACGCAGAGAGAAGACCCUUAAGCUUUGGAGUUUGAACAACUUAGGAAGAAUGCUAUGAGCCAAGUAUCCAUGCUGACUAUUUAACAUCACUGGUAAAAAAGUUCUCAAAUGUUGGAUAUCAUACAAUUUCUCAAACCUUUGAACGCCACCAUAAUCUCCACGAAUGUACGACAGAUGACGAAGAUUUCUAGAAAAACAUUGUUGCUUGUUAACCUCCGAGGUAUACUCCAGUGUGAAGUAUGUCUCCCCUGCAGCCCAACGGGCAAGGUCGUUGAUAAGAUCGUGCAUAACAAAUCGUGAUAUACUGUUGCUCGAUUGCUGGAAAAAAGAUCUUCCACGUAGCUCUUGAAAGAACUUUCGACCGAGAUCUUCACUAGGAUUCCCACUCUCUCCGUGAUUCGAGAAACCCACAGCACUCCAUAAUAAAAUUAUCUCCCCCUCUUCAAAUUCAUAAUCCUUUGGAAACAAUGAGCAAUACGCAAAGCAUUGUUUCAAAGGUGCCGAAAGAUAAUAGUAGCUCACUCUAAGCGCCGGCAUAAUGUCACAUCUCUCUUCUUGCAAUUCCCAUAUCUUGGUACUGAGCACUCUCUCCCAAUCACAUCUGUCAUCUUUUCCUCGCAAAAGUCCUCCAAGUGUUUGCGCUGCCAAGGGCAAGCCAUCGCAUUUGGCCACUAUCUUCUUGCCAAUUUCCUCCAAUAACUUAUCUGACCCCAAAGAGUGUUGAGCGAACACAGACAGACAAUCAUCAUUUGACAACUUUUUCAAUUGAUAAGCCCGAACAGUCCCCAUGAUGGCUGCAACCCCUUGAUUACGAGCUGUGACAAUAAUCUUACUUCCCGGUGCGCCAGCUUCAAAAGGACGCCUGAGUCGAUCCCAAUCAUUGUAAUUCUCAUUCCAAACGUCAUCUAAAACAAGCAAAAAUUUAUUUUGAGAUAACUUCUUCUUCAGCUCCUCUUGAAGCUUAUUCAAGUCGUGAUUAUCCACAUUCUGGUCACUAGCAAUUGAAAGUAGGAUUGAUUUUGUAAGCCUGAUAACAUCAAAAUCAUCAGAGACACAAGUCCAUGCCUUGAGAUCAAAAUGACCCUGCACUCGAGCAUCAUUAUAGACAAGCUGAGCGAGAGUGGUUUUGCCCAGCCCGCCCAUGCCUAUAAUAGGAAUAACAGAGAAUUCACCAUCAUUUCUCAAAUCAUCCCUCAACAACAAUUCAACAAUUUUAUUCUUUUCUGUUUCCCUCCCAUAUACCUUGGCUUCAGUCACUAAAGAGGUUGUGGGUAGUCUUUGCCUGUCUUUUCUGGACCUCCCAGCUGAACUUACGUUCAAACCGAGCGAGUCUUUCUGUGUUACAAUAUCUUGAAAUCUGUCGUUGAUCUCUUUGAUUUUGGACAUUAUGGCGUAAUCGAACUGAAUCGAUUGUGGAGUAAAAGUGGUGCAGCAAGUAGGAAUGAGCUUCCGAAACUUAUUUGUUCUUGUACGACUGCUACUGGGUUGAUCAAGAGCAGCAGCUGGAUCUCCAUUUCCAAGCAGCAACUUCCUCCGGAAAACCUCAGUUUGAAACUCAUCCAGCAAGUCUUCAACAUCAAAAGCCAAGUUCUGAAGCUCGGCAAGCCACAACUUCACAGACUGAUCAGUCUUCUUCUCCUCAGCAUCAGCAAGCACCGCCUUGAUCAUCACCAACAUAUUCUUCCACUUCUUUAGGUCGGCUUCGAUUUGCUCUUGGCGUGCAAACAGCCGAAUCCCCUCUGAAGCUAACUUAUUGACCAGCAAAUCAACGGACGCCGUAAGGAUUGCCUCUCCGAUGAAUGACAUUUUUUUCUUCUUUUUCUUUUUUUUGGUUUUGCAAAGAAAGAAAGGAGCAGAAUUAUGGGUUAUGGAAAGCAGAAUGAGAAAAUGGAUAAUUAAGCAGAAUGAGUUUGUGAUUGUGAAGGGUCUGGCCCAGCAAGCUUAGUAGAAAUCACGCGUUUAUACUUUAUUGACCAAUGACUAAUAAUUUGGCAAUUCACUCAUCACCACCACUUGGUAAGCAAAAUGAAAAUGCUUAGUAAUUAAGUGUCAAGGGUCAAGCAAAAUACGACGUAAAAUGUGUCAAGGGUCUCUCCACUACUUGUUCCUUGCAGCUUAGAAAAGAAAAACAGAGCCCACCACCCAUUAAUAAUUUAGCAAUUCACCAAUCAUCACCACUUGUUACGAAACCAUCUCAUAAACCAAGUUCGUAGGUCGAGCAGUUAAUCCAGUGUCUAUUUCCUAGAACCUUCAUCUCAUAAACCAAGUUCAAUCAAAACGUUCCUCUCUCGCUAUUUUUUUUUUUUUUUUCAAAACUCCUAAAACGCUUCUUUUUAGAAAUAUUUUACUUUAUUCAUCUAAUAUGUUAUCUAACAAAUAGACACAAUUGAAAUCACUCUAAAGUGAAGAUGAAAGGGGAAAAAAAUAACCUUCCAACCACCAGUAAUUUAGCAAGCUUCACUUUAUUCCACCAAAGUGUAAAUAAAGCCAGCCCCCACCACCAUCAAUAAUUUUGCAAGCUUCACACGCUUGUCGUCUUCUCCUUGACGAACUGGACAUGAGUGCACCAAGAAUCAAUGACAGAAUUUUAAAAAUAAUAAUAAGAGAAAAACCUACACAUUUUCGACUUAGAGUAGAACCGUAACUAAUGCUAAAAUCUACUCAGCUAACAUUUUCAAAAUAUUGUUCUUUAUGAUUUUCAAAACCGUGAUUAAGGUUCAUCUCAAAUGUUUGAAGAGAGUCUAUCAGUUCUUCUACGCUAAGAAUAUCAAAAUUCUUGCUUUUUCUUCAAACGUUGAAUAAUGAAAAAAAAAAGUUGAAUAUGGAGGAAAAUAGAAUGCAUCCAUCUUCGCUGUAGAAGUCUUCUACUUAUAAAAGCAAGUUAGAAUAAAUGAUUUUAAUCUCUCUUUUUAUUCCUGUAAGUGCACUACAUUUUUUUUUUUUUAUCUCAAUGCGAAGUCGUAUCAUAAUGUUAUAUACCUGUUGUAAAACAAAAUUUUAGAUAAAACAAAUUCGACUCAUGUUUUAAAGGUAUAUAUUUAGUAGGUUACUAACAUAACUAACAAAACGUGAUUAUUACACUAAAUGAAAUAAAAGACAGUACUAUCACCAAUAAUUUAGCAAGUUUCGCAUGCACGAGUUUCUAAAAACAUUAUAUGGAAUCAAUCAACAGUGAUACAAAGAGAAAAGUGGAAAUCCUCUUAUUGUAUUUUUUUUUUCUUUUUCAAAAGAAAUGGUGGGGUUGGUUUGUUUGCAAAGUUAUUAGCGUGUGUCUAUUUGUUUUUGUUUUAACUUUAUUUUUUUUUAAACUAUUCAAUUUCUGGCGACCGUAUUAAGUCGCGACUAAUCCGAAUUUGAAGUAUAAUCAUAAUUAAGGCAUCUUACCCCUCCUAAAUGGUGUAUUUAGUGGGGAUCGAACCCGAGAACUCUUUGCACAAUCCAACCAGUGUUGCCAACUGAGCCAUAACCAUUUGGUUUGUUUUAACUUUAUUAAUCGAUAAGCAAUCGUGUAAUGAUUUGUAAAUAUCACUAGCAUCACAUUAUUGGGAGGUAUUGGGCUUAGUAUUCACAAUUUUUGUAAGAUGAAUUUGUAAGACAAAUUAAUUUUGAUGAAAAUGUAUCGAUAUUAAGAUAUUAUUUAAUUAUAUUAUUUAAUUCAUUAAGUUAACUUGAGGUAUUAAUAUUCACUAAUUGUGGUGCUGAUUAAUUUACUUAACUUGUCACUAUUUGCAAUUAAGAAUGAGGUUCAAUCAAUUUAUUGGGAAAAAAAAACAAAGAUUUGAUUUUAAUUCUUAGGAUUUGAUUUCGCUCUCUUUCGCUAUUUUACGUUGCUAAAGAGGCAGUAAAAAGCUUGCUGAGUGUCAUCAAAUGCUUGUAUCUCAUCUCACAAAUUGGCAAUAUUUGUUUGGUAUUUCAUCUCAACGGAUGCAGUAAGGAUUGCCUCUCCGAUGACUGACAUUUUUUUUCUUUUUUCCAGCAAAGAACGAAACAGAAUUUUGAGUUUCGAAAAGCAAAAUGAGAAAAUUGAGCAAUUCACCAAUCGGUCAAGCAAAAUGCGCGUAACAAGUCUUCCGCUUCUUGUUUAUUCCAGGAAAGUGCAAAUAAAAAUAGAGCCCACCACCCAGUAAUAAUUGAGCAAUUCACCAAUUACGAGUCACCACCACUCGUUACCAUGAAUAUAAUAAAUUGCAUCUUGAUAUUUGCAGGGUCCAGCAACAUUGACCCAGUGUCCGGGUAAAUGCUGAAUAACGAGGAAAAUGGAAUGUAUCCGCUACGAACCUUCGCUUUGCAAGUCUUCAAACUCAUAAACCAAGUUAAAUCAAAACGUUUAUCUCUCUCUCUCUCUUUUUGCCAUAUAAUUACUUUAUUUAUUGAAUUAAUUUCCAUGCUAAAAGGAAGACUUAAAAGUGCACUACAAUUUUUUUAUAAUCACAAUGGUAAUUUCUACUAUCAUGUUAUUUUAAUGUCGUGUUAAAAUAAAUUAUUACAAAAUUUUUUUUAUGAACACUCUUUUCAUUUAUAAAUUUUUUAAUUUUUAAUAUUUUCUCACUAUUUUUAGUCUUAAUAUUUAUAUUUCUCUCUUCAAACUUUCUUUAUUAUUUAAUUUUUUAAAAAAAUAUGAAAAAAAGUAAAAAAAAUAUUAUAUUUAAAAAAUAGUGAAUAUUUUAUGGAUCUAUUACAAGUCUGUAUUGUUUUUGACAAUGAAAGAGCACGCGAAAAAUCUCACUCAUAGAAAACUUUGUGAAAGGCAUUUGAAUGUGUGGCCACAUUUUCCGAACGAAACGAUAAGGCUUUAGCCUUAUAAUUGCAAUUAGUUUGUCUUGUAACUAAAUUAUUGCCGACAAACACCAUCAUGCUGACAAACCGUGCAUGCACGUCCUCAAUCACCCACCCUUCAAACAAUCCUUACUGAACUUCAAUCCUUGCAUCUCCACUCUCCAAUGUACUUCCCCAGAGGGAAAACCAUUAGCGAUUCUCAAAGACUUUGACAUUGUGGACAAAGUGGUUGUAAGGGGUGGGGAUUAACAUGUCUCCAAACGACAAGCAGCCAUGCAUGUAAUUAGUCACAAGUUGCUUUGAAAUAAAAUAAAUAGUUACUUGACAUUUGGCUCACUGAUUAGUUUCCCGUAUUUCCCAUUACUUCCCGUACUUUAUGCUUUAUUGUUUUGUAUGUCUUUUGGUGUUUACGGUGUAGUUAGGGAUGGUAGCGGGUAGGGUCUGGUACGGGUUUGACAUCACCAAACCCGCAGCUACAAAAAAAAUUAAUUACUAAAUUCGCUGUGGGUUAUAUUUAAUUUUAUUUUUUUAACAAAGCCCAUUCACUGUGUGUUUGAUUGGUGCCUAGUGGAUACUCAUUAGCGGUGGGCAUUAAGAUCGGAUUAACUCGAACCGAAUCUUAAAUUUAUUUUGAGUUCAAUUUGAUUUUGGUUGAACCUUUCAACUGAGUUGAAAACUUAUAAACGAUUGCGUUGUAUUUCUGUUCGAAUUUAACAACAAACUAAGCUACCUAAUCAACUUAAGUAAGCAAAUUUUAAAAAAAAUCCCAAAAAAUUAAAUCUAACCCUAAUUAAAAAAAUUCAACCGAGGCCUCCUUCUCGUCUUCUUUUCUUCUUCUUCCUCUUGCUCACCCCUAAUGCCCCAUUAAUGGAAUUCCAACAGCUAGAAACGCGUUUCAGCCGCUUGCGCGUGUAAGAAAUUUUCCUUCCCAUAGGAUUGUUCGUUUCCUUGGCUUGCAUUAAUAAAUUUGAAGAACAAUUAAAAAUUAAAAGAAAAUAAAAAGUGCUUUCUUUUUUAACGAUGAUAAUUUGUUCGGAUGAUGAAAAUUCUUAGAGUGGUAUAAUAAGUAUUUUCGAGUGUUGCCAUCGCGAAUAAUAUUUAAUUUCAUUUAUAUAGUUAUAUCUCAAGUAACAUUUAAACAGAAGCAAGUUGGAAAUUAAAAAAAAAAAAAAAAGAACCAUUGAGAGAAUGAAAAACUAACCAAAAAAAAAAGUUAAAAAUUUGUAUCUCAAUAAAUUUACUUGAGAGCUACUCUACUAAUCCGUGAAGAGAAAACACAAAGAAUAAUGAUGUAUCUUAAUUAAUAGGACAAUUUUUGUAUUUUUCGUUUAUUUAAGAAUCAUGAAACUUCAUUUAAACUUGUUAUUUCAUUGAUAAUAUAUUAAUAUUGAACAAUUUAGGAGACAUUCCUUUCCAAUUAUGCCCAUGUAUUAAUUAAAAACCACAAAAACGUUCAGGGAUACUAUAGUAAUUUAAGUCAACAAUUUAUGUGCUUGAAAUCAUCCGAUUAGACUCACUUCAGAAUAAACUAAGAUAUCAAAAUCACAUUCUUCAAUUCUACAAUUUCAAUUCAUCUUCAUAACUUCAACUGAAGAAUUGAUUUUAUCUCGUUUUAAUUUUUUUUAUGUAAAGAUAAAUAUAAAAUAUAAAUGGCGAGGAGACUGGAAAAGUAAAAUCAAAAGAAGAGCACGAGUUUUAUUGAAAAUUACUCUUUUUCAUCAUUUUGCCGGAGUGAAUGUAUCUACAUUUAAACAAAAGAAGCACAUUUGUUUGUAUUAACUUUUUUAUUGUAUUUUUAAUAAUAAGUCAUUUUUCAAUUAACUUAUAUCAUUUUUUACGAAAAUAAUAGGUGUUAGUUAGUUGAUUCAAAUGGCAAGACCUCUUGGGAUAGAGUUUGUAAUUUAGUGGCUUAUCAAUUGUUUAAAUAGGCAUUAUUAGAGCCAAAUUAUUGUAUUUGGUUAAAAAAGCUCCUACUUAGCUUACAACUUUAUUAUCCUAUUAUGUUUAUUAAUAAAUAACAAUUUUAUUGAAAAAAAAAAGAUAUGUUGAAAAGAUACAAAAAAUUUGGGAUGUAAAUCUUACUCGAAUUUAGCUUGAGGUUGGCAUUGUUAGCAUAAUAUUUGAAGAUAUAUUUUUUAAAUUAAAAAAAAAAAUUGGGUUCACACUAGUUAGUUUUAACUCAUAGUGAGAUUUAAACAAAAACGGAAUAAUAAAUCUUGAUAUCUUAACUCAUGGAUAACAUCUACAUAAAAUAAUAAAAUCUAUUGUGUCGAAAAUAAGGGGUCUAAAGUUUGAAUUUCGCUCACAUAGGUAGCAAGAGAAUUAAAUUAUUGUUAGAUUAAAUUAAUUAAAAAAAUUAUCUGAUAUCCAAAACACAGCAUAUCAAAAAAAUUGAAAUAAAAGAAAAUUGAAAAGCAAAACGAUUGAGAGAACGAAAAACUCACACAAGAAACUGCCGAUAAUUAAUUGCCUCAGCGGGCACCAACUUAAUUAUGCUUAUUAAAGCAUGGGUUAUUUCAUUUUCAUUGAUAAUCAUUUUGACACCGGUCAAAUUUAAAAGUUUAAAUAAUGGGGGCCAUUUUUCUUUCCAGCUAUGCCCAUUAGCUAAUAAAAGAACCGCCGAAAGGGUUCGGGGAUAAUAUAGUAAUAUGAUUGAUAAUCAUUUUGGAGCUGAGUAUUCUUCGUUCCACAUUUUGGGUUUUGGUUGACCAUAUUUUAAUACUUUUCUGGAAAACAAAUAUAUAUUUAUUGACUUGUAAUGGGUGCAACUCAUGUUUUUGAAACAUUAAGAUCUUUACUUACUUACACUAAUACGGCAACUGCUGCUUGCUUUUUUUUUUUUUCCUUUUGACUUUUAUUUUUACUUUUUGACUUUUGCUUUUGGUUAAUAAUAAUAAUAAUAAUAAUAACAACUUUUUAAUUUAAUAUAAUAUUAAAUAAUAUUUUUAUUUUUACAUUAUAAUUUAUUAUAACUAAUAAUAAAUAUUUAAAUUUGAAUAAUAUUAAUUUAAAAUUAAUAAUAAUAUAAAUAAUAAUAUAAAAUAUUAAUACAAUUUAAAUAUAGUAAUAUAAUAUAAUAUUUAAUUUAAAUUAAUCACAAAAAUUAAUACAAUACAUUGUAGCACCAAAUAUUAUACAGUAUUACUAUAAUACAGUACUGAUACAAUUUGAGGGAGAUUGUCAGCUUUUUUGGAUUAAAAAUAAUAUAUACCACUUACUCUUUAUUGUUUUUAUAAUGUUCAACAAUGAUAAAAAAAAAACGAAAAGAAGAAAUAAAUAGAUGAUUUGCUUGAAAUUGUAUCUUAGAAAUAUAAAAUAUAUAUUUAUUAUUAAAAAUAAUAAAGAGUACAUAAAAAAAUAUCUUAUCCUCAACAACAAGAUCAGACGACGUCAAUUCAGCAAAAUGACUUGUACAAUUUGAAAGUCCAGCGACGGUCACCUCUUGGCACACAUACGGCAACGUGUGUAGCUUUGGCAAGAGGUCUCCCAAAAGGACGAUUAAGGAAAGAUUGCAAGACAAAAUCAUGAAAAUAGUAGUACAGAUAUCCAAUCGCAAACAAGUCUUAGAAAUCGCACCCCUGUAUUAAUUUCCAGAAAUAUGUUUGUUCCAUAUUUAUCGUGCACGUAUACAUUGUAUGUAUUGGGAAUAGAAAGAGUGUAUGAAAAAAAUUCUUCAUUCAUCAAUUAAAACUUAACUUAUGUACGAGGGUUAAGUGUAGAGUUUUUAAAUUUGAAACGGAUAAGUAUUAUAGUCCAUUUCAAUUUAGAUACAAGUACUUCGAACUUAUAUUUGAGGCAAAAAUCUGUAUACCAUAGUACAUAUUAUAUAUCCAGUCAUGGGAUCCAUGCAUGGUUCCAUGUCAUUCGCAGAGUUGAACUGGAGACACUGAUUAUGUACAAGUAAUUGCAUGCACCAUUUGCGCCUUAUCUAUCACCCUGCUUGCAUUGCAUUAACUACGUCCCCAAUCACCCACGUCCGCUACUUGUGUGAACGUGUAUAUAAAUAUAUAUAUCCGCAGCAUAUUAUCAAACCAGAAUCAGAAGCAACUUAAGUUUUGAUUACGGUUCACCAGAAGUCACAGCUAGCAAGUGAUCCUUGCAUCAUUUUGCAUCAAAGUAAGAAACAGAGCUAACGAGAGAUGGACAAGUAUUAACCAUCGUUACCAGAAAUUAAAUAUGUCCGCAUUUUGUCAGUUCUGGCCAUAUUUUGAAAGAUUGGAACUAUUAGCACCCUAAUUUUCUUUUGAAGCUCCUUUUCUGUGGAAACCUAUUUUAAUUUCCAAAAUAUCUUUUUCCAUUCUUUUAGUUUCUUUCUGAUUCAAAAAAAAUAAAUCAGUUUCUUAAAUAACUCCAACUACAAAUAUUUUUUUACAAAUUUUUGAAUUGUUAAAUCAUAUGUGUGUGUAUAAAUUGAAUAGAAUUAAAAGUGAACUCAAAUGGUUAUUAUGUAAUUUUUUAUAAUUAAAGAAAAGUUUAGAAUGCAAAAGUGUGUGUGAGAAAACAAAAAAUAUAAAUCGCCUUUGAUGUAGUUGUAUGAUUGUAAAGAGUUAAAUGGAGAAAUAUAGUAUAUAGUUAAAUUUAUUUUGUUCUUUAAAACGGGUAGGUUUUAUAAGAAAUUUUUAGAGGAGUGCCAAUAUUUCAACUCUUUUUCAAAUGAAGUGAUGUCCAAGAAUAAAAUCACUACUCUAUCAUUGCUAUUAGUUUGUCUUGUAUUUCAAUCACUGCCGACAAGUAUUAAUUAUGAAUAUUAUUAUUUUAAAAAUAUUAUUAUUAUUAUCGUCGUUAUUCUUAACAGCAAUGACUAGAAUUAUAAUAAGAACAAUAACGUUAAUACAAUAAUAUAACAACAUAAUAAUAUUUUAAUUGAGAGGAUAAGAAUGAAAUUAUGAAAUUUAAGUUGGGUAAAAUGGUGAGUAUGAGGAAAUUAAAUUAUCAUUCUUUAAGCUAAAUAGUUCGUAAAUCCCACAUAUUUCAUUCUUAUUUCUCUUAUAUUUUAAUAAGUAAAUAUUAUUAAUUAUUUUAAUAUUUUAAUUAAUAAACACGACAUUAACUACGGAACUAAAAGAUCCCCAAAAAAAAAAAAAAGGGGAGACGCGUCUAUGUAUUGCUUGUGACAAGUCUCACCCAUGGAAAACUUUGUGAAAGGCAUUUGAAUGUGUGGCCGCAUUUAAUGAACGAAACGAUAACUUUAAAAGAAAGUAUGUACUGUGUUAAUUAUUAGGCUUUAGCUUAAUGAUUGCAAUUAGUUUGUCUUGUAAUUAAAUUAUUGCCGACAAACACUAUCACGACUCACGUCCGCUACUUGUGUGAAUGUGUGUAUAAAUAUACGCAGCAUAUUAUCAUCUUUUCUAAUUCGAAGAAGAUGGAAACUCCUUAUCCAGGUUAUUAGGCCAUGUUUAGUUGAAUGUCAUUUAUAAUUUUUAUUUUAAUAUUAUGUAUUUAUGAAUACAAUUAUUGUUAUGAUUUGUUUAGGUAAGAAUAGAUGAUCUGAGGGUAACCCAAUAACUAUGUACAAUAUUAUUAAUGGUGAGAGCGUGAAUAACAAUUUAGAUUUUAUUCUCGUCCCUUAAUACGGAAGAAAUAUUGAUCAUAGCGGUUAAAUGCUAUGCAACUCUUUCAUAUUAUGUUUAAUUAAUAAUAAAAUGAUGGGUUAUUAUUACCUGUCAAUUAUGUGAGGAGUGUCUUUGUUUGGUUUAGUUACACUUAUAAAAUCUCUUGAGAUAUACAAGAGAUUUUCUUUAUUUAAUUUUGUGUACCCUGUCUUCUUGUAAAAAGAAAUUAAUAAAAAGAAAAUCAUUGUGUGCAAUGUAUUAACUAAGUUAGUGUAUUCAUGUUAGCUUAAUUGUGCUCUCUCUUCUUGAUAUUUAAAAAAAAAAAAAAAAACUCCACAUAUUAUUGGUUAGCUAAUUCUUGCAGCUAGCAAGUGAUCAUUUUCUUUCCCCUACUGCCGUAGCAUCAAAUCCUUACAAUUACAUAUCAAGUGGUAGUCGAGCCGUCAAAUGAUCCAUGGAAACGCGCAACAAAUCAAAUGCUGAAUUUUGCGAAGAGAUUCACGAAAUCCUUGCUAUACAUGAGUCUAGUUUUGACCAAGUUCACGUCACUCAUCAGCUGCGGGGUUUUUUUUUUUUUAUUACAUGAGACUAUUGCUCAGAUUACAACUCAUAUACAUGAGAUUAUUACUGAUAUUUACAAAUCAGACUAUUACUGGGACCAACUUACAUCAAUGCUAAUGGAGCUCUGCCCAGAUUUUAACCUUCACAAAUAUUUGAGGGAUGUCUACUCCUCACUCAUGGGUAAGGGAGAAGACUAUUUUCACUCAAAUUAAUUGAGGAAGGAAAUACCCCCACAAUGCUUUUGUGGGGGAGAAGACUACCAUCAGCUGCGGGUUUGAAUGGUACCUAGUGGAUAUUUUGUGAGUUCCCACUAAUAAAAUCACACUUGCAACAAAACUUAAAAAUUUAAAUUACGUAAUUUAAAUUAUAAAUUUAUAAUCGUAGCCUAAAAAAUCACAUAAAAUACUUAAUUCUAGAUUUUAUCAAUGUAAAUGAGAAAUAAAAGUUUUAACAUUAAAAUAAAUACACAAAAUAUAUCAAUUUAACCUAAAUUCUCAAAUUUAAUUACCAAAUACAUAAGUCUAUCGCAACUCAAAGAGCUUUCAAUUGAAAAUGAAAAAAGAGAAAGAGAAAAAAAAAACACUACAAAUCAAAGUAGCACCCAUGACCCAUUUCGCGGUCUCAUUCAAUACCACUAGCACCCAUCCAACAUGAUUUUUCUAAACAAAGUAUAAAGUACAAAAUUACAAUAAGCAUAUCAUACUUCAUGCUUUAAGUUAAAGAUCCUUAUAUAUUUUUAUGAAUAAAUUUUUAAUGAAAUUUUAUGAUUAAAAUUAAAAAUACAAACAUUCAAAUAAGAAUGUCGGACACUUGCACAACUAUUUAUCAAAGUUUUUCUCUAUAAAAAUCGACCUGCAACUUUCAAUAGGUUUAAAUUUAUAAUAUCAAACCUAAUUGCAGCUUGCAAAAAUUAUCCGUUGCGGCCAAGACUUUGGAUUUGCGAUGAUUUUGCCACCCUAAGUGUAGUUAGUAUUGUAUAUCAUGUGGCUCUUAUAAAAAGCCUAGAAGUUGUUUGAAUAACGGGGGAGACACAUAUCGCCCAAAGAUUUUCUCUUUUUCAAAUUAUUAUUUUUUCUCUAUUAUUGUAACUUCGAAUCCUUAUAAAUUACAGAUUGGAGACAUGAACACAAUGUUUUGACAUAGUGGACUUUUGGCUUUGUCCUGAGAAAUUUAGGAUAGAUUUUUACGCACUAAGGCUCUAUUUACUAUUGAGGUUUUAGAACUUUUAAGCCACACUAGAAAUUUGUAUUGUUUUGAUAGAGUUCUAGUUCUUGAUAUGUGAUUGGUAUUAAUCAAGUGUUAUGUUUACAAUAGUUAAAUGCAUAUUGAAUCAAAAUCCACUUCUAAGGGCUUGAUUGAGUGAUUGUAAAGUAGGUUUUUAGUUUGCUAGCCACUCAAGUUCAAAUAUUGGAACCACAAAGCUUAUAGCCAGGUGAGAGAACUUGUGCCCUAAAAAUUGAGGGGUGCAUAUCGAGUUUUACCACCAAUAAAAGUUGGUGUUAAAACUUUAAUUUCUCAUCUAUUGAUGGAUAGGGGUGAUUAGGAGUUUACAUCUCCUCCUAUUAAUAGACAAGGGUUAUUAGGAAUAUUAAAAAAAAAGUUCAAAUAAUGAAAAUGUAGGUAUGGGUUAUAAAAUUCAUAAUAUAAAGACACAAAAUCAAGAUAAAGAUUUAAAAAUUUAGAACUAUGAGAGUGUGACUUGUAAGUUUCAAAGAAGCGUGUGCAAAUAUAUGCAUUAUCGAUGCCCAAUUAAGGGUGGGCAUUAAGAUCAGGUUAACCCGAAUCGAACCGAACCGAACUUAAAAUUUAUUUUGGAUUCAAUUUGGUUAUGGUUGAAGUUUUCAACUAAGUUCAAAACUUAAAAAUGAUUGGGUUGUUGUUCUGUUCGAAUUUAACCCCAAAAGACUAAUCAAUCCAAUCGAGUUAAGUAAGCAAAUUAAGAAAAAAAAUCCCAAAAAAUUAAAACUAACCCUAACUAAAAUAUUCGACCGCGGCCUCCUCGUUUUCUUUUCUUCUUCCUCCUCUCGCUCACCCCUAAUGCCCUUCAUGGAAAUCCAACAGCUCCAAACGCGUUUCGGCCGCUCGCACGUGUGAGAAAUUUUCCUUCUCAUAGGAUUAUUCGUUUCCUUCGCUUGCAUGCCAGCAAAACCCAAUCAUAAGUUCAUAACGUUUAGCGUUUGCUAUUACUAUAAUUUUUUUUAACCAAUUUUCACAUUCAUCAACAUCGGCUGACAGAUUUUGUAGAAAAUUAAAUUAAAUAAAAAUACAAGCUCACGAAAUUCCUUUUACACCUUUCACGUGCUUUUCUUUUUUUGGUGGGGGGGUGAAUUCACUUGCUUUUGUUUGCAUUGCCUUAUUGGAUAAAAGUUUGUAGAACAUCGUCUGUUUGGUUAAAGCCGAGCAUGAGUGAAGAAAAAUUAAAAAUAAAUAAUUUCCCAUUAAUUUGCAACAAGUAUUAAUAAAGUGCAUGAGAAAAGACACCAAGAUAUGCCUUUUUUUAAAUGAAAAUAAAUGUGUUAAUUAGUCAAUUUAAAUGGUAUGAUAUUUUGAAAUGAUAGAAGCGAUCUAAAGUUUAAAUCUUACUCACACUUAAUUUAGGGUUGGGGAUUAAUUGACGUAAUAUAUAAUAACGAAUUCGAAAGACAAUUAAAAAUUAAAAGAAAAUAAAAAAGUGCUUUCUUUUUUAUGAUGGUAAUUUGUUUAGAUGAUGAAAACUCUUAGAGUGGUAUUAUCAAUACAUAGUUUCGAGCGUUGCCAACGUGAAUAAUAUUUAAUUUCCUUUAUAUAGUUAUAUCUCAACUAACAUUUAAACAGAAGUAAGUUGUAAAAAAAAUGAACCAUUGAGAUUUGAGAGAACGAAAAACUAAAAAAAAAAGUUAAAAAAUCAGAUCUCAAUAAAUUUACUUGAGAACUACUUUACUGAUUAGUGAAGAGAAAACGCAAAGAAUAAUGAUGUAUCUCAAUUAAUAGGACAAUUUUUGUAUUUUUCGUUUAUUCAAGAAUCAUGAAACUUCAUUUAAACUUGUUAUUUCAUUGAUAAUAUAUUAAUAUUGAACAAUUAAUGUAGGAGACAUUCCUUUCCAAUUAUGCCCAUAUAUUAAUUAAAGACCACCAAAAAGUUCAGGGAUACUAUAGUAAUUUAAGUCAACAAUUUAUGUGCUUGAAAUCAGCCGAUCAAACUCACUUUAGAAUAAACUGAGAAAUCAAAAUCGCAUUCUCCGAUUCCACGAUUUCAAUUCAUCUUAUUUCUUCAACUGAAAAAUUGGUUGUAUAUCGUUUUAUUUUAUUUUUAUUUUUAUAUAAAAAUAAAUAUAAAAUAUAAAUGACGAGGAGACUGUAAAAGUAAAAUUAAAAGAACACAAGUUUUAUUGAAAAUGACUCUUUUCAUCAUUUUGCCGGAGUGAAUGUAUCUACAUAUAAACUAAAGAAGCACAUUUAUUUGUAUUAGCUUUUUUAUUGUAUUUUUAAUAAUAAGUCAUUUGUCAAUAAACUUAUAUCAAUUUUUACGAAAAUAAUAGGUGUUAGUUAGAUUAUUCAAAUGGCAAAACCUCUUGGGAUAGAGCUUGUAAUUUAGUGGCUCAUGAAUUGUCUAAAUUGACACUACCGAAUUAUUGUAUUUGGUUAAAAAAGCUCCUACUCUGCUUCAACUUUAUUAUCCUAUGAUGUUUAUUAAUAAAUAGCAAUUUUAUUGAAAAAAAAAAAGACCUCUUGAAAUGAUACAAAAGAUUUGGGAUAUGAAUCUCACUCGAAUUUAGCUUGAGGUUGGCAUGGUUAGCAUAAUAUUUGAAGAUAGAUUUUUUUUUAAUUAAAAAUCAAAAGAUUUUUUUUUGGGGUUCAUACUAGUUAGUUUUAACUCAUAGUGAGAUUUAAACAAAAACGGAAUAAUAAAUCUUGAUAUCCUGACUCAUGGAUAAUGUAUAGAUAAGAUAGUAAAAUUUAUUGUGUCUGAAAAUAAGAGGUCUAAAGUUUGAAUUUCGCUCACAUAGGUAGUAAGAGAAUCAAAUUAUUGAUAGAUUAAAUUAAUUAAAAAAAUUUCUGAUAUCCGAAACAACAUAUCAACAAAAUUGAAAUAAAAGAAAAUUGAAGAGAAAAACCAUUGAGAGAACGAAAAAUUAACACCAGAAAAUUUCUAUAACUAAUUGUAUCAGUGUGCGCCAACUUCACUUAUUAAAACAUGCUUAUUUCAUUUUCAUGGAUAAUCAUUUAAAAAAAUAUGGGCUUUUUCUGUGCUUCAAAUCAUCAAAUCAAACUCACACCUCACAAAAGCAGAGAAAUCAAACGGUUUCCGACUCUACGCUUUAAAUUCAACUGAAGAAUCGGUCGUCUCUCAUUUUUUAUUUAUUAUAUAAAGAUAAAUAUCUAAAUUUAAAUGGCGAGAAGAGCGGACGAGGAAUACGAUUACUUGUUCAAAGUGGUAUUAAUCGGCGAUUCGGGAGUCGGCAAUUCGAACUUACUCUCCCGAUUUACUCGUAACGAGUUCUGUUUGGAGUCCAAAUCCACUAUUGGCGUCGAAUUCGCCACCCGCACUCUUCAAGUAACUAACUUUUCCUCUUUCCCUUCACUUCUUUUUUAUUAAUUAAUUAAUUAAUUAAGAUCCAGUUAAUGUAAUUAAUUUUAUUUAAUCUUUUAAAUAAAGUUCUAGAUUAGGCUAACUUAGAUUCAUGUGAAGUUGAAGUGAUUUACUUUCGAUCUCUUUUUCGUCCUAUGUUUAUUUGUACUUACUAUUACUUUUUUUUGGGUUUAAAUUUUCGUUUUUGAAGUGUUUACUGAAUAAAUUUCUGAGCUUUAUUUGUGUAUGCUGAUUGAUUUGUGAUUUUAAUUUUGUGACUUUUUUUUUGGAAUUUAAAUUUGAAUGCUUUUUAAGUUGAAUCUGAAUGUGUUGGGCUGCAAUUUAAUUAAGUCAUCUGUGAGCGCCAAAUUGUGAUAGCUAUAUAUUGGGGUGAAAAUUUGGGAUUUAAAGUUAUGUAUUUAAGAUGCAGUUAAUUCGCAAGUGAAAAUUAUGGGCCGGCAGAUUUUGUCAUUGGAAGACUGUUCUCCACAUGUUGAAGUUAGUGAUGCAAGUUGAAACCAAUCUGUUUAAGCUUGGGGUUUCAUGUCUUGAAUCAAGGCUGUGACUUGGGGUGGGUUGAAAGUAUUAUAGCUUUAGCUAUUCCUGAAGUGAUCUGUUUAGACUCACCGUGAUGAGACCGAGUGCUGUACAGUAAAAUGAAAGGAAGUUGGAAAAUAUUUACUUAGCAUUUCGCGUUACUAAUGUUGAACUAAUAAAACCUAGCCCCUAUCCUAGUGAAUUUAUCUUAAAAUAAUAGCAAUAAUAAGUGGACAAAGCUAAGUUCCAGAGGUGAGAUAGGAAAUUCUCCCACACGACACAGCACAAACAAACUUUCCCUUUCAUUUUCUUUUCUUUUCUUUUUCUUGCUCUCCAAACAGAGCAAAAGUAACGUCGCAAGAUUCUUCACUUCCAUCCAAAAUCAUGAGCAACGAAUAGCGAGCCUCCCUGUUUCCUUCCUUUUUUUGAUAUUAACAUUGUUAACAUCUACUCAUUUUCAUUUGACAAUACUUCAAUUUUUUUAAUUUUUGGCUUUUCAUUUUUUUUUGUUGCCAAACCGAUUAUCUGUUCAAGCUGUUGCUUAUCGGAGACUCGUCCAUCGGAAAGUCCUGCCUGCUGCUCCGAUUUGCUGUCUGUUGACUCUUCCUUUUCCUCUUUAUUUUCUUUUUUUUUUUAUAUAAAUUACUUUCUAUUUUAGCUUUUUGUUCUUUGAAUUUGUGUUAUUAAAAUGAUAAUUUAGAUGGUAAAUAAUUGUUAUUCUUGGAAAUUUCAGUUUUCAUUACGUUAAUUACUAGUUUUUAGGUUUAUUAAUGUAAUUUUUUUUUUAAUUUUUCAGGAUGAUUCUUAUGUCGACAGCUACAUCAGUACCAUUGGAGUAGAUUUUGUGAGUCUCUCUUCUAUAUAUAUGUAUAUAUGUGUAUAAGUUAUAGUAUGAGUCUAUGUACGUGUAUGUAUGUAUGUGUAUGCAUAUGUGGAAAGAAAUGUUGGCAGACUUCAGCAUUUUACUUUUUUUUUUUUUAAUUUUGGCAGAAAAUAAGAACUGUGGAGCUGGAUGGGAAGACGAUCAAACUGCAGAUUGUGAGUCAAAAUUUCCUUUUAUCCUGUAUUGAGAGAAAUUCGACUUGUCUUAUUUAGUGAAGGUUAUGUUCAAGAACCUUGUGUUAUUUUCUUUGUUUGAAGAGUUAUAUGUCUUUUAAACAUCAUUUAGGUAAUGUCUGAUGUUUGAUUGUUUUUCAUCUGUUUAGUGGGACACUGCUGGACAGGAGCGAUUCAGGACUAUAACUAGCAGUUAUUACCGAGCCCAUGGAAUCAUAGUAAGGAGCCUUCCCUGUUCUUGGUUUAAAUCAGAAAGUUUGUGAUUUACAUGUGACAUCUUAACAACAUUGUAUGUGUUUAUUAACUUAUUUUUCAUCUUUCAUUAAGCAGUACAUUUUCCAAUAAAUCUGUAUACAAGAUGAUGUAGUCCAAGAAUGGGAGCGAUAAUAUGAUGCAUAUUGUCUAAUAAAUUCUUAUGACAUAUGAUGUUGUCGGAAGUAAAAGUCUUGCAAUGCUGUAUUCUCUUUUAAGAAAGAAUAAGUGAUACUUUUGUUUUUCCAAUUUUUUAAUUGAGCAACUGUGUGAGAUUAAUUAAAUGUGUUUGGAUUUCAACAGAUUGUCUAUGAUGUAACUGAGAUGGAGAGCUUCAAUAAUGUCAAGCAGUGGUUGAAUGAGAUUGACAGAUACGCAAAUGACAGUGUAUGCAAGCUUCUAGUUGGGAACAAAUGCGAUUUAGCUGAGAACAAGGUUGUGGACACAUAGACAGCCAAGGUAUAUUCGUGACUUCUGUCGCCUGAACUUUGAACAUAAUUUUAAGCUCUUCUCAAGUGCAUUUGCUUGGUAAGUUUCUGCAUACCCAGGACGCUCAAACUUUGGACAUUUUGUAUCUCGAGUUGGAAUCUUUUCUGUCAAUACAACUUUUUAAAAUAAGGGUUAUUAUCGUUUGAAUCCUUCAAGAAUUGCAAUAAAUCUAAAGUCCAUAAAAAAUAUGAUUCCAUCAUUUUACUAUUAUAUCCAGACAAAACCCAUUAUUUUACUACAUUUCAUUAGCACCGAUAGUUGACCUGUUGGCUGACUGAUAAAAUAUCAAUUUUGCACUUUAUAUUAAUUCUUUUUUGGUUAAAAAAUAACACACAAAGUAUUACAAUAUUAUAAAUUCAAAAUAUAAAGUAGCUACAAAUAAUUGCUAUUAGCCUAUGAAUUUAAUAUUUGAUACCUCUAUUUGUGUAAUUUUUUUCCAAGAGUGAAAUUGGUAUUUUUUUUGUACUAACGGAAAUGUAGUAAAAUGAUAAGUUUUGUAAAGAUAUAGUAGUAAAAUGAUAGGCUAAAAUACUUCUUGUAGUUGUUUGAUAUAUUGUAAUUCUUAAAGUAGUCAAUUGAUAAUAUCCCCUAAAAUAAAUGUUCGUAAUAUGUUCUCAUUUUAAUGCAACUGAUUGUUUAAUAAAAUUGUAUUUCUUUGUUAAUCUUUUUUCAUGUGCAUGCUCAGUGAGAAUUUGACUUACUAGAACACAAGUUUGACUCUUCAUUUAAAUGUCUCUUGUAUCAUAUCCUUCAAUGUUGAGUGUGAUUCCAAUAAAAUUGAGUAGGGGGAUCCUUAAAUACCUUUUCCUUUUUUCCAAGGGCCUGCCAAAUUGCUCUAAGUGGUUCUACCCUUUAUCAAUGAAUUAUGACAAUAAAAUUUUUAUUAAAGCAUUUUGUUCCUUAAAUGGUGACUAAUAGUACCCCUUUUUUUGGAGAGGAAAGCCAAACAUGCCCAAAGAGAAUCAUUUACUUUCCUCUAAUGUAUUUUCUAAUUCGUUUUGAGCCUUGAAUGUCUGUUUUGGUGCGUAUUCUCAUUCCAUGUCGAAUCUUAUCCAUAUGGACAACCCCACUUACAAAAAAGUCUAAUGAAUCUAUUGAAGUUCAUAUGAGGUUUGUGCUUUAGAUUUAGACCUCUCUCUCUCUCUCUCUCUCUCUCUCCACUUACAUGUCUUUCACUUACCUGUUUGCAUGCAUGCCCAUUCACACACUUUCAAGAUAAUACACGGUCACUCGUACUUGUGUUUUGGUUGAAUUACUGGCUGCUAACCUCUGUAAUUCAGUUUGAAACUUGCCACCCUUAGUGCUUCACUCAAAUGGUUGGUUAGGGUGAGAUCUGUAUCGUUUUCCUGGUCUCUUUCCAAGGUUAUCUAAAGGGUUUUGGCAGUCUGAUUCUUUAGGGAAUAUCAUUGCAUAAGAUAUCUAUUGUUUGUUAAUGAAUAAUUUCUAUUUAACUAGUUAUCUAUAUAAAUUGGUCAAUUUUAACUGCAUAAUUUGCAUGCAAUAAGAUUUUAUAAGAAUCUUGUUUUCAACUCAUGACUUAGACUAAUGUGAUACGUUGAGCAUUAAGCUACAAGAUCUGCACAUCAAAGUGCUUCACAAUGUUAAGGAGAAAGCAUCGUUUUCUGCUUCUUCAUGUGAUUUAAAGUUUCCAAGGUACUUAUCCAAUAAAAUGUCUUUCAAGACUUUGGAAAUGCUUUUAUGUAUGACUGAGAGAAACUUGUUGGGUUGGUUUUUAGCAACAGAUGGAGUUAUGGACUUUGUGUUGACUUGUUAUUGAUUAAGACAGUACAUCGGCUGAUCUAUUGGCAUCAAGCAGCAGAUGCAGAAAUUAUGGGUGGCAUACCAUUGUAUCCAAAUAACAUACUACAUUGAUUUUUCUGACUUUCUGUUGGUCUCCGAGUGAAAUGCAGGCAUUUGCAGAUGAACUGGGGAUUCCUUUCCUGGAGACGAGUGCCAAAGAUGCAAUCAAUGUGGAGCAGGCUUUCUUGACCAUGGCCGGCGAGAUUAAGAAAAAGUAAAAUCACUUAACUCUUUCCUUCUUGCCGACUGUUCUUAUUUAACAAUCACCAUUAUUGCUGGUUAUAUGCAUUGUGAUGAAAAUUCUGCAAUGAGUAACUUUUUACCUAAUGUUUUCUGUUGGAACAAAUUACUCUGGUAGAAAAGCCCUACAGGGUUUGAGAAAUCCCAUGAUGUGAUGAUUGUGAGCAUUUUAGACACCGUGUAUGGGUUUAUUUUGUGACUAUAAAAUGUUAAGAUUGUUUCUAGUUUUGGUUUGUAGUGCAUAAAAGGAUUCAAAAUUUGACAUCUGUCUAAAUCAGAUUAAUAACAUGAUAAUGUACCUAUGCAAGAUGUGAGGAAUUGUUUUAUCUCACCCCUAAACUUUAAGAAAUUGAAACAUUAUUAUUCAAAAUAUUUAACAUUUCCAGAAUUGAUAGUUGUCUAUUUGAGCAGUGACUGGUGGUUAUCAUGAACUGAUGUGUGGUUGUGGUUUCAAAUCUUGGUGAAACCUGUUGUCAUAUGCUGAUUAACAUAGCUAGUCUCUGAAACAAUUUGUUGAUUCACUAAUUAUGAGUUCAAAUUUGAUGCAGAAUGGGCAACCAGCCUUCUGCAAACAAAUCUUCUGGAACAGUUCAGAUGAAGGGAUAGCCAAUCCAGCAAAACUGCAACCGCUGUGGUUAGCCGAGCAUCUUAUUUUACUUCUACAUGUUAGCUGACUGAUUGUAGACAGUUUUAACUAUGUUGACUGCAUUAUCUUAUGAAUCUUUUAAUCUGUCAAAUAUUUAUUUCCUGGUUUAAGUUCUUUCCCGUUUAUAACAAAUUUAAUUUCUUGCUCCAUUGCAUUCCAAAUUCCUGUCAAUUUACGAGGGAAAAGGAAAAGAGAGACAAAAUGGGAGAAAAUGGUCAAAUUUGUUAGGGGGAGAGAGCUGUUCAAGUAGUUUUUGUUCUCGUUUAUUGUCAUAUCGGAUGGGUAAAGUUACCGAAACAGCGUCAUUUUGGGUGAAUUAUCAUAUUUAUGUAACACUUUUGAUAAUAUUUUUAUGCAACAAAAAAAUGUUAGUACCCUUUUCACAUUGUGAAGCGCAUGAUCGGAUGAGAGCAGUCUGUAUUCUGGCAUCACAAGCUAAUGCUUUGAUUUGCUUAGUUUGUUUUUUUUUUUUUCAUGGAAUUUGGAGAUGUUGUACAUGUAUGAAGAUGACGUAAUAAAGUUGUUUUGAUAAAUUUCCCUGGUCGGUUUACUUCACUAACCAUUAAUGCGCAAAGCCUCCUAAUGACCCUAAAAAAUCCCGUACAUAAUUAAAGAAUUUCAAUUUUAUACGUACAAAAAUAAAUAACUCUCAAAUAUAUUAUUUGAUAAUUCCAAAAACAGCAAUUCAUUCUAAUAAAUCUCGUAGGAAAUACAUGGUCUAUAUUGCAAGUUUUUUUUAGACUAAUUCAAAGAGAAAAUAUGAAGGACAUAUUAUUGUCCUUUAAUUGUCAUAAAGAACUCUAAAUAAAUUCUUAUACGCAUUGCAACUAAUUACAGCCUUGAUACUUCAUUUGGUUUUUGUUAAUUUUCUAUACAGUUGUGCUGUGCAUUAAAGUUUUGUUAAAUGAAAUCGGUAGGUGAGGAUUAAUUAAUCAAUUAAUUAAGAUCCAGUUAAUGUAAUUAAUUUUAUUUGAUUUUUUUAAUUCGAGUUCUAAAUUAAUCAAUUAAUUUAGAUUCAUGUGAAAUUGAAGUGAAUUAGUUUCGAUCUGUUUUUCGUCCUAUGUUUGUCUGUGUUUACUCUUACUUUGUUUUUUUUGUUUAAAUUUUGUUUUCUUAUUGUUUACUGAAUAAAUUUCUGAGCUUUAUUUGAGUAUGAUGAUUGAUUUGUGAUUUUAAUCUAAAUGUGUUGGGCUGCGAUUUAAUUGAGUGAUGUGUGAGCGCCAAAUAUUCAAUAACUGAUAAAUUAUAUUUAUAAAUAUUAAUAGCGAUGGCACAUAAACAAUUAAUUCAAGAACUUGCCCAUAGUGAUUAAUUUAAAGAGUAUAAGUAACAUCGCAAUACAGUCUAGCCCUUACAUGUUUAAUUAGCAAUUGAAAACUACUGUUGCUGAUGAGGUAGAACAUUAUAACACUGUUGCUGAUGAGGCAGCUGGUAAUUCUUCUGGUGAAGAUAUUAAGACUAUUAAAGCUGAAAUGUAAUUAGAGAAAUAUAAUGCAUUCCCUUAGUUUGCUUUUUGUUUUUUAUAUUUGUUUGGCUAAUGCUUUGCUUAGAUUGCUUUUUGUUUUUUGAGAUUUUAUUGGCUUAGUCGUGGGGUAUUGUUUUCUCUUCUAAUUUCUAUUUUUGUUGUUAUGGGAUUUGAUUGUGGUGUACAUAUACGAAAAUUAUGUAAUCAAAUGCUUUCAAUAAAUUAUUUAAAUUAGUUUUCAACUGAGAUUUGAAUUUUGAAAUUACAUACACAAACAAGCCCUUUUUUUAAAAUACUAAUAAUAAAAUAUUUCAUUUUUCAUCUAUUACUACAAGAGGUAUAAUCGCAAAAGUGAGGAAGGCAGUCAUCCUCUGUUCAAUUAUCAAAAACUCCUUUUACCAUCCAUUUGAACAUACAUAAUCACGCCCAAUUUGAAAAAAAAAAAGUAGUAAUUUUAAAAUAUUUCAAUCGUCCACUGUUCAGUCACCAAAAACCAAUUUACCAUCCAUUUCAACGCCUAAUUUGAAAAAAGAAAAUACUAAUAAUAAAAUAUUCCAGUCGUCCAUCCUUUCACAAACCAAAAAUAUCACCAAAAACCAAUUUCCAAUCUAUUUCAAAACAAUUUUUGCCAAAGUCCUCCUCGGCUAAUUAAUUCAUACAUUAAUACAGUCCUCCUCUGCUGAAUAAUGCAAACCCGUUACGUUAUUCUACCAUUUCUUUUUAAAGCAUUCCACCAUUUAAUAAAAAAAUUCGAAAACCCAUUAUAUACAAUACAAAAAGCCCACCGACACCAAACCAUAUUAAUUUAAAAUAGUUUUCAAUUGAGUUUUGAAUUUUAAAAUUACAUACACAAACACACCCGAUUUAAAAAAAAUAAUAAUAACACUAACAAUAAAAUAUUUCAGCCGUCCUAUGUGUUAUCGCCAAAAACGGAUUUCCAAUCUAUUUCAACGCGCGGUAUAUGAGUUAACAAGUCCCAAUACUGUCCUCCAUCCUUUCUGCACUUCUCUGCUAUCAACGGACAUCUCGAGAUCCGUAAUUCCAAAAGUGAGGAAGGCAGGCCCUUCUCCGGAAAGUAUUUGAGCUUGGGACAAUCAAAGAGAUACAAUUCAGUGAGGUUUUGAAGAUCAACAAUUGAAGAAGAUAGGCGUUCCAGAUUUGGAAAAGCUUCAAUCCACAGAGAUGUUAGAGAGGCAGGAAGAGGAAGCGCGGUCCCUAAUCUUUUGUCCUCUAGUGGAAAUGAAACCAUGUCCUCAUCGCAUCUGCUGAUUGUAAGACGUCGCAGAGAGGAGAAUCUGUGAAAUCCCCGUCCCCGCUCAAUCAUUGACUUCCAAAUCUCCAUAUUACCCCAAAUAUCAAGUGACUGAAGGUUGGUGGGAAGGCCAUCUUCUUCUUCAAGGCUUGGAAGCGCACCUCCUUUUCCUAUUCUUAAGUAUUGAAGAGAGGUCAGAUUGUGCAUUCCCUUGGGUAAGGCCUCUAGUCUCUUACAAUCAAGUAUCGUCAGCCUCGUGAGUUUCGCACAAGGCAAUCCCCCUUCGGGAAAGGACACCAGAUUUCCACAACUAUCUAUACUGAUUGUUUCAAGAGAUGUGUUGUUGUCCAACCUUUCUGCUAUUGACCCCAGAGGUAGAUUGCCAACUUCAAGGGACUCAAGCGUGGCAGGUAACUCGUUUUUUGAAAAUAUACAUGUCAGAGAUGGACAACUAAUAAUUUCUAAGUGCUCGAGAAGAGAUGAGGUGUACCUUCUGCUGCUGCUGCUACACUGGAUGCCCUCUUCCACUGUCAAAGUCCUUAUAUUAUAGCAAUCGCAGAUCUGCAACUUCUUAAGGCUCGAUGGUAGCUGGACCGCAGCAAUAUAUGUCAAGGAAUGGCACUUCUCAAUAUCCAAGAUCUCGAGAGACGAAUUGGUGUCGCACAUCCAUGCCUCUGGUAACGAUUUCAGUGCAUCACAAUGCCUAAUCUGAAUUUUCUUCAACUUGGAAGGCAGAGCAACCUCAGGAAAGGAAACAAGGGAACUGCACUUGCAGAUUUCUAUCUCUCUCAAGGAACUGAGGCUGAACGAUGAUUGUGGCAGCUUCACAAGGCCUUCGCAAUUACUCAAUCUUAGAUAUUCAAGUCUGCAUGACAACUCGCAGAGCUGCUGUUGUUGGUCUUUCUUUUCCUCCGCCACCAAGGAUUGAAGUUUGGGACAGCUGUCAAUCGUCAGUCUUUUGAGAGAGCAAAUGUCUUGCAGUAAUUCGUUAUGACUCUUCCAUAUAUGUGUUUCAUUUUUAAUAUUUUUUAUCUCCAAUUCUUCCAGUUUUGGUAUUCGCGGCUUCAAUGGCCCUGCGAGAAACACUUGAUUUGAUGUAUCUCUACAAACCACUGAAUUCUGUGAGCCGAGAUGAUCAGUUGCACUUCUCCACACAACCUUUUUACAUCCACCAAUUUCCAUUUUGCAAAGAGCUGGAAGACUCGCAAUUGAAAUUGAUAAUUCUUCGCAUUCUCCAAUAACAAGCAUCUCCAAUGCAGGAAGGUGCUCUGGAAAUGUUCCUUGCAGUUUAGAACAUCUUAAAAUGUGAAGCUCUCUCAAUUUAGGAAACCGUUCAACUCCUUGACUGGAUCCAUGAGGAAUCCACUCUUCCCACUCUUGCAGGUCUUCAAAACGAAGAGUCUCCAAGCAUGUAAAUGGAAUUUGAGAGUCAUCCCCAUAGAACUCUGAACCCAAUCUCUUUACUCUACUCAUUCCACGCACUGUAAGAUGCUUUAGAGAGGGCAGUUGGCCGACUGACGGCAGGGCAGUACACAUGCCGCAAUCUUCAAAUUUAAGUGUUACUAAAUUUAAGAAUGAGGAAUCUCCUAACCAUGUUGGAAAUUUUGUACCUCCAUAGCCACAGAUACCAAAUUGUUCCAGAUUUUUAUGGGGUUUGAGCACGUCAAGCACACCCAUUUCAGUUUCUGCCUCCCUUGAAGAUGAACCAUCGGUGCUGCAAGUCCAAUUAAGCGAUAAUUCUCUAAGAUUCUUCUUUCCAUCCAACCGAGCCUCCUUUGCAUCACCAAUGUCUUUUACAUUCUCUAAUUUUGAAAUUUUAAGUGUCCCCUGAAGAUGUAUCAAUGACUUUAGCUCUCGUAACCCAGAACCAUUGUCUUUUCCCACAGCGAAAUUACCCAGCAUUUGAAGACAAGUCAGCUUACCAAUUCCUAGUGGCAUUUCCUCCAAGGAAUCUGUAUUUGAAUUAUUGAGAUGAUGCAAUUUGAUGAGAUUUCCCAUGUCUGCACACAACUUCUUCAGUCGUCGACAGCCCUCCAAAAGAAGGGUGUGCAAGUUGUAAAGCUUGCUGACUGAUUCAGGCAGAGUUUUAAUUUCAGUUCCAGACAGGUUAAGGUGCCUUAAAUACCUCAAAUCACCAACUGAAUCCGGCAGCUCGGCUAUGCAAUAUCCACGCAGAGAGAAGACCCUUAAGCUUUGGAGUUUGAACAACUUAGGAAGAAUGCUAUGAGCCAAGUAUCCAUGCCGACUAUUUAACAUCACUGGUAAAAAAUUUCUCAAAUGUUGGAUAUCAUACAAUUUCUCAAACCUUUGAACGCCAUCAUAAUCUCCACGAAUGUACGACAGAUGACGAAGAUUUCUAGAAAAACUUUGUUGCUUGUUAACCUCCGAGGUAUACUCCAGUGUGAAGUAUGUCUCCCCUGCAGCCCAACGGGCAAGGUCGUUGAUAAGAUCGUGCAUAACAAAUCGUGACAUACUGUUGCUCGAUUGCUGGAAAAAAGAUCUUCCACGUAGCUCUUGAAAGAACUUUCGACCAAGAUCUUCACUAGGAUUCCCACUCUCUCCGUGAUUCAAGAAACCCACAGCACUCCAUAAUAAAAUUAUCUCCCCCUCUUCAAAUUCAUAAUCCUUUGGAAACAAUGAGCAAUACGCAAAGCAUUGUUUCAAAGGUGCCGAAAGAUAAUAGUAGCUCACUCUAAGCGCCGGCAUAAUGUCACAUCUCUCUUCUUGCAAUUCCCAUAUCUUGGUACUGAGCACUCUCUCCCAAUCACAUCUGUCAUCUUUUCCUCGCAAAAGUCCUCCAAGUGUUUGCGCUGCCAAGGGCAAGCCAUCGCAUUUGGCCACUAUCUUCUUGCCAAUUUCCUCCAAUAACUUAUCUGACCCCAAAGAGUGUUGAGCGAACACAGACAGACAAUCAUCGUUUGACAACUUUUUCAAUUCAUAAGCCGGAGCAGUCCCCAUGAUGGCUGCAACCCCUUGAUUACGAGCUGUGACAAUAAUCUUACUUCCCGGUGCGCCAGCUUCAAAUGGACGCCUGAGUCGAUCCCAAUCAUUGUAAUUCUCAUUCCAAACGUCAUCUAAAACAAGCAAAAAUUUAUUUUGAGAUAAUUUCUUCUUCAGCUCCUCUUGAAGCUUAUUCAAGUCGUGAUUAUCCACAUUCUGGUCACUAGCAAUUGAAAGUAGGAUUGAUUUUGUAAGCCUGAUAACAUCAAAAUCAUCAGAGACGCAAGUCCAUGCCUUGAGAUCAAAAUGAUCCUGCACUUGCUUAUCAUUGUAGACAAGCUGAGCGAGAGUGGUUUUGCCCAGCCCGCCCAUACCAAUGAUAGGAAUAACGGAGAAUUCACCAUCAUUUCUCAAAUCAUCCCUCAACAACAAUACAACAAUUUCCUUCUUUUCUGUUUCCCUCCCAUAUACCUUGGCUUCAUUCACCAAAGAGGUUGUGGGUAGUCUUUGCCUAUCUUUUUUGGACCUUCCAACUGAACUUACGUUCAAACCCAGCGAGUCUUUCUGUGUUACAAUAUCUUGAAAUCUGUCGUUGAUCUCUUUGAUUUUGGACAUUAUGGCGUAAUCGAACUGAAUCGAUUGUGGAGUAAAAGUGGUGCAGCAAGUAGGAAUGAGCUUCCGAAACUUACUUGUUCUUGUACGACUGCUACUGGGUUGAUCAAGAGCAGCAGCUGGAUCUCGAUUUCCAAGCAGCAACUUCCUCCGGAAAGCCUCAGUUUGAAACUCAUCCAGCAAGUCUUCAACAUCAAAAGCCAAGUUCUGAAGCUCGCCAAGCCACAACUUCACAGACUGAUCAGUCUUCUUCUCCUCAGCAUCAGCAAGCACCGCCUUGAUCAUCACCAACAUAUUCUUCCACUUCUUUAGGUCGGCUUGGAUUUGCUCUUGGCGUGCAAACAGCCGAAUCCCCUCUGAAGCUAACUUAUUGACCAGCAAAUCAAUGGACGCCGUAAGGAUUGCCUCUCCGAUGAAUGACAUUUUUUGUUCUUUUGCUUUUUUUUUUUUUGGUUUUGCAAAGAAAGAAAGGAGCAGAAUUAUGGGUUAUGGAAAGCAGAAUGAGAAAAUGGAACAGGUGAGAAAAUGGAUAAUUAAGCAGAAUGAGUGUGUGAUUGUGAAGGGUCUGGCCCAGCAAGCUUAGUAGAAAUCACGCGUUGAUACUUUAUUGACCAAUGACUAAUAAUUUGGCAAUUCACUCAUCACCACCACUUGGUAAGCAAAAUGAAAAUGCUUAGUAAUUAAGUGUCAAGGGUCAAGCAAAUACGGCGUUAAUCCAGUGUCUAUUUCCUAGAACCUUCAUCUCAUAAACCAAGUUCAAUCAAAACGUUCCUCUCUCGCUAUUUUUUUUUUAAAAAAAAAAAACUCCUAAAACGUUUCUUUUUAGAAAUAUUUUACUUUAUUCAUCUAAUAUGUUAUCUAACAAAUACACACAAUUGAAAUCACUCUAAAGUGAAGAUGAAAGGGGAAAAAAAUUACCUUCCAACCACCAGUAAUCUAGCAAGCUUCACUUUAUUCCACCAAAGUGUAAAUAAAGCCAGCCCCCACCGGCAUCAAUAAUUUUGCAAGCUUCACAGGCUUGUUGUCUUCUCCUUGACGAACUGGACAUGAGUGCACCAAGAAUCAAUGACAGAAUUUUAAAAAUAAUAAUAAGAGAAAAACCUACAUAUUUUCGACUUAGAGUAGAACCUUAAUUAAUGCUAAAAUCUACUCAGCUAAUUUUCAAAACCGUGAUUAGGGUUCAUCUCAAAUGUUUGAAGAGAGUCUAUCAGUUCUUCUACGUUAAGAAUAUCAAAAUUCUUGCUUUUUCUUCAAACAUUGAAGAAUGAAAACAAAAAGUUGAAUAUGGAAGAAAAGAGAAUGCAUCCAUCUUCGCUGUAGAAGUCUUCUACUUAUAAAAGCAAGUUAGAAUAAACUAUUUUAAUCUCUCUUUUUAUUCUUGUAAGUGCACUACAUUUUUUUUUUUAAUCUCAAUGCGAAAUCAUAUCAUAAUGUUAUAUUCAUGUUGUAAAACGAAAUUUUAGAUAAAACAAAUUCGACUCAUUUUUUAAAGGUAUAUAUUUAAUAGGUUACUAACAUAACUAACAAAACGUGAUUAUUACACUAAGGACAUGUUUGGUUACUGUAUUAUAACCCCUCAUUGCAUUAGUUUUAUACAAGCCUAUGUUUGGUGAAUUAAAAACUACAGAAACACUGCAUUAUGGGCCUAGCUAAUGCGGCAAACUGCCGCUUGCUGUUUCCUUUUUUUUUUUUUGCCUUUUCAUUUCCAACUUUUCAGUUUUUGCUAACUUUUGUUUUUACUUUAAUUUUUUUUUUCUUUUCGUUUCCAACUUUUCAGAUUUUACUAACUUUUGCUUUUACUUUAAUUUUAUUAUAAUAAUAAUAAUAAUAAUAAUAAUAAUAAUAAAUAUUUUUAAUUUAAUAUUAUAUUAUUUAAUAUUUUUAUUUUUACAUUUUAAUUUAUUAAUAAAUUUACAAUUUAUUAUGACUAAUAAUAAAUAUUUAAAUAUGAAUAAUAUUAAUUUAAAAUUAAUAAUAAUAUAAAAUAUUAAUAUAAUUUAAAUAUAUUAAUAUAAUAUAAUAUAAUAUUUAAUUUAAAUUAAUCAAAAAAAUUAUUACAGUACAGUGUAGUACCAAACAUUGUACAGUAUUAUUAUAAUAUAAUACUAAUAUAAUACAGCAUAAUAUAAUACAACAACAUUAAAGUAAUGCAAUACAACAUAAUACAAUACGUGUACCAAACACACCCUAAAUGAAAUAAAAGACAGUACUAUCACCAAUAAUUUAGCCAGUUUCGCAUGCACGUGUUUCUAAAAACAUUAUAUGGAAUCAAACAACAGUGAUACAAAGAGAAAAGUGGAAAUCCUCUGAUUGUAUUUUUUUUUUUUUUUCAAAAGAAAUGGUGGGGUUGGUUUGUUUGCAAAGUUAUUAGCGUGGGUCUAUUUGUUUUUGUUUUAACUUUUUUUUUUAAACCAUUCAGUUUCUGGCGACCGCAUUGAAUCCUGACUAAUUCGAAUUCGAAGUGUAAUCACAGUUAAGACUCAUUACCCCUCCCAAAUGGUGUGUUUAAUGGGGAUCGAAACCGAGAGCCCUUCUCACAAAUCCAACCAGCGUUGCCAACGGAGCCACAACCAUUUGGUUUGUUUUAACUUUAUUAUUCGAUAAGCAAACGUGUAAUGAUUUGUAAAUAUCACUAGCAUCACAUUAUUGGGAGGUAUUGGGCUUAGUAUUCACAAUUUUUGUAAGAUGAAUUUGUAAGACUAAUUAAUUUUGAUGAAAAUGUAUCGUUAUUAAGAUAUUAUUUAAUUCAUUAAGUUAACUUGAGGUAUUAAUAUUCACUAAUUGUGGUGCUGAUUAAUUUACUUAACUUGUCACUAUUUGCAAUUAUGAAUGAAGUUCAAUCAAUUUAUUGAGAAAAAAAAAAAACAAAGAUACCUUUUUUCUUUUGAUUUUAAUUCUUAGGAUUUGAUUUCACACUCUUUCGUUUUUUUACGUUGCUAAAGAGGCAGUAAAAAGCUUGCUGAAUGUCAUCAAAUUGGCAAUAUUUGUUUGGUAUUUCAUCUCAACGGAUGCAGUAAGAAUUGCCUCUCUGAUGACUGAAAUUUUUUUUUCUUUUUUUGGGCAAAGAAAGAAACAGAAUUUUGAGUUUUGAAAAGCAAAAGGAGAAAAUUGAACAGUAAGUGUGGAGGGUCAAGCAAAAUGCGCGUAACAAGCCUUCCGCUUGUUGUUUAUUCCAGUAAAGCGAUAAUAAAAUCAGAGCCCGCCACCCAUUAAUAAUUUAGCAAUUCACCAGUCACCAGUCACCAGUCACCAGUCACCAUGAAUAUAUUAAAUUGCACCUUGUAUUUGCGGGAUCCAGCAACAUUGACCCAGUGUCCGGGUAAAUACUGAAUAAAGAGGAAAAUGGAAUGUAUCCACUACGAACCUUCGCUUUGCAAGUCUUCAAACUCAUAAACCAAGAUAAAUCAAAACGUUUAUCUCUUCUAUCUCUUUUUGCCAUAUAAUUACUUUAUUUAUUGAAUUAAUUUCCAUGCUAAAAGGAAGACUUAAAACUGCACUACAAUUUUUUAUAAUCACAAUGAUAAUUCCUACUACCAUGUUAUUUUAAUAUCGUGUCAAAAUAAAUUAUAACAAAAUUUUUUUUAUAUGAACACUCUUUUUAUUUAUAAAUUUCUCGAUUUUUAAUAUUUUUUUCACUCUUUUAGUCUUAAUAUUUGUAUUUCUCUCUUCAAACUUUCUUUAUUAUUUAAUUUUUAAAUAAAAAUAUGAAAAAAAUAAAAAAAAUAUUAUAUUUAAAAAAUAAUAAAUAUUUUAUCGGUCUAAUCCAUUGACAAUGAAAGAGCACGCGAAAAAUCUCACGCAUAGAAAACUUUGUGAAAGGCAUUUGAAUGUGUUGCCACAUUUUCCAAACGAAACGAUAAGGCUUUAGCCUUAUAAUUGCAAUUAGUUUGUCUUGUAACGAAAUUAUUGCCGACAAACACCAUCAUGCUGACAAGCCGUGCAUGCACGUCCUCAAUCACCCAUGUCCUCUACUUGUCUUUUGGUGUUUACGGUGUAGUUAGGGAUGGUAGCGGGUAGGGUCUGGUACGGGUUUGACAUCACCAAACCCGCAUCUACAAAAAAUUUUAAUUACGUAAUUCAAAUUAUAAAUUUAUAACCGUUGCCUAAAAAAGCCACAUAAAAUACUUAAUUCUACAUUUUAUCAAUAUAAAUGAGAAAUGAAAAUAUCAACAUUAAAACAAAUACACAAAAUAUAUCAAUUUAACACCAAUUCUAAAAUUCAAUUACCAAAUAAAUAAGUCUAUCACAACUCGAAGUGCUUUUAAUUUAAAAUGAAAAAAGAGAAAGAGAAAAAACAAAGAGCUACAAAUCAAAGUAGCACCCAGACCUAUUUCAUAGGCUCAUUCGACACUAAGAUCUUAGAAUUAAGAUCUUCAAUUCAUUCAUUACCACUAGCACCCAUUCAACGUGGUUUUUCUAAGCAAAAUAUAAAGUACAAAAUUACAAUAAGCAUAUGAUACUCCAUGCUUUAAGUUAAAGGUCCUUAUAUAAUUUUAUGAAUAAUGAUUUAGUGAAAUUUUAUGAUUAAAGUUAAAAAUACACAAAUAUUAAAAUAAGAAUGUUGGACACUUGCACAACUAUUUGCCAAAUUUUUUCUCUAUAAAAAUUCACUUGCAACUUGCAGCAGGUUUAAAUUUAUAAUAUCAAACUUGAUUGUAGCUCGCAAAAUUUUUAGAUUUGCGAUAAUUUUGCCACCCUAAGUUUAGUUAGUAUUGUAUAUCGUGUGUUUCCAAUUGGCUCUUAUAAAAAGCCUAGAAGUUGUAUGAAUAAUGAGGGAGACAAAUAUUUCCCAAAGAUAUUAUCUUUUUCAAAUUUUUUUCUUUUCUCUAUUAUUGUAACUUCAAAUCCUUAAAAAAUUACAUAUUACAGACAUGAACACAAUGUUUUGACAUAGUGGCUUUUGGCUUGUCUAGAGAAAUUUAGGAUAGAUUUUGAUGUACUAAGGCUCUGUUUACUAUUAAGAUUUUGGAACUUUUGAGCCACACUUGAAAUUUGUUUAAUUCUAAUAGAGUUGUAGCCUUCGAUAUGUGAUUGGUAUUAAUCAAGUGUUAUGUUUACAACAGUUAAAGGCAUAUUGAAUCAAAGUCCACUUUUGAUUGAGAUUUUAAAGUAGGUUUUUAACUUGAUAGCCACUCAAGUUCAAAUAUUGGAACCACAGUGCACCUUUCACUUACUAGGCUUUAACCAAACAGACGACGUUAUACAAACUUCUAUCCAAUAAGGCAAUGCAAACAAAAGCAAGUGAAUUAAAAAUAAAUAAUUUCUCAUUAAUUUGCAACAAGUAUUAAUAAAGUGCAUGAGAAAAUAUGUCUUUUUUUAAAUGAAAAUAAAUGUGUUAAUUAGUCAAUUUAAAUGGUACGAUAUUUUGAAAUGAUAGAAGCGAUCUGGAGUUUAAAUCUUACUCUUGACGUAAUAUUUAAUAACGAAUUUGAAGAACAAUUAAAAAUUAAAAGAAAAGAAAAAAACACUUUCUUUCUUAAUGAUGGUAAUUUGUUCAGAUGAUGAAAAUUCUUAGAGUGGUAUAAUAAGUAUUUUUGAGUGUUGCCAUCGCCAAUAAUAUUUAAUUUCCUUUAUAUAGUUAUAUCUCAAGUAACAUUUAAAUAGAAGCAAGUUGGAAAUUAAAAAAAAAUGAACCAUUGAGAGAAUGAAAAACAAACAAAAAAAAAGUUAAAAAAUUGUAUCUCAAUAAAUUUACUUGAGGGCUACUCUACUGAUCUGUGAAGAGAAAACACAAAGAAUAAUGAUGUAUCUCAAUUAAUAGGACAAUUUUUGUAUUUUUCGUUUAUUCAAGAAUCACGAAACUUCAUUUAAACUUGUUAUUUCAUUGAUAAUAUAUUAACAUUGAACAAUGUAGGGGACAUUCCUUUCCAAUUAUGCCCAUAUAUUAACUAAAGGCCACCAAAAAGUUCAGGGAUACUAUAGUAAUUUAAGUCAACAAUUACUAUGCUUGAAAUCAGCCAAUCAAACUCACUUUAGAAUAAACUGAGAAAUCAAAAUCACAUUCUCCAAUUCUACGAUUUCAAUUCAUCUUCUUUCUUCAACUGAAGAAUUGGUUGUAUCUCGUUUAGAUAAAUAUAAAAUAUAAAUGAUGAGGAGACUAGAAAAGUAAAAUCAAAAGAAGAGCACGAGUUUUGUUGAAAAUGACUCUUUUUCAUCAUUGUGCCGGAGUGAAUGUAUCUACAUAUAAACUAAAGAAGCACAUUUGUUUGUAUUAGCUUUUUUAUUGUAUUUUUAAUAAUAAGUCAUUUUUCAAUGAACUUAUAUCAAUUUUUAUGAAAAUAAUAUGUGUUAGUUAGUUGAUUCAAAUGGCAAAACCUCUUGGGAUAGAGCUUGUAAUUUAUUGGCUCAUGAAUUGUCUAAAUUGACACUACCGAAGCCAAAUUAUUGUAUUUGGUUAAAAAAGCUCCUGCUCAGCUUCAACUUUAUUAUUCUAUGAUGUUUGUUAAUAAAUAACAAUUUUAUUGAAAAAAAAAGACCCCUUGAACUUAUACAAAAGAUUUGGGAUCUGAAUCUGACUUGAAUUUAGCUUGAGGUUGACAUUGUUAGCAUAAUAAUUGAAGAUAGAUUUUUUUAAAUUAAAAAUCAAAAGAUAUAUAUAUUUUUUUGGUUCACACUAGUUAGUUUUAACUCAUAGUGAGAUUUAAACAGAAGCAAAAUAAUAAAUCUUAACAUCCUGACUCAUGGAUAACAUUUACAUAAGAUAGUAAAAUCUAUUAUGUCCAAAAUAAGAGGUGUGAAGUUUGAAUUUUGCUCACAUAGGUAGUAAGAGAAUCAAAUUAUUGUUAGAUUAAAUUAAUUAAAAAAAUUAUCUGAUAUCCAAAACAGCGUAUCAACAAAAUUGAAAUAAAAGAAAAUUGAAGAGAAAAACCAUUGAGAGAACGAAAAAUUAACACAAGAUAAAUUCGAUAACUAAUUGUAUCAGUGUGCGCUAACUUCACUUAUUAAAACUUGGUUAUUUCAUUUUCAUUGAUAAUCAUUUUGACAACGAUUUUUCUUUCCAAGUAUGCCCAUGAACUAAUAAGAGAACUGCCGAAAGGGUUCGGGGAUAAUAUGGUAAUUUAAAUUAACAUUUCCUGUGCUUCAAAUCAUCAAAUCAAACUCACACUUCACAACAACAGAGAAAUCAAACUCACGGUUUCUCUCAUUUUUAAUUUAUUAUAUAAAGAUAAAUAUAUAAAAUUAAAUGGCGAGAAGACCGGACGAGGAAUACGAUUACUUGUUCAAAGUGGUAUUAAUCUAAAAACAAUAAUAUUAAAUAAAACACCUGGGAGUCGUAAUGGAAAGAAGAAUACAAUAUAUGAAACUUAUAAUGUUAUUUUUACUAUAUUAUAUUGAUACUUUGUUUUGUUAAUCAUAUAAGUCAAUCAGUAAUUAUUUAAUCAUUGGAAUUAAAACUAAUGUAUUAAUUAAAAUUCAAAAUCUAUUAUAAAAAUAGUAAAUAUUAAUAUAAAGAGAUGGACCUAUUACAAAAUACAUUCACCAAAAGUUCUAUUAUACUUAAAAUUCUCAUUCACAAAAAAAAAAAAAAAAAUAGUUGAAUACAUGUACAAAAAAAGGGGAUAAAUAAAAAAUAAUAAUAAUAAAUAAUAAAAGGAUAGUUUAUAUAAUAAAAAAUAAAUUUAUUGAAUAGAGAUGUUAAUAAUAAAGAAUAAUAGCCUAAUCAAACUCACUUUAGAAUAAACUGAGAAAUCAAAAUCACAUUCUUCGAUUCUACAAUUGAAUCUUUUUCAUCAUUUUGUUGGAGUGAAUGUAUCUACAUAUAUUGGGGACCAUAAUGGAAACCGGUAGAACCUACAAGGGCUAAAAUCAAAACAACGAACGAUAUCUCAAGGUCGCCGAAACGUAAAUAAUUAAUCUUAUCUUUCAAUUGAUUUUUGUGGAGCCAGAGACAAUUAAACCCGAACAGCAAAUAGCCAUAAAUGAUAGGACAAUUAAAUUGGAACUCUUCACAGACCCACGAUUUAAUAUCUUUAGAUUGUAACGGUUUAACCCAAAAAAAAAAUAGUAAAAUAUUUCUUAAAAAAAUGAAAAAAAAAUGUUGAAAAGAAGAACAAAAUUCUGGUCCACGUGUCAUUUCAAAAUAGGUUGCUGGCAUAAACAACCGGCCCCAUCCCGGACAGAUGUUAUUUGAGUGGUUGGUACGCAUUUCCACUUUUUUGUUUUAGAUGCAACGACUCAUGCACUAAAUAUAUAUAUAUAUAGGGAAUCCCUAUCUUACAUGCAUGUAAAAUAUAUUUUUCUCAUAUAAAUAAUAUAUGUGUAGAAUUCACGUACUGUUUAUGUAAGAGAGAUGUAUCUUACAUACAUGUAAGAUAUGAGGAUUCAUGAAUAUAAUGUUAUUAGUUUAAAUAAUGGGUGCAACUCAUGUUUUUGAAACAUUAAGAUCUUUAGCCAUUCUCUUACUAUCCCGUGGUUAUUUAAGUUACAAGAGACAGUAAAACAACAACGUCAUAUUUUAAUUACUUACACUAAAUAAAUUACUCACACUGAUGCCGCGACUGCCGCUUGCUUUUUUUCUUUUUUUUGCCCUUUUAAUUUUGACUUUUGCUUUUACUUUUUGAUUUUUGCUUUUGGUUUAUAAUAAUAAUAACUACUUUUUAAUUUAAUAUAAUAUUAAAUAAUAUUUUUAUUUUUAAUUUUACAUUAUAAUUAUUAAUAUAUAAUUUAUUAUUUAAUAUUAUUAUAUUAUGUUUUUUAUUUUUACAUUAUAAUUUAUAAAUAAAUUUAUAAUUUAUUAUAACUAAUAAUAAAUAUUUAAAUUUGAAUAAAUUUGAAUAAUAUUAAUUUAAAAUUAAUAAUAAUAUAAAAUAUUAAUACAAUUUAAAUAUAAUAUAAUAUUUAAUUUGAAUUAAUCACAAAAAAUUAAUAUAAUACAGUGUAGCACCAAACAUUGUACAUUAUUAUUAUAAUACAGUACUAAUACAACGCAACAUAAUACAAUACACCAACAUUAAAAUAAUACAAUCUAAUAUAAUACAAUACAGUGUGCGAAAUGCACCGACAUGGUAUUACUUUGUUUGUCUUGUUACUUACAGUUAUUUAAUCUGUAGACCCACUCAUGCUCCUUCUAUGUAACAUAGAUACAAUUUGAGGAAGAUUAUCAAUUUUUUUAUUAAAAAUAAUAUAUACCACUUAUUUUUUAUUAUUUUUAUAAUGUUCAACAAUUCGCUUGAGAUCAAAAAAUUAAAUGAAAAGAAGGAGUAAAUAGAUGAUUUACUUGAUGUUGUAUCUUAGAAAUAUAAAAUAUAUUUAUUUAUUAUUAAAAAUAUUUAAAAAUAAUAAAGAGUAUAUAAAAAGUAUCUUAUCCUCAACAACAAGAUCAGACGACGUCAAUUCAGCAAAAUGACUUGAAUAACUUGAACGUCCAGCAACGGUCACCUCUUGGCGCACACAUGGCAACGUGCGUAGCUUUGGCAAGAGGUCUCCCAAAAGGACGAUUAAGAAAAGAUUGCAGGACAAAUCAUGAAAAUAGUAGUACAGAUAUGCAAUGGCUAAAUUUCCUCGAUUAAGUCCAUCGCAAUCAAGUCUUAGAAAUCACACCCCUGUAUUAAUUUCCAGAAAUAUGUUUGUUCCAUAUUUAUCGUGCACGUAUAUAUUGUAUGUAUUGGGAAUAGAAAGAGUGUAUGUAAAAAAUUCUUCAUUCAUCGAUUAAAACUUAAUUUAUGUACGAGGGUUAAGUGUAGUGUUUUUAAAUUUAAAAAGGACAAGUGUCAAUCCACUGAGGCUUGACUCAAUGGCUAGAGCCACACUCCCUCACAAAGUGGUUCGAUCUCCCACAGAUGUAUUAUAGAAGUUUAAUUUAAAUUUUUUUUCUCAAAUUUUGAGUGAAGACAGUCUUUCUCCCCUAAAUAGAGUUUUUCUAAAAAUUUAAUGUUCUUCGAAUAUUUGAGAUGAUUAAAAUUUGAGCGGUGCUAUAUAAAAUAUAAUGUAAACUAAUCUAAAUAAUUAUAUAAUUAUAAAUAUAAUGAACAAUAGUCUCAUACAAAAAAAUGACAAGUGUAGUAAGCCCAUUUAAAUUAACUUAUAUUUGAGGGGAAAAUCUCUGUAUAUCAUAGUAUAUAUUAUAUAUCCAGUCGUGGGACCCAUACAUGGUUCCAUGUAAUUCGCACAGUUGAACUGGAGACACUGAUUAGUUCGUUGUCUAUUUGCCAACUUAUGUACAACUAAGUAAUUUCAUGCACCAUUUGCGCCUUAUCUAUCCAUCCUGCUUGCAUUGCAUUUUACUAAACAUACAAUGAAAUUAACCCUUGUAAUUUCGGCCUUUGCCAUAGUCGUUUUGUUUAUUAGGUUUAUGUUUAUCAACAUGAUAUGUUGUCAACCAUAAUCACAAUCAAGUUGUUAAUUAUUUUUUAAAUAAUGUGAAGGAACAAGAUUUUGGUCUUUGACUGUGGAGUUAAAAAUAUCUCACCUCAACAUACGGUGUUGUGCUCUCAUCAUCUUAACAUUAUUUGUUAAAAAUUAUGUCAAAGAGGAAAGCAGAUUCAAACAUUACUUCAAUUUUCUUUAAGAGCAUAAAAAAAUCGUUAAUAGGCUACUGUUAUUUGUUAGUACGAUUUCACAGAAGGAGGCUAGAGGAAGAUGAAGCUUUCACGUCAUGUGUGCAUCAAAGUAAGAAACAGAGCUAACGAGAGAUGGACAAGUAUUAACCACUGUUAUCAGAAAUUAAAUAUAUCAGCAUUUUGUUAGUUCUGGCCAUAUUGGAACUAUUAGCACCCUAAUUUUCUUUUGAAGCUCCUUUUCUGUCGAAACCUAUUUUAAUUUCCAAAAUAUUUUUUUUUCAUUUUUUUAGUUUCUUUCUGAUAAAAAAAAAAUCAGUUUCUUAAACAACUCCAACUACAAAUAUUGUUUUACAAAUUUUUGAAUUAUUAAAUCAUAUGUGUGUGUAUAAAUUGAAUAGAAUUAAAAAAGUGGACUCAAAUGGGUAUUGUGUAAUUUUUUUUAUAAUUAAAGAAAAGUUUAGAAUGCAAAAGAGUGUGAGAAAACAAAAAAUAUAAAUCACCUUUGAUGUAGUUGUAUGGUUGUAAAGAGUUAGAUGGAGAAAUAUAGUAUAUAAUUAAAUUUAUUUUGUUCUUUAAAACGGAUAGGUUUUAUACGAAUUUUUCAGAGGAGUGCCAAUAUUUCAACUCUAUCAUUGCUAUUAGUUUGUCUUGUAAUUCAAUCAUUGCCGACAAGUAUUAAUUGUGACUAUUAUUAUUAUUAUCGUCGUUAUUCUUAACAGCAAUGACUAGAAUUAUAAUAAUAACAAUAACAAUAACAAUAACAAUAACAAUAACGUCAAUACAAUAAUAUGGGUCCGCCUAUGUUGCCACUUAUGUAUGUUGCUACAGCUUUUGUCUUUUGUGAUCAGUUAUUGUAACAUCUCAUUGAGUCCCUUACACUCUAUUUUAUUUACAAUUUAUUUAUAAGUAUUAUGAUUUUUUUAUUUACCUACACUUUUAAAAUUUAAAUUUUCACUUCACACUAUUUUUUAUUUACCAUUUUUUAUAAGUAUUAAAGGAGUUUUCGUUUUCAACCACAAAACAAUAAUCAUCAUAACACAUUAUUAUCAAUAAAAAAAAUAAAAUACCCUUAAAUUAGUACUAAAAGAAACUCUUUUCUCUCUUGGAGGAAUCACAAUAGCUCAUCUUCCAUCACUUAUCAUCAAUAAAAUUUUCAAGGAUAUAAUCAAUCAUCUUCUUUACUAUAUCAUCUCAUAAUAAUUAAGACUUUAAUGAUAAAAGAAUUAACAAAAUAAAAAAAAAUUUCCCGUGAAUCCAUCCCUCUCCACUAUCAAUUUCUCUUCAUCAGCAACUUUUAUCAACAAUUGAAGCCACUAUUAGAACUCACCACAAAGAGAGAGUAUGGGAGGGGAAGAAGAAACGGGUAAAAAUAUAUGAAAUGUUUUCAAUUUUAUGAUACGUUUACUAAAUAAGAAUCAUAAUUAGAUAGAAUCAUAGUAAGUUGAAAUUAAAAUGAGCAGGAAUCAAAAUAAGAAAUUGUAAUUAGAAUAAAUUAUUUAUUUGAACUAUAGAAAUAGUAAUUGGAAUAAGCUAUAUUACAAUUAAUGUAUUUACUUUGUUUUAAAAUCAUAAUCGAAAUAAGUUAAGUUGUAACAAACUACCAUAAAGUACUUAAUUAAUUAUUAUCAUAAUUAUUACUUUGUAUUUUAAUUAUUGUGAUUAUUAUUAUUAAAAAAUUUAAUAAUUAUUGCUAACUAUUAUUAUUAACAAUAUAACUCAAAAAUUAUUAGUUAUUGUUAAUAUAUUAAUUAAUUAUAAAACUUUUAUCAUUAAUAAUAAUAAUAAUAAUCCAUUUAAAUAAUAAUAUUAAUUAUUAAUUAUUGUUAAUAUAUUAAUUAAUUAUAAAACUUUCAUCGUUAAUAAUAAUAAUCUAUUUAAAUAAUAAUAAUUAUUAAUUAUUGUUAAUAUAUUAAUUAAUUAUAAGCUUUUAUCGUUAAUAGUAAUAAUAAUAAUAAUCCAUUUAAGAAAAUAACAAUAAUAAUAAAAAAAUUGUCAUCAUCAUCAACGGCAACAAAAAAUGGGAAUCGGUGGCGGCAUCAUCAUCCACAACGUCGGCAUCAUCAUCAUCAUCUUGAAGACGGUCGGUAAAGACGAAGACGACGACGAGAAGGAGAGGUGGAGAUUUGCUCUUUGAAGAUGGUGAUGAGGUCGUUACCUGCAGGGGACUAAAUCAUGGACGGUGAAGACCAAUGACAACCAGCGAGCUAGAACCGAUCCUAGUGCUGUGCUUCUUCUUGGAUGCAACUAAAAAAUUCUUCCUCUUGGCUGCGAUGGAGGGUCGAAACGUUGGAUGUGUUUGUUAUUUUUUUAAUUUUGCUGGCUGUGUUUUCUAAUUAACUGUGGCGUAUUUUGAGAAUUUAAAAAGCUUGAAGGAGUAAAUUUGGUACUUUUAGGGGCUCAAUCAAAUAAAAUAGAGUGCAAAGGGUUCCAUGAAAUUUUAGAAUAAUUAAGUCACAAAAGACAAAAGCUGUUGUAACGUACAACAGUGGCAACAUAGGCGGACCCCAAUAAUAUAACAACAUAAUAAUAUUUUAAUUGGGGUCUUCCACCUGGGUAUGCAUGAUUCCUUGUGACAUGUGCCAAUUAAAUUCUGACAUACGUGCAAUAAAGACUGUAAAGUGACCGGUUAUUCCGAUUGAAUUCACAAGAGCUCUUGUUUGUGUGUUUGUGUUCCAAGUUGUGUACUCUGUGUUACGAGUUCUCUAAUUAAUCUGAUAUUAUCGCAACUGUUGCUCAAUAAUGUUACAUGCAUUAUAAUAUAUGUCACUGGUACGGUCGCUGUCUCAAGUGGUAAACAUUAAGGCACAAAUUUAGAAUGAAAAGUUUCCCAGUAAAAUAAGUUAUUUAAUUAAUUAAAUAAGAAUAAAAUGAAUUUGUGAAAGAAAUUUAAAUUUAAUUUUGAAUUAUUUUGACCAAAAUUUAAGUUUCUUUUUAAUUUGUUUAAGAAAGUGCGUUGUAAUUAUCUUGUUUUAAUUGGAAAAUCAAUGAAAAAAUUAUGUAACAGGAAACAAAAAAAAAAAAAACAAAACAAAACGGUUUGUUUUGGAUGGAGGCCAUAGAUUCCAAUAUUUCCUUCACGAAAACUACAAAAAAUUAUCAAAGGCAUCAAUUUCUACACUCUCACCGAGCAAAUACUCUCAACCCAGAAGAAAGUGUAUAAACCAACCCCAAUUAGUCCAUCAAUGUCGUCAACCUCAUACAACACAAAAAAAUAUGUGUCCAUUAAACCGCCAUCUUGCCAUCUCGUUGUAGUAUUUUGCUGUUCAAAUCUAGUUAUUAAUUGGGGAAAAUGGGGACCAAUCUGCAAGUCUUUAAAAUAGAAAGAAACUUUAAUUGAGCACUAUGUUCACAGUGGUGGACCCAGCGGCAGUAAUCUUUAAGGUGGAGCUAUUUAUACUUUAAAAAUUAUUUUAAACACUCUAAUUUUAAUAAGAAUAUGUAUUGCAAAAAUACUUAUCAUAUAAGUUACUGUUAAGGACAAUAUAUUAUAAGUCAACAUUAUAUAAUUACUUUGAACACUUAUAUAGCACAAUCCUUAUUCAAUUUAUUAUUCUCAUGACUUAAAUAUAAAAAAUUUUAUUUUCAACAUCUUAAUUAAUAUGUAGGUGAAUAAUAAGGAAAUUAACUUUGAGAAAAAAAAUUAAAUACAAAAUAUGUGUAAUACUUUUAAAAAAUAAAAUAAAACAACAGUAUUGCACAAGAUUUUUUUUUGGGGGGGGGGGGGGGGGCUUUGGCCAUUCUUCUUCUUCUCCUUCUCUCUCUCUCUUUUUUUUGGGUAGUAUUUAUGGAACAUUUUCUAUAGUUAUGUUCUCAUCGCAAGUUAUUUUGGGUGCAAAAUUCAAUAUUGAAAAUAAAUUAAAUAAAAAAUUAGUAACUAAAAUUAUGUUAAAUUAUUUUUUUACAACUUAAUUUUUAAUUAUAUUAUUGUGAGUAUAUGCUAAAUCUCUUAAAAAUAGAGUGUUGAAUAAUUUUAUUAGUUUUUUAAAUAAAUAAAGCUAAGUAACUUAAAAAGUUUAAGUAAGGAUAUUUUUGAAUUUUAAACAGUGUACAAAGUAAAAUUUAAUUUUUUUUAUAAUUAAGCUACGAGCGUGUAAAUUAAUAGAGUGCUCAAAAUAAUAUUUAGAGUGCUAAUAGUCAUAUCCUAAUAUUUAUCAUCACAUUAUUUUCCAUAAAAAGUUUACAACUACCUCUUUAUUGGAUAAUUUUGUUCCCUCUCUUACCUUAUGUUCCCCUACAUUCUCAUUUCUGCAUCACUAUUUAAAUUGUAAUCAUAACGUUAAUCUUUCGUGUCCUUUCGUUUUUUUCGAGUUUACUUUUGCUUUUUUUUUUUUUUACGUUUCUCCGGAAUUCACUUCAACAUCACUGGCGCGUUUUCUUCUUUCUCACUGCAACAUCAACUGGGCCACCACCUCUUGCCUCAAUAUACGUUGUGAUCUCAUCAUCUUGACAUUAUUUGUUAAAAAUUAUGUCAAAGAGGGAAAGCAUAUUCAAACAUUACUUCAAUUUUCUUUAAGAGCAUAAAAAAAUCGUUAAUAGGCUACUGUUAUUUGUUAGUACGAUUUCACAAAAGGAAGCUAGAGGAAGAUGAAGCUUUCAAGUCAUGUGUGCAUCAAAGUAAGAAACAGAGCUAAUGGGAAAUUUUCAUAAGAGUGCCAAUAUUUCAACUCUUUUUCAAAUGAAGUGAUGUCCUGGAAUAAAGGACUUGACUAGCUUACAGAUUCUGUAAGCUACAGACUGCAGCAUCAGCCGUUGGAUGUGGAGUGAGAAACUAAACAAUAGAAAAUCGGAUGGUGGGAUGACGGGAGAUGUUUGUUACAGAAUCUGUACCAUAGACAGGUCCUGGAAUAAAAUCACUACUCUAUCAUUGCUAUUAGUUUGUCUUGUAAUUCAAUCAUUGCCGACAAGUAUUAAUUGUGAAUAUUAUUAUUUUAAAAAUAUUAUUAUUAUUAUCGUCGUUAUUCUUAACAGCAAUGACUAGAAUUAUAAUAAUAACAAUAACGUUAAUACAAUAAUAUUACAACAUAAUAAUAUUUUAAUUGAGAGGAUAAGAAUGAAAUUAUGAAAUUUAGGUUGGGUAAAAAUGGUGAGUAUGAGGAAAUUAAUUUACCAUUUUUUAAGCUAAACAAUUUAUAAAUUCCACAUAUUUCAUUUUUAUUUCUCUUAUAUUUUAACAAAUAAACACUAUCAAUCGUUUUAAUAUUUUAAUUAAUAAACACGGCAUUAACUACGGAACUAAAAGAUCCCCCCAAAAAAAAAAAAACAGAGACGCGUGUAUGUAUUGCUUGUGACAAAUCUCACCCAUGGAAAACUUUGUGAAAGGCAUUUGAAUGUGUGGCCACAUUUAAUGAACGAAACGUUAACUUUAAAAGAAAGUAUGUACUGUGUUAAUUAUUAGGAUUACCCAAUAACCCGCUUAAUAUCUAUAUAUUAAACAAAAGUUACAUUAAAUAUUUAUACUUUGUCAUACAUAUGUAUGCACAUACAUACAUACAUACAUACAUACAUCCAAACAUACAUACAUAAUUUAUCAAUAUUAUAAAAUAUACAUAUCUACUAAAAUAUUACACACACUAUUGAGGUUUUAAUUAUAUGUAUGUAAAUAAUAUUAUAUAUCAAUAUUAUAAAAUAUACAUGUCUACCAAUAUUUUAUACAUUUACGCUAUUAAAGCUCUAAAUGUAUUUAAAAUUUUAUAAAUAAAAUAUUGUGUCUAUAUUCAUCUUUUUAAAGAAUUAAAAAAAUCAUCUCUAAUAUUUGAGUUUUGAUGACAAGAAUCUGUAAAUUAUUUUAAAAUAGAAAAUAUAAUCGGGUCAUUGAUCGGGUAAAUGGGUCAAGAAUUUUAACCCUAAUCCGACACGAAAAAAAAUCGUGUUGACCCGGACCCGACCCAUUUAAUAAUCGUGUUAAAUUCGAUGACCCAUACUUAUUUAUUGGUGUCAUGUUCGUAUCGAGUAAUCGGAUCGUGUCAAAUUUUACCAGCUCUAACUAUAGUGAUUCCACUUAAAAAUGAAAGGGGAGGCGACGAAAAGGUGAUAAAAAGCGGUAUUGUGUUCUUUUUUUUUUUAAUAUAAAUUUACUGGAAUGAUGAAAUAUUUAAUUGAAUAAUAUUAAAAAAGAGAAAAGGAGAGAGAAUUUUGAGCUCUCUCUACCGAGCCCACUCCCUCUCUUCUUUUUCAACGCAUUUUCUCUCGUCUUUAUCUCUCUUUAGCAUUUUUCUAUUUAAUUACGUGAAAUUGACUCUAAGAUAGACCGACGUUUGCUUUCAUAAUGGAAAGUAGAAAGUCGAAAAGAAACCACCCAUGCCAUGCGUGUGGACCAUUACUCUCAUUUGGAGGCUAUCAUAAGUGAGCAAGUACAAAUUAUGUUACUGUGGGGUCUCACUUAAAUGAACUCAUCCAUCGUGCGCUGGUCCAAUCCUUGGCAACAUCCCAUGUGACUUUUUCGGUUUUCCCCCCACUUUUCUUCACAAGGGUAGUUCCGAAUUUUCACUUCCCCUCAAUUCCAAUUCAGUGGCGAAAUUAGAUUUUCAUUUCAAGUUUUCAACCCAGGGCCAAGCUAUAAUAAUAUACUUCAAUAAUUUGUAUUCGUCGGAAGUUCGGAACCAAUGCUAAACUUUUUUAGUUAUAUAUAUAUAUAUAUAUAUAUUGUAAGAGGCUAAUAUGAACAUUACUAUUGUUAUAAGAGUAUAGAAAACGACGAAUAUUACUUAUUUUUUUUGUAGUUAAUAAGAAUUAUUUAAAAUUAUCCAAGCUCAAAAUUUAGAAUCAUGAGAGUGUGACUUGUAAGUUUCAAAGAAGCAUGUGUAAAUAUAUGCAUUAUCGAUGCCCAAUUAAGGGUGGGCAUUAAGAUCGGGUUAACCCGAACCGAACUUAAAAUUUAUUUUGGAUUCAAUUUGGUUAUGGUUGAAGCUUUCAACUGAGUUCAAAACUUAAAAAUGAUUGGGUUGUAUUUCUGUUCGAAUUUAACCCCAAAAGACUAAUCAAUCCAAUCGAGUUAAGUAAGCAAAUUAAGAAAAAAAAUCCCAAAAAUUAAAACUAACCCUAACUAAAAUAUUCGACGGCGGCCUCCUCGUUUUCUUUUCUUCUUCCUCCUCUCGCUCACCCCUAAUGCCCUUCAUGGAAAUCCAACAGCUCCAAACGCGUUUCAGCCGCUCGCACGUGUGAGAAAUUUUCCUUCUCAUAGGGUUAUUCGUUUCCUUCGUUUGCAUGCUAGCAGAAAAUUCAGGCCGAGGAUUUUUCCGGGCCUAGCCCAACUAUAAGCUCUCCCAAAACCCAAUCAUAAGUUCAAAACGUUUAGCGUUUGCUAUUACUAUAAUUUUUUUAACCAAUUUUCACAUUCAUCAACAUAGGCUGACAGAUUUUGUAGAAAAUAAAAUUAAAUAAAAAUACAAGCUCGCGAAAUUCCUUUGCCGAGCAUGAGUGAAGAAAAAUUAAAAAUAAAUAAUUUCCCAUUAAUUUGCAACAAGUAGUAAUAAAGUAAAUAACUCUUUUCAUCAUUUUGCCAGAGCGAAUGUAUCUACAUAUAAACUAAAGAAGCACAUUUGUUUGUAUUAGCUUUUUUAUUGUAUUUUUAAUAAUAAGUCAUUUGUCAAUGGACUUAUAUCAAUUUUUACGAAAAUAAUAGGUGUUAGUUAGAUUAUUCAAAUGGCAAAACCUCUUGGGAUAGAGCUUGUAAUGUAGUGGCUCAUGAAUUGUCUAAAUUGACACUACCGAAUUAUUGUAUUUGGUUAAAAAAGCUCCUACUCUGCUUCAACUUUAGUAUCCUAUGAUGUUUAUUAAUAAAUAACAAUUUUAUUGAAAAAAAGACCUCUUGAAAUGAUACAAAAGAUUUGGGAUAUGAAUCUCACUCGAAUUUAGCUUGAGGUUGGCAUUGUUAGCAUAAUAUUUGAAGAUAGAUUUUUUUUAAAUUAAAAAUCAAAAGAUUUUUUUUUUUUUGGGGUUCAUACUAGUUAGUUUUAACUCAUAGUGAGAUUUAAACAAAAACGGAAUAAUAAAUCUUGAUAUCCUGACUCAUGGAUAACGUAUAGAUAAGAUAGUAAAAUUUAUUGUGUCGAAAAUAAGAGGUCUGAAGUUUGAAUUUCGCUCACAUAGGUAGUAAGAGAAUCAAAUUAUUGAUAGAUUAAAUUAAUUAAAAAAAUUUCUGAUAUCCAAAACAACAUAUCAACAAAAUUGAAAUAAAAGAAAAUUGAAGAGAAAAACCAUUGAGAGAACGAAAAAUUAACACAAGAAAAUUUCUGUAACUAAUUGUAUCAGUGUGCGCCAACUUCACUUAUUAAAACAUGGUUAUUUCAUUUUCAUGGAUAAUCAUUUUGACACCGGUCAAAUUUAAAAGUUUUAAAAAAUAUGGGCGAUUUUUCUUUCCAGCUAUUCCCAUUAACUAAUAAAAGAACCGUCGAAAGGGUUCGGGGAUAAUAUAGUAAUUUAAACUAACAGUUUCUGUGCUUCAAAUUUAUAUAUAUAUAUAAAGUUGUGAUUACAAGAGGUGAUGUGGCAUCACUAUUUCUCAUCUUCUCAUAUUCUCUAUUAUCUAAUAAAUUGGUUGAAAUUAAAAAAUAAUUACAUUACAAAAUAUUAAAAAUAGAAAAUAAUUAUUAGAUUAUAAAUGAUUACAUGUCUUUUCAUCUUUCUAUUUAAAUUCAACAAUAUGUAACCAUUAAUAAUAAUUAAUUAUAAGUCUUAAAACAUUCAUUUAUUUUAUUAUGCCAACAAUUAAAUUUUAGUGGCUUAAAAUACAUCAAUUAAUUAAUAUAGGAAGGAAGAGAGGUUCUUUCAUCUUCCCUCAAUAAUGCCACUAGGGUCUAAGUUUAAUUUUAAUAAUUUUAAUGUCUCUUCCUCUUUCUAUUUAAAUCCAACAAUGUGUAACCAUUAAUAAUAAUUAAUUAUAAGUCUUUUGAAACAUUCAUUUAUUUUAUUAUGCUAGCAAUUAAACUUUAGUGGCUUAAAAUACAUCAAUUAAUUAACAUAGGAAAAGAGGUUCUUUCAUCUUCCUUCAACAAUCCUAAUUUUAAUGCCAUAAUCCCAUAUUUAAUUAUGCAAUCUUUUAUUUAGUGCUUUUUGACUUCUUCAAAUUUUAUUAUGCUAGCAAUUAAACUUUAGUGGCUUAAAAUACAUUAAUUAAUUAACAUAGGAAGAUAAGUUCUUUUAUCUUCCCUCAACAAUGCCACUAGGGCCUAAUUCUUCUUAUUCUAAAUUUAAAUUUCAUUUGCUUGCUAUCAUCAGCAACACAAGUCAAUUAUGAUGCAACUGCCAUUAUAAUUAAUGGAGAACGACGAGUUAUCUUCUCUGGUGCAGUUCACUAUAUCCUCGCAGCACUCCACAAGUACUACAUGCAAAUAAUUAAUUUACAAUUUCUGAAAUCACUUGCACUUUCACAUUUUCUUCUUCUUUUAACCAAAAAAAAAAAAGGCUACUUUGCUGCGAAAAUAUUAUCUUAAUUUUUUUUCCUAACAAGCCAAACAUGAUCCCACAUUCAAAACGGUGCGCUUUCAUGUUUAGGAAAAAUCAUGGGCAAUAUUUUUGGAUCAAAUAGCAUUGUUAUUUUUUAAAUAUGCAAAUUUUGAUAUGAUUUAUUUCUAUAUGCGUUGUAUUUGUGCAGAUGUGGCCAGAUCUUAUACAGAAGGCAAAGGGUGGACGGCUCGAUGCAAUUGAAACUUAUAUUUUGUGGAAUGCUCAUGAGUCUCAGCGUCGCCAGGUGUCAACUAUUAUUAUUAUUAUUAUGUGCGAUAUUUAUUAUUAUUGAAAUAGACAUACAAAAUUAAUUUAUUUAAUCUUUCUUUUAAGAAGAGAUCAGUACGAUUUCUCAAGAAAUUUAAAUUUUAUCAAAUUUUUAAUUUUUAAUUUGAUAUUUUCAAAGCCGCGCUAAGCGCGGUUAUAUUUUCUAAUCAUCAAAUCAAACUCACACCUCACAAAAGCAGAGAAAUCAAACGGUUUCCGACUUUACGCUUUAAAUUCAGCUUCAUUUCUUCAACUGAAGAAUCGGUCGUCUCUCAUUUUUUAUUUAUUAUAUAAAGAGAAAUAUAUAAAUUUAAAUGGCGAGAAGAGCGGACGAGGAAUACGAUUACUUGUUCAAAGUGGUAUUAAUCGGCGAUUCGGGAGUCGGCAAAUCGAACUUACUCUCCCGAUUUUCUGGUAACGAGUUCUGUUUGGAGUCCAAAUCCACUAUUGGCGUCGAAUUCACCACCCGCACUCUUCAAGUAACUAACUUUUCCUCUUUCACUUCUCUUCAUUUUUAUUAGUUAAUUAAGAUCCAGUUAAUGUAAUUAAUUUUAUUUAAUCUUUUAAUUAAAGUUCUAGAUUAGGCUAACUUAGAUUCAUGUCAAGUUGAAGUGCUUUACUUUCGAUCUCUUUUUCGUCCUAUGUUUAUUUGUACUUACUAUUACUUUGUUUUUGGGUUUAAAUUUUCGUUUUUGAAGUGUUUACUGAAUAAAUUUCUGAGCUUUAUUUGUGUAUGAUAAUUGAUUUGUGAUUUUAAUUUUGUGACUUUUUUUUUUUUGGAAUUUAAAUUUGAAUGCUUUUUAAGUUGAAUCUGAAUGUGUUGGGCUGCAAUUUAAUUAAGUCAUCUGUGAGCGCCAAAUUGUGAUAGCUAUAUAUUGGGGUGAAAAUUUGGGAUUUAAAGUUAUGUAUUUAAGAUGCAGUUAAUUCGCAAGUGAAAAUUAUGGGCCGGCAGAUUUUGUCAUUGGAAGACUGUUCUCCACAUGUUGAAGUUGGAAGACUGUUCUCAUUGAAUUUAUGUUAAAAAGCUAUGCGCGCAUUAAGUUAGUGCGAGAAACUGCUGAAGCAUAUGUCAGCUGUGUGUUUGGAGCUGAGUAUUCUUCAUUCCAAAUUUUUGGUUUUGGUUGACCUCCACCAUGACUCAACCCACUUGAGUUAAAAUCCCUAGAGUUACAUUCUACCCAUGAUAUUUGAGAUCAGGUCACCGUAUUUUAAUACUUCUCUGGAAAACAAAUAAAUAUGUUAAAUCAGGUAGGAAAAAGAAAAAGUUAAUUAUUGAGUUGUAAUGGUGCAACUAAUGUUUUGAAAAGAUGGGGCACAGGUUACAAAAUUUUUUUGAGUUUUGGAUUAAAGGAACAAAAUUAUUGAUGUCUAGCUCACAAUACUUGAAGUCACUCUGUGCUUCAUCAUGUAAAAUGGAUUGAAUUGCUGUAAGAUCAGGUCAAAUUAAAAUGUUUAAACUCAUUUAUAAGAAAUGAAUUCUCAAUUGGACUAGUCUUUCACAGAAACUGAUAUCACAGAAGUUUUGAGUCAGAUGCAUCCAACCAAAGCCCCUGGCCCAAAUGGUCUCCCAGCAGUAUUUUUCCAAAAGCUUUGGAAUUCAGCAAGCAAAGGAGUUAUAGCCACUUGUCUGCAUAUCCUCAAUGAUGGAGGUAAUAUUGCUCCUUUGGAUCAUACAUACAUUGCUUUAAUUCCCAAAAUAGCAAAGCCUAGGACUGUGAUGGAGUAUAGACUAAUCAGCUUAUGUAAUGUAAUUUAUAAGAUCAUUGCAAAGACUAUAGUGAAUAGGGUGAAGCUAAUCUUAGAUCAUGUUAUUUCACCAACUCAAAGUGCUUUCAUGCCAAAUAGGCUCAUAACUAAUAAUAUAAUUAUUGGGUAUGUGUGUCUUUAUAAGAUUCAGCAUUGCAAAAACAAAAAGCAUGGUCUAGUGGCUUUGAAAUUAGACAUUAGCAAAGCAUAUGACAUAGUAGAGUGGGAGUUUGUAAGAUGCACUAUGGAAAGGUUGGGUUUUUCUCACAAAUGGGUGGAACUGGUCAUGAGAUGCAUAUCUGCACCAUCUUUUUCUAUGCUGAUCAAUGGGGUAGCAAAAGGCCUUAUCCAGCCUCAAAGAGGCUUAAGACAAGGCUGCCCACUCUCUCUAUAUUUGUUCAUUAUUUGUGCUGAGGUUUUCACAAAUAUUUUGAAGCAAGUUGAAUUGAACCAGCUGAUUCAUGGAUUAAAAUUCAAUAGGGACCUGCCUAUUACUCAUCUUCUGUUUGCAGAUGAUAGUUUGGUUUUCACAAGAGCCACUAAAGAAGAUUGUACGAACCUGAAGUAACUCUUUGAUUGUUAUGCUGCUGCCUCAGGCCAGAUUUUUAAUUUUGAAAAGUCCUCCAUGUUCUUCAGCGAUAAUCCCAAGCAAGAGCAGAUAGCUACAAUUAAGGAUAUAUUUCAACUUCAAGUGGUUUCAAGACAUGAAAGGUAUCUUGGACUACCUUCAAUGGUGGGAAGAAAUAAGACCAGCUUCUUAAACGAUAUCAAGCUUAGAAUUAUAAACAAAAUCUCCAAUUGGCAAGCAAAAUUUUUCUCAUGUGGAGGGAAGGAGAUACUCAUAAAGGUAGUAGCUCAAGCAGUGCCUGCUUACGCCAUGAGUAUUUUUAAACUUCCUUUAGGGCUAUGUGAGGAUAUACAGAAGGCCAUUGCUGGGUUUUGGUGGAGAAGUUCAAGGAAGCAUAUGUCUAUUCACUGGUCCAAGUGGGAAAGAAUGUGUCAAGCUAAGAAGAGGGUUGGCUUGGGUUUCUGAGACUUGUCUAGUUUCAACCAAGUGCUUGUGGCAAAACAGAGUUGGAGGAUCAUUCAAGCGCCAAAAUCUCUCAUAGCUAAGGUGAUGGAGGCAAGAUAUUUCAAACAUUCGGAUUUUAUGGAGGCACAAAUUGGCUCAAACCCUUCUUAUAUGUGGAGGAGCAUCCUGUGGGGGUGAGAUGUUAUUCAUAAGGGUCUUAGAUGAAGAAUCAGAGAUGGAAAGUAGGUGAAAGUGUAUCAAAGUGACUGGUUACCAAGACCUGUAACGUUCAAACCAAUAUCUCCUACAAGUCUCCCUUUGGAGACUAUGGUUUCAGAGUUGAUUGAUCAAGACCACUACUGGAAAGAUCUUGUAAUAAGACAACAUUUUCAUCAAGAAGAUGCUGCCCAGAUACUUAAGAUCCCUCUGCCAAGACAACCAAGACCAGACCAAGUUUUGUGGCAUUGCGACAAAAAGGGUUACUACUCAGUCAAGAGUGGGUAUCAACUAGCUCUACAAAUGAAGUUUCCAACCAAGCCUAGCAGUUCAUAGGAAGGCAAAAGUGCAUGGAACUCAAUUUGGUAUUUGUCAAUUCCAGAGAAAGUAAAGAUAUUUAUGUGGCUGGCUGCAUAUGACAUGCUGCCCACAGCAGAGAAUUUAUGGAAGAAAAUAAUAUUACAAGCCCCCUGGUGUCAGAGAUGCAGGAGUUAUGGAGAGUCUAUCUUCCACACAUUGUUUGAAAGUAAAGCCUUGCGGAAAAUUUGGAAGCUCACAUCUUUUAAAGAUAAAGUGAAAGCCCCAAAAUGUAAAGAUGUCCUAAGCUUGCUGUUGGCUUUGGCUGAUCGACGAAGCAAGACUGAAAUGGAGCUGAUAGUUGUUUUGUGCUGGAGCAUAUGGCACUCAAGGAAUCUUUUUAUUUUCAAAAGCAGAAAUGAAGAUUCCCAAUUAUCAGUAGUUGGAGCUGAGGCAAUUGUUAAGUCUUAUAAAAGAAUUCAAAUGCCACAGAUGCAAGCAAUAUCAGAUCAAAGUUCUGCAUCCCAGAAGUAUUGGAAGUGUCCCCCUGCAAGUUGGUUCAAGGUGAAUGUUGAUGCAGCUAUAAAGAUAGACCAACAAAGAGUAAGUCUGGGCAUUGUAAUCAAAAAUUCAGAAGGUAAACUUAUAGCAGCAACCUUAAAGCCAACGAAAUGGCUUGAUAAAGUGGAUCUGAAGCAACUAAGUUUGGGCUGGAAGUAGCUGAAAACGCUGGAUGGUUACCUUUGAUUGUUGAGAUUGAUUCACAGGUAGUAGUAGAUUUAGUCUUAGGUAGAAAAAUCACAAAGGCUGAGAUUUUUGGGUUUGUAUCCAAGGUCCAAGAGAUGAUGAAGAGAUUAAAACAUGUCAAGUUACAACACACACCAAGAACUUGUAAUGGUUUUACUCACACACUUGCUAAGUUAGUUUUAGACUAUUUUGAUUAUCUGAUUUUGUACUAUGGGUGAAUAACAUACCAGCCCAUCUUUUGUAUCUAUUCACAAAAUUGAAUGAUUGAAAAUGAUACUUUGAUUUCAAAAAAAAUAAAAUACAAAGAGCUAAUUAUAAAUACAUAAUCCAAGAAAACAGUAAUAAUAAUUUAUCUCGUAAACAAAAUUAAAUAAUAGCAAUAAUAAGUGGAUAAAGCUAAGUUCGAGAGGUGAGAUAGGAAAUUCUCCCGCACGACACAGCACAAACAAACUUUCCCUUUCAUUUUCUUUUCUCUUUCUCGCUAUCCAAACAGAGCAAAAGGACCGUCGCAAGAUUCUUCACUUCCAUCCAAAAUCACGAGCAACGAAUAGCGAGCCUCCCUGUUUCCUUCCUUUUUUUGAUAUUAACAUUGUUAACAUCUGCUCAUUUUCAUUUGACAAUACUUCAAUUUUUUUUUUUUUUGCCUUUUCAUAUUUUUUUGGUUGAAGCGAUUAUCUGUUCAAGCUGUUGCUUAUCGGAGACUCGUCAGUCGGAAAGUCCUGCCUGCUGCUCCGAUUUGCUGUCUGUUGACUUUUCCUUUCCAUUUUUAUUUUCUUUUUUUUUUAUAUUAAUUACUUUCUAUUUUAGCUUUUUGUUCUCUGAAUUUGUGUUAUUAAAAUGAUAAUUUAGAUGAUAAAUAAUUAUUAUUCUUGUAAAUUUCAGUUUUCAUUACAUUAAAUAAUGUAAUUUUUUUUUCAAUUUUUCAGGAUGAUUCUUAUGUCACAGCUACAUCAGUACCAUUGGAGUUGAUUUUGUAAGUCUCUCUUCUAUAUAUAUGUAAUUAUGUGUAUAAGUUAUAAUAUGAGUCUCUGUACGUGUAUGUAUGUAUGUGUAUGCAUAUGUGGAAAGAAAUGUUGGCAGACUUCGGCAUUUUACUUUUUUUUUUUUAAAGGGAAAUUAUCACCGGUAUACCCUUAAAUGUCACCGGUAUCAAACGUACUACAACACUUUUCGCUUAUAUCACUCGUAUACCCUAAGUUGACAAAAGAGUUCUGGCGUCCACCUUUCCGUUUACUACCGUUAAGAACUUAACAGAAUUUGAGCAAAAUGACUAUUUUACCCUUUAAACUAAAAUGAGGUAAAAAAACAAUUUUGCCUUGAAAAUUAAUGUAAAUUUUCAAUACACAAAAUUUUUUUAUUUUGUUAUUAACAAUACAUUUUUUUAUUAAAAAAAUAUGAAUUAUUAAUGGUAUAUAUUAUUAACAAUUAUCCAUAAAAAACUUCAUCUUAUACCAUAAAACAUUAUUAACAACAUAUUAUUUAUAAUUAUACAUAUUAUAACAUAAAAAAUUCAAGUUGGAUCUUGGAGGAGUAGAUCUUUAAUAAUUUAGGUUAAAUUUUGGAGGAGUAGAUUUGGUUGUAAAGUAGUUUUUUUUUUUUAGCAAUUAUUAACAAUUAUCUGAUAAAUGGGAUGACAUGUCAUUUUUAUCAAAAUAUAUCAUAUGACAUGUCGUUUUUUACUAUAUAAAUGGGAUGACAUGUCGUUUUUAAAAAAAGACUAGAUUACCCUUAUGAUGUCAGCGCUCGCAAACGGCAGUUAACGGAUCGGUGGACGGCAGAAGUGUUUUGUCAACUUAGGGUAUACGAGUGACACACUUGAAAAGUGUUGUAGCACGUUUGAUACUGGUGUCAUUUAAGGGUAUAUGACUGAUAAUUUCCCUUUUUUAAAUUUUGGCAGAAAAUAAGAACUGUGGAGCUGGAUGGGAAGACGAUCAAACUGCUGAUUGUGAGUCAAAAUUUCCUUUUAUCUUGUAUUGGGAGAAAUUCAAUUUGUCUUAUUUAGUGAAGGUUAUGUUCAAGAACCUUGCCUUAUUUUCUUUAUUUGAAGAGUGAUAAGUUGAAAUGAGUGUAUUUUUCUUAUAAACAUCAUUUAGGUAAUGUCUGAUGUUUGAUUGUUUUUCAUCUGUUUAGUGGGACGCUGCUGGACAGGAGCGAUUCAGGACUAUAACUAGCAGUUAUUACCGAGGAGCCCAUGGAAUCAUAGUAAGAAGCCUUCCUGCUUCUUGGUUUAAAUCAGAAAGUUUGUGAUUUACAUGUGACAUCUUAACAACGUUGUAUGUGUUUAUUAACUUAUUUUUCAUCUUUCAUUACGCAGUACAUUUUCCAAUAAAUCUGUAUACAAGAUGAUGUAGUCCAAGAAUGGGAGUGAUAAUAUGAUGCAAAUUGUCUAAUAAAUUCUUAUGACAUAUGAUGUUGUCGGAAGUAAAAGUCUUGCAAUGCUGUAUUCUCUUUUAAGAAAGAAUAAGUGGUAAUUUUGUUUUUCCAAUUUUUUAAUUGAGCAACUGUGUGAGAUUAAUUAAAUGUGUUGGGAUUUCAACAGAUUGUCUAUGAUGUAACGGAGAUGGAGAGCUUCAAUAAUGUCGAGCAGUGGUUGAAUAAGAUUGACAGAUACGCUAAUGACAGUGUAUGCAAGCUUCUAGUUGGGAACAAAUGCGAUUUAGUUGAGAACAAGGUUGUGGACACAUAGACAGCCAAGGUAUGUUCGUGAGUUCUGUCGCCUGAACUUUGAAUAUAAUUUUAAACUCUUCUCAAGUGCAUUUGCUUGAUAAGUUUCUGCAUACCCAGGACACUUAAACUUUGGACAGUCUGUAUCUCGAGCUGGAAUCUUUUUUGUCAAUACGACUUGUUAAAAUAAGGGUUAUUAUCGUUUGAAUCCUUCAAGAAUUGCAAUAAAUCUAAAGUCAAUUAAAAAUAUGAUUUCAUCAUUUUACUGUUAUAUCUAGACAAAAUCCAUUAUUUUACUACAUUUUAUUAGCACCGAUAGUUGACCUAUUGGCUGACUGAUAAAAUAUCAAUUUUGUACUUUAUAUUAAUUCUUUUUUGGUUAGAAAAUAACACACAAAGUAUUACAAUAUUAUAAAUUCAAAAUAGAAAGUAGUUACAAAUAAUUCCUAUUAGCCUAUGAAUAUAAUAUUUGAUACCUCUAUUUGUGUAAUUUUUUUUAAAGGGUGAAAUUGGUAUUUUCUUUGUACUAACGGAAAUGUAGUAAAAUGAUAAGUUUUGUAAAGAUAUAGUAGUAAAAUGAUAGACUAAAAUACUUCUGUAGUUGUUUGAUAUAUUGUAAUUCUUAAAGUAGUCAAUUGAUAAUAUCUCCUAAAAUAAGUGUUUGUAAUAUUUUCUCAUUUUAAUGCAACUGAUUGUUUAAUAAAAUUGUAUUUCUUUGUUAAUCUUUUAUCAUGUGCAUGCUCAGUGAGAAUUUGACUUACUAGCACACAAGUUUGACUCUUCAUGUAAAUGUCCCUUGUAUCAUAUCCUUCAGUGUUGAGUGUGUUUCCAAUAAAACUGAGUAGGGGAAUCCUUAAAUACCUUUUCCCUUUUUCCAAGGGCCGUGCCAAAUUGCUCUAAGUGAUUAUCAAUGGAUAAUGAAAAUAAAAUUUUUAUUAAAGCAAUUUUUUCCUUAAAUGGUGGCUAAUAGUACCCCUUUUUUGGAAAAGAAAGUCAAAACAUGCCCAAAGAGAAUCAUUUACUUUCCUCUAAUGUAUUUUCUAAUUUGUUUCGAGCCUUGAAUGUUAACCUCUGUAAUUCAAUUUGAAACUUGCCACCCUUAGUGCUUCACUCAAAUGGUUGGUUAGGGUGAGAUCUUUAUCAUUUUCCUGGUCUCUUUCCAAGGUUAUCUAAAGGGAUUUGGCAGUCUGAUUCUUUAGGGAAUAUCAUUGCAUAAGAUAUUGUUUGUCAAUGAAUAAUUUCUAUUAAUUAGUUAUCUAUAUAAAUUGGUAAAUUUUAACUGCAUAAUUUGCAUGCAAUAAGAUUUUAUAAGAAUCUUGUUUUCAACUCAUGACUUAGACUAAUGUGAUAUGUUGAGCAUUAAGCUACAAGAUCUGCACAUCAAAGUGCUUCACGAUGUUAAGGAGAAAGCAUCUUUUUCUGCUUCUUCAUGUGAUUUAAAGUUUCCAAGGUACUUAUCCUAUAAAAUAUCUUUCAAGACUUUGGAAAUGCUUUUAUGUAUGACUGAGAGAAACUUGUUGGGUUGGUUUUUAGCAACGGACGGAGUUAUGGACUUUGUGCUGACUUGUUAUUGAUUAAGACAGUACAUCGGCUGAUCUAUUGGCAUCAAGCAGCAGAUGCAGAAAUUAUGGGUGGCAUAUCAUUGUAU